rnacentral:lncRNA from 1 species
CUUCCAUAGUUGUUCAAUGUGACUAUAUGGUAAAAGAAGUGCGACAAGGUUGUCCGGUUGAAAGCUUGAAGGCAAGUAUCUUAAAGGAUAUCCUUUCCAGUCUAAAAGUCUUAGCUCAUUAGAAAGAUAUUUGAUAUCAUCACAAUUUGAGACACAAAGCACUUUGAGCAAUCUCAAUUUUUUCAUCUUCGAGAAGGUAUCGGUACUCAAAUUGAGGAUCUUGCUUGAUUCCCUAAUAACCAUGAGCAAAAUAAAAAUAAACUUAAGAAUAUACAAAAACAUUCAAUAUCUAAAAGCCAUGCUGGAUCAAUAUUACUUUUUUAAGUAUCCAUAUCUAGCACUUAUAUCUAUUGCAUAUCUGAAUAUGGUAUUGAGAUAUGAUUAAUAACAUAUUAGAAAAUACUUUAUCUAACACUUAUAUUCGACUUUUAAUUACCUAAGCCUAAAAAAAUGGAACUAUUAUUUUGAUUUAUGUUCGGUGCACUGAUGUAUAGUUCUAUACAUUACCAGUGAACCAAAUGGUGGCAUGACCUGAAUUUAUUUUUAAAAACUUUUAAUGACAUGUUAUAACCUAGUUCAUUGAUAUAGAUUUUCAUUACAUCAAAUAUAAACCAUUAACAUUAGCAAAGACAAUGACACACAUCUCUUUAUAAUUUCUUUUGAAAGAGUAAUGUGUUCCUAUAUAAAUUUUAUAAAUAGAACAUAAAAAAAAAUUACGCUUUAAGGGUGUACUUGGUUGAGUGGAAAUGUCAAGGGAUAUGAGGAUGAAUUGUGCUUGGUAAAGAAGAAAAGUGAGAAGAAAAAAAAAGGGGAGAAAUGAUCAUUUUAUAUUAGUGAGAAGGGAAAUGUAGUAUCUACAAUACUAGGAGUACAUAUUGAUAAAUUUAUAUGUUUCUUUUCCUACCUUUUAUUGUCUAUGAUCAUGCCUUCUAUCACUUCGGUAGCCUGAAAGUAAUCAAGAAUCGAUAAUAAGAAGAUAAAAUUAAUGCUCUAAAUUGUAUGAUAAAACUUUUAAAAAUUUACCUACAUGUUCAACAUUAUAGCAAUCUUUUGGUCGAAAUACAGUAAAUAAAAUAUAUUCUAAGAGAGUAAUUCAAUAAAAUUAAACAUUUAAUUUACAAAUCAUUAUUAAUAUUUAUAAUCAACAAAUGAAAAUUAUCUUAAAGCUACUCAAUGUCACUUAAGGAUUGAUAUAUAAACAAAUUAGACUAAACUUUAGAUUUACACCAUAUAUUGAUAAAAAGAAAAUUUUGUAUGUAAAUUUUGUUUAAUGGUUUACCGUUUUUUUUGUUAGAACAUGAUGAACAUCCUUUUCCUUCCACAAUCUGCAACGUUUUCCAGGUUCAUUAAUACAUUUUUCUUCAACAAUUUUUCUUCCCAUUUCUUGCAACAAGGCAUGCAUCCACAAAUAUUGGUUGUCGUCAUCAACUUUUAUGAGAGAUUUCUUAAAGAGAACAUCAAUUCCAAUAUCUGGGAAAAACUCACAACCAUCCAAUACUUUCAUUACCAAAUCUUUCUUCUCCCCAUUAAAAAAACAUGCUAUAUCUAGAAAUAUAUUCUUCUCCCUUUCUUCUAAUCCAUCAAAGCUGAUUCUUAGUGUGUUAAGAAUUUCUCUGUUACAAUCUUGUUCAAGUCUUUCAAUUGCACUUCUCCAUUGAACUAUAUCUCUACCGCACAAAAAUGAACCCAAAACUUCAAGAGCUAAGGGAAGACCAUCAACAUAAUGUACAACAUGUUCAGAAAGUUGAUUGAAAUCAUCUUUUGUAGUUGUAUCACCACCAAAAGCUUUCAAAUUGAAAAGCCUUAGUGCAUCGUUGGUGUUCAAUGUUGUAGGCUUAUACACAUCAUCGAUUCGAUAAGAUCGGAGCAAAUGUUCAUCUCUUGUUGUUACAAUGAUCCUACUACCUAAACUGAACCAAUCACGCCUUCCAACCAAGCAUUUCAAGUGUUGUACAUUAUCAACAUCAUCAAGAACAACAAGAACUUUUUUGCUAGACAACCUGCGGCUAAUUAUGGCAUUCCCUUCAUGAACAUUGAAAAAAUUGAAGCAUUCAUUUGGCAAUAUUUGAUAAAGAAGUUGUUUCUGUAAAGAAACAAGUCCAUACUUGUUUGAAACUUCUCGAAUAUCAGCAAGAAAGGUUUUACCUUCAAAAUGAGGUGACAUUUGAGUGUAAACAACCCUUGCAAGAGUUGUUUUACCGAUGCCACCCAUUCCACAAAUUCCUAUAAUGCGGACAUCGUCUUCCCCAAUAUUUAUUUUCGAAUACAACUGCUCCAAACGUGAACUAAUUCCAACCAACUCAUCAUGAAGAACUGGAUAUGUCUGACAUAAUUUUGCUGAUAUCUUCUUAACGAUGUCUCCAAUAAACUCUGAUUCAUGCCUACAAUGAAAUUAAAUUUAGAUGCUAUAUUUCAAAUGCACUUCUUCAUUUUUAGUUCAGUGAAUAAUGAAAUAUAAUAUAGUUGGAAGCAAACAAAAAGCAAAAAUAAGACAGCAAGAUCUGUUAUAGCAUCAAAUGACACAACUUGCUCCUUAGUUGAAAUAUGGGAAUUCUCAAUUACACACAAAAUUAUAUUAAAAAAAAUGCAAUCCAAGAAAAAAAUAGUCAUUAAAAUUAGAAAAUAUAGAAGAAAAGAAAGAAAUACCUAUUAUGUAAAUGCCAUCCUUUGAUGUUAGCUACUUGAGUCAAAGCAUUUCGCCACUUUUGGAUCUUGUCUGUAUCUUCCUUGUACCUCUCUUGGUGUUUGGCGAAGGCUUCUUCAACUUUUCCUUUUUGUUUUCUUAAAUCGGAUGGAUCCACAUCAUAGAAAAUUGGAAAUACUUUAUGUCCGUUCACAUUUUUUUGUUGAACAAUCUCAGCAAGCUCCUCCAAGCACCAUCCUGAAAAGGUAUAGGUUUUUGAAAAAACGAUGACCGAGCACCAUGAUUGCUGAAUUGCAUUGAAGAGUUCAGGUGCGAUCUCUUCACCAGCCUCCAGCUUUGGAUCAUCUCUGAAGGUGACGAUCCCACUCCUCUUUAGAGCAUCAUAAAGAUGAUCCGUGAAGUUGUUGCGAGUAUCUUCACCUCUAAAACUCAAGAAAACAUCAUAUUUCUUUUUAGAAAUGGAGGAAGAAGUUGACGGUAACGAUAACAUGAGGAUGUAUGAAAGGAGAUGGAUAUCUCAAUCUGGUGUUCAAAAUCAGAAAAUAGAUCGCCCGAUACCCACAAAGAAACUAGAAAAAGUAAGUAUAUGAGCAUAUAUAUGAGCAGAGGGGCGGAAAUUAGGGGUCAAAAGAUGAGCAAUGGAUGUUCUUGCCAAGAAGUAUCCAAGAAGGUGAGAGUUGGCAAAAUGGAAAUUACGUAAUAAUUAAAAAGUUGGACGGUUUGUAUUUUACGUAUUUAAGAAUUAUGAGUAGAUAAGAUUAUGACUAAUAAUUAGAAUUAAUUUAUGGGCGGGUUAAAAAGUUUACCAAGCAACCAACUACUCGCAUCCACACGUGGAAGAUUUCUAUCUCCAGAUACAGAUCCAUUUCGACCGGCUUGUCCAGAAUUUCUACAAUGGAUAACAGCUCUGGAGAUGAUAACCCUGGCAGGGCAGAAGUAUUUUUUUUUUAAGGUACAAACUUAAAUUGUAACUUUUAUUAUAGUAAAAAUAUAAUUUUACAAUUUUAAUAGUUUAUAUCUUCAUAAUAUUUAAAAGAUUAAAUUAAAUUUUUAUUAUUUUUAAGAGGGUCAACGUGUAAUUUUGUUUUUAUUAAUUUAAAGUUUUAUCAUAUCAUUUUUUAUUUAUUAAAUGUGUGGUAUUUAUAUCUAGGAUGAUUCAACUUUUAAUUUCAAAAUGCAUUUUGCCUUUCUUUGAUUUACUACUCUCAAUAUCAAUUUCGUGUUGGUGUUAUGAACACCAAUAUAUUUCUAGUUCCAUCACAUCAAUCAAUGUUCCCAAUAUAAUGAAUCUAUUUGUACCAUCAAACAAUCACAAAGAAACUUAACUAAAUAGGAGAAAAAACCUAUUUGUACGAAAGGGCUAGUGAAGUAGUUUACACAAUUAUUGCUUCUUCCCUGAUCGGCCGGUUAUAAAAUUGAAAAUGUUUUGCAGCCGUUUAGGCUUCGGCCCUUCUUCCUCUGUUUCCUCGUCGAUAUCACGUUUUCGUUUUACAAAGGAAGUGCUGCCUGCGGAUCCAUCGUUUUCAGUAGAGUGAUGAUGGAUAUGUUCAAAGUUUGGAGAAGAUUGAGUGGUAUGGCACUGCACCUCUUUUAUAUCUUCCAAAUCUUUCUCAUACAUUAUUCUAACACCACACUUCUUCACAUUAACAGAAGGAUACCUUUUUGCAGAUUGGAAGGACAUCUCAAGCGAUAAAUUCUUGGUUUCCCAAUUAUCCUUUAAGGAUAAUGGAUAAAAUACUUCACGCGAGAAAUAACGAAGUAAAAGGUGGUCCUUCUUUAUGGGUCGUCGAUCAAAAUCAAUGAAAUUGAAAUCGACCCUUCGACUAUUUUUAACUUGAAAAACAGAUCCAUCACUACUAGAUUGUCCAGAAUAUGUAGAAUGGAUAUAAGCUGGACCACCGAUAACCUUUAUCUCGGAACCAUCAUCAUCGCCAAAAAUGCAGCAGACAGCAACUCCAAUCCAUUGUCUGUCAUUCUGAAUAUUGAAAGGCAAAGGUAUUUCAAUUACAGAGCCGCCUCUCUGUUGGCUGAACCAUUCUGGGAUUUCACUGCCAGGUAUAACAACAUCAAGUCUUUUUCUUGAAUUCUCAAAUGCCUGCAAAUUAAAACAUCAGUCGUUCUUGAAUUUGCAAAAUAAAAUAUCGGUGGUUCUGUAACUAAAACCAUGAAAAAAAAAAAAAAAGAGGGAUCAAUGAACCUUAAUAUGUGUUUUCAGCAAUGUUAUUGCACUCAUGUUCUCAGCCAAUCUGUAGCUGUUAAUGGCUAUAAAGUAAGACCGAUUAUGUUUCCAAUCACUUGUCUUCUUUGCUAGAAGCACAGGCAACGAUUCAAGCUCACUGCAAUUACACACUCCAAGCCUUUGAAGAUUGGAAAGACGAGCAAGAGACGCACCUAUGCUGGUGAAAUUGUUACCAUGAAGAUCAAGAAUUCUCAAUGAGGAUAGACCAGAAAUAUCACUAGGAAUAUCUCCUUCACCCAUAUUGCGCAGGCCGCACCUUGACAAACUAAGUUCUUCAAGCUUGGAGAGCCCAGUAAGAGAUGCCGGUAUUCUGUUGAAAUUGUUAACGCUAAGAUCAAGAAAUGCCAAAGAGGAUACACAAGAAAUAGCACUAGGAAUAUCUCCUUCACCAAGAUUGCAGCCCCUUAGUUUCAACUUUGUUAAUGACCUCAAACCGGAUAAUGAAGGUAGCAUUGGAGCUAUGAAAUUCAUCCUUCCUGUUUGGCGUACCUUGAAAAGCGAAAGGAGAUUUCUUUUCAACUUAUACGGACCCUUGCAUCCAUCAAAAGACAAAACUUUAAGAUUUUUCAAUUGAGAAAUGAAGGAUGGUGGUUCUUUUAUGGCUGUUUCACACAAGUCAAGCUUUUCCAAAGAUUCUGCUUGAUGCAAAUUCUCUGGCAAAUAUUCAACUUUAUAACAACCAGAAAGAUCAAGAGUUUUUAGAUGUUCCAUUUUCCCAUCAAUCUCUGGAAACCUUGCAAGAUUUGAGCAACCCGAAAGAAUUAAAGUUUCAAGGGAUUCCAUUUCAAUUUUGGUUGGAAGUCUCCUAAGACUUUUGCAAUCUCUUAAAUUCAAAAGUUUCAGUCUCUUAAGCACUCCAAGUGAUGGAUGAACAUCUACUAAUCUGGUACAAUCUUGCAUAAUCAACACUUCAAGAUAUGGGGCUGUUGUGAAGUCUGGUGUCUUGAUGAGGUUUUGGGACCCUUUAAGGCUGAUUAUUUUCAACUUAUACAAGGCCUGUCCAAAACAAUAACAGAUUAGAGAGAAAAGAGAAAACAUAAUAAACCUCAUUAUUAUUAUCUUAUUCAAAUUUUAACAGUUUAUAAUAUUAAAAACUUAAUAGUUUAUAUUAAAAUAAGCUAAAACACAAGGAUUAGAUGAAUUUAAUUCUUACUCUAUUUCCCUUCCAUAGUUGUUCAAUGCGACUAUAUGGUAAGAGAAGUAUGACAAGGUUGUCCGGUUGAAAGUUUGAAGGCAAUGAUUUUAAAGGAUAUCCUGUCCAAUCUAAAAAUCGUAGCUCAUUGGAAAGAUAUUUGAAAUCAUUACAAUUUGAGACGCAAAGCACUCUCAGCAAUCUUAAUUUUUUCAUCUUCAAGAAGACAUUGACACUCAAAUUGAGCAUCUUGCUUGAUUCUCUACAAAACCACGGGCAAACAAAAAAUAAGCAUUAAAAUAUACAAAAACAUUCAAUACCUAAAAGCUAUGUUUCUCCAAUAAUACUAUUUUUUAGGAUUUUCAUCCCUUACUUAUACCUAACAUGUGUCCAAAUAUGAGCAUUGAUAUAUGAUCCCUCAAGAACUCUUUAAAUAUAUAUGAAAAAACUUCUUAAAAAAAUCACACAUACCCAUUUUAGACAUAUAUCCCAUUUGACUUCGAAUUACCUAAGUUUUAAAAACUAGAAUUAAAAUCUUGAUUUAUAUUGGUGCAAUGAUAAUGCAUAAUUUUAUUUAUUAUUACUGAACGAAACAAUAACACAUCAUUAAAAAUUUAAUUGGUUUUAUUUUGAAAAUUUUUUGAUGACAUAUUAAAAUCUUAUUUAUAAAGAUACACCAUAGUGCAUCAAAUAUAAGCAUUUAAUAUUAGCAAGGAUAUAUCUUGAUUGUGUUUCUUUUGAAAGUGUUAUGCCUUGCUAGAUAAAUUUCAUAAAUAUAACAUUAAAUAUUAAGCAUUAAUGGUUUUUUUUUUCCAUCGAUUUUCAUUGGAUACUUUUACCAAAAAAAACCAAUAACAAUAUUAAUAAUACACAUCAUAAAUGUGUAUGUAUGUUUUCUUACCUUUGAUUGUCAAUGAUCAUGCUUUCAAUCAUUUCUGUAACCUAAAAAAGCAAGAAUAGAGAAUAAAUAACUUUUUGAUCGAAAUAGAGUAAAUAGAUCAUUUUAAAUAAGGUAAAACAUUUCCGAUGAGAGAGAUUCAAUUAAAUUAAAUACUUAUUUAUACAAAUCCUUAUUAACAGUAAUCAUCAACAAAAGGCAUUUAUGUCAGUCAAAUUUUUAAUGUACUCCUAUAUUAAUCAAUUGGACUAAGCCUUACUCAAUUUUAUUUCAGAAAUAAAGUAAAAUAUUUUCGAAUGAGAGUAAUUCAAUAAAAUUAAAAACUUAUAUUACAAAUCAUUAUUAAUAUUUAUAAUCAACAAAUGGAAAUUAUUUUAAAGCCACUCAAUGUCAGUUAAGGAUCGAUAUGUAAACUAAUUAGGCUAAAUUUUAGAUUUAUAUCAUAUAUUGAUAAAAAGAAAAUUUUGUAUAUAAUUUUUGUUGAAUGAUUUACCGUGUUUUUUGUUAGGACAUGAUGGACAUCCCUUUCUUUCCACAAUCUACAACGUUUUCCAGGUUCAUCAACACAUUUUUCUUCAACAAUUUUUCUUCCCAUUUCUUGCAACAAGGCAUGCAUCGUCAAACGUUUGUUGUCAUCACUAACUUUUAUCAAAGAUUUCUUAAUGAGAAUAUCGAUUCCAAUAUCUAGAAAAAACUCACAACCAUCCAAUGCUUUCGUUAUAAAAUCUCUCUUCUCACCAUUGAAAAAGCAUGCUAUAUCUAGAAAUAUAUUCUUCUCUUUUUCUUCCAAUCCAUCAAAGCUAAUUCUUAGCGUGUUAAAAAUUUCUUUGUUAGAAUCUUUUUUAAGUCUUUGGAUUGCACUUCUCCAUUGAACUAUAUCUCUAUCGCACAAAAAUGAACCCAAAACUUCAAGAGCUAAGGGGAGACCACCAGCAUAACUUACAACAUCUUCAGAAAGCUCAAUGAAAUCAUCUUUUGGCACUGUAUCACUAUGAAAAGCUUUCAAAUUGAAAAGUCUAAGUGCAUCGUCUGGAUUCAAUGUUUUAGGCUUAUACACACAAUCGACUCCGUAAGAUCGGAGUAAAUGUUCAUCUCUUGUUGUUACAAUGAUUCGACUCCCUAAACCAAACCAAUCACGCCUUCCAACCAAGCAUUUCAAGUGCUGUACAUUAUCAACAUCAUCAAGAACAACAAGAACCUUUUCACUGCACAACCUGCGGCUAAUUAUGGCAUUCCCUUCAUGAACAUUGAAAAAAUUGAAGCAUUUAUUUGGCAAGAUUUGAGAAAGAAGUUGUUUCUGUAAAGAAACAAGUCCACAUUUGUUUGAAACUUCUCGAAUAUCAGCAAGAAAGCUUUUGCCUUCAAAAUGAGGUGACAUUUGAGUGUAAACAACCCCUGCAAGAGUUGAUUUACCGAUGCCACCCAUUCCGCAAAUUCCUAUAAUGCGGACAUCAUCUUCCCCAAUGUUUAUUUUCGAAUACAAGUCCUUCAAAGGUAAGCUAAUUCCAACCAAUUCAUCAUGAACAAUUGGAUAUGUCUCACAUAAUUUGGCUGAUAUCUUCCUAACAAUGUCUCCGAUAAACUCUGAUUCAUUCCUACAACGAAAUAAAAAAUUGUUUCUAUCUUUCAAAUGCUCUUUGUCAUUUGUAGUUCAAUGAAUCAUGAAAUAUAAUAUAGUUGGAAGCAAAGAAAAAGCAAGAAUAAGACAGUAAGAUAUAUUAUGGCAUCAAAAAACACAACUUUCUCGUUAGAAUUCUUAAUUAAACACAAAAUUAUAAAAAAAUUACAUGCAAUCUAAGAAAAAACAAUUUUUUAGUCAUUAAAAUUAGGAAAUAGAGAAGAAAUGAAAGAAUUACCCAUUAUGUAAAUGCCAUCCUUUGAUCUUAGCUACUUCAGUCAAAGCAUUUCGCCACUUUUCGAUCUUGUCUUUAUCUUCCUUGUACCUCUCUUCAUGUUUGGCAAAGGCUGCUUCUACUUUUUCUUUUUGGUUUCUUAAAUCGGAUGGAUCCACAUGGUAGAAAAUUGGAAAUACUUUAUGUCCAUUAGCAUUUUUUUGUUGAACAAUCUCAGCAAGCUCCUCCAAGCACCAUCCUGAAAAGGCAUAGGUUUUUGAAAAAAUAAUUACCGAGCACCAUGAUUGUUGAAUUGCUUUGGAGAGUUCGGGGGCGAUCUCUUCGCCAGCCUCCAGCUUUGGAUCAUCCCUGAAGGUGACGAUCCCACUACUCUUUAGAGCAUCAUAAAGAUGAGCCGUGAAGUUCUUGCGAGUAUCUUCACCUCUAAAACUCAAGAAAACAUCAUAUUUCUUUCUUGAAAUGGGCGAAGAAGUCGAAGGUAACGACAACAUAAGGAUGUAUGAAAGGAGAAGGAUACCUCUAUCUGGUGUUCAAAAUGAGAAAAUAGAUCUCCCGAUCCUCGCAAAGAAAGUAGAAAAAGUAAGUAUAUGAGCAUAGGGGUGGAAAUUAGGGGGUCAAAGAUGAGUGAUGUAUGUUCUUUCCAAUAAGAAUCCAAGAAGGUGAGAGUUGGCAAAGUGGAGGCUGUUAAAAAUGUUGGACGGUUUGUAUUUUUCGUAUUUAAUAAUUAUAGAGUAGAUAAGAUUAUGACAAUAAUCAUUAGAAUAUAUCUUUAAUAAUUAUUCUUCGUUAUGGGCUGGUUUAAAAGUUGACCAAAUAACCAACUACUCGCAUGACACGUGGAAAACUUCUAUCUCGAAAGACAGAUCCAUUUCAGCUGCUUAAGAUUAUUUUUGGUUAGAGCCGACCCGAUUAAUGAACAAAUAAAUAAAAAUAAGAAAAAAAUUUAAAAUAUGAACACAACGUGGAAAAACUCUCUGAAAAUGAUAAAAAAUCACAGGUAAUGAUAAUUUUAUUAUAAUGGUAAAAGAAUGAAUGGUACAAAAGAUGAAGAUAAAAAUUAAACUCCGAAAACAAAGAACUCUCAAAACAUAAACACAAAAUUCUCUAAAAGUGUUAUGAAUUCUAAUCUCUAAUAGGUGUAUUUUCUAAUACUGUAAAAAAAUUCUAUUGAUAGGCUAAAUUCGUAUGUGAAAUAAUAAUAAAAUAAUCUAGACUAAUCAGAUUUUGAUUGAAACAAAUAAAUAGAGUUUAAUUGGAAGAUUAUUUAUCAAAUUUGACUGAAAUAUGAGUCAUACUCAACAAAUCUCCACAUUGACUGGUAUUUCCACAACGCCACCUUUGCUAAAGCCUACCAAGAGCCUAUCUUGACCUAUGUAGGGAAUUAAUUGAGUUGAAUUUGUGUUUAGAAGCUGGAAUGCUUCUAGACUUCAACUUGUGCAUUGUCAAAUCAAAACUAACCCGGAUCUGAUUUUCACAAACACAAUGCUCUAACUUUUUAAAAUCGACAUCUAAAAGAGAACCUCCGCUCCAAACGAGUUAACUUUGACUCCGUAAUAGAUGAGGGACGUCCGAUUUCACUAAUCACUGUAGAACCUUUAAAAAAAUAAAGACUGUCGGUCCUUUUACCUUUUAACAAACUGAGAGUCCCACAAGACACCUUAAUGUCGUUAGACUCGAUGUUGAUUCUGUAACUUUUCGAGUCUAAAUUACUUAAGCAGAUGAGAUUCUUUCGUAAAUCAGGUACAUACCUGACAUCUGAGAAUGCCCUAAUCGCCUCAUCGUGCAUCCUAAUUUUAUAGUAACAAUACCAAUUACCUUACCAGAUGAAUCAUUUCCCAUACGCUUAGCUCCACCUUCAACCGAACUGUAUGUGAAGAACCAUUCUCUAUUGGGACACAUGUGGAAAGAACAUCCCGAAUCUCGGAUCCACUUGGACAUAAGCUCAGAACUACCGCUUGUUAACACUAAUAAAAAAUCAUCACCGCUUUUGUCGGCCAAAUUAGCACAAGCUACACCUUCCUCAUUGCUCUCAAUAGCCUUUUUAAUUUGCAGUUUAUAACAAUCUGCUUUGACGUGACCUAACUUCUAACAAUAGCGAAAUCUUUUGUCUCGCUUCUUUCGCUUCUUUGAUGUUACCAAAAUAGAAGCUUGCCUAUUUUCCUUGCUAUCCAAACCAAACUCAUUGUUGAGUUUAUCUUUGCUUAACAAAUGACCCUUCACGUCCUCCAAUGAGAGAUUAUCUCUCCUAUAAGUCAUUGUUUCCCUGAAAGACUUGUAUAAAGGGAGUAAAGAGCACAAAGAUAAUAUAGUCUGCUCCUCAUCAUCAAUUUGAACCUCAACGUUAUUUAAAUCAUUUAAAAGAGUAAUGAAUUGACUGAUGUAAUCUCUAAGAAGCUCACAUUUGUUCAUGCGAAAUGUAAAUAGUUGUUGCUUUGGAGAGUUCGGGUGCGAUCUCUUCGCCAGCCUCCAGCUUUGGAUCAUCCCUGAAGGUGACGAUCCCACUACUCUAUAGAGCAUCAUAAAGAUGACCCGUGAAGUUCUUGCGAGUAUCUUCACCUCUAAAACUCAAGAAAACAUCAUAUUUCUUUCUAGAUAUGGGCGAAGAAGUCGAAGGUAACGACAGCAUGAGGAUGUAUGAAAGGAGAAGGAUAUCUGUAUCUGGUGUUCAAAAUCAGAAAAUAGAUCGCCCGAUCCUCGCAAAGUAUAUGGGCAUAGGGGCGGAAAUUAGGGGUCAAAGAUGAGUGAUGGAUGUUCUUUCCAAUCCAAGAAGGUGAGACUUGGAACAGUGGAGGAUAUUAAAAAUGUUGGACGGUUUGUAUUUUACGUAUUUAAUAAGAUUUUGACAAUAAUCAUUAGAAUAUGUCUUUAAUAAUUAUCCUUCGUUAUGGGCUGCUUAAAAAGUUUACCAAACAACCUACUACUUGCAUCGACACGUGGAAAACCUCUAUCUCGAAAGAUAAAUCCAUUUGGGCUGGUUAAGAUUAUUUUUGGUUGGAAAUCGAUUCGAUUAAGCAACGAAUAAGUAAAAAUAGUAAAAAAAUUGAGAAAUUAAACACAUAAAUUUAACAUGAAAAAACUCUCCGAAGAGGAUAAAAAAUCACAGGUAAAGAUAAUUUUAUUAUAAGGGAAAAAGAACGAAGAGUAUAAAAGAUGGAGAUAAAAAUUAAAUCCCGAAAAUAAAGAACCCUCAAAAUAUAAACCAAAAUUCUCCAAAAGUAUCAUGAAUUCUAAUCUCUAAUGGAUGUAUUUUCUAAUAUUGUAAAAAAAUCUAUUUAUUGACUAAAUUUGUAUGUCAAAUAAUAAUAAAAUAAUCUAAACUAAUUAGAAUUUGAUUAAAAUAAACCAAUAGAGUUUAAUUGGAAGAUUAUUUCAGUUGUUGUAAGGAUCAUGAGUUAUAGUGGUGAUGCUGGGUGAAUUCACAGACAAAAUAGCCUCAAAGGUUGCUAUUUGACAGAGAUUGAGAUGCACUGUAAAAACAAAUUCCACCAAUUACCCUCUUGGAUUUCAACACCUGACAAGGCUUUCACCCGAAGAAGUGCUCUAAGCUUGGUAAGAAAGAGAAUCUCUUCAACCGGAGCAAUUUUCGCAUUAAAAGUAAAAUCGUUACGCGCCUAUAUCGACCAUAACGCCGCUGCACAACAGAGGAGCCACCACUGCUUAAUAUCAUCUUUAAUUUUAUUUUUCAUAGAAGUUUGGCUUUAAAGCUAAUGUCAAAUGGAUUUAUGGAUGGUAUUUAAUUAUAAAUUAGACAAGGCUUGAGGGGUGGUUUUAAUUUAUAAAUUUAGGAAGCUUUAAAUGUAAUUUAUAUGGUAAUUAUUAUAAUGCAACGAUUAAAGAAAGAAAAGUUUGUGCAGAAUUUUCAAAAUUGGAUGGCGCUGGAAUUAUAAGUUGCAAUGAAUAAAAGAAAGAAAAAGUUGUGCAGAACUUUCACCAUAUUCACUAAAUUAUACUGCUUGCCCCUCCUUUUCUUUUCAAAUAUUUAUUUAUUUUUGGUGACGGGUUCAUGCUUUUAAUUUCUUUAUUACUAUGAUUACGAAUCAAACUUUAUUUUAAUAUUUGUGGUGUUUUAUAAGUUGUUACAGGGAGAUGUUUUAUUGGGAUCAAUUACAUUAAAGAUCACUAAAUUAUUAAUAAGUUUAUAUUUUGGUCAUUGAAUUUUAAAAAGUUAUUAAAUAAUCGCUAAAUUAUUUAAAUUUUUUUAUUUAAGUCACUGAAUUAUCCAAAAAAAUUUAUUAAAAUUAGUUAUUCGUUACAUUUUUUUAUUUUUCUUUUAAAUAUACAUAUAUUUAUUAGGAAAGGGUCAAAGGUUUUGAUUUGUUUAUUAUUAGGGAUAAAUGUCAAAUUUAUAUAUGAACUUUGGUUCAAAGUGCAAUUUGAUACAUGCAUGAAUUUUGACUUGGUGCAAUUAUCCACAUGAAAUUUAAAUUGUGGUUCAUAUAUAUACAUGAAAUUUAAUUUUGAUUCAAUUGAACGCAUUUAAAGAAAUGAAUACAUAUAAUUAUUUUCACAUUGAAUAAAAGUUCAUGUCUUCUGUUAUUAUCAUGGGUGAUACAUGGAUUUAAAGGAGCUCAUGUGUUCAUAGCGAUGAACUAUUAUUGAGUGUUGAUUUUCACUUACCGUAGUUAAAGUGAGUUGGGAGAGAGUUUACUUAAUUGUAUAAUAGUGAGGUUGCACCAAGUUAGGCUUGAAUAAUUUUAUUGUAUUGUGAAGUUUAUAGUGGAUUCAUCUGACAGAUGUAGGACGAGUUUCAAACUACACAAUCAUCUUGGUUGUGCUCUUUAUUUUGCUUGUUGCAUGUGUCAACUCAAAAAUUAAUUUUUGUUUUUCAAAAAAUUUAAACUUAUAAUUAUAUCAAUAGUCUCCAUUAAAAUUUAUCUAUCAAAUUAAAUAAACAACUCAAAAAUUAACUUGUCUGCACAUAAUUAUAGAUAUUAAACUUUUUUAACUUUUUGAAUUUUUAAUGAUUUUUGUCUCCAUUAUUGUAAAAAUUUAAAUUAAUUCCCAAAUAUGUAAUGCUUGUGAUUAUUUUUGGUUGGGGAUCGACCCGAUUAAGCAACGAACAAGUAAAAAUAACGGAAGAAUUGAGAAAUUGAACACACAAAUUUAACAUGAAAAAACUCUCUGAAGAAGAUAAAAAAAUUACAGGCAAAGAUAAUUUUAUUAUAAUGGCCAAAGAAAGAAAAUUACAAAAGAUAGAGAUAAAAAAAACAAAUAAUUUUACUAUAUUUAGAGUAUAAAUACACAAGGUUGAAAUGAAGCAAUGGUGGAGUAGGAAGGCAGUGUUAUUAAAUACUAAAUAAUUGUUUUGUGAAAAGGGGAUAUUUUUACUUUUUUAUCCAUUACAUAUCACUGUUCCUGUCUUCCUUUCCAUGUUUUUGUAAAAACCAGAUUCCCACCAUUCUUUUCUCUUUGGUAAAUGUUGAUUGCUGAGAGGACAAUCUUUUUGCACAUUCCCGAACUCUAUGGACAUGAUUUUUUGCAUCUCAAUCAAAGGUUUGAAAAUCCCAUUCAAAGCUGCAAAGUUGAAAUUAUGUUUAGGAUUUUAUUUUACUUCCGAAUGGUAUCCAAGUAUUGAACUUUCAUGUUCGUAUUAUGGACACGAAUAGUCCAUCACAUCAAUCAAUGUUGCGGAUAUAAAGAAUACUUAAUUAUGGUAAAUAAGAAUCUAUUUGUACAAUUAAACAAAAACAGGGAAAAAGAGAAACUUAAUUAAAUAGGAGAAAAUAUCUUGAAAAGGCUAGUCAAGUAGUUUACCACAAUUACUGCUUCUUCUCUGAACGACCCAUUAUAAAAUUGAAUUUUGUUUUCAUCUGUUUAGGUCCUCUGUUUCCUCGUGGAUAUUACGUUUUCGUUUUACAGGGGAAGUGCUACCUGCGGAUCCAUCCUUGUCAGUAGAGUGAUGAUGGAUGUGCUCAAAGUUUAGAGAAGAUUGAGUGGUAUGUCACUGCAAAUCUUUCUCAUAGAUUAUUCUAACACCACACUUCUUCACCUUGAAAGAAGGAAAACCAUCUGCGCCUUUGAAAGACAUCUCAAGCUUAUCGCAUUCAUGAUCAGAGCAAUCCAUUGUCCAUGCAUAUUGUAAUUCACGAGAGAAAUAACGAAGAAAAAGGUGGUUGUUCGUUAUGGGCUGCUCCUAUUCCCCACCUAAACCAAUGAAACUGGGAUCGACCGUUCGAGGAUGUUUAACUUGAAAAACAGAUCCAUUAUGACUAGAUUAUCGGGAAUUUCUAUAAUGGAUAUAAGUUAUACUACCGAUAACCCUUUCAUCGGAAAAUGCAGCAGAAAGCAACUCCAAUCCAAUUUGUUUGGUAUAUGUGAAACGUUUUGUGAGUUUGUUUUUUAAAAUAAAGGUAAAUUUUAACAAUUAUUUUUUAAUCAUUAUUAGUAAUAUAAUUGAAAUCACAUGCAAUAUAUGUGACAUUAGAAAGUAGUGAUUAUGAAAAAUUGGAAUGUGCAAUACUCUUGAUGUGUUUAGAAAAGGUUAUAGUUAUAGAAAAAAUUAUAUAACCAUCAUGGCAUUGGUUGAAUUUGUUAACUUAAAUGUUUUAGAAAUCCAAUGUUUUAGAUUUUAAUCUCAAUUUUUUAUGAAAAGAUAAAAAAAAAAUUACUAUAAUAAUAUUUGUUACUUUUAAAAGUAGUAAGUUUUUUAGUCAUUUUUUAAAUAAGUUAAUAUCUAAUUGACUUAUGACUGAUAAAUAAAGUAUAAUAUAAAGUAUGUUUGGUUAAAAAUAAAAUUAGAUGAAAAUGAUAUAUAUUUAAAUAUAGAAUAAAUUAAAUUUUAUAUAAUGUAAGUUAUUAAUAUAGUAAAAUUGGAAAUAAUUUAAAGAUAAUUAUUAUAUUAGAAAAUAUAGGCAUUAAAGUUGAGGCAUUUUAAGAAAUUUACCAAAUUUUAUAUAAUGUAAAUCAUAAAAACUGUUCCUUAAUACCACCGCGCACGAUUAGCGCUGUUGGAACCGUUAGUCCCCUGCUUUAACUUUACCUCCAUAACAUGCCGAGACCAUGAAAGGCACUCAUUCCUUAAUACCAUAUAUAGUUCCUGCAACGCCACUACUGAUAACAAAGGCAUUUCUAUUUUACCAAAGUUUCUAGCAGCCAUAGCAAAAAGAGUACCCCAAUCAGUUCCUUCCACAGAAAAAGUUCUUUGAGCUCCAGAGAAACUCAAUGCUCUCCCAUUUCCUAGCGCCCAAUGGACACCAUUUACUACAUCUUCCAAAAUAUUGGACAAAACCCUCCAGAGAAGCGAGCAAUUAGAAGGAUGUAUUGAAGCCGACCAUCUACUUAUUACCCCAUACUCGUUUCCAAGGACUUCAACCCAUAGCACAUUCACGUUAGAAAUGACAUUAAAAGCUACCUUAAUCAUGCAAGCUUUGUUGUGGUCUCGUACUUUCCUCAACCUAACUCUACCAUUCUUCAAAGGCAUACAAAAUUUAUACCAGCUCACUAAUGUUGGUUUCCGAUUGCCAAAUGUUGACCCCAAAUGAAUCCUCGAACCAGCUUCUCAUUUUUGUUGCAAUUGCUUAAGUGAUCACCUAAAACAAGACCGUACAAAGAUUGAUCGGUCUAAAAUGAGAUAGUAAUUCCUGUCUUGCCACCUUGGGAACCAACACAAUAAGAGUUUGAUUCAAAAUAGAAGCAAACAUUUGAUAAUUUCAUUCUAUUGGUUUUUAAUUUGAAUAGUUCAUUCAUUUAAAACAAUCAUAAUUGUGCAUCAAUUAUGAAAGAAGUCACAAGAAAAUUGUGCAGUAAUCAAAUGCAAUUUUCUUCACUUUUAUCACGUCUUUGAGUUGGAGGAAAAGAUGGUCCAAUUGAGAUAUACUUGAAAAGUUUAAUGAUGAAUGAAAUGAAUUCACUAUUAUGUUAUGUCAACACUGUUAAAUUAAUAGUUCAAUCAGCAUUUUGCGUUAAAAAAUUCAUAAUUUGACUCAAUAAAAUGUUGAGAGCCAAAUUACUAAGAGGAAAUGAAUACGGGUCAACUUGUCAAAUUUUAUAAACACUAAGAACUUUUUUUUUUAUCAUUAUGCCUAAUUUUAAAGGUUUUAUUUACAUUACAAUUAAAUUACUAUUUGAAUUUACAUUUUAAAAACAACGUUCAUUUCAAUAUGUAUAAUUUACAUUACAUUACAUGAUAAAAACAACUAAUUAUAUUUUGCUAAUUCCCUAAAUUCGUCCAACUUGAUGACUUUUGUUGGUCCCUCACUUGCAUGAUCCUUUGAGCAGACUUUCAUGCUUCUAUUGGUCUAGGGGACAAACAUAAAACACCAUCAUUAUUUUUGUUGCAUUGAGAUCAUCUAUAUUAAUUUACCUCAAAUUGAGAAAUUUUUGUUGAUAUCACAUAAAUACAAUCAUUGAAAAUCUUACUCGUAUCGACCAAAAAUCAUAUUUUUAUUUCUCUAAACAAUAAGUACAUUAGACAAUAACAAAAAUGAAAUUAUUGAAUUUUGAAAAAAAAAUAUUGGAUAUGAAAAUGUCUCUCACAUGGGAAAGAUUUUCCAAAUAAUUAAAAGAGCAUACUUUUUUUUUUAAUAUUUGAACAAGUGUUAAAAAUAAACGUCUAAACUUAAAUACUUUGUAAAAAAUAUAAAUUGAAGAGUUAGAAUAAUAUUGUUUAUACUUCAAGCCAUGAAAUUUAAAUGGUACUUUUGUUAGAAGGAAUUAAACCUACUAUUAAGGACUUAUAUUUAAUCUUCCAAAUAUAUAAGAAAACAAUUUUGACUGAUUAAAUUGAACACAUAAAUUGAUUUCAAAUAAAAAUAAAAUUGUUUUUAACUCAGCCGAAAUUAUGAUCUAAUCCUCAUUAAAGGAUUUUCACCUUAUUAUUACAACCUAAAAAUAAAAUAUAGAUGUAAGUGAAUUUAUAUAAUGAGAAUAAAGUUUUAAUAAAUAAAAAAAUAAACCAAUCAAAAUGUACACAUUUCAAUUAUGUAAAAAGGAAUGAAUUAAGUGAAUAAAAUUUUAAAUGGUAUUUUUUAAAAAAAAAUUAGUAUAUAAUAAAAUGGUCAUAUCUCAUAUGCAAAUAAGUCUAGAAUGAUUACUUUAAAUGAAAUAAAAGAUGUAAACAAGGUAGAUGAGUAAAAAAAAAUUUAGUAGGACAAGGUUGGUUAAGUAAUUUACCAUAGUUAAUGCGUCUUCCCGGAUUGGCCAAUUAUAAAAAAUUGAAAAAAAGUUGCAUCCGUUUUGGUUGCGGCCCUUCUUCCUCCUCUUCAUCGUAGAUAUUAGGUUUCUAUUUUAUGUGAGAAGUGCUACCUACUGAUCCAUGGUUGUGAGCAGAGUGUUGGUGGAUGUGUUCAAAAUUUGGAGAAGAUUGAGUGGUACGGCACUGCAACUCUUUUAUCUCUUCCAAAUCUUUCUCAUACACUAUUCUAAAGCCACACUUCUUCACUUUACCACUGCAUCCCAUGAAAGACACCUCAAGCUCAUCGCAUUUUUUAUCUAAGCAAUGUGUUGUCCAUAAAUUAGUGGUUUCACAGUCGUCAUAUUUAUCCUCCAAGGAAGGAUAUAUUGUAUCACGCGACCAAUAACGAAGUAAAAGGUGAUCUUUCAUUAUUGGUUCACACAGCCCCCAGCCUCUCCAAUCAAUCCGUCGAUAAUUUCUACCUCGAAAGAUAGAUCCAUUACAGCUGGCUUGUUCAGAAUUUCUACAAUAGAUAUAUGCUCCACAACCGAUAUAUUCGUCAUCCCUUGAAGCAUCAUUACUGACAAAAACGCAGCAGCAAGCAACUCCAAUCCAUUGACUAUCUUUCUGAAGGUUGAUAGGCAGGGGUAUGUUAAUUGAAAUGGCACUUGUUUGUUGGCUAAACCAUUCUGGGAUUUCACUUCCGGGCAUAAUAAUAUCAAACUUUUUUCUUGAAUUUGCGAAUGCCUGCAAAAUAAAACACAAGUCGUUUGGUAACUAAAACCAUAAAUUCUCAAGUACGUAUGAGAUUUUGUAAGGGAGAAAAUGGAGAUUAAUCGACCUUAAGCUGUUUUCUCAGCACUGUUAAUGCAUUCAUAUUCUCGGCCAAUUUGAAGCAGUUAAUGGCUCUAAAGGCACCCGAACCUAUUAAAUUGCAUACUUCACGUAGUGUUAAUGCAUUGAUAUUCUCAGCCAAUUUGAAGCAGUUAAUGGCUCUAACGGCAGCCGAAUCCACUAAAUUGCAUACUUCAAGUGAAGAACAACCAUCUAGACACACGUGUCCUAACCUUGUCGGUAUCUCAGGCAACGAUUUAAGCAUCUUGCAAUAUGACAGUCCAAGAAACUGAAGCUCGGAUAUUCGAGUAAGAGAUGAAGGUAUGCUGAUGAAAUUGUUACCACUAAGACCAAGAUGUACCAAAGAGGAUAGACCAGAAAUAUAACUAUGAAUAUCUGAUUCACCAAGAGUGCACAUGUUGCAAUUUGACAAGUCAAGAAACCCAAGCUUCGAGAGUCCAGUAAGAGAUGCAGGUAUGCUGAUGAAAUUGUUACCACGAAGAUCAAGAUGUUUCAAAGAGGACAGGCCAGAAAUAUCACGUGGAAUAUCUCCUUCACAAAGAUUGCAGUCCCUUAGACUUAGCCGUCUUAAUGAACUCAAACCUGACAACAAAGGCAACAUUGGAGCCAUGGGAGUUGUCCUUCUUUCUUGGAUUACCUUGAAAAGAGAAGACAAAUUUGGUCGCAACUUUGCUUGCUGCAAAUUCUCCGAGAAAUUUUCAACUCUAUAACAACCAGAAAGCUCUAGAGUUUUUAUACGUUCCAUUUUCCCAUCAAUCUCCGGAAACCUUACAAGACUUGAGCAACCCGAAAAAAUUAAAGUUUCAAGAGAUUCCAUUCUAAUUUUUCCCGGAAGACUCCUAAGACUUUUGCAAUCUCUUAAAUUCAAAUGUUUAAGGCUCUUAAGCACUCCUAUUGAUGGAUGAACAUCCACUAAUUUGGUACAGCCUUCCAAAAUUAAAACUUCAAGAUUUGAUGCUGUUGUGAAGUCUGGUGUCUUGAUCAGGUCUUGGGAACCUUUGAGGUUCAUUAUUUUCAACUUAUACAAGGGCUGUUGAAGACAAUAAUAAAUUAGAGAGAAAAGAGAAAGCAUAAUAAUUCUCAUUUUUGUUUUUGUAUUUUUACCUUAAUCAGAGUUUAAUAAUUUAUAUUAAAAUAAGCUAAAACACAAGGAUAAGAUGAGUUAAUUCUUACUCUAUUUCCCUUCCAUAGUUGUUUAAUGUGACUAUAUGGUAAAAGAAGUGCAACAAGGUUGUCUGGUUGGAAGCUUGAAGGCAAGCAUCUUAAAGGAUAUCCUGUCCAUUCUAAAAGCCGUAGUUUAUUAGAAAGAUAUUUGAGAUCAUCACAAUUUGAUAGGCAAAGCACUUUGAGCAUUCUCAAGUUUUUCAUCUUUGAGAAGGUAUCGACACUCAAAUUGAGCAUCUUGCUCGAUUCCCUAAUAACCAUGAGUAAAACAAAAAUGAGAUUCAAAAUAUACAAAGACAUUCAAUAUCUAAAAGUUAUGUUGCACCGAUAGAUGAUAAAUUUCAUUUGUAAUUAAAAAAAAUCAUUCCAAAUUGGAAUGAGAAGGAAGACAAUGGGAGAGAUUUUUUAUUUUCAAAUGUUUUAUUUUCUUUCCUUCUCACUUUUCGCUAUACCAAGCAAUAGUGAGGAGGAAAAUAUAUUUUCCAUUCAAUUUUCCAUCUUUCCAGUCAAGUUUUCCAUCCCCUCAGUUUUCCACCCUUCUGAUUUUAUUUCCACUCUGCCAAGCAAAGCCAAAAGGUUUUUUGUUGUUGUUUUUUAUUGGAAUUUUUACAACAAAUAAUAACAAUAUUAAUAGUACAUAUUGAUAAAUUUAUAUGUAUGUUUUCUUACCUUUUAUUGUCGAUGAUCAUACCUAUGUUUUCUUACCUUUUAUUGUCGAUGAUCAUACCUUCAAUCACUUCGGUAGCCUAAAAGUAAUCAAAAAUAGACAAUAAGAAUACAAAAUAAAUUAUCUAAAUUGUACAAUAAAACUUUUGAAAUUUACAUAUAUGUUCAACAUUAUCACAAUCUUUUGGUCGAAAUAUAGGAAAUAAAAUAUUUUCAAAUGAGAGUAAUUCAAUAAAAUUAAACACUUAUAUUACAAAUCAUUAUUAAUAUUUAUAAUCAACAAAUGGAAAUUAUUUUAAAGCCACUCAAUGUUAGUUAAGGAUCGAUAUCUAAACCAAUUAGACUAAGCUUUGGAUUUACAUCAUAUAUUGAUAAAAAGAAAAUUUUGUAUAUAUUUUUGUUGAAUAAUUUACCGUGUUUUUUGUUAGGACAUGAUGAACAUCCCUUUCUUUCCACAAUCUACAACGCUUUCCAGGUUCAUCAACACAUUUUUCUUCAACAAUUUUUCUUCCCAUUUCUUGCAACAAGGCAUGCAUCCGCAAAUGUUGGUUGUCAUCACUAACUUUUAUGAGAGAUUUCUUAAUGAGAAUAUCGAUUCCAAUGUCUGGAAAAAACUCACAACCAUCCAAUACUUUCAUUACCAAAUCUCUCUUCUCACCAUUGAAAAAGCAUGCUAUAUCUAGAAAUAUAUUCUUCUCCUUUUCUUCCAAUCCAUCAAAGCUAAUUCUUAGCGCGUUAAGAAUUUCUUUGUUAGAAUCUUCUUUAAGUCUUUCGAUUGCACUUCUCCAUUGAACUAUAUCUCUAUCGCACAAAAAUGAACCCAAAACUUCAAGAGCUAAGGGGAGACCACCAGCAUAACAUACAACAUGUCCAGAAAGCUCAAUGAAAUCAUCUUUUGGCACUGUAUCACUAUGGAAAGCUUUCAAAUUGAAAAGUCUAAGUGCAUCGUCUGGAUUCAAUGUUUUAGGCUUAUACACACCAUCGACUCCGUAAGAUCGGAGUAAAUGCUCAUCUCUUGUUGUUACAAUGAUUCGACUCCCUAAACCAAACCAAUCACGCCUUCCAACCAAGCAUUUCAAGUGUUGUACAUUAUCAACAUCAUCAAGAACAACAAGAACCUUUUCACUAGACAACCUGCGGCUAAUUAUGGCAUUCCCUUCAUGAACAUUGAAAAAAUUGAAGCAUUCAUUUGGCAAGAUUUGAGAAAGAAGUUGUUUCUGUAAAGGAACAAGUCCGCAUUUGUUUGAAACUUCUCGAAUAUCAGCAAGAAAGCUUUUGCCUUCAAAAUGAGGUGACAUUUGAGUGUAAACAACCCUCGCAAGAGUUGUUUUACCGAUGCCACCCAUUCCGCAAAUUCCUAUAAUGCGGACAUCAUCUUCCCCUAUGUUUAUUUUCGAAUACAACUCCUUCAAAGGUAAGCUAAUUCCAACCAAUUCAUCAUGAACAAUUGGAUAUGUCUGACAUAAUUUGGCUGAUAUCUUCCUAACAAUGUCUCCGAUAAACUCUGGUUCAUUCCUACAAUGAAAUAAAAAAUUGUUUCUAUCUCUCAGAGGCUCUUUUUCAUUUUUAGUUCAAUGAAUCAUGAAAUAUAAUAUAGUUGGAAGCAAAGAAAAAGCAAGAAUAAGACAGUAAGAUAUAUUAUGGCAUCAAAAUACACAACUUUCUCGUUAGAAUUCUUAAUUAAACACAAAAUUAUAAAAAAUUACAUGCAAUCUAGAAAAAAACAAUUUUUUAGUCAUUAAAAUUAGGAAAUAGAGAAGAAAUGAAAGAAUCAUUCCUUAUGUAAAUGCCAUCCUUAAUCUUAAAACUUCAGUCAAAGCAUUUCGCCACUUUUGGAUCUUGUCUUUAUCUUCCUUGUACCUCUCUUCAUGUUUGGCAAAGGCUUCUUCUACUUUUUCUUUUUGGUUUCUUAAAUCGGAUGGAUCCACAUGGUAGAAAAUUGGAAAUACUUUAUGUCCGUUAGCAUUUUUUUGUUGAACAAUCUCAGCAAGCUCCUCCAAGCACCAUCCUGAAAGGGCAUAGGUUUUUGAGAAAAUAAUUACCGAGCACCAUGAUUGCUGAAUUGCUUUGGAGAGUUCGGGUGCGAUCUCUUCGCCAGCCUCCAGCUUUGGAUCGUCCCUGAAGGUGACGAUCCCACUACUCUUUAGAGCAUCAUACAGAUGACCCGUGAAGUUCUUGCGAGUAUCUUCACCUCUAAAACUCAAGAAAACAUCAUAUUUCUUUCUAGAAAUGGGCGAAGAAGUCGAAGGUAACGACAGCAUGAGGAUGUAUGAAAGGAGAAGAAUAUCUCUAUCUGGUGUUCAAAAUCAGAAAAUAGAUCGCCCGAUACUCCCAAAGAAACUAGAAAAAGUAAGUAUAUGAGCAUAGGGGCGGAAAUUAGGGGUCAAAGAUGAGUGAUGGAUGUUCUUUCCAAGAAGAAUCCAAGAAGGUGAGAGUUGGCACAGUGGAGGCUAUUAAAAAUGUUGGACGGUUUGUAUUUUACAUAUUUAAUAAUUAUAGAGUAGAUAAGAUUAUGACAAUAAUAAUUAGAAUAUAUCUUUAAUAAUUAUCCUUCGUUAUGGGCUGGUUAAAAAGUUUACCAAACAACCAACUACUCGCAUCGACACGUGGAAAACUUCUAUCUCGAAAGACAGAUCCAUUUCGACUGGCUUGUCCAGAAUUUCUGCAAUGGAAGCAUCAUCACUGACAAAAAUGAGACAGGAAGCAACUCCAACCCGUUGACCAUUCUGAAUAUUGAGUGGUAGAGGUAUCUAAUUGUAGAGCCACCACUCUGUUGGCUAAACCAUUCUGGGAUUUCACAUCCAGGUACAAUAACAUCAAACAUUUGUCUUGAAUUUGCAAAUGCCUGCAAAAUGAAACUUCUGUCGCUUGGUAAAUAAAACCAGAAAUUCCCAAGUAUGAGAGGGAAAGAAAGAGAGAUUAAUUAAACUUGAGAUGUAUUUUCAACAAUGUUAAUGCAUUGAUGUUCUCAGCCAAUCUGUAGCAGUUAAUGGCUUUAAUGGAAGCUAAAUCCAAUAAAUUUCAUACUUUUGAUGGACUUGCAACUACUUCAAGUGAAGCACAACCAUCUAUGCACACUCUUGCUAUACUUGUUAGAAGCUCAGGCAACGAUUUAAGCUCAUUGCAAUUUCAUAACAUAAGCUCUUUGAGUAAGAGACGCAAGUAUGCUGAUGAAAUUGUUACCACUAAGAUCAAGAUCUGUCAAGGAGGAUAGGCAAGAAAUAUCACUAGGAAUAUCUCCUUCACGAAGAUUGCAGUCCCUUAGCUUUAACUCUCUUAAUGAACUCAAACUUGACAACGAAGGCAACGUUAGAGGCAUAAAACUUGUCCUUCCUUUUUGGGUUUCCUUGAAAGGAGAAGGAAGAUUUUGUUGUAACUUUGAUGGUCCCUUGCAUCCAUUGAAAGACAGAGCUUUAAGAUUUUUCAAUUGAAAAAUUAAGGAUGGUGGUUCUCUUAUGCUUGUUUUAGCUCUUCCAAAUAUUCUACUUGCUUCAUAUUCUCUGGCAAAUUUUUAACUUCACAACAACUAGAAAGAUUAAGAGUUUUUAGACCACCUAUUUUCCCUUCGAUCUCCAAAAACCUUACAAGAUUUGAGCAACCCAAAAGAAUUAUUGUUUCAAGAGAUUCCAUUCCAAUUUUGGUUGGAAGACUCCUAAGACUUUUGCACCCUCUUAAAUUCAAAAGUUUAAGCCUCCUAAGUACUCCCAAGGAUGGAUGACUUCUACAAUUCUUGUACAACCUUCCAAAACCAGAAUUUCAAGAUUUGGGGCCAUUGUGAAGUCCGGUGUCUUGAUUAGGUUUAGGGACACUUCAAGGUUGAUCACUUUCAACUUAUACAUAGGCUGUGAAAAACAAUAAUAAAUUAGAGAGAAAAGAGAAAAAAUAAGAAAACUUAUUUUUGUUGUUUAUUUUUUAUCUUAAGCUAAAAAAUAAGGAUUGGGUGAAUUAAUUUUACUCUAUUUCCCUUCCAUAAUUGUUCAAUGCUAUUGAAUGGUAAGAGAAGUGCAACAAGGUGGUCCGGUUGGAAGCUUAAAGACAAGGAUCCUAAAGGAUAUCCUAUGUAAUCUAAAAAUAGUUUUUCCAUUGAAAGAUAUUUGAAAUCAUCACAAUUUGAAGGCCAAAAGACUUUGAGUAAUUUCAACUCUUUUAUUUUCGAGAAGACAUCAACAUUCAAAUUAAGUGUCUUGAUCGAUUCUCUAAUAACCAUGGACAAAACAAAAAACUUAGCUUCAAAAUAUACAAAAGCAUUAAUACCUAAAAACCAUGUUGCCACGAUACUUUUUUUAAGUAUCCUAUAAGGUAUAUCUAAAUAUGGGCAUUAAGAUAUGACUCUUCAAGAAUUCUUUAAUACAUGAAAAAAUCUUUUGAAAAAUGAACAUACCCAUUUUGAACAGUUAACACGCACAAUUGACUCCGAAUUACCUAAACCUAAAAGUAUUAGAACUAAAAUUUUCAAUUAUAUUUGGUGCACUCGUAAUAUAUAAUUUUAUGCAUUAUUAGUGAACUAAAUGGAGACGCAUAAUUAAGGAUGAAAUUACUUGAAUUUAUUUUAAUAAAAUUUAAUGACAUGUUAUAAUCUAGUUUAUAUAUUGUCAAUUUAUCAAAUAUAAACUUUUAUUUUUCAUAAAAAAGAAACAUCUCUCUCUAUUUUUAUUUUUUUUAGAAAGAAUAAUGUGUUACUUGAUAAAUUCAUAAAUUAGCAUUCAAAUAUUAAGUACUAAGUGUUUUUUUUUUCACUAUAUAUUUUUUACAAAAUAAAACUAAAUAAUAACAAUAUUAAUAAUACACAUCGAUAAAAGUAGAUAUAUACUUUCCUACCUUUUAUUGUCGAUGAUCAUGCCUUCAAUCAAUAAAUAGGUUUUUUCUCAAAGCUAGUGAAUAUCACUUUUUAGGGAUUGUUAUAUAGAUGAAUUAGAAUAAACUUUAAGUUUAUAUUAUAUAUUGGUUAGAGAUCCAAUAAAAAAAAUUAGUAUGUAAAUUUUGUGGAAUGGCUUACACUGUUUUUUGUUAAGACACAAUGGAUGUCCCUUUUUUCUCACAAUUUGUAAUGUUUUUUCGGUUCAUCAACAUAUUUUUCUCUAUUAAUUUUUCUUCCCAUUUCUUGCAACAAGUCAUGCAUCCAAAAAUAUAUGUGUGUUCAUUGAAGAUCUUUCUCUUCUCCAUUGAAGAAACAUGCUAUAUCUAGAAAUAUAUUAUUCUCCCUAAUUUCUUCCAAUCUAUCAAAGCUUAUUUGACGUCUAUUGAGAAAUUCCUUAUUAGAAUCUAGUUUAAGUCUUUCGAUUCCACUUCUCCACUGAAAAGCAUCUCUACUGCACAAAAAAGAACCCAAAACUUCAAGAGUUAAGGGGAGACCACUAGCAUAAUGUACAGCAAGUUUAGAAAGGACAAAAUUGUAACAAUUUGGACUAAUUUGAAUAAAAUUAAGAACAUAGAUAGUGAUGCUCCAAAGGGAAUAUUAAGAUAAAGUGAGACCGAAAGGUAAUCUUGUCGUGCACCUGUUCAUUAGUCCCGGAUUAACUGGUAAGAUUGGAAGAUAAACUAGACCUAAUCUGUCUAAGUUGGCAAAAUUAAGACCGGAAGAUAAAAUAGAGCCACUUGGUAAUUAUGUGAUUUAUGUCAUUGGUCCAAGAUUUGGUGAACCACAUCGAAGUCAACCAACCCCUAUUAGUCAUUUGCUAGAUUGUCCUUCUAGUUUACAUUUCUUGUAAUUUAGUCCCUAGAGUAGAAUAUUUAAUUUUCUUGUAAACUUAUCUUUUAUGAAUCACCGUAAUAUAAAAUUGUAUCAAUAGCCACUUAGCCUCUAUUGUGUACGUUAGUUAUUGCUCAAUCGCCUAUUCCUUUGGGUUGAAUCCUUAGAAUACUUUUGCAUUUCAUUAUAACACUAUAAAUAUAAAUAUUAAAACUGACCUGUACGCUUGCAGUAAAAUUGGGCUUUUAAAAUAGUUAUAUAAAUUUAGUGUUUUAAGCACACGCAUGCAACCGGUCAGUAGUCAAUCUCACCCCAUUAGCCACCAUGACAUGAAGUUGACUAAAGUGCUCCACUAAUAAAUCCAACCUCUUAACCAGCUUAGAAUCUAGAAAAUUGUGUGUACUUCUUGAGUCAACCAGGAUAAUGACAUUGGAGUGACCAAUACUUGCUAAAAACUGCAUAGAAUUAUGUCUCUAUAAGCCUUGAAGGGCGUGUAAGGAUAAAACGGGGGCAGUGUGUUUCGUUUCCUAUUCUAACACUUUCAGUUGUUCAGGACAUUCUUGGAAUUCUUCAAACAUUGGACUCUUGCUUCCACCCUCAUGAUCUGAAUAAAGUUCCAGAACCAGCUGAUAAAGUUGAGACUUGGUGCACUUAUGACCUGGGGUGUAUUUGGAUGCACACCGAAAGCAAAGUCCCUUCUUUCUUCUCUCUUCUAUUUCAGCUUGAGAAAAGGGUUUGGUUUGGAAUUUUUACCCCGAGUUACUAUUUGGAGGUCCAUUUAGCCUUAUCGAGUUACAGUGGUGAUAUUGCACCUUGGGACCAAGAAUUAGGGGGCUAAGGUGACUUAUUCCCCCACUUACAUUCAAACUCUUCUUUGUGAACUUAGCCACAAUGCGUUCAACCUAUCGAGCUAUUUGAUAGUCUUCCACCAGUGUUUGAGCCUUGAACAACCGUAGAUACUACCCCAUCUCAGGUUUAAGAUUGCAAGUGAAAACACUAAGGACGUAAUCCUCAGUUAGAUGUAACUGAUUAAGCAAACUUACAAAACGGUCAUGGAAUUGGUCCAUUGACCCUUUCUCCUUGAGUGAAAUAUGUCCUAACAUGGGGUCUAAGAAGGAGUUAGAUCUAAAACGAUCCCUCAGCCCUCGAACAUAUAUCUCCCAAGUCAGGUGAUGUAAUCCCCCUGUCAUUGCACAAAAGUGAUGCCAAUCUAGGCCUUUACCUUCUAAGUGCAACAUUACCAUUCUAACAUUGGUCUACUUUAUUAUAUUUGCAGCUUCAAAGAAUCGUUCUAACUUGGACCACCAAUCUUGAUAAUCUGUCCCAUCAAAUCAUGGGCAUUCUAGCCGAAGAGUUUUACUGACAAAGUCCACAAGACCAACUUGAGAAAAAGUAUUCAUGUUUUCCAAAUCCGACACAGGUGAUAAUGUAAGUGGCUUUUUGGAAGGGAACUUAGGAGGAGAGCCUCCCAUAAUGCCCUUGUCUUGAACUCUUCCAGUUACACUGGUAGAAGCAUUUUGACCAAAAUAGUGUUCAAAAAGAGAGUGGAGUUCAGUUUGAAUCUCACCUUUGAUACUUUCAUGAAAAUCCUUUAACCGAGAUUCGAUCUUAGCAUCAAUCUAGCUAACCUCUAAUUGCAUCUGAGAGAGCUCGUGUUGCAGCACUCCCAUCUUUUUUUGUAACCUGGUGGUGACUCUAUCAUUUGCCAUAAAAAUCGGCUUCAGCUCUAAUACCUUUGUCAUGGGAAAAUCUUUAGGGCAGAAGAGAAAUUGGAUAGCAAGAGGAAGAAAAAGGAGUUGAGAGAAAUCAGAGAGAUAGAAGGAAAGAGAGAACUGUAUUCAUUCCAAUAGCUGCCUUCCCCUACCUUGAUUGGUGUUUUUAGGGCGGGUAACGACCCUCUCAAACAAAUUGACGGUUGUUAAUACAACUAUAGCAAAACGCACCAUUUUUUAGUAAAUGACAAAACGUCUCUAAACGCAGUCGUUUGGACCAUAUUUAACCCUCCCCCCUUAAACCUGUUGUUUCAUUAUAACAUUAAACUAAACGUUGUGUUUUACAAUAAUUAAGGCUAAAACAGAAGUAAACAGAAAUUAACAGAAAUUUAAACAUAAUUGUUGUCUUUAGUUCUAUUCCGUGACAUGCAAUCCUUUCACCGCCCUCUAGCCUCGGCUCAUCCCUAAAAGUGAUGAUUCCAUUCCUUUUUAGAGUAUCAUAAAGAUGAUCGGUGAAGUUCUUGUGAGCAUCUUCACCUUUAAAACUCAAGAAAACAUCAUAUCUAUAUCUAGAAAUGGAUGAGAAAGACAUGAGGAUGCCUGAGAAGAAAAAUAUAUCUCAAUCGAGCGUUCAAAAUCAAAACAAUAUUUCCCAUCAUUUAUUUUUCCAAAUGAAUAUGGAUAAUAAUAAUAUUAAAGCUUUUAAUCAAUUGUACAUAUCCUUUAUUAAAUUCCCAAUUUUUUUUGUAUUAAAUAUUACAAAAUCAUUCAGAUUCUCUUAAUAUGCUAAUCAAUUCUUGUUGGCUCAAAAAAAAAAAACAUUUUUGUACACGUAGACAAAUAUAUUGAAAAUUUGUCGUGAAUAUCAUGCCACCACCUCAUGAUAUUCAAUAAAUUAUUAAAUUUUGGACAGAAAAUUCACCAACCAAAGAUGAAAAAGUAAUUUUAAUUUGUAAUUCAAAUUAUUAAAUUUUAUCAGUAUUUUCUACAUUUUUCUAAUGUUUAAAGUAUUUAGGGUAUCAAAUGUGUAAUAUAUCCAUCAAAAUGUUCUGUUUUUUAAUUAUAUAAACCCCCAAAAAAAUUAAACAAAAACCAGAUAAUCCAUUCCUACAAGAUAAUCCACUCCAUUGAUUUGUGAUUUUGAGAUUUUAAUUUAAAAGAUAAAUAUCGAAAUAUAUAAUUUUUUAAAAAAUUAAAAACUGAGACCAGUAUAAAAUUAUUUAUCUCAGAUGGAAUGCUCGCUUAGGUGAUAUUUUAUUAGGAUCAGAUAAACGAUCUCAUCGAGAGAGAGAGUCAUCACAGGAUGGAUGAUUGGGAUUGGUAGACGAUGAGACUCCAUGAGUGUGGAGCCUUCCUUGAGUGGACAACGGCAGCGUUGGGUUCACACCUGCGCUUGGAGAGGACUUUGAAGCCUUCACAAAUCAUGUAAAGAAAUGAAAGAAAAUGAAGAAAAUGUUAAAAGCAUGUGCCAAACGUACCAUGAUUAGGGAAAUGAGAUACAACAUUACAAAGCAUGAGUCCAACUAAUAAAAUUAAAGCUGACUUGAAUUUUAUAGGAUGGGAUAAUUUCAUUUUCGGUCCUCUAUAAUCUGCACUAUAUGCGUAGCUCCUGAUUUUAUGUUAUGUUAUGUUAUUUAUUUAAUUCAAUCCCUACCGUUUUUUAGUUUUUUCUUAAUUAGUAUUUGUGACUCUUAACAUUAUUAUUGUAGGUAUUUAGAUAAUAUUUUUACUAUUUGUAUUUAUAAUUUAUUUUAAAUAUUAGAAGCUAUUAUUCUCUUAUCUUUAAUUACUUUUAAUAAUUUUGAACUGUUAUUAAACAAGUGCAAUCUAUUACACAUUAUAUUGUCAAAUAUAUUUCACGUGAUUAAAUUUUAUAAAAAUGAUAUGUAUAAAUUUGAAAUUUAUUUUUUCUACUUUUAUUUGUAAGAAUUUAAUUUAUUUAUUUUUAAAAUUUUAAAAUUCAGAUUUAAUUGUUAACACAAAUUUUUCCUUAAAUUUAUGUGAUAUUUUGAAAUUAAAAAAAAUACACAUUCACUUUCUAGAAAAAGUUGAAUUGGAAUUAUGGUAGAUAAAACGAAUGAAGCAUGAAGAUCACCGUGUGCCAAAUCCAACCACCUUCCUUUUCUUAUACAAAAUUUUAAAGAGUUUCACAAUGAUGCCCUCAAGAAAAGAAAGUAUACAUCAAAGGAAAAAGGAAUUGUGUAAUGAGCGAUGUCAGCUUCACCGAUUAUUUCUUCUUAUCACAUGCCAAAGCAAUUUCCUUGUACAGACUGGGAAAACUCCUGGAAUUUCGUCUAAGUUUGAACGAGGUCGAGUUUUAUAUAAUACUGGACUACCAAGUGUAUGAAGUCGACCAAACACAGAUUACUUCGUCUGUAAUAAAUAAUUAUCAUAAUGUCGUGUUUGAUAAUGCUUGUGUUGCUGCUUUUCCUCCUGGUUGUUGCAUCUUCAGAUAUCAACCAGGGCCAGUUUAGUUUCAAUGGUUACUUGAAUGUCGAGGGAGUUGCAGGCGUAGAUUCAAGUGGGCUGUUUACACUUACAAAUACCACAAGCCGAAUAAUUGGUCAGUUCUUCUACCAGAAUCCGAUCCAGUUCAAGAACUCCACAAAUGCAACUGUUUCCCCCUUCCCCACUACAUUCAUUUUUGCAAUUGUACCUGGAUACACCGACCUUGGUGGCCAUGGAUUGGCCUUCGUUAUCUCCCCUAACGAUGAAAUUUCUGGAGCUCUUCCCACCCACUAUCUCGGUCUUUUCAAGGAAACAAACAUAGGCUUAGACUCGAACCAUGUUGUAGCGAUUGAGCUGGGCACGGCCCGGACCAUUGCGGUCGGUGACAUAGACGGCAACCACGUCAGCAUCGACAUCAAUAGCCCAAGAUCAGUGACAGCUGCUUCUGCUGGGUAUUUCACUGAUGAAAGUGAGUUCAAAAAUCUCAACCUCAAGAGUGGAGAUCCAAUGCAGGUUUGGGUUGAAUACGACGGGCUCUAGAAGCAACUCGAUGUUACAUUGUACCCAAUCAAUGUAACGAAGCCAAAACCUCACUUUUAUACUUGAAAAAGGAUCUGUCUCCAUAUUUGUAUGAGUCUAUGUUUGUCGGCUUCUCGUCGUCCACCGGUGUUCUUGUAUCGUCGCACUACAUAUUGGCUAUUCUAAGGACAUGAUUUUUUUUGCAUCUCAAUCAAAGGUUUGAAAAGUUGAAUUCUUUGAGGUGCCCAUUCAUUAGACUAAGAAAGCUGAAAAGUUGAAAUUAUAUUUAUCAAAACAUAUCAUUUUUUAUUUAUAUCAAGGAUUUUAUCAUGUUAGUAUUAUGAACACGAAUAUAAUGAAUACUAAAUUAUGGUAAAUAAGAAUUUAUUUGUACGAUCAAACAAAAAAAGGGGAAAAAAUCAGAAAAGAGAAAGUUAUAAAAUUAACUAAAUAGGGGAAAAAAUAGUGAAAAGGCUAGUGAAGUAGUUUACCACAUUUAAUGCUUCUUCCCUGAUUUGGCAAUUAUAAAAUUGAAAGUUUUUUGCAUCCGUUUUGGUUGCGGCCCUUCUUCCUUCGCUUCAUCAUAGAUAUUAGGUUUCUGUUUUAUGUGAGAAGUCCUAUCUACUGAUCCAUCGUUGUGAGCAGAGUGUUGGUGGAUGUGAGAAGAUUGAGUGGUAUGUCACUGCAACUCUUUUAUUUCUUCCAAAUCUUUCUCAUACACUAUUCUAGCACCACACUUCUUCACCUUAGCAUAGUCUUCAUCAUUUGGGUUUGAGAAAAACACCUCAAACUCAUCACAUUUUUCAUCUGAGCAAUCUGUUGCCCAUAAAUUAUUGGUUUCACAAUGACCAUAUUUAUCCUCCAAUGAAAAUGGAUAUAAUUUAUCACGCGACCAAUAACGAAGAAAAAGGUGAUCUUUCAUUACGGGCCCGUUAUAUCGUUUACCUAAACACCAGCCGAGCCUAUCAACCACUCGAGGGUUUCUACCUCGAAAAAUAGAUCCAUUACAACUGGCUUCUUCAGAAUUUCUACAAUAGAUAAAUGCUCCACAACCGAUAGACUCGUCAUCCCUUGAAGCAUCAUUAUUGACAAAAAUGCAGCAACAAGCAACUCCAAUCCAUUGACUAUCUUUCGAGACGGGUAUCUUAAUUGAAGAGUCACUUCUUUGUUGGCUAAACCAUUCUGGGAUUUCACUUCCAGGCAUCAGAAUUUCAAACAUUUUUCUUGAAUUUGCGAAUGCCUGCAAAAUAAAACACAAGUCGUUUGGUAACUGAAACCAUAAAUUCUCAAGUAUGAGAUUUUGUAAGGGAGAAAAUAGAGAUUAAUCGACCUUAAGAUGUUUUUUUAGCAGUGUUAAUGCAUCGAUAUUUUCAGCCAAUUUGAAGCAGUUAAUGGCUCUAAUGAUACCCGAAUCCACUAAAUUGCAUACUUUUGAUGGACUUGCAACUACUUCAAGUGAAGAGCAAUCAUCUAUACGCACAUCUGCUAUACUUGUUAGAAGCUCUGGCAACGAUUUAAGCAUCUUGCAAUUUGAUAAUGCAAGGAAAUCAAGCCUGCUAAGUUGAGUAAGAGCCAAAGGAAUGGUGAUGAAAUUGUUACCCGUAAGAUAAAGAUAACUCAAAGAGGAUAGACCAUGAAUAUCUGCUUCACCAAGUGUGCACAUGUUGCAAUAUGACAAAUCAAGAAACCGAAGCUUCGAGAGCCCAGUAAGAGAUGCAGGUAUGCUGGUGAAAUUGUUACCACCAAGAUCAAGAUGUUUCAAGGAGGAUAGACUAGAAAUAUCACGUGGAAUAUCUCCUUCACAAAGAUUGCAGUCUCUUAGUUUUAGCUUUCUUAAUGAACUCAAACCAAACAGCGAAGGCAACAUCUGAGGCAUGGGAUUCUUCCUUCUUCCUACGAUUACCUUGAAAAGAGAAGACAAAUUUGGUCGUAACUUUGCUUGCUGCAAAUUCUCUGACAAAUUUUCAACUCUAUAACAACCAGAAAGAUCUAGAGUUUUUAGACGUUCCAUUUUUCUAUCAAUCCCCGGAAACCUUACAAGACUUGAGCAACCCGAAAGAAUUAAUGUUUCAAGAGAUUCCAUUCCAAUUUUGGUUGGAAGAUUCCUAAGACUUUUGCAAUCUCUUAAAUUCAAAAGUUUAAGGCUGUUAAGCACUCCGAUUGAUGGAUGAACAUCCACUAAUUUGGUACAACCUUCCAAAAUCAAAACUUCAAGAUUUGAUGCUGUUGUAAAGUCUGGUAUCUUGAUCAGGUUUUGGGACCCUUUGAGGUUCAUUAUUUUCAACUUAUACAAGGGCUGUUGAAGACCAUAAAUAAUUAGACAGAAAACAUAAUAAUGCUAAUUUUUGUAUUCUUUACCUUAACCAAAGUUUAAUCAUUUAUAUUAAAAUAAGCUAAAACGAUGAGUUAAUUCUUACUCUAUUUCCCUUCCAUAGUUGUUCAAUGUGACUAUAUGGUAAAAGAAGUGCGACAAGGUUGUCCGGUUGAAAGCUUGAAAGCUUGAAGGCAAGUAUCUUAAAGGAUAUCCUGUCCAAUCUAAAAGUCGUAGUUCAUUAGAAAGAUAUUUGAUAUCAUCACAAUUUGAGACACAAAGCACUUUGAGCAAUCUCAAUUCUUUCAUCUUCGAGAAGGUGUCGAUACUCAAAUUGAGCAUCUUACUUGAUUCCCUAAUAACCACGAGCAAAACAAAAAUAAGCUUCAGAAUAUACAAAAACAUUCAAUAUCUAAAAGCCAUGCUGGAUCGAUAUUGUUUUUUUAAGUAUCCAUAUCUAGCACUUAUAUCUAUUGCAUAUCUGAAUAUGGUAUUGAGAUAUGAUUAACAUAUUAGAACACUUAUAUUCGACCUUUAAUUACCUAAGCUUAAAAAAUCUAGAACUAAUAUUUUGAUUUAUGUUUGGUGCACUGAUGUAUAGUUCUAUACAUUCCCAGUGAACCAAAUGGUGGCAUGACCUAAAUUUAUUUUUAAAAACUUAUAAUGACAUGUUAUAACCUAGUUCAUUGAUAUAGAUUUUCAUUACAUCAAAUAUAAACCAUUAACAUUAGCAAAGACGAUGACACACAUCUCUUUAUAAUUUCUUUUGAAAGAGUAAUGUGUUUCUAUAUAAAUUUUAUAAAUAGAACAUAAAAAAGUAAGCUUUAAGGGUGUACUUGGUUGAGUGGAAAAGUCAAGGGAUAUGAGGAUGAAUUGUCCUUAGUAAAGAAGAAAAGUGAGAAGAAAAAAAAGGGGGAGAAAUAAAUAUUUUAUACUAGUGAGAAGGGAAAUGUAUUAUCUUUCAACUUUCUGUUUACUCUACCAAGCAAAGUCAAAAGGUCUUUUUCUUGUUAUUUUUUAUUGGACUUUUUACAAAAAAAAUAAUAACAAUACUUGGAGUACAUAUUGAUAAAUUUAUAUGUUUCUUUUCUUACCUUUUAUUGUCGAUGGUCAUGCCUUCAAUCACUUCAGUAGCCUGAAAGUAAUCAAGAAGAUAAAAUUAAUGCUCUAAAUUGUACAAUAAAACUUUUAAAAAUUUACAUGCAUGUUCAACAUUAUUGCAAUCUUUUGGUCAAAAUACAGUAAAUAAAAUAUAUUCUAAUGAGAGUAAUUCAAUAAAAUUAAACAUUUAUACCACAAAUCAUUAUUAAUAUUUAUAAUCAACAAAUGAAAAUUAUCUUAAAGCUGCUCAAUGUCACUUAAGGAUCGAUAUAUAAAGCAAUUAGACUAAGCUUUGGAUUUACACCAUUUAUUGAUAAAAGAAAAUUUUGUAUGUAAAUUUUGUUGAAUGGUUUACCGUUUUUUUUGUUAGAACAUGAUGGACAUCCUUUUCCUUCCACAAUCUGCAACGUUUUCCAGGUUCAUUAACACAUUUUUCUUCAACAAUUUUUCUUCCCAUUUCUUGCAACAAGGCAUGCAUCCACAAAUAUCGGUCGUCAUCAUCGACUUUUAUGAGAGAUUUCUUAAAGAGAACAUCAAUUCCAAUAUCUGGGAAAAACUCACAACCAUCCAAUACUUUCAUUACCAAAUCUUUCUUCUCCCCAUUGAAAAAACAUGCUAUAUCUAGAAAUAUAUUCUUCUCCCUUUCUUCUAAUCCAUCAAAGCUGAUUCUUAGUGUGUUAAGAAUUUCUCUGUCACAAUCUUGUUCAAGUCUUUCAAUUGCACUUCUCCAUUGAACUAUAUCUCUACCGCACAAAAAUGAACCCAAAACUUCAAGAGCUAAGGGGAGACCAUCAACAUAAUGUACAACAUGUUCAGAAAGUUGAUUGAAAUCAUCUUUUGGAGUUGUAUCACCACCAAAAGCUUUCAAAUUGAAAAGCCUUAGUGCAUCGUUGGUGUUCAAUGUUGUAGGCUUAUACACAUCAUCGAUUCGAUAAGAUUGGAGCAAAUGUUCAUCUCUUGUUGUUACAAUGAUCCUACUACCUAAACUGAACCAAUCACGCCUUCCAACCAAGCAUUUCAAGUGUUGUACAUUAUCAACAUCAUCAAGAACAACAAGAACUUUUUGCUAGACAACCUGCGGCUAAUUAUGGCAUUCCCUUCGUGAACAUUGAAAAAAUUGAAGCAUUCAUUUGGCAAUAUUUGAUAAAGAAGUUGUUUCUGUAAAGAAACAAGUCCACACUUGUUUGAAACUUCUCGAAUAUCAGCAAGAAAGGUUUUACCUUCAAAAUGAGGUGACAUUUGAGUGUAAACAACCCUUGCAAGAGUUGUUUUACCGAUGCCACCCAUUCCACAAAUUCCUAUAAUGCGGACAUCGUCUUCCCCAAUAUUUAUUUUCGAAUACAACUGCUCCAAACGUGAACUAAUUCCAACCAACUCAUCAUGAAGAACUGGAUAUGUCUGACAUAAAUUUGCUGAUAUCUUCUUAACAAUGUCUCCAAUAAACUCUGAUUCAUGCUACAAUGAAAUUAAAUUUCGAUGCUAUAUUUCAAAUGCACUUCUUCAUUUUUAGUUCAGUGAAUAAUGAAAUAUAAUAUAGUUGGAAGCAAACAAAAAGCAAGAAUAAGACAGCAAGAUCUGUUAUAGCAUCAAAUGACACAACUUGCUGCUUAGUUGAAAUAUGGGAAUUCUCAAUUAAACACAAAAUUAUAUAUAAAAAAAAUGCAAUCCAAAAAAAAAAAAAAAUUAGUCAUUAAAAUUAGGAAAUAUAGAAGAAAAGAAAGAAAUACCUAUUAUGUAAAUGCCAUCCUUUGAUGUUAGCUACUUGAGUCAAAGCAUUUCGCCACUUUUGGAUCUUGUCUGUAUCUUCCUUGUACCUCUCUUGGUGUUUGGCGAAGGCUUCUUCAACUUUUCCUUUUUGUUUUCUUAAAUCGGAUGGAUCCACAUCGUAGAAAAUUGGAAAUACUUUAUGUCCGUUCACAUUUUUUUGUUGAACAAUCUCAGCAAGCUCCUCCAAGGACCAUCCUGAAAAGGUAUAGGUUUUUGAAAAAACGAUUACCGAGCACCAUGAUUGCUGAAUUGCAUUGAAGAGUUUAGGUGCGAUCUCUUCACCAGCCUCCAGCUUUGGAUCAUCUCUGAAGGUGGCGAUCCCACUCCUCUUUAGAGCAUCAUAAAGAUGAUCCAUGAAGUUGUUGCGAGUAUCUUCACCUCUAAAACUCAAGAAAACAUCAUAUUUCUUUCUAGAAAUGGAGGAAGAAGUUGACGGUAACGACAACAUGAGGAUGUAUGAAAGGAGAUGGAUAUCUCAAUCUGGUGUUCAAAAUCAGAAAAUAGAUCGCCCGAUACCCACAAAGAAACUAGAAAGAGUAAGUAUAUAUAUGAGCAUAGGGGCGGAAAUUAGGGGUCAAAAGAUGAGCAAUGGAUGUUCUUGCCAAGAAGUAUCCAAGAAGGUGAGAGUUGGCAAAAUGGAAAUUACGUAAUAAUUAAAAAGUUGGGCGGUUUGUAUUUUACGUAUUUAAGAAUUAUGGGUAGAUAAGAUUAUGACUAAUAAUUAGAAUUAAUUUAUGGGCCGUUUAAAAAGUUUACCAAACAACCAACUACUCGCAUCCACACGUGGAAGAUUUCUAUCUCCAGAGACAGAUCCUUUUCGACCGGCUUGUCCAGAAUUUCUACAAUGGAUAACAGCUCUGGAGAUGAUAACCCUGGCAGGGCAGAAGUAGAAUUUUUUUUUUAAGGUACAAAAUUAAAUUGUAACUUUUAUUAUAGUAAAAAUAUAAUUUUAUAAUUUUAACCGUUUAUAUCUUUAUAAUAUUUAAAAUAUUAAAUUAAAUUAUUAUAAUUUUUAGGAGGGUCAACGUGUAAUUUUAUUUUUACUAAUUUAAAAUUUUAAAAAUCUUAAAAAACUUAAAUAAAAAACUUUUCAUUUUAAGAGAAGGAACCCUACUAUCCCCUAGAUUCGCCUCUGUAUCUCUGAGAAGCAUCAUCAUUGAUAAAUAUGCAACAGGAAACUACUCCCUUCAUUUGUCUUGAAUUUGCAAAUGCCUGCAAAAUAAAACUUCAGCGCUUAGUAAAUAAAACCAUAAAUUCCCUUCAUGGACAUUGAAAACUUUUGUAGCUAAAUACGCCUGAGAUUUUGCUCCUGAUUCAUCAUGUCUUAUCUGCCUGCCUUUGCCUUUCCAUUUAUUCCUGGAUAAAUUUCUGUUCUUCAUAUUUCUUCUAUUGAGAGGACAUUUGCUCCUCCAUAACUCUUAUUCUCUUCUGCAUGUCCAAAUAUUGCUAACUACCAGAUUGAUUAUGUUAGAACCUUUGAUCCAUUGGUGAUGCUUCGGCAUGGUGUUUAAUUUUUGGGGUUAUAAUACCAUGAAGGAGUAUUGGUAAAACUGAUGGUAUGAAUUGUAUUAAAAAAAAGUUUAUGCAUAUAACAUAAAAUGUAUUAAAAAAUCCAUUAAACUUUACAAGUUUCAAUCAGGCACAAAAGAAUGAAUUGUAUGAAUAAAAAUUUAAAUGGUAUAAAAAAUUAUGUUCUACAAAUUCGAGAUAUGUGUAGAAUAUGAGUUUAGUGUUUAACAUGUUCAUACUCAAAAUUUAGAAUUAGUUAUAACAUUUCAAGAAUAUUACCAAAUCCUAUGUUGAGUAAAGAUGUCCAAAAUGAAUACUUCAAAUCAAAUAAAAGACGUGCAUAAAAUAGAUUAGUAUGUCUAAAAAAUAAUUAAUAGUCGAUUGAGUUUUAGCUCGAUUGAUAUCAAUAUUUUUGUCAAUACAGGUGUGAAAAUAGAAUAUUGGUAAUGACAAUGUGUCACAAAGAAAAAGAGAGAAAAAUAAAGAACACACAGAUUUUACGUGGAAACCCUUUCGGAAAAAAAUCACGGGCUGAGGAGAAGAUAAUACACUAUACCGAAUUCGAAUGAAUACAAGAGGAGUAGACUAUGUCUAUUUAUAGGCUUGUAAAACUAUAUUCUAAUAAGAGUGUAGUAAGAUUGAAACACCUUAUUCUAAUUAAUAUCAAAUAGAUGGAGUUUAAUAAGGUUUAAAAACCUUAUUCUAGAAUAAAAUAAAAGAAGUGUAGUUCUAUAUGGAUUUUACUUUUAUUUUAUUUUACCAUUGUAUUUUAUUUAAAUAAGAAUUCAGGUCACUCAAUUCUAACAAUCUCCACCUUGACACGAAUUUUUAAUGAACAAGUUCUUCAUUGCAAACUCUCAACGAACAAGUUCUUCACCUCUUUCAUAAAACCCCAUUACAGGUUUAACUUCAACAAUGAACACCAACCAAGUCUAAGCAAUGCUCAAAUUUGGUUAUAGGAAGUGACUUAGUCAUCAUAUCUGCAGAAUUUUCAUGAGUAUUAAUUUUACUCACAACAAUAUCACCACGAGCAAUAAUAUCAUGAACAAAAUGAUACCGGACAUCAAUGUGUUUUGUUCUUUCAUGAAACAUUUGAUCUUUUGUAAGGAAGAUGGCACUCUGAUUGUCACAAAAUACUGUACUGAUUUGAAGGUCUUCAUUGAGUUCACUAAAGAGUCCCUUCAACCAAAUAGCUUCUUUACAAGCCUCAAUAAUCGCCAUGUACUCAGUUUCAGUGGUAGACAAAAUGACUGUAAUUUGCAAAGUGGCUUUCCAACUGAUUGCACAACCUCUAGUUGUAAAGACAUAACCUGUGGGAGAUAUUCUUCUAUCAAGGUCUCCAGCAAAAUCAGCACCAACAUACCCAAUGACUCCACAUCUCGUUCUUCCAAACUGUAAGCAAACAUCAGUAGUACCUAGUAAGUAUCUUAAAAUCCAUUGAACUUCUUUCCAAUGUUCUUUAUCUGGAUUUGCCAUGCAUCUGCUAACUUCACUGACUGCAUAUGAUAAAUCUGGACGUGAACAAAACAUAGCAUACAUGAGAGAUCCCACUGCACUAGAGCAUGGAACAUGUGACAUGUACUCAACCUCAUCAUAUGAUUGUGGAGACAAAGCUGAUGAAAGUCUGAAAUGGGCUGCUAAAGGAGUAUUAACAGGCUUAGCACUCUGCAUAUUGAACCUGCAAAGAACUUUCCCCUUCUGACUUAGGUACAAUUUACUUGCUUUUUUGUCUCUGAGAAUCUUUAUACCAAGUAUCUUCUUUGCUGGUCCCAAAUCUUUCAUCUCAAAUCUUUCACUUAGUUGGGCUUUGACCUUUCUUAUCUCUUAUUUUUCUUUCGCUACUAUCAACCUAUUAUCAACAUAAAGGAGUACAUACACAAAAGAAACAUCAUUGUUUUUCUUAAAGUAAACACAACUGUCAUAGCUACUUCUUUUGAAAUCAUGAGAAGUCAUAAAGAAAUCAAACCUUUUGUACCACUGUCUUGGUGACUGUUUCAAACUGUAAAGGGACUUUUUUAGCAAGCAAACAUAGUCCUCUUUUUCUGAGACUAUAAAACCCUCUAGUUGUUGCAUGUAAGUAUCCUCCUCAAGUUCUCUAUGCAAAAAUACAGUUUUUACAUCUAACUAUUCAAGCUCCAAAUCAUGCAUAGCCACAAUACCAAGUAAAGCUUGAAUCGAACUAUGCUUCAUAACUGGGGAGAACACAUCUGUGAAGUCCACUCCUGGAAUUUGACUGUAACCCUUUGUAGCAAGCCUUGUUUUAUAUAUGGGUUCUUCAACUCCUAGAGUCCCUUCAUUCUUUUUAAACACCCAUUUACAACGAACAAUCUUUUUAUCUUUAGGAAGUUUCACAAGAUCUCAUGAUUUGUUUUUCUGGAGUGAUUCCAUCUCUUCUUGCAUAGCAAACAUCCAAUUUUCUAAGUCUUCACAGCUAACCGCCUCAAAAUAAUUAGAUGGCUAUUGGUUUGCAUCUAUAUCUUCAACCACAUUUAAAGCAUAAGCAACUAGAUCAGCCUCGGCAUACUUCUUUGGGGGUUUAAUUUCUCUUCUACUUUUGUUUUUGGCAAUAAAGUAUUAUGGCGAAGAAGCAACUUUAUUCUGAAUUUUUGUACUGGCUUGAAAAGUCGACUCUAUUGUAGAUUCUGGAUUAAUCUGAUGCUCCACCUACUUUUGAUUUUCUUUAUUGGAAGAGAGAUAAGUUAGGUAGCAUAGUAGUUUCAUCAAAAACAACAUUUCUACUAAUCACAACAUUUCUAUUUUUAGGACACCAUAACUUAUACCCUUUUACACUAGCUUUAUAACCAAGAAAAACACAUUUAAUGGAUCUCGGUUCUAAUUUUCCAUUAUUAACAUGAGCAUACGUACGACACCUAAAGAUCUUUAAGUCAGAAUAAUCAGCAGGAUUACCAAGCCAUACCUCUUGUGGAGUCUUUUUCUCAAUGGAAAUGGAUGGAGAUCGAUUGAUCAAAAAACAUGCAGUAGAGGUUGUUUUGGCCCAAAACGACUUUGGUAAGUUGGCAUUUGACAACAUACAUCGAACCUUCUCCAUGACCAUUUUGUUCAUUUGUUCUGCAAUGCUGUUCUGCUGUGGAGUAUGACAAACUGUCAAGUGUCUCACGAUCCCUUCUGACUUGCAUAGUUAAUUAAACUCAUCAAAACAGAACUCUGAGCCAUUAUCUUUGCGGAGGUAUUUUAUUUGUUUUCCCGUCUGUUUUUCAAUCAUAUUUUUUCAAGACUUAAAUGCAAAAAACACAUCGCUUUUUUGUGUAACUCAUACCCAACCGUUUGAUUGUAUCAAUAUUCUGCAGAAUUGUAAUGUAGGACAAGAUUUCCAUGAACUAAACUAUAUCACAUGUUACACAAUACGAAAUUAAUACAAACAUGAAACAUAUUUGCUCAUGUGCACACACUUGUAUAUACGUGAUUUAAGUUAAACAAUAUAUUAGACAUGGCAUGAUUAACAACUGAUUAUAAAAUAAAGGUAUUUAGUUACACGCAGACACACAUGUAUCUAAACUCUUUACCGUUGAUGGAGAUGAAAGGAAAAUAUCCCCCCAAAUGUUAGAAUGAAAGUUGGUUGAGGGACGCUUCUGGUUGGACAUGGAUCCAUGAAUUGAAGAAGGAAGCUUUGAUGAAGACAUUUCGUUAGCUAGUAACUAUGUAUGUUGGAAACCCUACGAAAUGAGAUGAAGUGGUGUGAGGCAAAGAGCUCCUAUGUUGACUUAUUUAUACAACUUUCUCAGCAUGUGAAAAUCCUACAUUUACCUAUACAUCUGGAAAUUGAACAGUAGGAUUCGGUAAAAAUCAAAUCGCAUAGUGCCUUAUUAAUUAUUUUUUAAAUUUAAAAAAAAAGAAGAAAGUUAUUGAGAUUAUUUAAAAAUUUUGUAAAAAUAAAAAAUAUAUUAUAAAAUUUUAAAAAUUCAAAAAAAUAAAAAUUUAAUUAUUGAUUUGACAUCCACGUGUAUGUCCACGACAACAAAUUAAAUGUUUGAUUAAAAAAUUCAUCCAUUUUGGGUGAUUUGACAAAAAAAAAUAAGUUCAAAGAUUAAAGAGGUAGAAAAUUAAAUAGAGGGCUAAAAAGAUUUGGUUUUUUUUUUUUGUAAUGUUGGAAGCCUAAAUGUGUCAUUAUACCAAAUUAACUCAAUCACUUAAAAAUAUAACUAAACUAUAAACAAAACAAUUUUUAUAUGUCAUUCAAUCAUAAGUGAAGUGAUAAAUAAUUUGUAUUCAAGUUUUAAGUUGAUAUUGACAUUGUUGCCAGUGUAGGAGGAUGUGGGUUCAAGCAAGCUGAAGCGUGUCAUUCUCCUUUUUCAGGGUUAAGAAGGGAAUAUAAAUAGUUCUAGGUAUUAUAUCAAAAAAUAAUUUUUAGUUGACGUCAAAAUUUAAUUUCAUCCUCAUCCUUAUAAACAACUACUUUUUUGAAAAACAAAAUUUAAUGAAGUAUUAAUAAAGAAAUAAAAAUGUAAAUGGUUUUGAAAAAAUUUACUAUUGCUAGCAAGAAGUGUGUUGCUAAUAGAGACAGGACACUAAGAAAUUGGUGCCUAAGUUGGUGGGCACUUCUUUAGGCACUAAACGAGAAAAAUAGAAAAACACACGAACAUGAUUACGCAAUUCAGUUACUCUACGUCUGUGGAGCCUAGCUCAGUUAAAAGUUUGUACUCUUUUCAACAAUUACAAAGUGAACCCUAAUUGUAGGAAAAAAAAAUCCAAUUUGAAAAUGGUUUUCUUGCCCAGUAAAAAAUUAAAAUUUUAAAAACUGACCCAGUUUGUGAUAUUUAUAGCAGUAAACCUUAGACCGAAAUUAUACCUAUGUUUUUGGUUAAGCGAAUCCUAGACGUUUUUCGAUUUUCAACUAAACGAGUUACGUGAUUAUCAAGUGAAUUUUAAAAAUAAAAAUAAAAAUGUCACGCAAGAGAAUUUAAUAGAAAAAUUUUAACAAAAUUUUUCAACUAAACGAGUUUUUGGUUAAGCGAAUCCUAGACGUUUUUUGACUUUCAACUAAACGUGUUACGUGAUUAUCAAGUGAAUUUUUUAAAAAAAAUUUAAAAAUGUCACGCAAGAGAAUUUAAUAGAAAAAUUUUAACAAGGGUAACGAUCAAUCCUGAAUUUUUAAAUUCAAAAACUAGAAAAUUAUGCUCCUAAAAAUAAAAAUAGAGGACUAAAUUUCAAAUGUAAAAGUAUAUAGGGAUCUAGUGUAUAUUUUAAUAUUCAAAUUUUUAGUCUUUAAUUUGACACAAAUAAUAAUUAACCUAACGUGGAAUGUGGGUCGAGUCCAUACUAGUUUUGGGUCAAAGCCUAAAAACGUGUUAUAUUUCUGUUUUUCCUACAAAACUUUGUUGUCAAGAGUUCAAAUUUUACAUAUAAUUUAUCUAUAUUACAAUGAUUAAUAUAACAAUAUCUUAAUGGGUUGAGUAGAAUGGUUCAACAAGUACAAAGAUGAUGAAGGAAACUUUAACAUGUCCUUAACAAGUGAUGUGAAAGGCUUACUAGAAUUAUAUGAAGCUUCACAUUUACGUGUGCAUGGGGAAGAUAUACUUGAAGAAGCUCUUGGUUUCACCACCACUCAUCUAGGUUUAGCCAAAGCUGCGGGCACUAUCGAAUAUCCCCUUUCAGCCUUAGUCUCCCAUGCUCUAUACCAACCCAUCCGCAAGGGCUUGCCAAGGUUGGAGGCUAGGCGAUUCAUUUCCAUUUACCGAGACGAUGCUUCACAUAACAAAACACUGUUGAAGUUUGCAGAGUUGGAUUUCAACUUGUUACAAAUUUCACACAAGGAUUUCAAGGCAAUAUAUUACUCCUUCAACAUUCAAUAUUUUAAUUGUUUAUCCUAAUUUAAAAGGACUAACUGAUACCUAAUGAUGAACUAUACAUAGGCUAAUUUGAGUUUUGUUUCAGGUGGGGGAAAAGUUUAGACUUACCUACAAAACUACCUUUUGUUCGAGAUAGAUUGGUAGAAGCUUACUUUUGGGCACUGGGAGUGGAUUUUGAGCCACAAUACUCUUUUGCUAGGGAGAUAUUAGCAAAAACAAUGGUCAUGACAUCAAUAAUGGAUGACAUAUAUGACGCAUAUGGCACACUUGAAGAACUUCAACUCCUCUCGAAUGCAAUUCAGAGGUUAGCAACUUCACACGAUUCAAUUUUAAAUUUGAAAGUUGAUUCAGUUAGUUCAUUGUAAUCAUGUAUAAAAAACAUUACUCAAUAUGUUUGAUUUUGAACUUUUCUCUAAUUGAUUUUGCAGGUGGGAUGUUGAUUAUAUAGAUCAACUCCCAAAAUACAUGAAGUCAUUUUACAAGCCAUUGUUAGAUCUUUUUGGAGAAAAUGAGUAGGCAAUGAUUAAGCAAGGAAAAUAAUGUUAUGUCAAAUAUGCGAAAGAUUAUACAUUCGUACCUUAUCUCAUUUUUUAAAUAAUUUUACAUAAGCAGUAAAAAUUAGUAACCCCUUUCUCCUUUUCUCAUAUAUUAUAUGAGGAAAAUGACAAGUAGUGUUGGCAAUGAAGCAAGGUGGAGUGGGACUAUUCACCUUAACCCCAUCCAAUCUUUAUAUCUCCUACCUUGACACCACUCCGAACAUGAUUUUAUUUGAAAUUUCAUAUCCAACAAAUUUUUUUUUUCUCAACUUUACCCAACUCACACAAAAAUAUUAAAUAAUUUUUAUGUUGUAUUACUUUUUACAAUAUCAAAUAAAAUGCAUAAUAUAAAAUCAUAUAAAAAUUUAAAAUAUCUAACUAAAAAAUAAAAAAUUUAAAAUUUUAUAAAAUCUUAUAGAAGUUUAAAAAAUUUAUAAUUAAAAUAUAUAAAAUUAGUUAUGAAAUUAAAAAGGUAUUUUGGUAAUUUUUUAAGAUAGUGCAAGUUUAAGUAAAACCUUAUCUCUUCCCAAACUCUAAUUUUCAUAAAAAUAAAAUAUGUUUUAUAGGGUUGGAUCGAAACAUAUGGAUUUGGGUCAUUUUUAUUAUCCCUAAAUAUACAUAUAUGUUUAGCAUGAUUAUAUUCCAUUUUAUAAAAAUAUAUAUAUAUUUAUAUAUGAAGGAUUAUAAGUUGGUACUUAUAUACUCUAAACUUGAAAAUUUAUUAUGACCUAAAGGUAAUGACUACAAUGAAAACUUUGUACCAAUAAUGGAGGAGUAUAUGAGGAACGCGGUUUUAUCUGUUGGUUAUAUCAUGUUAACCGUCACAUCUUUUAUUGAGAUUUUUGAUUGGGCAUCCAAGAACCCUAAAAUCACUGAUGCUUCUUCCGUUGUUGAUCGUCUCAUGAAUGAUGUUACUUCACACAAGGUACCUUUUUUUCCCGAAUUUUGCAAGAGUAUUUUCAAUAAGUUAUAUUUGAUGAAUAAAACUAAUAUAAAUAUAUAGUUUGAGCAAGAGAGAGGGCACUGUGCAUCAGCUUUGAAUGCUACAUGAGAGAACAUGCAGUUUCAGAAGAAGAAGCAUGUACUGAAUUGAAGAAGCAAGUGGAGAAUGCUUGGAAAGAUAUCAACCAGGAAAUCAUAUUUAGUGAGAUAUCUAAAGUUGUUCCAAGACCGGUUCUUACACGAGUUCUCAAUUUUACAAGAUUGGAGAUGAGUACACACAUGUUGGGAAAAAUACAAAAGAUGGGAUAACUCUGUGCUCAUUGAUCCAAUCUCAGUCUCCUAUUGAGGAAUUAAGACUCUAUAUCAUCUAGCGAUCCAUUUCCUGUUUGUGUUGCUUUUAUAUGUUAUAUGCUUUUAAGAUGUUAUUUAAAUCCUAACAUCUCAGUAAUCCAUGGUGUAUAUUUAUGUUACUCUUUUUUACUAUGUUUUAUGUCGUAUUUUGAUAAAUUUUCAAAUCUCAAGAUUUCUUGAGACUUAAAGGGUUGGUGAAUGAAUCAAGGCGUUGUUAUUUAAAUGGGUUUUAUGGUUGUUCUUUUGGUGCAGUUCUGAUUGUGUCUCAACUGCUUUUUGUUUAUGAGAUUUUAGUGCAAGGGAUCAUGAGUGGUAGUUGUGUUGCAAAGGGCUAAUCCUUACAGUAUAUCAACAUGGGAUGAUGGUGAAUGAACCUUGGCUUUAAAGUUUUUUAGGUGUUAAUGAUGGUAAGUAUGUGAUUGCUUAAGAGAUUAAAGGUAUGGGUUUUAAAGAAAAUGGGUGGAUGGAAGGAAUUGUGGGUAAUCAGCAGUGCAUUUUACUGGAGGAGGGAAGUGCAACUGGUAGGGGAUUUCUAAGUUCUUAGAAUGGUUUGCAUGUAAAUUUUGGAGUUCUAAAAAAAAAAAGAGUUAACUUAAAUCACUUUUGAGAUGAAUUUCAAUGGAAAUGUGAAAUUCCCAACUAUAUGUUUUCUAAAAUGAAGAAACAAGAGAGAGAAAAUCUAACUAUUUUGCAAAGAGAAAAAAAAGAAGCCAUUUUUAUAUUACCCACUCUGCAUUGAGAAAUUAUUUUAUGGACCUUUUUAUCACAUCAUCUAGGAUUUUUUACACAAAUAAUACAAAAAAAAUUAAAAAAAUAACAAAGUAAUACAACCAUUUUAUUAUGUACCAAAAUGGUACAAACAGUAAAAAACCUAGUCGAGGGCCUGCCACAGGCGGCACCUGUGUCAUGUUUUCCUGGGGCUCCCCAAUUUGUUUGUUUUUGUUGUUUAAGGUUUAUGAUGUGAUUGGUUUUGAUUUAAUUGAGAUUUAAUUUUAAAUUUAUUUUUUUACAAGGUAUUAUUUGAUUAAAAAUAGAUAUUAAGAUAUGUUUAUAUUUAUCUAUAUUUUCAUUCAUUCAUAAUUUAAUUUUAAUUUUUAUGUUAUGUACAUUCUAUGUUUUAUUAUUUAUGUUAUGUACAUACUAUGUCUUAUUAUUUUAUCAUUUAUGUUAUUAUUUAUGUUUUAUUAUUUAUGUUAUCUACAUUCUAUGUUUUAUUAUUUUAUUUAAUUUAUUUGUUAAGUGUGUUUUAUGUUGAUUAGAUAUAUUUUUUAUGAAACUUAUUUAGCAUGUUGUAAUGAGAUUUUUUUACAAAAAUAGUAUUAAAAAUAAAAUACCGAAAAAAUAUUUUUAUGACAAAAUAAAAUACAAAAAGAAAUAAAAAUGAAAAUAGUAUAUUUACUGAAAGUAAUAAAAUUCGAAAAAAAAAAAAUUACGAACAAAGGGUCAAAAUAAAGGUUUUUUACUAAAUUUAUAAAAAAAACACACAAAAAUAAUAUAUUUCAGACAUUAUGUACUAAAAUAAUAUAAAAUAAUAAAAUACAAAAAUAGUAUAUCUUUUGAAAGUAAUAAAAUCCGAAAAUAAGAAAAAUAUGAACAAAUAGGCCAAAAUAAGGGUUUUUUUAUAAAUUUAUAUAAAAACACACUAAAUUAAUACAUUUCAAACUUUAUGUACUAAAAUAAUAUAAAAUAAUAAAAUACGAAAAUAGUAUAUUUUUUGAAAGUAAUAAAAUCUGAAAAUAAGAAAAAUACGAACAAAGGGCCAAAAAAUCGGGAAAACAUGGCACAGGUGCCGCUUGUGGCAGUGGCAUCUUUGGUGCUGCCUCUGCCACUGGCACCUUUGGUGCCGCCUAUGGCAGACCCUCGACCAGGUUUUUUACUGUUUGUACCAAUUUGGUACAUAAUAAAAUGGUUAUAUUAUUUUGGUAUUUUUUUAAUUUUUUUUGUAUUAUUUGUGUAAAAAACCUCAUCAUCUAUGGUCCCACCCAAUUAAAAGAAGACGCAUCAUCUUUGAUUCCACUUCUCCACUGAGAAGCAUCUCUACCGCACACAAAAGAACCCAAAACUUCAAGAGUUAAGGGGAGACCACUAGCAUAAUGUACAACAAGUUUAGAAAGGACUAAAUUGUAACAAUUUGGACUAAUUUAAAUAAAACAAAGAACAUGGAUAGUGAUGCCCCUAAGGGAAUAUUAAGAUAAAGUGAGACCGAAAGGUAAUCUUGUCGUGCACCCGUUCAUUAGUCACGGAUUAACUAGUGAGAUUGGAAGAUAAACUAGACCUAAUCAGUCUAAGUUGGCAAAAUUAAGACCGGAAGAUAAAAUAGAGCCACUUGGUAAUUAUGUGAUUUAUGUCAUUGGUCCAAGAUUUGGUGAACCACAUCGAAGUCAACCAACCCCUAUUAGUCAUUUGCUAGAUAGUCCUUCUAGUUUACAUUUCUUGUAAUUUAGUCCCUAGAGUAGAAUAUUUAAUUUUCUUGCAAACUUAUCUUUUAUGAAUCACCGUAAUAUAAAAUUGUAUCAAUAGACACUUAGCAUCUAUUGUGUAUGUUAGUUAUUACUCAAUUGCCUAUUCCUUUGGGUUCAAUCCUUAGAAUACUUUUGCAUUUCAUUAUUACACUAUAAAUAUAAAUAUUAAAACUGACCAGUACGCUUGCAGUAAAAUUGGGCUUUUAAAAUAGUUAUAUAAAUUUAGUGUUUUAAGCACACGCAUGCAACCGGUCAGUAGUCAAUCUCACCCCAUUAGCCACCAUGACAUGAAGUUGACUAAAGUGCUCCACUAAUAAAUCCAACCUCUUAACGAGCUUAGAAUCUAGAAAAUUGUGUGUACUUCUUGAGUCAACCAGGAUAAUGACAUUGGAGUGACCAAUACUUGCUAAAAACUGCAUAGAAUUAUGUCUCUAUAAGCCUUGAAGGGUGUGUAAAGAUAAAACUGGGGCAGUGUGUUUCGUUUCCUAUUCUAACACUUUCAGUUGUUCAGGACAUUCUUGGAACUCUUCAAACACUGGACUCUUGCUUCCACCCUCAUGAUCUGAAUAAAGUUCUACAACCAGCUGAUAAAGUUGAGACUUGGUGCACUUAUGACCUGGGGUGUAUUUGGAUGCAAACCGAAAGCAAAGUCCCUUCUUUCUUCUCUAUUCUAUUUUAGCUUGAGAAAAGGGUUUGGUUUGGAAUUUUUACCCCGAGUUACUAUUUGGAGGUCCACUUGGCCCUAUCGAGUUACAGUGGUGAUAUUGCACCUUGGGACCAAGAAUUAGGAGGCUAAGGUGACUUAUUCCCCCACUUACAUUCAAACUCUUCUUUGUGAACUUAGCCACAAUGUGUUCAACCUAUAGAGCUAGUUGAUAGCCUUCUACCAGUGUUUGAGCCUUGAACAACCAUAGAUACUACCCUAUCUCAGGUUUAAGAUUGCAAGUGAAAACACUAAGGACAUAAUCCUCACUUAGAUGUAACUGAUUAAGCAAACUUACAAAACGGUCAUGGAAUUGGUCCAUUGACCCUUUCUCCUUGAGUGAAACAUGUCCUAACAUGGGGUCUAAGAAGGAGUUAGAUCUAAAAUGAUCCCUCAGCCCUCGAACAUAUAUCUCCUAAGUCAGGUGAUGUAAUCCCCCUGUCAUUGCACAAAAGUGAUGCCAAUCUAGGGCUUUACCUUCUAAGUGCAACAUUACCAUUCUAACAUUGGUUUACUUUAUUAUAUUUGCAGCUUCAAAGAAUCGUUCUAACUUGGACCACCAAUCUUGAUAAUCUGUCCCAUCAAAUCAUGGGCAUUCUAGCUGAAGAGUUUUACUGACAAAGUCCACAAGACCAACUUGAGAAAAAGUAUUCAUGUUUUCCAAAUCUGACACAGGUGAUAAUAUAAGUGACUUUUUGGAAGGGAACUUAGGAGGAGAGCCUCCCAUAAUGCCCUUGUCUUGAACUCUUCUAGUUACACUGGCAGAAGCAUUUUGACCAAAAUAGUGUUCAAAAAGAUAAUCCACUCCUACAAGGUAAUCCAUUCCUACAAGAUAAUCAACUCCAUUGAUUUGUGAUUUUGAGAUUUUAAUUUAAAAGAUAAAUAUCGAAAUAUAUAAUUUUUUUAAAAAAAUUAAAAACUGAGACCAGUAUAAAAUUAUUUAUCUUAGAUGGAAUGCUCAAUUAGGUGAUAUUUUAUUAGGAUCAGAUAAACGAUCUCAUCGAGAGAGAGAGUCAUCACAGGAUGGAUGAUUGGGAUCGGUAGACGAUGAGACUCCAUGAGUGUGGAGCCUUCCUUGAGUGGACAACGGCAGCAUUGGGUUCACACCUGCGCGUGGAGAGGACUUUGAAGCCUUCACAAAUCAUGUAAAGAAAUGAAAGAAAAUGAAGAAAAUGUUAAAAGCAUGUGCCAAACGUACCAUGAUGAGGGAAAUGAGAUACAACAAUACAAAGCAUGAGUCCAACUAAUAAAUUAAAGCUGACUUGAAUUUUAUAGGAUGGGAUAAUUUCAUUUUCGGUCCUCUAUAAUCUUCACUAUAUGCGUAUAGCUCCUGAUUUUAGUUUAUUUAUUUAAUUCAAUCCUAACCGUUAUUUAUUUUAGUUUUUUUUAAUUAGUAUUUGUGACUCUUAACAUUACUAUUGUAGGUAUUUAGAUAACUUAAUAGAGAUAAUAUUUUUACUAUUUGAAUGCAUAAUUUAUUUUAAAUAUUAGAAGCUAUUAUUCACUUAUCUUUAAUUACUUUUAAUAAUUUUGAACUGUCAUUAAACAAGUGCAAUUUAAUAAUCUAUUACACAUUACAUUGUCAAAUAUAUUUCACGUGAUUAAAUUUUAUAAAAAUGAUAUGUAUAAAUUUGAAAUUUAUUUUCUGUACUUUUAUUUGUAGGAAUUUCAUUUAUUUAUUUUUAAAAUUUUAAAAUUCAAAUUUAAUUGUUAACCCAUUUUUUUCCUAAAAUUUAUGUGAUAUUUUGAAAUUUAAAAAAAUACACAUUCACUCCUACUAUUGUUUCUAGAAAAGUUGAAUUGGAAUUUUGGUAGAUAAAACGACUGAAGCAUGAAGAUCACCGUGUGCCAAAUUCAACCACCUUCCUUUUCUUAUACAAAAUUUUAAAGAGUUUCACAAUGAUGCCCUCGAGAAAAGAAAGUAUACAUUAAAGGAAAAAGGAAUUGUGUAAUGAGUGAUGUCAGCUUCACCGAUUAUUUCUUCUUAUCACAUGCCAAAGCAAUUUCCUUGUACAGACUGGGAAAACUCCUGGAAUUUCGUCCAAGUUUGAACGAGGUCGAGUUUUAUAUAAUACUGGACUACCAAGUGUAUGAAGUCGACCAAACACAUAGAUUACUUCGUCCGUAAUAAAUAAUAAUAAUAAUGUCGUGUUUGAUCAUGCUUGUGUUGCUGCUUUUCCUCCUGGUUGUUGCAUCUUCAGAUAUCAACCAGGGCCAGUUUAGUUUCAAUGGUUACUAGAAUGUCGAGGGAGUUGCAGGCGUAGAUUCAAGUGGGCUGUUUACACUUACAAAAUACCACAAGCCGAAUAAGUGGUCAAAUCUUCUACAAGAAUCCGAUCCAGUUCAAGAACUCCACAAAUGCAACUGUUUCCCCCUUCCCCACUACAUUCAUUUUUGCAAUUAUACCUGGAUACACCGACCUUGGUGGCCAUGGAUUGGCCUUCGUUGUCUCCCCUAACGAUGAAAUUUCUGAAGCUCUUCCCACCCACUAUCUCGGUCUUUUCAUUGAAACAAACAUAGGCUUAGACUCGAACCAUGUUGUGGCGCUUGAGCUGGGCACGGCCCGGACCAUUGCGGUCGGUGACAUAGACGGCAACCACGUCGGCAUCGACAUCAAUAACCCAAGAUCAGUGACAGCUGCUUCUGCUGGGUAUUUCACUGAUGAAAGUGAGUUCAAAAAUCUCAACCUCAAGAGUGGAUAUCCAAUGCAGGUUUGGGUUGAAUACGACGGGGUCUAGAAGCAACUUGAUGUUACAUUGUACCCAAUCAAUGUAACGAAGCCAAAACCUCACUUUUAUCCUUGAAAAAGGAUCUGUCUCCAUAUUUGUAUGAGUCUAUGUUUUUCGGCUUCUCGUCGUCCACCGGUGUUCUUGUAUCGUCGCACUACAUAUUGGCUAUUCUAAGGACAUGAUUUUUUUGCAUCUCAAUCAAAGGUUUGAAAAGUUGAAUUCUUUGAGGUGCCCAUUCAAUAGACUAAGAAAGCUGAAAAGUUGAAAUUAUAUUUAUCAUAACAUAUCAUUUUUUAUUUAUAUCAAGGAUUUUAUCAUGUUAGCAUUAUGGACACGAAUAUAAUGAAUACUAAUUUAUGGUAAAUAAGAAUCUAUUUGUACGAUCAAACAAAAAAAGGGGAAAAAAAUCAGAAAAGAGAAACUUAUAAAAUUAACUAAUAGGGGAAAAAUCUUGAAAAAGCUAGUGAAGUAGUUUACCACAUUUAAUGCUUCUUCCCUGAUUUGGCCAUUAUAAAAUUGAAAGUUUUUUGCAUCCGUUUUGGUUGCCUUCUUCCUUCGCUUCAUCAUAGAUAUUAGGUUUCUGUUUUAUGUGAGAAGUGCCAUCUACUGAUCCAUAAAGGUGUGAGCAGAGUGUUGGUGGAUGUGAGAAGAUUGAGUGGUAUGUCACUGCAACUCUUUUAUUUCUUCCAAAUCUUUCUCAUACACUAUUCUAGCACCACACUUCUUCACCUUAGCAUUGUCUUCAUCAUUUGGGUUUGAGAAAGACACCUCUAACUCAUAACAUUUUUCAUCUGAGCAAUCUGUUGCCCAUAAAUUAUUGGUUUCACAAUGACCAUAUUUAUCCUCCAAGGAAAAUGGAUAUACUUUAUCACGCGACCAAUAACGAAGAAAAAGGUGAUCUUUCAUUAUGGGCUGGUUAAAUCGUUUAUCCACCAACCAGCCGCUCCCAUCAAUCCGUCGAGGAUUUUUACCUCGAAAAUUAGAUCCAUUACAACUGGCUUCUUCAGAAUUUCUACAAUAGAUAAUUGCUCCACAACCGAUAUGCUCGUCAUCCCUUGAAGCAUCAUUAUUGACAAAAAUGCAGCAACAAGCAACUCCAAUCCAUUGACUAUCUUUCGGAACGGGUAUCUUAAUUGAAGAGUCACUUUUUUGUUGGAUAAACCAUUCUGGGAUUUCACUUCCGGGCAUCAUAAUAUCAAACUUUUUUCUUGAAUUUGCCAAUGCCUGCAAAAUAAAACACAAGUCGUUUGGUAACUAAAACCAUACAUUCUCAAGUAUGAGAUUUUGUAAGGGAGAAAAUAGAGAUUAAUCGACCUUAAGAUGUUUUUUCAGCAGUGUUAAUGCAUUGAUAUUUUCAGCCAAUUUGAAGCAGUUAAUGGCUUUAAUGAGACCAAAAUCCAAUAAAUUGCAUACAUUUGAUGGACUUGCAACUACUUCAAGUGAAGAGCAAUCAUCUAUACGCACAUCUGCUAUACUUGUUAGAAGCUCUGGCAACGAUUUAAGCAUCUUGCAAUUUGAUAAUGCAAGGAAAUUAAGCCUGCUAAGUUGAGUAAGAGCCAAGGGAAUGGUGAUGAAAUUGUUCCCCGUAAGAUAAAGAUAACUCAAAGAGGAUAGACCGUGAAUAUCUGCUUCACCAAGUGUGCACAUGUUGCAAUUUGACAAAUCAAGAAACCAAAGCUUCGAGAGCCGAGUAAGAGAUGCAGGUAUGCUGAUGAAAUUGUUACCACUAAGAUCAACAUCUGUCAAGGAGGAUAGACUAGAAAUAUCACGUGGAAUAUCUCCUUCACAAAGAUUGCAGUUCCUUAGUUUUAGCUCUCUUAAUGAACUCAAACCUAACAGCGAAGGCAACAUCCGAGGCAUGGGAUUCUUCCUUCUUCCUACAAUUACCUUGAAAAGAGAAGACAAAUUUGGUCGUAACUUUGCUUGCUGCAAAUUCUCCGACAAAUUUUCAACUCUAUAACAACCAGAAAGAUCUAGAGUUUUAAGAUGUUCCAUUUUUCUAUCAAUCUCCGGAAACCUUACAAGACUUGAGCAACCCGAAAGAAUUAAUGUUUCAAGAGAUUCCAUUCCAAUUUUGGUCGGAAGAUUUCUAAGACUUUUGCAAUCUCUUAAAUUCAAAAGUUUAAGGCUCUUAAGCACUCCUAUUGAUGGAUGAACAUCCACUAAUUUGGUACAACCUUCCAAAAUCAAAACUUCAAGAUUUGGUGCUGUUGUGAAGUCUGGUAUCUUGAGCAGGUUUUGGGACCCUUUGAGGUUGAUUAUUUUCAACUUAUACAAGGGCUGUUGAAGACAAUAAAUAAUUAGACAGAAAACAUAAUAAUGCUAACUUUUGUAUUCUUUACCUUAACCAAAGUUUAAUCAUUUAUAUUAAAAUAAGCUAAAACGAUGAGUUAAUUCUUACUCUAUUUCCCUUCCAUAGUUGUUCAAUGUGACUAUAUGGUAAAAGAAGUGCGACAAGGUUGUCCGGUUGAAAGCUUGAAGGCAAGCAUCUUAAAGGAUAUCCUGUCCAAUCUAAAAGCCGUAGUUCAUUAGAAAGAUAUUUGAUAUCAUCACAAUUUGAGACACAAAGCACUUUGAGCAAUCUCAAUUUUUUCAUCUUCAAGAAGGUAUCGAUUCUCAAAUUAAGCAUCUUGCUUGAGUCCCUAAUAACCAUGAGCAAAACAAAAAUAAGCUUCAAAAUAUACAAAAACAUUCAAUAUCUAAAAGCCAUGCUGGAUCGAUAUUGCUUUUUUAAGUAUCCAUAUCUAGCACUUAUAUCUAUUGCAUAUCUGAAUAUGGUAUUGAGAUAUGAUUAACAUAUUAGACAAUACUUUAUCUAACACUUAUAUUCGACUUUUAAUUACCUAAGCCUAAAAUAACUAGAACUAAUAUUUUGAUUUAUGUUUGGUGCACUGAUGUAUUGUUCUAUACAUUACCAGUGAACCAAAUGGUGGCAUGACCUGAAUUUAUUUUUAAGAACUUAUAAUGACAUGUUAUAACCUAGUUCAUUGAUAUAGAUUUUCGUUACAUCAAAUAUAAACCAUUACAUUAGCAAAGACUAUGAAACACAUCUCUUUAUAAUUUCUUUUGAAAGAGUAAUGUGUUCCUAUAUAAAUUUUAUAAAUAGAACAUAAAAAAAAAUUAAGCCUUAAGGGUGUACUUAGUUGAGUGAAAAAAUCAAAGGAUAUGGGGAUGAAUUGUGCUUGGUAAAGAAGAAAAGUGAGAAGAAAAAAAAGCGGAGAAAUGAUCAUUUUAUAUUAGUAAGAAGGGAAAUGUAUUAUCUUUCAAUUUUCUGUUUACUCUACCAAGCAACGUCAAAAGGUCUUUUUGUUGUUUUUUAUUGGACUUUUUACAAAAAAAAAUAAUAAUAACACUACUAGGAGUACAUAUUGAUAAAUUUAUAUGUUUCUUUUCCUACCUUUUAUUGUCGAUGAUUAUGCCUUCUAUCACUUCAGUAGCCUGAAAAUAAUCAAGAAUCGAUAAUAAGAAGAUAAAAUUAAUGCUCUAAAUUAUACGAUAAAACUUUUAAAAAUUUACAUACAUGUUCAACAUUAUCGCAAUCUUUUGGUCAAAAUAUAGUAAUUAAACUAUAUUCUAAUGAGAGUAAUUCAAUAAAAUUAAACAUUUAUAUUACAAAUCAUUAUUAAUAUUUAUAAUCAGCAAAUGAAAAUUAUCUUAAAGCAAUUAAGAUAAAAGAAAAUUAUUAAUAUUUACAUACAAUGUCAGUUAAGGAUCCAUAUAUAAACCAAUUAGACUAAGCUUUGGAUUUACACCAUAUAUUGAUAAAAGAAAAUUUUGCAUGUAAAUUUUGUUGAAUGGUUUACCGUAUUUUUUGUUAGAACAUGAUGGACAUCCUUUUCCUUCCACAAUCUGCAACAUUUUCCAGGUUCAUUAACACAUUUUUCUUCAACAAUUUUUCUUCGCAUUUCUUGCAACAAGGCAUGCAUCUGCAAAUAUUGGUUGUCAUCACUGACUUUUAUGAGAGAUUUCUUAAUGAGAACAUCGAUUCCAAUAUCUGGAAAAAACUCACAACCAUCCAAUACUUUCAUUACCAAAUCUUUCUCCUCCCCAUUGAAAAAGCAUGCUAUAUCUAGAAAUAUAUUCUUCUCCCUUUCUUCCAAUCCAUCAAAGCUAAUUCGUAGUGUGUCAAGAAUUUCUUUGUUAGAAUCUUGUUUAAGUCUUUCGAUUGCACUUCUCCAUUGAAUUAUAUCUCUACCGAACAAAAAUGAACCCAAAACUUCAAGAGCUAAGGGGAGACCAUCAACAUAAUGUACAACAUGUUCAGAAAGUUGAUUGAAAUCAUCUUUUGUAGUUGUAUCACCACCAAAAGCUUUCAAAUUGAAAAGCCUUAGUGCAUCGUUGGUGUUCAAUGUUGUAGGCUUAUACACAUCAUCGAUUCGAUAAGAUUGGAACAAAUGUUCAUCUCUUGUUGUUACAAUGAUCCUACUACCUAAACUGAACCAAUCACGCCUUCCAACCAAGCAUUUCAAGUGUUGUACAUUAUCAACAUCAUCAAGAACAACAAGAACUUUUUUGCUAGACAACCUGCGGCUAAUUAUGGCAUUCCCUUCGUGAACAUUGAAAAAAUUGAAGCAUUCAUUUGGCAAUAUUUGAUAAAGAAGUUGUUUGUGUAAAGAAACAAGUCCACACUUGUUUGAAACUUCUCGAAUAUCAGCAAGAAAGCUUUUACCUUCAAAAUGAGGUGACAUUUGAGUGUAAACAACCCUUGCAAGAGUUGUUUUACCGAUGCCACCCAUUCCACAAAUUCCUAUAAUGCGGACAUCGUCUUCCCCAAUAUUUAUCUUCGAAUACAACUGCUCCAAACGUGAACUAAUUCCAACCAACUCAUCAUGAAGAACUGGAUAUGUCUGACAUAAUUUUGCUGAUAUCUUCUUAACGAUGUCUCCAAUAAACUCUGAUUCAUGCCUACAAUGAAAUUAAAUUUCGAUGCUAUAUUUCAAAUGCACUUCUUCAUUUUUAGUUCAAUGAAUAAUGAAAUAUAAUAUAGUUGGAAGCAAACAAAAAGCAAGAAUAAGACAGCAAGAUCUGUUAUAGCAUCAAAUGACACAACUUGCUCCUUAGUUGAAAUAUGGGGAUUCUCAAUUAAACACAAAAUUAUAUAUAAAAAAAAUGCAAUCCAAAAAAAAAAUAGUCAUUAAAAUUAGGAAAUAUAGAAGAAAAGAAAGAAAUACCUAUUAUGUAAAUGCCAUCCUUUGAUGUUAGCUACUUGAGUCAAAGCAUUUCGCCACUUUUGGAUCUUGUCUGUAUCUUCCUUGUACCUCUCUUGGUGUUUGGCGAAGGCUUCUUCAACUUUUCCUUUUUGUUUUCUUAAAUCGGAUGGAUCCACAUCGUAGAAAAUUGGAAAUACUUUAUGUCCGUUCACAUUUUUUUGUUGAACAAUCUCAGCAAGCUCCUCCAAGCACCAUCCUGAAAAGGUAUAGGUUUUUGAAAAAACGAUUACCGAGCACCAUGAUUGCUGAAUUGCAUUGAAGAGUUCAGGUGCGAUCUCUUCACCAGCCUCCAGCUUUGGAUCAUCUCUGAAGGUGACGAUCCCACUCCUCUUUAGAGCAUCAUAAAGAUGAUCCGUGAAGUUGUUGCUAGUAUCUUCACCUCUAAAACUCAAGAAAACAUCAUAUUUCUUUUUAGAAAUGGAGGAAGAAGUUGACGGUAACGACAACAUGAGGAUGUAUGAAAGGAGAUGGAUAUCUCAAUCUGGUGUUCAAAAUCAGAAAAUAGAUCGCCCGAUACCCACAAAGAAACUAGAAAAAGUAAGUAUAUGAGCAUAGGGGCAGAAAUUAGGGGUCAAAAGAUGAGCAAUGGAUGUUCUUGCCAAGAAGUAUCCAAGAAGGUGAGAGUUGGUAAAGUGGAAAUUAAGUAAUAAUUAAAAAGUUGGACGGUUUGUAAUAAUUAUGAGUAGAUGAGAUUAUGACUAAUAAUUAAUAGAAUUAAUUUAUGGGCUGGUUAAAAAGUUUACCAAACAACCAACUACUCGCAUCCACACGUGGAAGAUUUCUAUCCCCAGAGACAGAUCCAUUUCGACCAGCUUGUCCAGAAUUUCUACAAUGGAUAACAGCUCUGGAGAUGAUAACAGCUCUGGAGAUGAUAAACUUACUCUGGCAGGCAGAAGUCAGAAUUUUUUUUUUAAGUUAACUUUUAUGAUAUUAAAAAUAUAAUUUUAUAAUCUUAAUAUUUAAAAUAUUUUAUAACUUUAUAAUAUUUAAAAUAUUUAAAGGAUUAAAUUAAAUUUUUAUUAUUUUUAAAGAAUUAAAGUGUAAUUUAAUCUUUACUAAUUUAAAAUUUUAAAAAUCUUAAAAAGUUUAAAUGAAAAACUUUUCAGGAGAACCAAACCUACCAUCCCUAGAUUCGCCUCUGUAUCCCGAGAAGCAUCAUCAUCGAUAAAAAUGCAACAGGAAGCUACUCCCUUCAUUUGUCUUGAAUUUGCAAAAUAAAACUUCAGCGCUUGGUAAAUAAAACCAUAAAUUCCCUUCAUGGACAUUGAAAACUUUUGUAGCUAAUUACGCCUGAGAUUUUGCUCCUGAUUCAUCCUGUUCGCCCUAAGCUGCCUGCCUUUGCCUUUCCAUUUAUUCCUGGAUAAAUUUCUGUUGUUCUUCAUAUUUCUUCUAAUGAGAGGACAUUUGCUCCUCCAUAACUCUUAUUCUUUUCUGCAUGUCCAAAUAUUGCUAACUACCAGACUGAUGAUGCUAGGACCUUUGAUCCAUUGGUGAUGCUUCGGCAUGGUGUUUAAUUUUUGGGGUUAUAAUACCAUGAAGGAGUAUUGGUAAAACUGAUGGUAUGAAUUUUGUUGGUUUUGAUUUUGUGGGGAUAUUGUUGAAACAUACAUUAGAUCCUGGUUUGAUUUCUUAGUUUGCUCCAUAUUUGCUUCGAUACUCUGACCAAUGAGGUUUGUAACUUGAACAUUGGCAAGGUCAAACUCAAUAAUAGGAGGAUCAUUGGGAUCUAGAUGUUUCAUGCUUGUCUACGCUUACCGCACCAAUUGUUAACUAGUGAGGUGAACAAAAGGAAGAAGAUGUUGGUUUGAUGAAGGAGGUGUUGGAACAUUUUCAAAUAUUUAUAGUAUCCCAAAAGGUCGUAAAUAAACCAUGCAAUGCAUGCAUACUUAUUCUAAAAUGGACACGACACCUUUUACUAAUAUUAUUCUUUCUUGCACUCCCAUUGGCUUAGGUACACUGCAUGCGUUGUCCCUUCAUGCCGUCUAUUUAAUAAUGUCGUUAAUAAUUUUAAUGUGGUCUUCACUCCAUCCAUCGAUCGUGUCUAGCCUCAGUUUUCCUCCAUACAUCAAAUCAUUUGCAUUUGAAUAUCCCAUCUCUCCUUUUAAUUUUAAUUAUACUGAGUCUUCUUAUGUAAAUUUAGUUUAUUCAGGUUGUGCUUAUGAAUUUAGAUUCAAAAUAUGGAGUUAAAGACGAUUAUAUGAUAAAAGGCAUUGUCUAUGGUUUUUGCUGCAGAAAAUUGUUAACUUUCGGGAUGACGCCAUUAUAAAAUUUGUUUGCAUGAACUAAUUAAUCCAUAGACUUUAAUUAUGUACUAUGUAACGAUUGUAUGAUGAAAGGAAUUGUCUAUGGUUUCUGCUGCAGAAAAUUGUUAACUUUCGAGAUGACGCCAUUAUAAAAUUUGUUUGCAUGAACUAAUUAAUACAUAGACUUUAACUAUGUACUAUGUAGGCGUCCUAGUACAAGGAUUGGGUUGUGAGCAAUACUAAUGGCAGUUAGGCCAUCACAGUACAACUUCAUUGGUGAAGUUAUUGGUUUCCUCAGCUCUUCCAUAAUUCUUUUUAACGACAUCAUUUCACAAAUUCCUUGAGCCAUUGAUCUAAACUCGGCCUCUGCACUACUUCUUGCUACAACACUUUGUUUUUUGCUUCGCCAAGUCACAAGGUUUCCCCAAAAAAAUGUACAGUAUCCUGAUGUAGAUAUUCUAUAUGUUAUUGAGCCUGCCCAAUCUGUAUCUGUAUAAGCUUCAAUUCCACUUUCUUCAAAUUUCUUGAAGAAUAAGUCUUUUCCAGGUGAACUCUUCAAGUAUCUCAGAAUCUGAAACAUUGUUUCUUCAUGUUCUUCCAUUAGGGAGUGCAUAAAUUGACUCACUAAGCUCACUGAAAAAGCUAUGCCUGGCCCUGUAUGUGAUAAGUAAAUUAACUUACCAACUAAUCUUUGGUACUGCCCUUUAUCAACUAAUCGACCUUCUUUAUUUCUGAAUUUUACAUUUGGAUCAAUUAGUGUGUCAGCUGGGCAGCAACCACUCAUCCCAGCCUCUUUUAAAAAAUCAAUCAUAUAUUUUUUCUAAGAGACCACAACACCCUUCUUGGAUCUCAAACUCCAAUGCUAGAUGCUCCUUGAGACGCCUUAUUUAAUCUACAUCAUCUUCUGUAAGAAUGAUAUCAUUGACAUAAACUAUAAUAAUUGUUAUUUUACCUUUUUGACAGUGCCGAUAGAAGUAAGCUUGUUUUUUAACAACUUGAGUGAAUCAUUCAAACCAAGCUCGAAGAGAUUGCUUUAGACCAUACAAAGAUUUCUUGAGCUUACAUACUCGAGUUCCAAAUUUUUACCUUUUUGACCGAGCAACUUUCAUUCCAAGAAAGUAUUUCAAAGGACCCAAGUCUUGGAUCUCAAACUCCAAUGCUAGAUGCUCCUUGAGAUGCCUUAUUUUAUCUACAUCAUCUCCUGUAAGAAUGAUAUCAUCGACAUAAACUAUAAUAAUUGUUAUUUUACCUUUUUGGAAGUGUCGAUAGAACAUUGUGUGAUCAGCUUGCCUUUGUGAGUAACCUUGUUUUUUAACAACUUGAGUGAAUCGUUCAAACCAAGCUCGAAGAGGUUAAUUUAGACCAUACAAAGAUUUCUUGAGCUUACAUACUCGAGUUCCAAAUUUUUCUUCAAAACCUAGAGGAGGAUCUAUGUAAACUUCUUCUUCAAGUUUUUCAUUUAGGAAAGCAUUCUUCACGUCUAGCUGCUAUGAAGACCAAUCAAGAUUAACAGUAAUUGAUAAAAGAACUCUAACAGAAUUUAAUUUGGCUACUGGAGCAAAUGUUUCAAGAUAAUCUAUCUCGUAUAUUUGAGUGCACCCUUUAGCUACCAGCCAGACUUUGUAUCUAUCUAAAGAUCCAUCUGGUUUGAAUUUGGUUGUGAACACCCAUUUACAACCCACUAUUUUUUUCCCUAUAGGUAAUUCUACUAUUUCCCAUGUACCUAUUUUUUCAAGAGCGCGCAUCUCCUUUAAAAUAGCCUCCUUCCACUCAAGAACCUAUAAAGCAUCUUUCACAUUUUUGGGUAUUUCACAGUAUCGAGAUACGAAACAAAGGCUGAGAAUGUCAAAGACAAUGUUUUAUAGGAUACAAAGUUAGACAUGGGGUAUUUGACAAAAUUUCUAACACAUUUUCUUUUAACAAUUGGAAUAUCUAAAUCAGAAAAUUCAUUGGCUGGAUUAUGAGCUUUACCUGGACUUUUGACAAGAUCUUGUAGGUCGGAUUCUUGGUGAUGAAUCUGGUAGAUUCCACUUUCUUGACUUCAGUUUCUUUUUGAGUAAACAAUUAACUCCUUUGUUUGUUCUUUAUUCUCAUGAUCAGACUUUACGCCUUUAUACUCAUUUUUAUUAAUAACAUUAACAUCAUUAAUUUCUGUGUUAAUCAUAAAUUUACCUUCCCCAUUAUUAGAAUCUCUAUGUUGUAUAUUUCUAGUCUUUUCUUGAUCAAUUAUAGAAUCUUCCUUACUAUAAUUUCCUCCCUGAAGAUUAGAAUCAAAAUAAGAUUGCAUUUCAACAAAUGUGACAUCCAUGGUACAAUAAUCUUCCUAUCAAUUGUAUCAUAACAUUUGUAACCUUUUUUAUUAGAAGCAUAGCCAACAAAGGCGCAUUUUUUUUUCUCUAGGAUCUAGUUUACCAUGGUUGUAAAGAUGAACAAAAACACUACACCCAAAAACUCAAAGGGAUAAAUCUAUGAUCAAUUUAAAGUUAGGAAAGUUAUCUUUAAAGAGACGAAAAGGAGCUCUAUAGUUUAGAGUUGUACUGGGCAUUCUAUUAAUAAGAUAUGUAGCUGUUAACAAGGCUUCGCCCCAAAGAUAACGUGGUACCUGACUAGUGAACAUCAAGACUCUAGUUACUCUAAAAAGAUGUUGGUUUUUUCUUUCUACAAUCCCAUUUUGUUGUGGGGUAUUUGUACAAGAGCUUUGGUGGACUAUUCCAUGUUUGAUUAAGAAAACACUUAAUUGGUCACUAAAAAAUUCCCCACUAUUGUCACUCCGAAAUACUUCUAUUUUCACACCAAAUUGUGUUUUCACCAUAGCAUAAAAAGACUGAAACACAUUUUUAACUUCAGACUUAUCUUUUAAUUUAAAAAAACCCAACAAAUACGAAUAUGAUCAUCAAUAAAUGUGACAAACUAACGUUUUCCUGAAAAAGUUGAGACUCUUGAAGGUCCCCUGUAAUCACUGAAUUUUGCCUGGGUUGGAUUUUGGGCCGGGCUGGUCUCGUAUGGGCCCGAUGAUCGGGCCCAUUAAGAUUUAAUUUUGAACUUGUUUUAGCCUAUUUUUAAUUACUGUUUUAAAUAUUAAUAAAAUAGUAGUAAAAAAAAUCUCAAAAAAAAUAUAAAAAAUACAAAAAAAUAUAAAUUACAUUUUAACCCCUCUACUUUUUAAAAUUUACAUUUUGACCCCAAAAUUUUCUUUAAAUUACACUUUGACCCCUAAUAUUUCGUAAAUUACAGUCAAGCCCCUAAACUUUCCAGAAAUUACAUUUUUGCCCUAUAUUUUCCUAAAAUCGCAUUUUUGCCCCAGAAACUUUACACCCGUUACAAUUUAGUCCUUCUGGGCAUGACAAGACUGCCCCCAACCAGCAUCCGGGCGUGCACCGCACCCUACGCCUGACACCGCCAAUCAGCCAUGCUCCCCACCUCCAUGCCACCUGAAAACAAGAAGGAAAAAGACAAAAUUGAAAGAUUAAAAGGAGAAAAUUGAAGAGAAAGGUGGGGAUUUUUGGGCAGCCAAAAACAAAAAAAAACAGCAGAGAAAAGAGAAAAAAAACAGCAGCAAGCCAAAAGCCUCCACCACCACCCUCCCGCAACCAUCGUCGUCGCACCACCAUUGUGACGCCACCACCACCGUCACACCUACACAAAUGAGGGAAGCAACAAGCAAAUUAUAAAAGCAACAAGCAAAGAAAAAAUAGCAACCAAAAAGAAAAGGAAGAAAGAAAAGAAGAGAAGAAGAAAGAAAGAGAGAAGAGGAGAGGCCGACGAUCGUCACACCGGACGGAGGAGGCGGCGGCGGCGUAGUGACUUGGGGCUAAGGUGACCCGAAGAAGAAAGAAAAAAGAAAGAAAAAAGAAGGAAAAAGGGAAAGAAAAUAGAAAUAUAUAUAUAUAUGCCGGGCUAACCCGACCUGAUGACCCGGAUCCGACCCGCGCCCGACCCAGCCAGCAGCCAACAGGCCAACAGCAGGCCACUCCAACUGUUGGGCAGCAGCCCACUAAGGCCCAAUUCGCAGCAAAAAAAAAGAGGCCUGUCUUUCAAGCCCAAAAUUUGGGCCUUUGGUAAUUUUUUUCUUUUUAAUCUAUUUUAUUUUAUUUAAUGUAUUUAAAUUGUGUUUUAUUUAAUUUAAAUUAGUAUGUUUAAAAAUAGUUUUCAUAGAUAUUAUUAUGUCAUUUUAAUUACAUAUUUUUUUAAAAUAAUAAUGAUAAAUAUUUUAAUGCAUAAGGCAACGAACCGAUUUAGCAUCGAAUCAUCGAAUUCAUCGCUAUGUUGGAUGAAUAUCGAUGGCUCGUGUUAAAUACGGGACGCCCUUCUAAAAAAUCAAAAAUAUUCAAAAUUCCUCGUAUUUCAAUAAAAAUCCUCCUGUUUCAUUAGAAUCCCGAUUAAAUAUUAAAUUGAAUUGAUUUAACACUAAUUCGAUGGUUUCAUCGCCAUAUCGGGGUGAAUAUCAUCAAUUCGUGUUAAAUACGUUAUUUUUUAAAGAAAAAUCGUUUUUAAAAAAUUUUCAUGUUUUCAAAAUUUUCUCGUAUUUCAAAAUUUUUGACUUUUUGCGUUUUCAAAAAAAAUUCUCGUGUUUCAAAAUUGUCGUGUUUUCAAAAAUCUUCGUGUUUUUAAGAAUUUUUGUGUCUCUAAAAUUCUCGUGUUUUAAAAUUUUUUCGUGUUUCCAAAAUAAUAAUAGUAAUAAUUGUUUCAAAAAUCUGUGUUAAAAAAAUUCGUAUUUUGAUCGGAUCGCGAUUAACUAUUAAAUUGAACUCGUAUUUUUGAAAAUGAAGACAACGCGCGUUUAACGAGAUACCAAUUUUGGGCGUCGCGAGGGUGCUAAAACCUUCCUCGCGCGUAACCAACUCCCGAACCCUAAUUUUCUCUGGAUUUCAACGUAGACCUAAAAUUGCCUCUUUUUUAGAAAAGUUUAAAAUUAAAUUUUUUCUUCUAAAAAGAGAGUUUUGAAGGUGUCCGAUCACACCUAGAAAAAGAUUGGUGGCGACUCCUUUUUUUUUCAAAUAAAAUCAAAACUCCGCUUUCAAAUUUUUCAACAAUCAAUUUGAUUAGCGCCCGUACUCGAAAUUUUUUAGGUCGCUACAUCCCCAAACAUCACUAUGAAUUAAUGAAAAAGGUUUGGAAACUUAAUAUUUUUAAGGUGGAAAGACUGACCGAUGAUGUUUAGCCUGUUCACAAAAUUCACAAUGAUAUGAAUAAGGACUUUUAUUUUUAAAUAGAUUAUUUAACAAAUAUCUUAACUAGUAAAAAUUAGGAUGAACAAGCCUAUAAUGCCAAAUCAUAAUUUUAUCAAAACCAGAAACAGAAUUUAAACAUAAAGUAGUUGUUGGUUGACUUAGAUGGUCGUCGUCAAUAAAGUAAAUUCCACCAGAUUCUUUAGCAUUGCCAAGCAUCCUCCCUGAGACCAUGUCCUGAAAUUUACACAGAGAUGAGUUAAAUAUAACAUUGACAAUUCGAGGAUUGGAAUAAUUUACUGACUGAUAUGAGAUCACAAGCUAGAUUUGGUACAUGUAAAACAUCAUGUAAAACCAAGGAAGAAGAAAUUUUAACAGUGCAUUUCCCAGCUAUUGCCGAGAACGACCCAUCUACUACUUUGAUCUUUUUGUUUCCUGCACAAGAUGUGUAAGUUGAGAAAAGAAAAUGACUACUAGUCAUGUGAUCACCUGCUCCAGAAUCGAUGAUCCACGUGUUGUUUUACAAGGCUUGACACUGAAAAAAAUAAAAAAAAUUUAGUACCUGAUUGAGCAAAGGAGAAAGAAGGAUUAUUGGAUGAGUUAAGAAUAGAAGAAUUCGUCCAAAAUUGUGGUGACUGAAAAAGUUUGUGUAGAUGCUCUAAUUGUUCCUUAAUGAAUGGAGACCCUUCUAAAGAACUUUGACCCUCAUAAUUUUUAGUAGUUGUUUUAAAAACUCUACUAUCCCCUAAUUAUGAACCACGACCAUUGCCACUCUUUUUUUUCCAUUCAUCGGUUUUCCAUGGAGCUUCCAACACGUUUCUCGAGUGUUAAGGGUUAAGGGUUCAACUAAGAAACUUAACAAAAUUCUGAAAUUUAUGUAACUCAAACCUCAAACCUUUAGUGAGCAAACAAAGCACACAACCACAGAAGCAAACACAUUUUCCUUGACACAACUUAGCAAUUAAAAUUCAAAUUUUGGGGCGUUACAAUGUUGCAAAGCUAGUUUGUAACAAAACAUAUAUAUAAAUUGAAUUCAAAUCAUGCAUAAAAGUACAAACCAUAUUCGAGUUCCAAUCGUGUGUUCGAGAUUUUCCUUUCAGAGUUUUGAACUAACAAUUUUAAUGUAAUAUUUCAUGAUGACUACUACAACACAUGAAAGUGGAACACUAAGGGAGUUGGCUUCCAACUUUGUUGAACUUGAUCGUUUUGAUGGUGGCAAUUUUCGACGAUGGCAGAAAAAGAUGCACUUUUUAUUAUCAACUUUGAAGAUUGCUUAUGUUUUGGAUACUCCAAGACCUGAAGAGAAUGAAAACGAAUCUGUUGCUGCAACCCGAGAAAGACAAAAAUGGGACAAUGCUGAUUGCAUGUGCAUGUGUAAUACCCCAAAAAUUUUUACAGUAAGAUAUUAUCUUUGAUAUAAUAAAUAAGGAAAUAAAGUGAAAAAAAGGGGAAAUUUUGGAGCUAUGUCAACAUUGGGAAGUAUAUUAUGACAUAUUAGUUCAAGAAAGGAUUAAAUCGCAAAAGUGAGAAAAGUUUUGUUGCCCAAGAGUAAAUACUCAAAAUUUGAGGGGUUAAAGUGUAAAUAUGAAAAGUUAAAGGACCAAUGGUGUAAAUAUUUUAAGAGUAGAAUGAUCUAGAAACUAAGUAAAAUGGAUGGAUUAGGACCAAAUUGAAAAAUGUGAAGAAUUUUAAGGGACUAAAUUACAAUUUUACCAAAUUAAAUGAUGACUAAAGGAUGGAAUUUUAAAAGAUUAUAAAGGGAAAAAUGGUCAAUUAGAGAGAGAGAAUUCUAGAAGGUAAUGAUGAUGUUGGUGAUAUUUUUAAUUAAUUAAUUAGAUAAAUGUUAUUUAAGUUUUUUUUUUUUUGAAUUUGUAAAUUGCUGCAAAAGAAAACAUUGGUCGUUUGGGAACGAGAACCAUAAAUUAUCAAGAACCUUCGGUUUUUUUCAACAAUGUUAAUGCAUUGAUGUACUCUGCCAAUCUAUAACAGUUAACCACUUUAAUGAAAGUCGAAAGCGCUAAAUUGGGUACUUCCAAUGGACUUGCAAGUUCAUCUACUUCAAGCGAAGCACAACCAUCUAACCGCACAUCUUCUAUACUUGUUAGAAGCUCAGGCACUGAUUUAAGCUCCUUGCAAUUUGACAAUCGAAGGGUUUAAAGCUUUGAAAGUCGAGUAAGAGUUGAAGGAACGCCAUUGAAAUUGUUACCACUAAGAUCAAGUAAUAUCAAAGAGGAUAAACCAGAAACAUCACUUGGAAUAUCUGCUUCACAAAGAUUGCGAACAUUGCUAUUUGACAAUCAAAGAUAUUGAAGCUUGGAGAGUCGCAUAAGAGACACGGGUAUGUUGCUGAAACUGUUACCACUAAGAUCAAGUUUUUUCAAAGAGGAUAAACAAGAAAUAUCACUAGGAAUGUCUCCUUCCCGAAGAUUGCUAUCCCUUAGAUUCAACUCUCUUAAACGGGACAGGAAGGCAACAUCAGAGCCAUGGAAUUCAUUCUUCCUCUUUGGAUUACCUUGGAAAGAGAAGAAAGAUUUCUUUGUACCUUAGAUUGCAUCCAUUGAAAGAAAAAACUUCAAGAUUUUUCAAUUAAAAAAUGAAGGAUGGUAGUUUUGUUAUAGUUGUUUCACUUAAGUCAAGCUCUUCCAAAAAUUCUAAUUGCAGUGAACUAUGGCAAAUUUUCUAACUUUAUAUAACAGCCAGAAAGAUCAAGAGUUUGUAGGCAUCCCAUUUUCCCAUCAAUCUCUGAAACCUUACAAGAUUUGAACAACCGAAAGAAUUAAUGUUUCAAGAGAUUCCAUUCCAAUUUUGGUUGGAAGACUCCUAAGAUUCCAUUCCAAUUUUUGUGGUCAUAGGUGGCGAUUAUAGUGGUGAGAGGUUCGUGUCUUUAAAGUGUAAGAGUGAAGGAAACAAUCAAGAUGUGUGUGAUUAAGUAGGUUUAUUUUGUAAUUGUAGAAAAUAGUACACACUUUAAACUGAGUUAGGCUCCACAGACGUAGGGGGUAACUAAACUGCGUAAUCAUCUUCGUGUGUUUUGUGUGUUUUUUUGUUUUUCUCAUUUAGUACUUGAAGAAGUGCCCACUAACUUAGGUACCAAUUUCUUAGUGUUGUAUCUCUAUUAGCAACGCACUUCUUGCUAGCAAUAGUUUUUUUUUUUUCAAAAGCUUUUACAUUUUUAUUUCUUUAAUGAUUCAUUAGUUUUUGUUUAAAAAAAAAGUUUUUCAUAAGGGCAAGGAUGAAAUUAAAAUUUGACGUCAACUUGAUUUUUUUUUUAAUAAUAGCUAAAGCUACUCAUAGUCUCUUCCCAACCCUUAAAAAGGAGGAUAACAUGCUUCAGCUCGCUUAAACUCACAUUCUCCUACGCUGGCAACAAUGUCAAUGUCAAUUUAAAACUUGAAUACAAAUUAUUUAUCUCUUCACUUAUUAUUCAAUUAGAUAUAAAAAUUGUUUUGCUUAUAGUUUAGUUAUAUUUUUAAUUGAUUGAACUAGUUUAGUUUAGUUAUACAAAAACUUGAUGACAUAUUUAGGCUUCCAACAUUACAAAAAUAAAAGUCUUUUUAGCUUUCUAUUUAAUUUUUUGCCUCUCUUUAAUCCUCAAACUUAAGUUUAUUUUUUUGUCAGAUCACAGCAAAAGUGAUCAAACGUUUAAUUUGCUAAUGUGGAACAAAUAAUUAAUUUUUAAUAUUUUUUGAAUUUUUAAAAAAUUAUAAUAUAUUUUUUAUUUUUAUAAAAUUUUUAAAUAAUCUUAAUAACUUUCUAUUUUUUGGAAAUUUUUAAAAUUAAUUAAUAAGGCAUUAUGCCAUUUGAUUUUUACUGAACCCGACUGUUUUAGCUUUCACUAAAAUACUGCCAGCUCUACCAACUUUGGAGCAUUGUAGAGAUGAUCUGUGAAGUUGUUGCGAGUAUCUUCACCUCUAAAACUCAAGAAAACAUCAUAUUUCCUUUUAGAAAUGGACGAUGGAGUUGAAGGUAACGACAACAUGAGGAUAUAUGAGAAGAAAAAGAUAUCUCAAUUUAGUGCUCAAAAUCAGAAAAUAGUUCGCUCAAUACCACAGAAAGAAACUGGGAACAAUGGGUUGAUGAGGAUAAGAAAGAGAAAAGCAGAUCUACAAAUAGAUGAGGGAUGAUGUUCUUUCCAAGAAGGUGAGAGUUGAUUUUAUAUCGGAUAUAUAUAAUAGUGCUAUUAAAUUAUUUGUAUGCAAUUAUUGAAUAAAGUUAUCAAACAUAAACUCAGUGAGUCACAUGGCCUGGACAUACACCUGUGUGUCUCACCUGUGUGACUCUAAUAUGAAUUUAGUGAGUUACACGGCCUGGACACACGCCCGUGUGUCUCACCCGUGUGACCCCUACAUCUCAUUACCCACACACAGCCUCUCCCACGCCCGUGUGUCUACAAAUUCAAAGUCAAGGAGUUACACGGCCCGCCACACAGCCUCCCACAUAGUCGUGUGACUCACACGGCCAGCACACGCGCCCGUGUGCAGUUGACACUCCCGAUUCUGGCGAAGAAAAAAACACAGAAAAAGAGGGGUUUUGGCACCCACCUGUUACCCGAUGCUGAAGAAGCACCCAAUUAUAAAAUCCAAGCCUAAAACAAGUUCAAAACACUCAAUUCAAUAAAACUUCCGCAAAAUACGCAAGCACCAACAAUCAAACUUCGUCGAAACAAGUGAAAGAUUACUUACCACGGAUUCCUAGUACUCACUCAAUUCCUAAGUAAACGAUAGGCGUUAGGCAUCUUUUGAAUUCCUCCCUAAUGUAACGAAACAACGCAUAACAAGUUAUCAGACCCCAAGACUUAUGAAAACCCCAAAUUCAAAAUGACAGACUUUAUGAAAAUAUCGACUUAACUUACCUUGAAACACACCAGAACAAGCAAAAAGGCGAUCUAACGAAGCAAUUUAUACGAAAGAACAGACAAUAAAAGAAAAGAAUUAAGGAAAUAUGAACAGAAAAGAAAGAAAGAAAAAGAACAAUUUGGGAAAGAAAAAAAAUGAAGAAGAACGUCAAAUCCAAGAGGGAAGGACAUUUAAAUUUCAAAUCAAUUUUUACUGAAUAUCCAAAAAUAAAAUCAUUGUUGCAAACGCUAUAACUUGAACGCAGAAUUAGAGAGUAGACAGACAUUUAACCGGUGAACCAGCAAGUUUAUUUUUGACAUAAGCUGCACAAAACUAAACUUAAACAAAGAAUCCUAAGUUAAGGGUUCAAGUAAGAAAUUUAACAAAAUUCUGAAAUUUAUGUAACUCAAACCUCAAACCUUUAGUGAGCAAACAAAGCACACAACCACAAAAGCAAACACAUUUUCAUUGACACAGCUUAGCAAUUAAAACUCAAAUUUUGGAGCGUUACAAUGUUGCAAAGCUAGUUUGUAACAAGACAUAUAUAUAAAUUGAAUUCAAACCAUGCAUAAAAGUACAAACCAUAUUCGUUUCUCGUCUACGACUCUCGCAUUUCCUUUUUCUCGAGACAAUCUAACAUCAUCUUUAGCUAUGUACAAUAAUAUAAGUAUAGAAACGAUAUUAGUUUUUCAUCCAAUCACAUUAAAAACAAAUAAUCAAACAUAUUUUGCAUUUUAUUCAUUUUAGUCAAAUACUCAUAUUUUCCAAUAUUUAAUAGCGGAUGAAAAUCUGAUUUCAUAUAUAUCCUUUCAUUAGAGACAUUAUACUUUUAAUCUAUAGCAUAAUUUAUUAAAAAUUUUUAAUUUAUUAAAUUCAUCCCUAAGGUCACAAAAUUAUAUUUAAAGCUUAACUUGAUUUCUAACUUAAACCUUAACAUGAUUUAAGUUUACUAACUAACAAUCUCUUCAAUUUCAAGCUUAAUUUUAUCAAUUAUACAUCAAUGGUAACUUGCUAGACAUCUAACAAUUAAAGAAAUCGAUACAUGGGUAGCUAAACCAAACUCUAAUGUUUCAAAAUUCAUAAAAAUCUUAAGGAAAGAACUUAAUUACCUUGAUUAAUUUUGGAUUAAAAUGGAAAAGAAAAGAAAGAAGUUUUUCCUUCUUCUUAGCUUGGGACGACCAAACACAAUAAGAAAGAUAACUUCAUCUUUCUCUCCACUCACUUUUAAAAUCUUAAUUAGAUUAAUUAAUCAUCAUUAAUAAUAUAAUUUUAAUAAGUUAGUUUUAAUUAAUCAAGUCAAUUAAGAUAAGUGGAUGUAAUCUUACCAUUGCACUAUCAUAUUUUAAUAAUCAUCAAUUUAUUUUAAGGUCCUUAGAUUAAUUAUUAAUUAAGUCCUCAAUUAUUUUCUAAAUUAAAAUUUAAUAGCGAUUAAACUUUUAAAAUUUACGGCCUAAACUUUAAUUAUUGAUUUUCUGACUUAAUUACCGGUUUUUUAAUAUAUUUUUAUACUAACUUUGUCAAUACUUCUAUUCAUAUUUUCUAUCUCUAAGUAAAUAUAUAAUGAAAAAAUUUUAAUAAAAAAAUGAAACCAAUCAAAAUAUACACAUUUCAAUUAUAUAAAAAAAUGAAUUAAAUGAUAAAAAUUUUAAAUAGAAUAUGAGCUUAUGUUCAAAAUGAGUAUGAAUGAAGAUUUUAAUUUUUUUUGGAAAGAUCAUAUCUCAAAUGCAAAUAAAUUUAGAAUGAUUACUUUAAAUGAAAUAAAAAUUAUAAACAAGGUAGAUGUUUAAGUAGCUUACCACAGUUAAUGCUUCUUCGAUUGACCCAUUAUAAAAUUGAAAAACUUUUCCGUUUUGGUUGCAGCCCUUCUUCCCCUGCUUCCUUGUAGAUAUUAUGUUUUCGUUUUAUGUGAGUAGUGAGCAGAGUGUUGGUAGAUGUGUUCAAAAUUUAGAAAAGAUUGAGUGGUAUGGCACUGCAACUCUUUUAUUUCUUUCAAAUCUUUCUCAUGCAUUAUUCUAACACCACACUUCUUCACCUUGGCACUGCGUCCAAAAGGAUCUAUGAAAGACACCUCAAGCUCAUCCCAUUUUUUAUCUAAGCAAUCUGUUGCCCAUAAAUUGCUGGUUUCACAGUCACCAUAUUUAUCGUCCAAGGAAGAUGAGUAUAAGUUAUCACGAGACCAAUAAUGAAGAAAAAGGUGAUCUUUCAUUAUGGGCUCGUUAAGUCGUUUACCCACCAACGAGCCUGUCCAAUCAAUCAGUCCAGGAUUUUUACAAUAGAUAAAUGUUCGACAAUUGAUAACCUCGUCAUCCCUUGAAGCAUCAUUAUUGACAAAAAUGCAGCAAGAAGCAACUCCAAUCCAUUGACUAUCUUUCCGAAGGGGUAUCUUAAUUAAAGAGUCACUUUUUUUUUGGCUAAACCAUUCUGGGAUUUCACUUCCGGGCAUAAUAAUGUCAAACCUUUUUAUUGAAUUUGCAAAUGCCUGCAAAAUAAAACACAAGUCGUUUGGUAACUAAAACCAUAAAUUCUAAAGUAUGAGAUUUUGUAAGGGAGAAUAAAGAGAUUAAUCGACCUUAAGAUGUUUUUUCAGCAGUGUUAAUGCAUUGAUAUUCUCAGCCAAUUUGAAGCAGUUAAAGGCUUUAACGGCAGCCGAAUCCACUAAAUUGCAUACUUUUGAUGGACUUGCAACUACUUGAAGUGAAGAACAACCAUCUAUCUCCAUAUUUCUUAUGGUUGUUAGAAGCCCAGGUAACGAUUUAAGCUUCGUGCAAUUUGAUAAUGCAAGCACUUGAAGCCUGGAAAGUUGAGUAAGAGCCAAAGGAAUGGUGAUGAAAUUGCUACCCCUAAGUUUAAGAUAACUCAAAGAGGAUAGACCACGAAUAUCCGCUUCACCAAGAGCGCACAUGUUGCAAUUUGACAAAUCAAGAAACCAAAGCUUCGAGAGUAGAGUAAGAGAUGCAGGUAUGCUGAUGAAAUUGUUACCAAUAAGAUCAAGAUCUAUCAAGGAAGAUAGGCAAGAUAUAUCACUAGGAAUAUCUCCUUCACGAAGAUUGCAGUCCCUUAGCUUCAACUCUCUUAAUGGACUUAAACUUGACAACGAAGGCAACAUCAGAGGCAUAGAAUUUGUCCUUCCUUCUUGGGUACACCAGUUAAUAUACGAUUUCCCAUCAUCUCCAUAUGGAUCCAACAUUCUUAUAUUCAUUCUCAACCUAUAUAUAUACAUUUUAUUUUGAUAUUAUUUAAAUAUAUAAUAAAAAUAAAAUUAAUAAAACAUAAAAUUUUAUCAUAUAUACCUGAGCAAGAAUGAUGUUUCCUUGGGAUGCAAGUAGUUUCUUUUUUUGACCAUAUCAACUAUCAAAGUUGUGAAGUUUUUCAUUUCAUUCUAAAAAUAAAGGAAAAUAAAAGACAUUAUUUAUAUAUAAAAUAAACAAAAAUAGAAUUGAUUUUUUUUAAAAAAUUUACUGAAAAUUAAAAGAAUUACCAUAAAGACAUCAUUUUUAGUAUGGAGGGAAACUCCAAGCAUGUUAUGCAUCCAUACAGGAAAGCCUCUAAUAAAAAAUAAUAAUAAAACUAUUAAUACUGAAAAAUAGUUAAAUAAUUUAUGAAAUAACAUAAUUAGUUAAAAUUUUAAAAUAAAUUAAUUUACCCAUAAUUCCACUCGGCACAAGUAUAAGAUCCAAUUCAAAGAAUUGCAUAUAAACCUUGGUCUUGAAUCGUUUUAAGAAAUCAAAUAAGAUCAAGAUUUUCACUAAAAUCAUAUUGACGACGAGCUGGUUCAUGUGCAUUUCAAAAUACAUAUGUUUCAACCGCAUCCAAUCCACCUUCUUUGGCUUUUCUUAUAAGAUCCGACCACAUCUAAUAAAAAUUUAAAAAAAUCAAUCAAUCGUUCAAAUUCAAAUUAUAAAAAAUAUUCCGGAUAACUCAAUUGUAAAUUAUUACCUGAGCAGUACUUCUCGGAUAAUGAACCGAACCCGAAAAAACAAUUCUAUGAUUUCCAUAAAUUAUGAUGGAUCUUGAAUCAUAAGUGACAUUAAGCGCAUUCAAAUAAAAUAGGAUGAAAGAAAAAAUAAGAUAAGAAAAUAAAAUAGUGAAUAUAUUCUUCUUCUUCUUCUUUUUUUUUUCCAUCUACUAAAGCUAAAAGGAAGUGUUGAUUGAAAAAUCAGUAGAGUAUGAUAACGUCUUUAUAAGCGUGGUGAUUGAAUUCAUAUCAAAUACUUGAUUUUUAGAAGAUAUUUACUUUGAUUUAUUUGCUGUUUUAAAUAGAUUUAUAUAAUCAGUGAUAUGAGAUUAAAUCAGCAAAUUGUGUUGAAAGUUGAGUUUUAGUUCUAUGUAGCAGCAUUAAUUAAAUAUUUUUGAUAAUUAAAUAAACUUUUUUAAUUAUAAUUAAUUAGAGUAUUGCUUUCAUACGACGGGAGUCAUUGGUUCAAAUCCAAUAAUAGGUAGAAUUUAUUAGAUACCAUCGAUCCCGGUGUCUAAUAAGUUUUUCUAUCCACCUUCUUUUAUUGAUUUUCUAUCUUUUUCAUCCUAUUUUAUCUCCGUUUUCAAUUUUUAAAUUUUUUGUUGGAUCAAGAUCCGAUUUCACUUUUGAUUAUAUUUGAUUCUAUUUAAUUGGCAGAAUCAACAUGAGAUGUAUAAACGAAAGUUUUGUUUUUACGAAAAUUCUCCAACUUGUUACGAAAUCGCGUUGAUAACCUCGACUUGUGUCCUAGCCUGUUUGACAGCUAGAUUUGCCUCAAUUGUUUGCCUCUUGCCUUCAGCUUUCCUCAUGUUAGCUUGCUGAGCUUCUUGUGGACUCAUCUAUAAAAUUCUCGUUUAUUAAAACUUGUAGAGUUCUAGUUAAAUUAAAUUAAGAUUUCUUUCAUCAACAAAUGAGACUUGCUUUUUGAAGAAUAAAGAUUAUAUACCGAAAAGAAUAAGCGAGCAAUUAGUAAAGGGUAUAUCCAUAAUAACUUUUUACAUCACUGGUAAAUGAUACGACACAGUCACGAUUCAGCUAUAAUAUUAUCCAUAAUAACUUUUCACAUUGCUAGUACACGAAUCAAGUAGUUGCCAUCCCAAAGGAUUGUUAGUAGAUCAAUCUUGCUAACACCUGUUAGAGAAAACAGGAUGAAGUACUUCCCUGUGUAACACCAACAAUGGCUCUAAUCCGAAAAAGAGAUUGCAUUUAAAGUUGUUAGCAAACUCAUUCAUUCCUAGCUACCCACAAUGACCAUAACAUAGCGCCAUAGAAACAAGCCAUUUCCUCUUAACAUUCCAAACAUGCAGCAAUAUUCAUACACAACAUUUCAAGGAAUCGCACACAUAACACCCCACCAUUGAAACAACACUCCCCAAGCUUUCCAAGAAAGGAAGUAAGAAAGAAAAAUAUGAUCACAGUUCCCUUCAACUUCAUUGCACCAACAACAAUUGAUGGAAUCAUUAAUUGUUAUAAUACCUCGAUCCCUUAAAAAAUAUUUUGAAGGCAUACCAUUCUGGAAUGAGAGUGUCGAAACCGUUUUUUUGAAAACAAAAAUUUGGUUGUCGACUUUAAAAAUAAAACUGGAGUCGCCACCGAUCCUUUAUUAGGGUGUGAUCGGCUCACCUUAAAAAUUAUUUUGGCCUUUUGAGAAAACGAGUUCGGGAGUCAGUUACGCACGAGGAAGGGUUAGCACCCUCGUAACGCCCAAAAUCGGUACCAAAUUGACUAUUUGAUGUCUUAGUGUCGAAAGUUAAAAAGAUUUUAAAAUCAACUCAAAUGAUGGAAUUUGAAAAGAGAUAAUCAAUUGUUCAAGUCAUGUAAAGAAAUCGAGUCCCAAUACGUUAGGGUACGAUUCCUCAUAAUCUCCAAACUUUGAAUAUCACUUUAUUUUAUAUGAAAAUCUUCAUUUUGAGAAAGUAACAUGCCACACCCAAUACGUUAGGACACAGCAAGUUAGGUUCCCAAAAAUGAUUCUUUAGACUCAUGCAUUUUGAAUAAAAAAAAAUUCCCAAAUACCGAAUUGUGCCUUUUGUUUGAAAAUUCUUAUUUCGAGAAGAAAAUGUCAUGACCAGUAAGUUAGGACCCAACACUUUGAAUUCCCGAGAAUAAGCUUUUAUUUAAAAUUUGCGAACUUAUUGCAAAACAAAUACUUGGCCUUCUAGAUUCAUCGAAAAAUAAUCGCGAUCCAAUAAGUUAGGACACGACCUUCCUCGAGAACCACGAAUACCAAAUAUUUUGGAAUUUAUAAAACAUGAUGAUUUUAAUGCUUUGACGCAACCAAAAUACAUUUUCUUUAGAAAGUGUAGAAAAAUGCUAAUAUAUCACAUAAAAUCAAUAUUUUAAUUUAAACUAUACAUGUAAAAAAAAUGUUAAUACAUAUAUAUACACAUAUACAAAAAAUUAUAAAAAUAAUAAGACAUAUACAUAUAUUUACAAAAUAAAAUAUGAUAUAUAAGUAAAUUUUAAAAAUAUGUAUAUGCAUAUAUUAAAACAUAUAUAAUAAAAUUAUAAAAAUAAAAUAUAAAAAUAUGUAUAGGUAUCUAAAAGUAUAUAUAGAAAUAAAUAAAAAUAAAUAAAAUAUAUAAAAAAAAUAUAUGUUUAUAUAAGGAAAAUGCGGAAAGAAGGAAAAAAAAUAUUUAAAAGUUUUAAUAAUGUACGUAUAUAUAUUAUAAAAAUGUAUAUAUAUUUAGAUUAUAAAAUAUAUAAAAACUAUAUAAAUAUUAUAAAAUAUAAAUAUAUAUGUAUAUAAAAUAAGAAAAUAAAAUACUAAUAAUAUAUAAGAUAUGUAUAUGUAUUUAAAACCAUUUAAAAUAUAUACAUAUAUAUGUAUAAUAAGAUACAUAGGUGCGUAUAUACAUAAAUGUAAUAAUAAUAUAUAAUACAAUAAUGAUAAUAGCAAUAAUAAUAACAAAAACUACAAAAAAGCCUUAAAAAGGACCGUUAAGGAUUAAACUGAAAGCUAAACGAAGUUAAAAGGCCAAGUAAAAAUAGAAAACACCAGGAAGGUCCAAAGUGAUACGCGCGCCAUGAGGGGAGGACUUAAAAAGAAAUUUUCCCAAGUCACUGAAGCGCUGGCAGUGACAUGGAUUAAAUCGUCACGUGAGCAAAAUAUUUGGGCCGAAUUUUAAAAGAAAAAAAAACUUGAUUGAAACACGCAGCAAAAGGGGAAGGGCCAGGCGCGAAAUUUCCCCAUUCAGGGCCAGAACGCGCGGAUCCCCCCUCCGGGUCGGGUCGACGCGCGGGUCAUGGCACCCUAAACGGCGCCGUUUUGUCUUUAGUAUUAAAACUAAAAUUUUUCAAAAAAAAACAAUCUUAUUUCAUUUUUUCUUUUUUCCUUAAAACAAACAGAGGGAGAAAGGGGAGUGCUCUGCUAGGGUUUCCUUAACCUAGCCCCCCCAAGCCGCCGCAGCUCCUCCUUCUCUGCCGUUUCAGACCCCACGGCGGCGAAACGAAGGGAUCCUCCGACAACGCUCCAAAGGUAAGUUCCCCCCUUUUCCCUUCCUUCUCGUUUAUUUUUGUUUUAAAAAUUAAGGAAGAACAAAAUAAAAAAACAAAACAGUACAAGAACAGAGAGAAAGAAAAUAAAAUCAAUCACCUUUAAAAAAAAAUCUUUUUUUUAUCUCUUAUUUCUGUAUUUUUUUUUGGAACCGAUCCUCUUCCUUUUACAAAUUUUCAUCGGCUUUUAAAUAGCCGAAAAUCAGAAAGAAAAAAUGAAACAAAAAUCUAAAGAAAUCUCUUCUGUUCGUGGCUUGUGGUUUUCAUGACAGGUGUGCGACGACUGCAGCAACGUGGGAAGCGACGUGCUGCGAUGGAGGCGCGCGAGCGGCGCGAUCUGCGGAGGUGGUUGUGGCUUGCGGCGGCUGGAGCGGGGAGGCUACUUAGGGUUUCUGAAAUUUCUUGUUUGGGUUAAUGUAAUUGGGCUGAAUUUUUGGGUUUAGUUUGUAGAUGGGUAAUUGGGCCUGCUAUGUUUUUAUUUUAUAUGGGCCCGGGCAGAAAAAAUUGGGUAUUACAGAGAGCAAUAGGAAGCAUUGCACCUUUGAUGCACCAAUGAACCCUCAGAAUCAAGAGAAAACACAAAUUUCUUUACAGUAAAUUUCCCUUUGCUGUCCACCUCCCACAUUCGCCUUAUUACAUUAAUCACUGAAUCCAUACAUAGCCAAUUUCCAUACCGAUGUUCCCUCAAGUAAGCUUUAAUCACACCGUGGUCUCAAAAUAGUUUGCUCAAGGACUGGUGUUUCAGAGAAGUCAUCCCUUGGAUUAUUGCAGAGCCGAAUGAUUUGUGAUAUGGUUUUGUCGAUAUGGGAUCUUCUGUUAGCAUGAAUUGAAGCCAUUUAAGUAGUAUUAACUAUUAAGGACCUAUAUAAACUACAAAAUGAAGCUAUUUAAAUACUAUUUAAGCAACACCAAAACAGAGUACAGGUUCCCAUGGCGUUUUAUUUAGCGAAAAUAGUCUGAUGACAAAGAUAAAAGAUGAUUAUAUUUCACCCUAUUACCUGCUUCUUCAUGCAGUGAAAUAUAGAUGUAAGUUUAUACUAUAACAUAAAAUUUAAUAAAUAAAUAAAUAAUAAAUUUCAUUAAACAGUACAAGUUUCAAUCAUGUAAAAAUUAAUUAAUUAGAUGAAUAAAUUUUUAAAUGCAUAAAAACACUAUGUUGUCUUUCAACCAAAACAUGUCAUUCAAUAAAAGUUGGUGUUCAACAUGUCUAUACUCAAAAUUUAGAGUUGAUUACAUAAUUUGAAGAAUCAUAUUUCAUACUCGUAUCAAAAUAUAUGUUGAGUAAAGAUGUUCAAAAUGAAUACUUUAAAUGUAAAUAAGGUCGGUAAAAAGGUCUAAAAACAGAAUUUAUAGGGCAAGGCUAGUGAAGUAGUUUACCACAGUUACAGCUUCUUCCUCGAUCGGCUCAUUAUAAAAUUGAAAAAAUUUUGCAUCCAUUUUGGUUUUUGUUUUACAAGGGAAGUGCUACCUAUUGAAUCUAUUGAUCCAUCGUUAUUAGCAGAGUGUUGAUGGACAUCUUCAAGAUUUGGAGAACAUUGAGUGGUAUGGCUAUGCAGCUCUUUUAUGUCUUCCAAAUCUUUCUCAUUCACCAUUCUAACACCACACUUCUUCACCUUAACACAGGGAACAUCCGGGUCUGUGAAAGACAAUUCAAGCUCAUCGCAUUCCUGAUCUAAGCAAUCUAUUGUCCAUAAAUUAUUAAUUUCACAUUCACCACAUUUAUCCUCUAAGGAAAAUGGAUAUAAUUUAUCACGCGACCAAUAUCGAAGAAAUAGGUGAUCCUUCGUUAUGGGCUGGUUAAAACGUUUCCCAAACAACCAACUACUUGCAUCGACACGUCGAAGAUCUGUAUCUCGAAAGACAGAUCCAUUUCGACCGGCUUGUCCAGAAUUUCUACAAUGGAUAACAGCUCUGCAGUUGAUAAACUUAUCCCGGGAAGCAUCAUCAUUGACAAAAAUGCAACAGGAAGCUACUCCAAUCCAUUGACUAUCAUUCUGAAUAUUGAAUGGUAGAGGUAUCCUAAUUGUAGAGCCACCUCUCUGUUGGCUAAACCAUUCUGGGAUUUCACUUCCAGGUAUAAUAACAUCAAACAUUUGUCUUGAAUUUGCAAAUGCCUGCAAAAUGAAACUUCAGUCACUUGGUAAAUAAAACCAUAAAUUCCCAAGUACGAGAGGGAAAGAAAGAGAGAUUAAUUAACCUUGAGAUGUUUUUUCAACAAUGUUAACGCAUUGAUGUUCUCCGCCAAUCUGUAGCAGUUAAUGGCUUUAAUGGAAGCUAAAUCCAAUAAAUUGCAUACUUUUGAUGGACUUGCAACGCCUUCAAGUGAAGCACAACCAUCUAUGCACACUCUUGCUAUACUUGUUAGAAGCUCAGGCAACGAUUUAAGCUCUUUGCAACUUGAUAACAUAAGAAGUUUAAGCUUGGGAAGUCGAGUAAUAGACGCAGGUAUGCUGAGGAAAUUGUUACCACUAAGAUCAAGAUGUGUCAAGGAGGAUAGGCAAAAAAUAUCACUAGGAAUAUCUCCUUCACGAAGAUUGCAGUCCCUUAGCUUCAACUCUCUUAAUGAACUCAAACUUGACAACGAAGGCAACAUCAGAGGCAUAUUUGGUCGUAACUUAGAUGAUGGUCCUUUGCACCCAUUGAAAGACAGAAUUUUAAGAUUUUCCAAUUGAAAAAUCAAGGAUGGUGGUUCUGUUAUCGCUGUUUCACUCAAGUCAAGCUCUUCCAAAAACUCUACUUGCUGCAAAUUCACUGGCAAAUAUUUAAUUUUAUAACAACUAGAAAGAUCAAGAGUUUUUAGAUGUUCCAUUUUCCCAUCAAUCUCCGGAAACCUUACAAGACUUGAGCAACCUGAAAGAAUUAAUGUUUCAAGAGAUUCCAUUCCAAUUCUGGUUGGAAGACUCCUAAGACUUGUGCAGUCUCUUAAAUUUAAAAGUUUAAGCAUCUUAAGCACUCUGAUUGAUGGAUGGACAUCUACUAAUCUGGUACAACCUUCCAUAAUCAAAGCUUCAAGUUUUGGUGUUGUUCUGAAGUCUGGUGUCUUGAUCAGGUAUUGAGACCCUUUGAGGUUGAUCAUUUUCAACUUAUACAAGGGCUGUUGAAGACAAUAAUAAAUUAGAGAGAAAACAUAAUAAUGCUCAGUUUUGUUUUUGUUUUUCUUUUUUUACCUUAAUCAAAGUUUAAUCAUUUAUAUUAAAAUAAGCUAAAACACAAGGAUAAGAUAAGUUAAUUCUUACUCUAUUUCCCUUCCAUAGUUGUUCAAUGUGACUAUAUGGUAAAAGAAGUGUGACAAGAUUGUCCGGUCGAAAGCUUGAAGGUAAAUAUCUUAAAGGAUAUCUUGUCCAAUCUAAAAGCCGUAUUUCAUUAGAGAGAUAUUUGAGACCAUCACAAUUUGAUAGGCAAAGAACUUUGAGCAAUCUCAAUUUUUUCAUUUUUGAGAAGGUAUCGUCACUCAAAUUGAGCACCUUGCUCGAUUCCCUAAUAACCAUGAGCAAAACAAAUAUGAGUUUCAAAAUAUACAGAACCAUUUGAUAUCUAAAAGCUAUGUUGCAUCGAUAUUGUUUUUUGAAGUACCCGCAUCCUACACUUAUAUCUAAUGCAUAUCUGAAUAUGGUAUUGAGAUAUGAUUGAACAUAUUAGACAAUAGUCUAUCUAACACUUACAUUUGACUUUGAAUUACCUAAGCCUAAAAAACUAGAACUAAUAUUUUGAUUUACGUUUGGUGCACUGAUGUGUAAUUCUAUGCAUUACCAGUGAAUCAAAUGAUGGCAUGUUAUAGCCUAGUUCGUUAAUAUUAGCAAAGACAAUAACAUACAUCUCUUUACAAUUUCUUUUGAAAGAGUAAUGUGUUUCUAUAUAAAUUUUAUAAAUAUAACAUUGAAAAAUUAAGUAUUAAGGGUGUGUUUCAUUAGGUGGAAAAGUGUUGUUUUUUCAUUGUUUAUUAUUGGAUUUAAAAAAAAUAUAUUUUCUUUUCCUUCAAAUUUUCAUCCUUCCAAUUUUUUAUUCACUAUACCAAGCAAAGCAAAAAUGUUGUUUUUUCAUUGUUUAUUAGUGGAUUUAAAAAAAAAAUAAUGACAAUAUUAAUAGUACAUCUUGAUAAAUUUAAAUGUAUCUUUUCUUACCUUUUAUUGUUGAUGAUCAUGCCUUCAAUAACAUCGGUAGCCUAAAAGUAAUCAAGAAUAGACAAUAAGAAGGCAAAAUAAAUGCUUUAAAUUGUACGAUAAAAUAUUACCACAAUCUUUUGGUCAAAAUAUAGUAAAUAAAAUAUUUUGAACUAAGUAAAACACUUUUUAAUGAAAGUAGUUCAAUAAACUUAAACACUUAUGAAUCCUUAUUAAUAAUUAUAAUUAACAAAUCGGUACGUAAACCAAUUAGACUAAGCUUUGGAUUUACAUCAUAUAUUGAUAAUAAAAAAAAUUGUAUGUAAUUUUUGUUGAAUGACUUACCGUGGUUUUUGUUAGGACAUGAUGGACAUCCCUUUCCUUCCACAAUCUACAACGUUUUCCAGGUUCAUCAACACACUUUUCUUCAACAAUUUUUCUUCCCAUUUCUUGCAACAAGGCAUGCAUCCACAAAUAUUGGUUGCCAUCAUCAACUUUUAUGAGAGAUUUCUUAAUGAGAACAUCAAUUCCAAUAUUUGGAAAAAAAUCACAACCGUCCAAUACUUUCAUUACCAAAUCUUUCUUCUCCCCAUUGAAAAAGCAUGCUAUAUCUAAAAAUAUAUUCUUCUCCCUUUCUUCCAAUCCAUCAAAGCUAAUUCUUAGUGUGUUCAGAAUUUCUUUGUUAGAAUCUUGCUUAAGUCUUUUGAUUGCACAUCUCCAUUGAAUUAUAUCUCUACCGCACAAAAAUGAACCCAAAACUUCAAGAGCUAAGGGCAGCCCAUCAGCAUAAUGUACAAUAUGUUUAGAAAGCUCAAUGAAAUCAUAGUUCGGCACUGUAUCACUAUCAAAAGCUUUCAAAUUGAAAAGCCUAAGUGCAUCGUUGGGAUUCAAUGUUGUAGGCUUAUACACAUCAUCAAUUCGAUAAGAUCGGAGCAAAUGUUCAUCUCUUGUUGUUACAAUGAUCCUACUCCCUAAACUGAACCAAUCACGCUUUCCAACCAAGCAUUUCAAGUGUUGUACGUUAUCAACAUCAUCAAGAACAACAAGAACUUUUUUGCUAGACAACCUGUGGCUAAUUAUGGCAUUCCCUUCAUGAACAUUGAAAAAAUUGAAGCAUUUAUCUGGCAAAAUUUGAGAAAGAAGUUGUUUCUGUAAAGAAACAAGUCCACAUUUGUUUGAAACUUCUCGAAUAUCAGCAACAAAACUUUUACCUUCAAAAUGAGGUGACAUUUGAGUGUAAACAACCCUUGCAAGAGUUGUUUUACCGAUGCCACCCAUUCCGCAAAUUCCUAUAAUGCGUACAUCGUCUUCCCCAAUGUUUAUUUUCGAAUACAACUCCUCCAAACGUAAGCUAAUUCCAACCAACUCAUCUUGAACAAUUGGAUAUGUCUGACAUAAUUUUGCUGAUAUCUUCUUAACAAUGUCUCCGAUGAACUCUGAUUCAUGCCUACAAUGAAAUAAAAAAUCGCUGCUAUCUUUCAAAUGCACUUUUUCGUUUUUAGUUCAGUGAAUCAUGAAAUAUAAUAUAGUUGGAAGCAAACAAAAAGCAAGAAUAAGAUAGUAAGAUAUGUUAUAGCAUCAAAAUACACAACUUGCUCGUCAGUUGAAAUAUGGGAAUUCUCAAUUAAACACAAAAUUAUAAAAAAAAUAACAUGCAAUCCAAAAAAAAAAACAAUUUUUUAGUCAUUAAAAUUAGGAAAUAGAGAAGAAAAGGAAGAAAUACCUAUUAUGUAAAUGCCAUCCUUUGAUGUUAGCUACUUUAGUCAAAGCAUUUCGCCACUUUUGGAUCUUGUCUUUAUCUUCCUUGUACCUCUCUUGGUGUUUGGCGAAGGCUUCUUCAACUUUUUCUUUUUGUUUUCUUAAAUCGGAUGGAUCCAUAUCGUAGAAAAUUGGAAAUACUUUAUGUCCGUUAACAUUUUUUUGUUGAACAAUCUCAGCAAGCUCCUCCAAGCACCAUCCUGAAAAGGCAUAGGUUUCCGAAAAAAUGAUUACCGAGCACCAUGACUGCUGGAUUGCUUUCAAGAGUUCCGGUGCGAUCUCUUCGCCGGCCUCCAGCUUUGGAUCAUCCCUGAAAGUGAUGAUCCCACUUCUUUUUAGAGCAUCGUAGAGAUGAUCCGUAAAGUUCUUGCGGGUAUCUUCACCUCUAAAACUCAAGAAAACAUCGUAUUUCUUUCUGGAAAUUGAUGAGGAAGUCGAAAGUAAUGACGACAUGACGAUGUAUGAGAAGAAAAAAAUAUGUGGAUGUAGUGUUCAAAAUCAGAAAAUAGAUCGCUCAAUACCUUAGAAACAAAGUAGAAAUAAUGAGCAUGAGGACGGAGAAAAAUAAAUGAAAUUUACAGGGAAUAACAAAGGACUUUUCCAAAUGAAUCUUUCUGUAUGAUAAUACCUAUGAAAGGGAGUCGGUAACAAUAAAUUCUGGGGCCAUCGAUGAGCGUUAGAUGUUCUUUUCGGGAAGACUGCAAGAAGGUGAGAGUUGACAAUUGCUGCCUACUUUAAUUACAACUAAUAACGAUAGAGUUUUAAGAGUUUUUUUCACUAUUAGCGUCACAUCUGAUAGUGAAGAAGAGGCCCAAUAGGGUAAACAGGCAAUGCGCGUAGGCGUAGGUCUUCCACAAUCACCUCUGGUGUGCCACUCGUCAGUUGAGAAACCUGGGGGAGCUAUCUUCGUGGUACCAAUGACUGGGGGCAGGGGCCCAUUAUAUAAAACAGGGCAACUUAAACAUAUGCUUUGAAGGUGGAGCCUAUUGCUACAGAAGGGAGGCCGGACUUUUCCAACUAUGGCCUUAUUUAUUGCUAAUAAGAUAAUGCAAAAAAUGGGCUAUGACUUGGAAAAUCCUGUCGGACUAAAAAAUGGGAAGGGGCUUGACGAAGGCACAAAAGAAUACAUUAAAAGAUGGGGAGGCUAUCCUCCGACGUACGGCCUGGGGUACAUCCCAGAUUAUGGAACGAGAGAUGGGUCAGAAUUUGAAGCUUAUGAGUCGUCCACUACUUGUUAGAAUGUGCCACAACUUUAUGUACUUUUUGUAAAUUUAAAAUUUAAUCCCUAUACCAUUAGUUACUAAAUUAUAGGUAAAUUUUUAUUUUAAUCACUUAAUGUAAAAAAAAGUUACAAUUUGAUCAUUGAAAUUUUCAAAAUUAUUUUUUUGUCACUCAACUAUUAAGUGACACUUUUUUUAUGUGAUAUAAUAUACGUGGAUGUAGUGCUCAAUAAACAAGAAGUAAAUGAACAUGAGGGAGGAGAAAAACAGAAGAAAUUUACAGGAAACAAAGGACUUGUCUAGGAAAUUUGUGUAUACGUUUCCCACCUUUUACUUUUCCAAAUGAAUCUAUCUUCAUUAUAAUACCUAUGAAAGGGAGUCGGUAACAAUUAAUUCGGGGGCCAUAGAUCAGCGUUAGACGUUCUUUUCGGGAAGACUCCAAGAAGGUGAGAGUUGACAAUUGGUGCCUACUUUAAUUACAACUAAAACUUACAGAGUUUUAAGAGUUUUUUCUGGUUAAAAUGUGUUACAAGUCAUCGUACUUUUUAUAAAUUAAAAUUUAGUCCCUACAUCAUUAGUCAUCAAACUAUGGGUAAGUUUUUGUUUUGGUCACUUAACUAAAAAAAAUUAUGAUUUGAUCAUUGAACAUUGAGGAAGCGCAUAAUGAUCUAACAUUGUUUUGUUUUGUUCUAUUUUUAAUUUUUUUAUAGGAUUCUAUUGAAGAAUAAAUUUCUAUAUUUUCCAUACAUAUUAGUUCUUGAAAAACAACAUUUUCGAGAUUUUAUUUUUCUAUAAUUUUCAUAUAGAAUUUUCUAUUUUUUAAAUAGUUUUGAUUUUUUUUUUAUAAAUUUAUGUAGAACCAUGGUCAAGUUUACAAAAUAUAAAAAUUGAGGACUAGCGUGUUAUUUUACCAACUAAAAAGUGCCAUUUAACAGUCAAAUGAUCAAGAAAAACAAUUUUGAAAAGUUUAGCGACCAAAUUGUAACUUUUGCAGUUAAGUAACAAAAAUGAUAACUUACCUAUAAUUUAGUGACUAAUUAUGUGGUUUACCCUAAAAAAAGUGUCUUGGAUUUGGUCCUAAGCCCCAUUGGAACAUACGGGCUGUAAAGGAAUCAUUACCCAAUCUAUAUAAUAUAAUAUACAUAAAAGCACGAGUUUGAAAAACUUUUGAAUUGACGAGAAUAUCAUUUACUUUUCAUCAAAUUAAGUUCACAUUUAAAGGUUAAGCUAAUUUUAUUGAUGUAAAAUAAAGUUAUUACGUGAAUAUAAUUUUGAGCAUCUUAAUUAUCCCUUAAUUAAUAUUAGAGUUACACAUCAAUUCAAAAUUUAAGUUUAACUUUGUAAAUAACAUCAAAUAGUUAGACAUAUUUGAUUAAAUAGCAUGUAAGAAAAAUCAUCGACAAAAAAAUUGGAUAUUGUUAGCAUUAAUAAAUUAAAAUUAUAUGUAUAUAGAGAAUAUAUAUAUAUAUAUAUAUAUAUAUAUAUAAAGAAAAGCAAUGGUUCUUUGAAUAGGAAAUAGUGAAUCCUAUUCAAAUUGAAUGGCAUUAAAGAAAAAUGAAAGAUUAUUUUAAUUGAUGAUGAGAUAAUAGAAUAUAAUAUUUUUUUAUAAUUAUGUUGUAUGUUAUUCAUACUAUGUGAAGCAAGCACUCUUAAAAUUAUUUUUUUAUCUAUCUAUAAUUUGUUUGGUAUACAUGGAAAACAUUAUAUAAGUUUGUUUUGAAGAUAAAAUUAAAUUUUAAGAAUUAUUUUUUAAUCAUCAUUAUUAAUAUAAUUAAAAUUACAUGCAACGCAUGUGACAUUAGAAACUAGUGAUUAUAAAAAAUUGGAGUGCGACAAACUCUUGUUGUGAUUAAAAAGAGUUGUAUUUAUAAAAAAUUAUAUAAACAUCAUCAAACGCAUUGGUUGAAUUGCUUAACUUAAAGUUUUGCAAAAAUCAUCAUGAUAAUAUUUUAUAAUUAUUUUUAUAAAAAAGAUAAAAAUACUAUUAUAUUAAUAUUUGUUACUUCUUAUAAAUAGUAAAUUAUACAUAGGGUCUGUUUUGAAGUCAUACGUAGGCAUCUUAAAUGCCAUUUACAUAUAGCAGAUGCCUAUUUCGGUCUUUUAGUUGUUGGACCAAAUGGCGGCAGGGCUAUAAGACUGGCUAUUUCAGCGGCAAAUGGAGCUUCAUUUCUAAAUGGGCUAUAAGCUUGAAGGCAAUGAUCUUAAAGAAUAUCCUAUCCAAUCUAAAAGACGUAGAUACUUGAGAUCAUCACGAAAUUAAUUUUCAUUUCUAAAUAUAAUUAAGUACUUGUUAAUAAUUAAUAACACUAAUUGUCAUGAGUAAUUUCAUAAAUUAUAAUAAGCUUUUUGAUCCAUUAGUAACCGUAUUAUAAAACAUCACAUUCCACUACCCUAUAAAAGAAUAAUUAUUUUUCUAUAAUUUUCAUAUAGAAUAAUUUUUUUACUUUACCGAUAGCAGCACUCUUUUUCAAAGAAGGUACGGUACAUCUUCUUCCUCUUUUUUGCUUCUAAAUUAUCAUGAAUCGUUGAUUCUAUUCAGGGGGGCCUUAUAUAUAUAUAUAUAUGAUCGAUAGGGGAAUUUACACAUAAAUAAUACGUAUAGAGAUUUUUCGAAUCGAAAGGAUAAAUUAUUCUUUAAUUGCGCAGGGAUGCUGACUUUCUGAUAAGUUCCGGUGAUAGAACCGGACGGCUGUUGAAGUACAAUCCUUAUAACGGAGACGUGUCCGUCUUGUACGACGGCUUAGCUUUCCCUAACGGGGUUGCCUUGAGUGCAAACAAUUCGUUUCUUCUAGUGAACGAAUCGAUAAAAAGACGAAUACUGAAGUUCAAUGUGCACGACCCCAAAGCAGCUCCCAAAGUAUUCCUCGAAUUACCCAGGGUUCCGAAUAAUAUAAAGAGGAACGAAAAGGGCGAAUUCUGGGUGGCCCUAAACAGCGGAAGAUUAGGAACGCUUGGAAACGGUGUUCCGGAUCCAAUUGGAAUGAGGUUUAACGAAGAAGCCAAGGUUUUGGAAAUCUUGGAUGGAAAGGGCGCGCCCACUUUUAAUUCGAUAAGUGAAGUCCAGGAACACGGGGGGAAAUUAUACAUAGGGUCUGUUUUGAAGUCGUACGUAGGCAUCUUAAAUGCCUAGUUGAUUUUUGUUUUCUUUUCUUUUCUUUUUUGCGACUUUUUAAUUGUUCCUGUAAUUUGUUUUUCUUUUACUCGAUAAAUAUAAUAAAUAAAUGUUAACGAUUUUAUUUUCGAGAAAUUUUUAAUUAUCUUGAUUUGCCUAAUUGAGACAUUACAUCUUCACGCCUCGUGCACAAGACGAAGUAAGCCAGGCUUGGCGUACCUGAUGGGUUAGUUGUCGAACAUUUUAAAGUUGUCCUUUAUCCCCUUUAUGCUUCGGGGUACACUACUUUUUCCCGUCACAGAAUGUUUAUGUUGUAAACUUGAUAAGCAUGGCACCGAUUCCCAUAACACAAAUUAAAGAACAUCUGCUUCAAUUGAUUGGUCAAAAGAAAAGGUCAAUACCACGACCUAAUUUCUCAUCUCAACAAUGCCUAAUCAGUGUUCCUAAUAGGCUACGGAAAUUGAAUGAGUUGAGAUGCUACUAAGUGUAUCAAAGUAAAAGAAGGACCAAAUAACAAAUUAGGCUAAGCAACCACUCAAUCCUUGCAACACUACUCCCUGCUUCUAUUGCCUGGGGAUAUGAACCAAUAGAUCACGAUGAUAAUUCUAAAGCAACCAUUAUUUGAUCGUCCUCUUACUAGACAAUGGAUAUAAUAAUUCGUGAAGAAAAAGGUGGUCCUUCGUUAUGGAUUGUCCACCUAAAACUUUGAAACUGGAAUCGACCCUUCCAGGAUUUUUAACUUGAAAAACAAAUCCAUUAUUACUAGAUUGUCCAGAAUUUCUUUAAUGGAUAUAAGUUGGGCCACCGAUAACUUUUUCUUCGGAACCACCAUCAUUGACGAAUCCAAUCCAUUGACUGUCAUUCUGAAUAUCGAGAAACAGAGGUAUUUCAAUUACAGAGCUGCCUCUGUGUUGCCUGAACCAUUCCGGAAUUUCAUCAUUUUCGUUUUUUGAAUUCGCAAAUGCCUGCAAAUUUAAUUAUCGGUGGCUCUGUAACUAAAACCAUGGAAAAUAAUUGAGAUUAAUCAACCUUAAUCAGAAAUUUUAUUGCACUAAUGUUCUCAGCCAAUCUGUAGCAGUUAAUGGCUGUAAUGUUAGCACCAUAACUUAUCCACUACUCACUUCUCAUUCUUCCUAGAAGCACUGGCAACUAUUCAAGCUAACUGCAAUCUGACACUCCAAGCUUUUGAAGAUUUGAAAGAAGAGUAAGAGACGCAGCUAUGCUGCUGAAAUUGUUACACCUAAGAUUAAGAACUCUCAAUGAGGAUAGACCAGGAUUGAACCUGAAAUUGUCAUAUUAAUGGCAUGAAGCUACAACCAACUGAGCUAGUAAGCCAAUUGGUUUUUUUUUUAGACACUGUCUUAUAUUAAGCUUUUCUCCGUUGGUUAAAUGAUAAUAUUUUUAAAUUUUGGAUUUAAAAAAUAUAUUUAUUAUACUUUCAACAUAUAUACAUCCCAAAAUACAACCAAAAAUAAAUAGAAGGUUCAUUUUAUUUCCCCAAUAUUUUAAUGCAGAGUAAUGCUUGUUUUGUUGGGUUUGACAUAACCUGUAUGGAUUCGACAGUGAGAUUCGUGGACACCUUUGACAUGAUGAAAGACAACAACAUGCAGUAAAAGAUGUAAGAGGAAAAACCAACGUUAUGUCAUGAAAAGGAACAACACCCCCCCCCCCCCCCCAAAUGGAUCCCCCCCUAUUAAAAUUGAUCACUAAUGGCAAUUUGCUUCUUUUGCUAUGUGUAGUGUAGAGAAGAAUAAAAAUGAAGUUAACACAUAAACAGAGAGUUUUCACCUAUUGGCAUGGAUAUUGGCGGGUAAAUGAAAGAGUAAAUUAUUAAAUCCCGAUACUUUUCGAAAUUUUCAAAAAUUAAGUGCCCUUAAAACUAAUAUAUGUUGCAGUGGGCAAAAAUCACGUCGGUUGCUGCAUAGAUAAGUCGCUGAACCAAUCGUCACAACUCUUUGCCAAAGAUGCAUCAAUCCACACAGCGCCACUAUUCUAUAUAUAGAUCAUCAGCGUCUCUUAUCAUUUGGAUAUUCAAGGAAGUUAAUUUUUCUGGUUACAUUAGCAAGAGGUAAGGCAUAUCAGUGAAGAUGGAAGAUUACGGAUGCGGUAUCAGUUCGAUAGCCAUGAUGCUGUUGGUGGUUGCUCUGCUGUUUUUGGGUCCGCUUGGAAUGCCACCGUUGCAGCCUCCUCCCGCUUACAUUUUCCUCAUCUUCGCUUUCGUCUUGAUCUUCGUUUUCAUCUACCUCUCUCAUGCCUCCAAAUGAUGAUCCAUGGCGAUUUCGUUUGCUUUCCAGUAUUAUUAUUCUCUUUUAUUCAGUUGUUAUCUGAUGAUAAUAAGCUUUGCGGUGGAUAUUAACCACCAAUAGUACACAGUUAUUUGUUGUUUUCAGUCGUUUAUUAAUAAAUUAUAUGAAGUCGAUGGAAGAAUGUCUCUGUUUAUCUAGUACGUAAAUAAACCAUGCAAUGCAUGCAUACUUACGUUGCUCUAAAAUGGACACGACGCCUUUUACUAAUAUUAUUCUUUCUUGCACUCCCAUUGGCUUAGGUACGCUGCAUGCGUUGUCCCUUCAUGCCGUCUAUUUAAUAAUGUCGUUAAUAAUUUUAAUGUGGUCUUCACUCCAUCCAUCGAUCGUGUCUAGCCUCAGUUUUCCUCCAUACAUCAAAUCGUUUGCAUUUGAAUAUCCCAUCUCUCCUUUUAAUUUUAAUUAUACUGAGUCUUCUUAUGUAAAUUUAGUUUAUUCAGGUUGUGCUUAUGAAUUUAGAUUCAAAAUAUGGAGUUAAACACGAUUGUAUGAUAAAAGGCAUUGUCUAUGGUUUCUGCUGCAGAAAAUUGUUAACUUUCGGGAUGACGCCAUUAUAAAAUUUGUUUGCAUGAACUAAUUAAUCCAUAGACUUUAACUAUGUACUAUGUAGGCGUCCUAGUACAAGGAUUGGGUUGUGAGCAAUACUAAUGGNNNNNNNNNNNNNNNNNNNNNNNNNNNNNNNNNNNNNNNNNNNNNNNNNNNNNNNNNNNNNNNNNNNNNNNNNNNNNNNNNNNNNNNNNNNNNNNNNNNNNNNNNNNNNNNNNNNNNNNNNNNNNNNNNNNNNNNNNNNNNNNNNNNNNNNNNNNNNNNNNNNNNNNNNNNNNNNNNNNNNNNNNNNNNNNNNNNNNNNNNNNNNNNNNNNNNNNNNNNNNNNNNNNNNNNNNNNNNNNNNNNNNNNNNNNNNNNNNNNNNNNNNNNNNNNNNNNNNNNNNNNNNNNNNNNNNNNNNNNNNNNNNNNNNNNNNNNNNNNNNNNNNNNNNNNNAUUGCUUCUUCAUGUUCUUCCAUUAGGGAGUGCAUAAAUUGACUCACUAAGCUCACUGAAAAAGCUAUGCCUGGCUCUGUAUGUGAUAAGUAAAUUAACUUACCAACUAAUCUUUGGUAAUGCCCUUUAUCAACUAAUCGACCUUCUUUAUUUCUGAAUUUUACAUUUGGACCAAUUGGUGUGUCAGCUGGGCAGCAACCACUCAUCCCAGCCUCUUUUAAAAGAUCAAUCAUACAUUUUUUCUAAGAGACCACAAGACCCUUCUUUAACCGAGCAACUUUCAUUCUAAGAAAGUAUUUCAAAGGACCCAAGUCUUGGAUCUCAAACUCCAAUGCUAGAUGCUCCUUGAGACGCCUUAUUUCAUCUACAUCAUCUCCUGUAAGAAUGAUAUCAUCGACAUAAACUAUAAUAACUGUUAUUUUACCUUUUUGUCAGUGUCGAUAGAACAUUGUGUGAUCAGCUUGCCUUUGUGAGUAACCUUGGUUUUUAACAACUUGAGUGAAUCGUUCAAACCAAGCUCGAGGNNNNNNNNNNNNNNNNNNNNNNNNNNNNNNNNNNNNNNNNNNNNNNNNNNNNNNNNNNNNNNNNNNNNNNNNNNNNNNNNNNNNNNNNNNNNNNNNNNNNNNNNNNNNNNNNNNNNNNNNNNNNNNNNNNNNNNNNNNNNNNNNNNNNNNNNNNNNNNNNNNNNNNAUUGAUAAAAGAACUCUAACAUAAUUUAAUUUGGCUACUGGAGCAAAUGUUUCAAGAUAAUCUAUCUCGUAUGUUUGAGUGUACCCUUUAGCUACCAGCCAAGCUUUGUAUCUAUCGAAAGAUCCAUCCGGUUUGAAUUUGGUUGUGAACACCCAUUUACAACCCACUAUUUUUUUCCUUACAGGUAAUUCCAUUGUUUUCCAUGUACUUAUUUUUUCAAGAGCAUGCAUCUCUUUUAAAAUAGCCUUCUUCCACUCAAGAACCUAUAAAGCAUCUUUCAUAUUUUUGGGUAUUUCACAAUAUCGAGACACGAAGCAAAGGCUGAGAAUGUCAAAGACAAUGCUUUAUAGGAUACAAAGUUAGACAUGGGAUAUUUGACAAAAUUUCUAACACAUUUUCUUUUAGCAGUUGGAAUAUCUAAAUCAGAAAAUUCAUUGGUUGGAUUAUGAGCUUUACUUGGACUUUUGACAAGAUCUUGCAGGUCGGAUUCUUGGUGAUGAAUCUGGUGGAUUCCACUUUCUUGACUUCAGUUUCUCACAAUAAAUUUGCCUUCCCCAUUAUUAGAAUCUCUAUGUUGUAUAUUCCUAGUCUUUUCUUGAUCAGUUAUAGAAUCUUCCUUACUAUAAUUUCCUCCCUGAAGAUUAGAAUCAAAAUAAGAUUGCGUUUCAACAAAUGUGACAUCCAUGGUAACAAUAAUCUUCCUAUCAAUUGGAUCAUAACAUUUGUAACCCUUUUUAUUAGAAGCAUGGCCAACAAAGACGCAUUUUUUUCUCUAGAAUCUAGUUUACCAUGGUUGUAAAGAUGAACAAAAACACUACACCCAAAAACUCAAAGGGAUAAAUCUAUGAUCAAUUUAGAGCUAGGAAAGUUAUCUUUAAAGAGACGAAAAGGAGCUCUAUAGUUUAGAGUUUUACUGGGGAUUCUAUUAAUAAGAUAUGUAGCUGUUAACAAGGCUUCGCCCCAAAGAUAACGUGGUACCUGACUAGUGAACAUCAAGGCUCUAGUUACUCUCAAAAGAUGUUGGUUUUUUCUUUCUACAAUCUCAUUUUGUUGUGGGGUAUUUGUACAAGAGCUUUGGUGGACUAUUCCAUGUUUGGUUAAGAAAACACAUAAUUGGUCACUAAAAAAUUCCCCACCAUUGUCACUCCAAAAUACUUCUAUUUGCACACCAAAUCGUGUUUUCACUAUAGCAUAAAAAGACUAAAACACAUUUUUAACUUCAGACUUAUCUUUUAAUAAAAAAAACCCAAUAAAUACGAACAUGAUCAUCAAUAAAUGUGACAAACUAACGUUUUCCUAAAAAAGUUGAGAUUGUUGAAGGUCCUCAAACAUCACUAUGAAUUAACGAAAAAGGUUUGGAAACUUUAUAUUUUUGAGGUGGAAAGAAUGACCAAUGAUGUUUAGCCUAUUCAUAAAAUUCACAAUGAUAUGAAUAAGGACUUUUAUUUUUAAAUAGAUUAGGUAACAAAUAUCUUAAAUAGUAAAAAUUAAUAUGUACAAGCCUAUAAUGCCAAAUCAUAACCUUAUCAAAACCAGAAACAGAAUUUAAACAUAAAGUAGUUGUUGGUUGACUUAGAUGGUCGUCGUCAAUAAAGUAAAUUCCACCAGAUUCUUUAGCAUUGCCAAUCAUCCUCCCCGAGACCAUGUCCUGAAAUUUACACAUAGAUGACUUAAAUAUAACAUGACAAUUCGAGGACUAGGAUAAUUUACUGACUGAUAUGAGAUCACAAGCUCGAUUUGGCAUACGUAAAACAUCAUGUAAAACUAAGGAAGAAGAAAUUUUAAUAGUGCUUUUCCCGGCUAUUACCGAGAACGACCCAUCUGCUACUUUGAUCUUUUUGUUUCCUGCACAAGAUGUGUAAGUUGAGAAAAGAAAAUGACUACUAGUCAUGUGAUCACUAGCUCCAGAAUCGACGAUCCACGUGUUUGUUUUACAAGGCUUGACGCUGAAAAAAAUAAAAAAAAUUUAGUACUUGAUUGGGCAAAGGAGAAAGAAGGAUUAUUGGAUGAGUUAAGAACAGAAGAAUUCAUUCGAAACUGUGGUGACUGAAAAAGCUUGAGUAGAUACUCUAAUUGUUCCUUAAUGAAUAGAGACCCUUCUAGAGAACUUUGACCUCAAAAUUUUUAGUAGUUGUUUUGAAAACUCUACUAUCCCCUAAUUAUGAACCACGACCAUUGCCACUCUUUUUUUUUCCAUUCAUCAGUUUUCCAUGGAGCUUCCAACAUGUUUCUUGAGUGUUCCAAUAUUUUUUGCAUUGAUCGCACCAAGGUUUUUUUCUUUUUUCACUAUCAUCAUUAUUUUUAAUAGUUACAAUAGUAGAAUUAUCAUCAUUAGCUUCAAACCCUGGCUUUAACAUUACUUUUCUCCUUGUUUCCUCUUUUCUAACCUUAGAAAAAAUCUCACAGAGUUUUGGAAGCAGUUUUUUUCCUAAGAUCCGAGAUCUCACUUCAUCAAAUUCUUUAUUUAAACCAACCAGAAACAAAUAAGCUCGUUCAUUCUCUUCUGUUUUCAUAGCUUUUACACCAUCUCUUGGACACUCCCAUUCAUCAUUAUAACACUAACCCAAUUCUUUCCAAAGAGACAUCAUCUCGUUAUAAUAAAAAGUAACUUCCUUUUAAGUAACUUCCUUUUCCCCUUGUCUAGCUUUAUAGAGUUUUAUUUUUAACUCAAAUAUCUGUGAAGCGUUUUCUAUAUCUGAAUAAGUGUCUUUCACAACAUCCAAACAUCUUUAACAGUCAAGAGAAAAAGAAAAGGGUUACCUAUGGAUGCUUCCAUGGAAUUAAUAAGUCACGUAAUUAUCAUAGAAUUUUCUGACCUCUACUUGCUCAUCUUUGGUUCGCCCACCUGUGGUUGAUUGACUUCUCCAGUUAAAUGACCUAACUUGCCGUGCUCAUCAAUUCUUAACUUUACGGACUGCGACCAUUCCAGAUAAUUCUUGCCAUUCAUCUUGUGAGAUGUCACCUGAAAAGAAAGGUGGGACGCCUCUGUCCCUUGAGUCAUUGUACUCUCGGUAGUUGUUUCAACAGUAGAACUUUCUUCCUCUGUUUGAUUGAUGGAUCUUUUAUCUCUAGUGAAGGUUGUUUUAACCAUGAUGUUACUAGAGAUUUAAUCUAGCUCAGAUGCCAUGAAAGUUUUCAAGAGAGUAUUUAAUAAAAAUGUUCUAUAAUUUAUUAACUAAAAAGCUGAACUUAAAUAGAGAAAAUAGUCAUAACCUAAUUGAGAAAAUAAUUCCCUUAUUCUAAUAAACUACUAAAAAUAAAAUAAAAUAUUCCUAGAAUAUCUAAAAUGAUUUAUUCUAACAUAUAUCUACCUAAAUAAGAUUUAUCUACCUAAAUAAAUUUAAAAUAUAUGAGUUUCACAUAUUUCAAUAGAUUACUCUUAUUAAUUCCUUCAACAUUUCAUAGUCUUCCCUCCAUUUUUCCUACUAAAAAUCAGUUUGGGCUCCUUUUUUCUCAGAAAAAGAAAAAAGAAGUAACAGCAUACUUUUGCUCUUUAGCCCCUUUCAGUCUGCAUGAACGAUUUCAAGGCCUUGGCUAAUAUUUGAAUAUAUAUUCAAUGAGGUUUUGGUUUUGGUUUAAUAUUUGAUUAUGUUUGAUGCGUCGUUGAGAGCACCAAAAAUAUCAUAUCCCUAUAAAAUAACAAAAAGAAUAGUAUAAAAGAAGUAGGGUCAAAUCCUCAGGGACUGGACUUGCACAAGUUCAUGUUCCUCAAGAUCCCAGGUAGAGUUGUGCCCAAGAAAAACGGCGUACCUAGAAAAAAAUAAAAAAAACAGAAUUAAAAGUUUAGUUGAAUUGAGAUUGCGUAAAUUGAAAUUGAAAUUGUAAAAAUAAACAGAGUUGAGAAAAGAGAGUUUUUUAUGGAGAGAUUCCAACCUCUGGUUAUCUCGAUCCUCCUUGGGUUCNNNNNNNNNNNNNNNNNNNNNNNNNNNNNNNNNNNNNNNNNNNNNNNNNNNNNNNNNNNNNNNNNNNNNNNNNNNNNNNNNNNNNNNNNNNNNNNNNNNNAUAGUGGAAGAGGAUGCCUACAACCACCAGCUCCACUUAGAUUUUAGAUUUACAAUUUAGAGGAACUUGACUCUAGCCAACCGUUGCUUUUGUGGGACCGUCUUACAGUAGAUCAUCACUUCUCAAUGGCGAAUGCCACACCAUCUUGUCUCUUGGGCUCGACAAUCACUGACGCAAUAAGCUAACGAACCGACUGUGAAACCUUCCCAAAACAUACAAAGCAGCCGCCUUUGCACAAGAUGAAAAGACUACUUUUGGAAGGACAUGGACAGAAGUGUCAGUCCUGUAACACGGAGAAACGAUGAAUACUCGUUGAGAAGGCUAAGUGUGGAUUCUAAGCCUUAUGAACCCUUUUUGGGGAAUCUCGACAAACUUUGGCUAGAUAAAUUUAGUGGCUAAUGCUUUUUUGGGGAAAAAGAAAUAAACUUAAUAAAAAUGGAAUUUUAUUGAAUAAAUGAAAUGAACAAAAGCUAGAGCUUUUUGGGAGAGGGAGAUUUUACAAAAAAAGAUGAGUGAAAUUUGUGUCACUCCAUCCCCUAUUUAUAGUACUUAGAAAACCUAAUUUAUUCCUAUAUAAAUUCUAAAAGAUAAAUAAAGAUAAAAGCUAAAAUUAAAUCUAAAUAAUAAUCUUAACAAUAAUCCUAAUACAAUUAAAAUUCAAAUAGAGUUUUGUGUUUAUAAAAUCUCUUCUUUGAACUAUUGUCCCCAAGUCUUCCACACUUUGCAUUUUCGGCACCACUUCUUUCCUAUUUUGCAUCCUGGCCCAUUUUAUCUUCAAAUUUAUGCUUUUUGCCCCUAAAUUUCUUUUUGCCUUUAAUUUAGUCCCUACAAGAUAAAAAAACCAUAAAUAGCUCAAAUUAGUAAGAACAUACUCAAAAUAAAUAUGUAAUUAAUACAAAAAAAUAUGUCAUUCCAGAAUAUUAUCAGAUUCCCCCUACUUAGCCCAUGCUUGCCCUCAAGUAUGGUUCCUAUCCACUGUGAAAUUUAGUUUUUACCAUGAAAGAAAUAUCACUCUAAAGUUUUAUAAAAAUUAGGCAUAAUACAUACGAAAAAUAAAGAGAACCUUUAACUUCCUUUAAGUAAAACCGAAAAAAGUAUUCCAAUUAAUACAUACAAAAAUUAAAAUCAUCUUGAAUUAUUUCAUGAAAAUUAGGUAAUUCACUAAACUUACCAAGACACCCUAUUUGUUUCCACCUUUAGUCCCCAAAUGUAAUUUUAUUAUUAAUAUUCUUUUUCUUUUUCUUUUUCUUUUUCUUUUUCUUUUUCUUUUUCUUUUUCUUUUUCUUUUUCUUUUUGCUUAAGAAUAUAUUGAACCUUUUGACGCGAAAAGAGACAACAGCCAAGCACCCCACCCUGGUUACUCAGCCUAACAUACUCCUAAUUUAUUAUAUUUAAAUAUAUAUUUUUCUUAAGAAUAUAUUGAACUUUUUGACGCGAAAAGAGAUGACAGCCAAGCACCCCACCCCGGUUACUCAACCUAACAUACUCCUAAUUUAUUAUAUUUAAAUAUAUAUUUUUCUUAAGAAUAUAUUGAACCUUUUGACGCAAAGAGAGAUGACAGUCAAGCACCCCACCCCGGUUACUCAGCCCAACAUAUUCUUAAAAAAAAUUUCUCGGUUAGCAGAGUUUUACCUAACAAGUCACACAACUUUUGACGCGAAGUAGGAUGACAACCCAAGCACCCUACCCCAGUUACUCAAUCAGUCACGUUUUAAGCUGCACUCAUAACCACGGAGGCAUCAAAAUUUAUUAUAAUGAAACAGAAUUUUUAAUUUUGGAGAAUUAGGAAAAACAAUCAAGUGUCAAAAAUAAGUUUCGGCAACUACCUAACAGUCAUGAACAUAAAUUUAGCAUACAAUUGUAUUAAGUGUUCUCUUUGCAUUAAACUUAAUCUAUUUUACAAAAAGCAAGAUAGGGUUAACUCUAUUAAUCAUAAUUAUUUUAGCCUAAUAGAAAUAAAAUAGUGGAGACGAAAUCAAUAUGGCAAAAUCAUAACUAACUCAAUAUAUAGGAAUCAUGCUCGCAAAUUAAAUAGUGGGCGAUUUCUGGUCAAAAUCUUAGGCAUGAAAAAGGGCAGGAUAUACUAAAAAAAUUAAAUAUGGGUAGAAACUAGCACAAUGCAGCAACAACAGUAACACAACAGUAAAAGCAGCAGAUAAAAUGACAGAAAUAAUGAGGAAUGCCUCCCCCUACUUAAAACACAUUGUCCUCGAUGUGAAAGAAAAAUAACAAAUAGGGGGAAGAGAAAAAAGUUUAGAAAAACUCCCCAUAUAUUUACUGUCGUUCGCACAGAGCUGCAAUAAGAUCAGUCAUCUACUGGCCGAUGGUGUCGAGUCGUGCCUCAAUGCGUUCCAAUCGUUGCUCGAUGGUCACGGAAGGUUGGUCUUGAUUGGGUACCUCGUGCAGAUUUUGCCGCCGAAAGAUUCGUUCAGCCGGUGUAGAUCGGGUGCCUGGAGGUACAAAAAGAAAGGAAGUAGGAGUGCCAAGAAGCAAUCCCAUCGAAUCGAGACAGCAGGCAACUAAUGGAUCAGCUUGGUAAACAAUAUGUAAGUUUGAAAUAGGGGCAUUAGAGCCAUGUAACAUGUAAAAAGAAUAACAGUUGUGUAAUAAAAAAGCCUAAAAUGAGAAGACGCUUUGCAUUUAUAAUAUGCUCAAAUUGAAGCACAUACCAAUAGCCCAAAUUUACCGGACGACCGGUGUACAUACACCAUAAUAAGAAUAAUUUCAUCUUCGAGACGAUAGCCGGUACAUCUCUCCGACCUGAGAAAUUAUAAGCCAAAUAACAAUGUAUGUAACAUAAGGCAGGGUUACGAAACCACAAAUCCUUUGAUGUUUUAGGGCUAUAUAUGGUUUCAACAUUAUCUAUUAAUAACGCAAAGGCCUCUAUAGCCUUGAAGUCUGCUGGAAAAGUACACAAGUUGUUUUCAUAAUCAGUGGACAAAGCAUAAUCCUCUGUUACAAAAGCCAAUGCAAUAUUAAAAUCAGUUAGGGAUAAACUGUGUGGUACCAAGCAAUCGAAAUGUGAUAAUGCCAGAUAUGUCCAAUGAGAAUUGGUCGUGCCGUUGAAAAUGGAAGGUGGAAUAAAACUCUAAAAUCAGUUCGUAAUAAGUGCAGUGAGUGAUAUCAAAAUUUCCAACCCAACCAAUAUUGCGAAAAUAAUCGGCAACCAUAGUGUCUGUCGAAACCACUUUUUUUAAAAAACAAGUCUACUUGGAUUUUGAAAAGCGAAAACGGAGUUGCCACCGAUCCUUUUUAUUUAGGUGUAAUCGGAUCACCUCAUAAUUUAAUCAUUUUAAGAAAAGUUUAAAUUUACUAAAACGAUAAUUUUUGGUCUACAAAAUCCAGAAAAUGAGUUCGGGAGUCGGUUACGCACGAGGAAGGAUUAGCACCCUCGAUACGCCCAAAAUUGGUACCUUGUUGAUUAAUUAGUGUCCUAAUAUCGAAAAUUUACAAAGAUUUUAAAAUACGAUCCUUUUAUUUAACCAGAAACUUGUAUAAAUCAAGUUGCACGUUAAGACCCUCUUAUUUCAGAAAGAGAAAAUGUCAUGCCCAAUGAGUUAGGGUAUGAUAUUUCACAUCCUCAAAAAUGAGUUUGUCUUUUGAAAAACUCAUGCAAUGAAAUUUAAAAAGGAUAUUCAAUUGUUUAAGUCAGAUGAAAAAUCGAAGCCCAAUAAGUUAGGGCACGAUAUCUCAAAAUUCCAAACAUUGAAUAUUGUCUUUAUUAUUUUUUAGAAAAAAUCCUCAUCUCGAGAAAAUAAAAUGCCGUAUCCAAUGAGUUAGUAUGCAACGUAUCGAAUCCUCGGGAAUGAGCUUUUUAUUUACUUGUUUUAAUUUAAAAAAACUCGAUUACUUAGAUUCAACGAGGAAAAUUAGAACCCAAUAAGUUAGGGUCCAAUCGCCUCGAAGAUCCCAAAUACCGAGUAUUACGUUAUCUUCAAAGCUUUUGAAUAAAAUGAUUUCGACACUUAAGUGAUAUCAAACAUAACCUUUUAAACGAAUAAAAUGCGAUGGAACGAUAAUGUAUAACGCGGAAUGAUAAUUCGUAAGCCAAAAUGUACACUAAUGAACACAAAUAAUCAAUAGAUAAUACAAACAAACAUAGCAACAAUAAUCUCAAUCAUACAUUAUGCAAAUACCGAUAACAACAUCCAACAAUUAAAUGAAUUAAUAAUCAAAUUUAAAAGGUACACUAAAAAAAUUCAAUAGCAAGAGGAGAAAUCAUAAUCAAUAAAUUAUACGUACAAAAGUUUUAAAAUAAACAAUAUAUAUGAGUUUAAAAUAGAUUCAAAAUAGAGUUAAAAAUAAACACUUCAUAAAAUAACAGUAUUUAAAUGAAUUUUGAAACAAUUAUUAUACAAGAAGAAGAUUCAAAUAUAUAAAAUAAUUUACAUAUAUUAAUUUAGAAUAAGUAAUACAUAGGGAGUGAAAAGCCUCAUGUAAAUAAUAAUAUUUAUAAUAAUAUGUAAAAGGUUGAAAUAUGCCAAAUAUAAUAAAAAAAAAGGAUUUUUUGUACAAAAAUAAAUUAUGUAUUUAUAGAAAUAGGUAAAAGAUAUAUAAUAAUAUGAAAUCAAUAAUAUAUUAUAUGUACAUAUACAUAUAUAUACAAAAAUAGUUUAAUAUAAAUUGUGUACAUAUAUAAAAUAGUAUUGAAUAAGAAUAUUAUUGUAUAAAUCUUUAAAGCAUAAAAGUAUGUAUAAGUGAAUUUUAAAGAUGUAUUAUAAAAUAAAACCAUAAAAAAAUGUACAAAUUAUAUUGGACCAAAAUAAAAAAUAUAAACUAAUACAUCUUUAAAACAGUGAUACAGCACAUAUCAAAUUCUCUCGGCUCGGGGGGUGCAAUUUAAUUAUUGCAAAACUCUUUUUGUUGACUGCAUCCAAUCUUCAGCAGCGGACGGAUCAAUUCCUUUUAGUCCCAAAAACUCCGUGGCACUAUAUUUCCGUAGCUCUUUAAUCGUGGCCCAUCUGACAGUUGAUUCUGAUGUAGUAACAGGUACAGUUCCCGCUACACGCUGUAAUGCAUCAGCUAUAGUUCUUAACAAUUGUGAAUCAUCUCUUUCUCUUCCUACAUUAGGAGGUUGAUUAUCUAACGGAUUCACACUAGGUGUAGCAGAUUCAGUUUCUUCAAUUUCUCGACUUCCAGUAUGCAUUUCCUGUUCAUCAUCAUAUAUUCUUUCAUCUGACAUUUUAUCUAUAAAACAAAAUCAAAUAAAUAUAUUAGCAUCCAAAAACCCGACUCAGUUUCGACUUAAAUGUGCCAUGUAAUCUAGACUCUACUUUGAACCCGAUUUAGGCCGAGAAUCGACUAAACCUUAGCUCUGAUAUCAACAAUUCUAACACCCCCUAACCCCAAAUCGUCGCCGAAACAGGGUUACGAGGCAUUACCAGUCCUAUCAAACAAUCUACGGAUAAUUCAUAAUAAAAUAACAUUCAAAAUAUAAUUGCAUAACUAAGUCUGUGUAAUUAAACUUUCGAAGUUUUAAAUAUAAAUUAAAAGGGAAAUGAAACUCGUUCGAGUACUCUAAAUUUUUUUUUGACAAAAUUUCGGCAACAUUUCUGCUUAUUUUUACGUAAAACCCCUGCAAUUAUAACCACAUCAUUUCCAAAUAUAACCAAUUCAUUUCACAUUCUCAUUUUCUAUUCUAAAUACAGUCUAAUCGAACUCAAUCAAUGUAAUACCAAUUUAAAUUUAUCAAUAUGCUAAUUAAAUAAAAAUAGAUAAACUUCUUUCAUUAUAAUUCAUAGACUUAUAACACUAACAUUUUUAACCAUUUAUAUUAAAACAAAAUAACCUCUAUACUCAUCCUAUUUACAUGCCACAUUACCAAAAUAAAAUGUACUUCACCAAAAUUAUGCUGAAGUCGAGUCUAACUUUGGAUGCUGGUUCAGUACUUGACUUCUACAACCUGAGCACGAAAACAACCGCACGCUGAGUAUGCAUAUACUCAGUGGUAUCACUAUAAUUCAAUUUAUAAUUAAAUACAUUAAAUCACACACAUACUUUUCAUUACAAUUAUCACUACUAAUAAACAAUUCAAUCUUUUUAUAUUAUCAAUUAAUUAUAUAUAUAAAUAUCAUUCUUAUUUCUUUAUUUCAAAUUUCACUUUUCACAUAUACUAUGUCAUUCGAGAUUAGUUUUAUCAGUAAAUUUAUUUCAUUUAUCCCUAUUAACUUGACUCGGACUCGGCGGAUACACGGAUUCCAACCAAACACACCAGUAAACAGUAAUCAGUAACGGUAGCAGUAACAGUAACAGUAUUCAACACACAAAGUGCUGAAUCUGUAACAGUAAUAGUAACAGUAUUCGACACACAAAGUGCCGAAUCGGUAACAGUAACAGUAGUCGGCACAUAAGUGUCUGAUCAGUAAGCCGGCAAAUACCCUGUACUCUUUCAUAUCCUAUGGCAUGCCAACUAUAUCCGACUUUCCCGACUAGUUAAUAGGGUAUUUAAUUUACUUUUCAGUAUAAUUUCCAUCUUAGCUCAGUAUCAAUUAUAAAUUCAUUAUUUCAAUCGGUUUCACAGUAUUACAGUAAUUCUUUACUUCAAUAAUUUCACAAUUCAAUGCAUUAUAUAUAACAAUAUUCGGUAUCUUCAUAAUUCAGUUCAGUAUCAGUUUCAAUUUCAAUAUCACAUUAUAAAUUUAUCAUUUAUUAAACACUUACCUUAAAAUACUUACCACACAUAACUAGCAAAUUAAACACUUAAUAAUAAUAAAGUUUGAAUUAUAGUGAUACAAACCAGAAUUCUCUUCGAAUUUAAUCCUCGACGAUCUUUUCUUUUCCUUUUUGGCCCGAUGCUUCAGGCUCGAUAUUAGCUACGAACAAUUAAAAUAAUUUCACAAUCCUUAGGACAAAACAAUUUAAUUGCUGAAAUUUUUAUCUAACUUUUACUUUAAUUCUAAUUUAAUCCUAACUAAACCUAUAUAUUUUUCUUUCUCAAUUCAUACAUUUUUGCUACUCAAUUUCUUGCCAAACUCACACUUAACUAUCUAAUUUUUAUCAUAUUUUCAAUUUAAUCCCUAAAAUUCAAAACUUAUAGUUUAGUUUACAACUUAAUCUUUUAUUCAAUUCCAAACAAAAUUUCUAUCAAAUAAAUCCCUAAUUUAACAAUUUAUUCAACAUGAACCAUGCUUAAAAACCUAUAAACUUUCAAAAUCUCAACUUAUUUUCAACAAAACUUUGUUUUAAAACUUCUAAAACAUCUAAAUUAAAAGAAAAAGACUUGAUUAAACUUACCUUUAAAACUUUAAAACCUUAAACCCUAAUUUUUCCUUUCUUUAUCUUUCUCUUUUUCUUUCUUUCUUUCUCCCUUGUUUCUUCUCUGUUUCGUCUCCUUCAAUUCUGUUUCUUUCUUUUCUUUUGCUUUGUUUUAUUUUAUUUUAUUUUUAGUUAAUUAAUUAUAAGUAUUACAAAUGUAUGUAUUUUAUUAAUACACUUGUAUUAAAUCAUCACCAUACACUUGUCUUUAUUUAUUUUGUUUAUCAAAUAAAAAUCUCAUAAUAUAAUUAUUUAAUUAAUUAAUAUCUUUUACUUAAAUUUUAAGUAAAUAAUAAUUAUAAUACAAGUGUAUAAAUAUUUAUUAUUACACUUGUACCAUCUUUUCACCAUACAUUUGUCUUAAUUUUAAUUUAUUCCAUAAUAAAAUAAUAUAAUUAAUAUAAAUUGCCAUUUGAAUAAAUAAUUGUAAUAAUUAUAAUAAUUAUAUACAUAUAAUAUUUAUAUUUAACUUAAACAAAAUCUUGAAUUUAAUGCAUAUAUGCCGCCUCAUUUUAUAUAAAUGGCUUAAUUGCCAUUUUAGCCCUUUUUACUUUCUUUUAAUCUAUAAUUAGACUUUCACUCUUUAUUCAAUUUAAUCCUUUUCGCUAAUUACUCCUAAUUAAGCCAAAUUCACUUAUCUAAAACCUAAUUAAACACACAACUAGUCUCGUAAAUAUUUCUAAUAAUUAUUUUCGAACUCAAUUCACUAAGACGGAGGCCCGAUAAUACACACACUUUUCUGGUGUCCACGGAUUUUGGGUCGUUACAAGAGCUUUGUGUCCUUGACCAUGCAUGCCAUAGCCUGUGAUCAUAAAAUUCCAUGAUAUAACAUCUUUAGAAAGGGACACAUCUUCGAAUACCCUCUCAGCAUCCUCGAAUACACAUCUUUAAAAAAUGUCUAGAAAAAGAUUUAAUAGGAUAAGGCUAGUAAAGUAGUUUACCACAAUUAAUGUCUCUUGCAAGAUUGGCCCAUUAGAAAAUUGAAAAUUUCUUUUAUCCGUUUUGGUUGCAGCCCUUCUUCCUUCAUCCCCUCGUAGAUAUUACGCUUUCGUUUUACAAGGGAAGUGCUACCUAUUGAUCCAUCAUUAUCAGCAGAGUGUAGAUGAAUAUCUUCAAAAUUUGCAGGACAUUGACUCCUAUGGCUAUGCUGCUCUUUUAAUUGAUCUAUCUCUUCCAAAUCUUUCUCAUACACUAUUCUAACACCACACUUCUUCACCUUAACACCGGGACCAAUUGGGUUUGUGAAAGACAGCUCAAGCACAUUGCAUUCCUGAUCUGAGCAACCUAUUGUUGAUAAAUUCUUGGUUUCAUUUUCAUCUUCCAAGGAAGACUGAUAUAAUUUGUCACGCGACCAAUAACGAAGAAAAAGGUGAUCCUUCGUUAUAGGCUGGUUAUUUUGUUUACCUAACAACCAGCCCAGCCAGUCACUCUCAUCAACUUGUCCCGAUUUUCUACAAUGGAUAACCGCUCUACAGAUGAUAACCUCCUCAUCCCUAGAAGCAUCAUCAUUGACAAAAAUGCAACACCCAGCAACUCCAAUCCAUUGACAAUCAUUUUGAUUAUUGAGAGGUAGAGGUAUCUUAAUUGAAGAGCCACCUGUCUGCCGGCUAAACCAUUCUGGGAUUUCACUUCCAGGCAUAAUAACAUCAAAUAUUUUUUUUGAAUUCGCAAAUGGCUGCAAAAUAAAACACCAGUCGUUUGGCAACUAGAACCAAAAAUUAUCAAGUAUGAGAUUCUAUAAGCGAAAAAUAAGAGAGAUCAAUUCACCUUGAGAUGUUUUUUCAGCAAUGUUAAUGCAUUGAUGUUCUCUGCCAAUCUAUAGCAGUUAACCGCUUUCAUGAAAGUCGAACCCACUAAAUUGGUUACAUCCAACGGAUUUGCAAGUUCAACUACUUCAAGCGAAGAACAACCAUCUAACCGCACAUCUUCAAUACUUGUUAGAAGCUCAGGCACCGAUUUAAGCUCCUUGCAAUUUGACAAUCGAAGGGUUUUAAGCUUGGAAAGUGUAGUAAGAGCUGAAGGAAUGCCAAUGAAAUUGUUACCACUAAGAUCAAGUAAUAUCAAAGAGGAUAGACCAUAAAUAUCACUUGGAAUAUCUGCUUCACAAAGAUUGCGAACAUUGCAAUUUGACAAUCCGAGAUAUUGAAGCUUGGAGAGUCGCAUAAGAGACACGGGUAUGUUGCUGAAACUGUUACCACUAAGAUCAAGUUUUUUCAAAGAGGAUAAACAAGAAAUAUCAUUAGGAAUGUCUCCUUCCCGAAGAUUGCUAUCCCUUAGAUUCAACUCUCUUAAACUGGACAAGGAAGGCAACAUCGGAGCCAUGGAAUUCAUCCUUCCUCUAUGGAUUACCUUGAAAAGAGAAGAAAGAUUUCUUUGUAACUUAGAUGGUCCCUUGCAUCCAUUGAAAGACAAAACUUUAAGAUUUUUCAAUUGAAAAAUGAAGGGUGGUAGUUUUGCUAUAGCUGUUUCACUUAAGUCAAGCUCUUCCAAAAAUUCUAAUUGCUGUAAACUCUCUGGCAAAUUUUCAACUUUAUAACAGCCAGAAAGAUCAAGACUUUUUAGACAUUCCAUUUUCCCAUCAAUCUCUGGAAACCUUACCAGAUUUGAACAACCCGAAAGAAUUAAUGUUUCAAGAGAUUCCAUUCCAAUUUUGGUUGGAAGACUCCUAAGACUUCUACAACCUCUUAAAUUCAAAAGUUUAAGGCUCUUAGAACUCCGAUUGAUGGAUGAACAUGCGCUAAUCUGGUACAACCCUCCAAAAUCAAAACUUCGAGAUAUGUGGCUGUUGUGAAGUCUGGUGUCUUGAUCAGGUUUUGGGACCCUUCAAGAUUGACCAUUUUCAAUUUAUACAAGGGCUGUUGAAAACAAUAAUAAAUUAGAAAGAAAGAUAAAAGGCUAAUUUUUUGUUGUUAUUUUUCUAUCAUAAUAAAAUUUUAAUCAUUCAACUUAAAACAAACUAAAACACAAGGAUGGGAUGAAUUAAUUCUUACUCUAUUUCCCUUCCAUAGUUGUUCAAUGCAACUGUAUGGCAAGAUAAGUGCAACAAGGUUAUCCGGUUUGAAGCUUGAAGGUAAUGAUCUUAAAGGACAUCCUUUCCAAUCUAAAAGUCGUAACUCAUUAGAAAUAUAUUUGAGAUCAUAACAAUUCGAGAGGCAAAGGACUUUAAGUAAUCUCAACUUUUUCAUCUUUAAGAAGGCAUCGACAUUCAAAUUGAGCAUCUUGUUCGACUCCCUGAUAAGCAUGGGCAGAACAAAGAGGAGAUUCAAGAUAUAGAAAACAAAUUCUCUACAAUUAUGUUGCUUCAGCAACCUUUUUUUCUUGAAAUAGACAUGUCCAACACUUAUGUCUGACUCAUAGGUAUAAAAAUAUGAUAUUUCAAAGACUCUUCAAAGAUAUAAAACACUUAAAAAUAAAAACGAACAUACUUAAGUUAAACACAAACUCAUUCUUAACAGCUACAUCUGAGUUCAAAUAACGUAGCUUGAAAGAAUUGGAACUAAUAUUCACCAACACAUCACUAACUCUUUUUCUUUUUUAAAAAGAUUUAAGCAUUGAAAACUUUGCCAAUGCUUUUUAAUUUCUUACUUUUUACAAAAAUAAAAAUAACAACAAUACUAAUAAUAUGCAUAGAUACCUGUUUAUAUAUGUUCUCCUACCUCUUAAUAUCGAUGAUCACACCUUCAAUCACUUCUGUAGCCUAAACAUCAAGAGUAAAACAUAAAAAGACAGAAAAAUAAUGGUUUUAAACCAUAUAAUCAAAUUUGUGAAAACUUACAUUUAUAUUUAUCUAGCGUGUUCAAAAUUAUACAUAUAUUUAGGAAUAUAAUAAAUAGAUGUAUUCUUGAUUAUACAUAUUGCAUAAGUCUUAUUAAUACUUAUAAUCAACAAAAAGAUUUAAAAAGACAUAUAUUUAGAAAGAUAAUGAACUGGUCUAUUCGUUUUACUCAAUCAAGCAUUUAAAACAUAACUUCAAAAAUAUGAAGUUGUAAAAAUGAGUUAUAGACAUUUUUUCACCAGUUAUUCUUGACAAUGUAAAUAGAUAAUUUAUUUAAAUCAAUAAAUAUAUACAAAGAAGUGGUUAUAAUAAUGUAUGUUAUGCCUAAUGAAACUCCCAAACUGUCCUGUAAGGUCCAUGUGUUUUGUACCCAAAAACAUAAUAGUUUGGGAUAAAUGGAAUGACUGCAAGAUUCAAAUUGAACAUAAAAUCUACUGAAUGUCACCUCUUAAAACUUAAUCUUAACCAAUUGAAUUCAACCCGGAAUAUAUAUAAUGCAAUUUCAAUGUAAUGACUUACACUGUUUCUUGUUAGCACAUGAUAAACAUCUCUUUCCUUCCACAACCUGCAACGUUUUCCAGGUUCAUCGAUAGAUUUUUCCCUAACAAUUCUUUUUCCCAUUUCUUGUAUCAAGUUAUGCAUCCACAAAUACUUGCCUUCAUGAACCUUUAUGAGAGAUUUCUUAAUGAGAAUAUCUAUUCCAAUAUCUGAGAAAAACUCACAACCAUCCAAUACUUUCGAUACAAAGUCUUUCUCCUCCCCGUUGAAGAAGCAUGCUAUGUCUAGAAAUAUAUUCUUCUCCUUUUCUUCCAAUCCAUCAAAGCUGAUUCGAAGUCUAUCGAGAAUUUCUUUGUUAGAAUCUCUUUUAAGCCUUUCGACUACACUUCUCCAUUGAGCUACAUCUCUACUGCACAAAAAAGAACCAAAAACUUCAAGAGCUAAAGGGAGACCAUCAGCAUAACGUACAACAUGUUCAGAAAGCUCAAUGAAAUCAUCUUUUGGCACUGUAUCACUAUGAAAAGCUUUCAAAUUGAAAAGUCUAAGUGCAUCGUCAGGAUUCAAUGUUGUAGGUUUAUACACACCAUCGACUCCGUAAGAUAGGAGUAAAUGUUCAUCUCUUGUUGUUACAACGAUUCGACUCCCUAAACCGAACCAAUUACGCCUUCCAACCAAGCAUUUCAAGUGUUGUAUGUUAUCAACAUCAUCAAGAACAACAAGAACCUUUUUACCAGACAACCUGUGGCUAAUUAUGGCAUUCCCUUCAUGAACAUUGAAAAAAUUGAAGCAUUCAUCCGGAAAGAUUUGAGAAAGAAGUUGUUUCUGUAAAGAAACAAGUCCAUGUUUGUUUGAAACUUCUCGAAUAUCAGCAAGAAAGCAUUUACCUUGAAAAUGAGCUAACAUUUGAGUGUAAGCAACCCUUGCAAGAGUUGUUUUACCGAUGCCACCCAUUCCGCAAAUUCCUAUAAUGCGGACAUCGUCUUCCCCAAUAUUUAUUUUCGAAUACAACUCCUCCAAAUGUAAACUAAUUCCAACCAACUCAUCAUGAACAAUUGGAUAUGUCUCACAUAAUUUGGCUGAUAUCUUCCUAACAAUGUCUCCGAUAAACUCUGAUUCAUUCCUACAAUGAAAUAAAAUUUAAUUCUUUCAAAUAAUAUUUUGUUGAUAUCUUUCAAACGCUCUUUUUUUUCUAUUUCAAUGAACAAUAUAGUUUAGAAGCAAACAAAAAGCAAGAUAACACAACUUGUUCUUUAGUAGAAAAAUUAAACUUUACAAUUAAACACAUGUAAUCCAAAGAAUAACAAUUUUGUAGUCAUUAAAACUAUAAAAGAAAGAAUACCUGUUAUUUAAAUGCCAUCCCCUGAUGCUAGCCACUUCAGUCAAAGCCUUUCGCCACCUUUGGAUCUUGUCUUUAUCUUCCUUGCAUCUCUCUUCGUGGUUGGCAAAGGCUUCAUCAACUUUACCUUUCUGAUUUUUAAAAUCAGAUGGAUCAACAUUGUAAAAAAUUGGAAACACUUUAUGACCAUUUUUUCUUUGUUCAACAAUCUCAGCAAGCUCCUCCAAGCAAUAACCUGAAAAGCCAUAAGUUCCCGAGAAAACGAUUACCGAGCACCAUGAUUGCUGAACUGCUUUGAGAAUUCCUGGUCUGAUCUCUUCACUCGCCUCCAGCUUUGGAUCAUCUUUGAAAGUGACAAUCCCACUUCUCCUUAGAGCAUGAUAGAGAUGAUCCGUGAAGUUCCUGCGGGUAUCUUCACCUCUAAAACUCAAGAAAACAUCAUAUUCCUUCCUAGAAAUGGAUGAGUGAAUUGAAGCUAACGACAUCAUGACAAUGUAUGAGAAGAAAUUUGCCGUUUAAAAUCAGAGAACAAAACGCCCAAUACCCAGAAAGGAACCAGCAACAAUUAGUAUUUAUAAGCAACAAGAAAGAGAAAAACAGUUCAAAUUUCUAGGGAAGAAUUAAGUUUUGUAAGCAAAAGUUCUCAAUACAUUUCUCACCUUCCCUUUUUCCAAGUAAAAACGCGUAGCAGUAGAAAGUGGGGUCAUAGACGAAAUAUGAUGGGUUUUUCCACGAAGAAACCAAGAAGGCGAGAGUGGACACAGUGGAGCCUACUUUAAUUGAAGUGUUUGACGGUUUGUCGUUUUUUUAUUACAAACAAUAAUAAGUGAAGAUACAAUAUUCUUCCGUAUUAAAAAACAAUAAAAAAUUAAAUAUCUUUUAUAGAAAUUAUUUUAUGCGGAUCAUAUCAUUUAUGGUCAUUUUUUUUUGUCAUUGGCACGUAAUUUUAGUAACUGUUUAUCCUAAACUCCGAAUUCAAAUUCCGACUCCUAAAUUAUAAACCUAAACUUAAAUUUGAAACCCUGAACCUCAAACCCGAACAUGAACUCUGAACCCCAAAUUGAAAACUUGUCUAAAGUUCAAGAUUUUUAAUUUGAGGUUUAGAGUUCAUAAUUCGAGUGUGAGUUCAAGGUUCAAUAUUUAAAUUUAUGGUUUAGAGUUCAGGGUUUAAAGUUUAAGUUCAAGGUUGUGGAUUUUGAGUUUAAGAUUCAGUGUUUUAAGUUUGGAGUUCAGGGUUCAUUGUUCAAGGUAAAAAAAUUAUCAAAAUUAUAUGUCAAUAACAUUAAAAAAUUACUGAAAUAUUAUUACAUAAUUAGGAAGUGACCUUGAAUGAUAUGGUGGAAAGUAGAGGUGCUCAUGGGCUGGGCCGCCCGGCCCGUUCCGAUAGCCCGCCUGAAAUAUGGGAGGGUUUGGGUAAAAAUAUAGGCCCGAAAUAUGGGCUUGGGUAAAAAAACGAGGCCUGUUUAGAAAACGGGCCGAGCCUCGGGCACAACUUUUUUGGCCCGACCCAGCCCGGCCCGAUAUAAUAAAUAUAUUUAUUUUUUAACUUUUUAAUUUUUUUAAUUUUAAAAAUAUUUUAAAAAUACUUUUUUUAAUUUUAAAAUAUUUCUAAAAUACUUUUUUUAAUUUUUAAAAUAAAAUUUUAAUAUUUAUUAAAAAAUGGGCCGGGCCCGGGCUUAUGAUUUUUUCCCGGGCCGGGCCUGGGCAAAAUUUUAUGCUUCGGGCCGGGCCGAGCCAAGCCCGAGCCUAGGACCCGGGUCAAAAAAAUUUUAUGGGCCCGGCCAGAACCCGACCCGGCCCAUGAGCACCUCUAGUGGAAAGGAUCCAUAAAAUAAUUUCAAAUCUUUUAAAGAUGGCAAAACCCGAACCGUCUAAUGAUUCAAAACUAAUGCUAAAAAAAACUGGUCCAAAAAAACAGAUUGAAUGACUAAUUGAACCGAUUUUUAUUAUUUUAAUAAUUUAUUUAAUUAAACCAUGGAACCGAAAAUUAUUGGUCUAAUCAAUUCAACCUUCAGAGUAAUUCAGAAAAUCUUUCAUUUUGCAGGUUUCUGUAGAGACCAAAGUGAAAAGCAGAUAGUAUCACAAUUUCAAUGCAGGCGUGAGAGGAUUAAUUAUUUUAACAUCGCAAUCAAAUCAUUUUCACCAAUAAUCAUUGCAUGAACAUUUGCCAUCAACAAAGUGAUGGAAACAGUUAGCAUCUCUUACGAUAAUCUCCCUCUUUACCACCUUUGAUAUAUAUUUAGUCACUGUAUGGCAAUCACCACAUACACGGAGGUUCUUACUGAUCCUUAUCAAGCUUCUUGCCGGUGUAUGUAAAAGUCCGAAAGCAAUAGCUAACCUCUCACUAUGCCUCCACAGUGAUUUGAUCUUCAUUGCCUCAUCUACGUCGCGAAGAACACAACUUGUAUCCGGUACAUAACCUAAAGCUUCAAGUUCUGAUUUCAAGUUCUCAAGAAUCCGAUCGAUUUCAACCGAGUUCGGAUGUGAAUCUUCACCAGCGAAAAACGCAUGGAGCUGUUUUCCAACUUCAAUCAGGCUGUAUCCUGGUGUUUUUUUCAGUCCGUGUCCCCUCAUGAGACCUCGAAUAUGAUCUACCGCAUCCCAUCUCCUUGCUUCAGCAUAUAUGUUUGAUAACAUGAUGUAAAUACCCGGGUUUUGUUGAAGUCAGCUCUCAUGCAGCAACAAAGGUGGCCAUGCAAGGAACGUGCUUCAAGCAGCAAACUGGUGUAGCAAGCUAAAGCCAUUUUUGGUUCAUUUAGUUUCUUUAAAUGAAUGUUUUGUAUUUAGUUAGGAUCAAAUUUAGUUGGUAGCUGCAUUUUGAUGUAAUUAGGUGAUGAAUGACAAGUUUAGGUAGCUGUUUAUGUAUUCAAACAAGUUUACCAAGUUACUAGGCAAGUUAGUGGUGUUAGGUGUGUUAUUAGGUGGUAACUUGUUUGUUUUGUUGUUGUUAUCUCAUAUAUGUAUUGGCAUUAUGCCUUCUAAAAUUUGCAAUGAAAAAUCAGCUCAUCAUUCAUUAAAAUCUCUCUCUUUCUUUACUGUUUUCCAUUGCAAAUUUUUUUUCUUUCUUCUUCGGUUGUUUCUGCUCCAAGUCUCGAGGCUUGCUUACCAAGCAAAGCUUGAAAAUCAGCUUGCUGCUGCCUCUUGCACCAACAAUUGGUAUCUAGAGCCCUUGUCUCAGUGGACCUGUUGCUUAAAAUCAAGGAACAUGAUGGCUUCUUCAGGAUUUUCACCAGCAGCCCCACCAGUCUUCAAUAGAGAAGGCUUUCACAUAUGGCUGGUCAAGAUGAAGACUUACCUGCAGGCCUUUGAUCUGUGGGAAGUUGUCAACAUAGAUGCUGAGCCAGCACCACUGAGGGCCAACCCCACAGUAGCUCAGAUCAGACAACAUGAUAAUGAGAGGACCAAAAGGCACAAAGCCAUGUCCUGCAUCCAGAACUGUGUGUCAGAUGUUAUCUUCACUAGAAUUAUGGCCUGUGAGACUCCAAAACAGGCCUGGGACAAGCUUAAGGAUGAGUUUCAAGGCACUGAGAGGACAAGGCAACAGCAACUAUUGAAUUUGAGAAGGGAUUUCGAGAAUCUGAAGAUGAAGGAAGAAGAAACAGUGAAGCAGUAUGCAGAUAGAAUCAUGGCAGUGGUUAACAGCAUAAGGCUCCUUGGUGAGCACUUUGAUGAGGCAAGAAUUGUGGAGAAAGUCCUCUCCACUUUGCCUGAGAGAUAUGAGGCAAAGAUAUCCUCCUUAGAGGACUCAAGAGAUCUUCCUAGCAUCUCUUUGACUGAGCUAAUUAACACCUUCUAUGCUCAGGAACAAAGGAGAGCUAGCAGAUCUGAAGAUCACCAGGAAGGUGCAUUUCAAGCCAAGGCCAGAGAAGUCUUGAGCACAAAUGCUCAAAAAGGCAAAAAGCCUUGGAAAAGCAGGCCUAAGCCUAAUGCUGCAAGGAGCAAUGACCAGCCCUGCAGAUAUUGCAAGAGGUCAGGACAUUCAGAGGAUAGAUGCUGGUUUAGGCCAGAUGCAGUAUGUCAACACUGCAAGAAGAAAGGCCAUGUUGAAAGAUUCUGCAAAAACAGAACCAAGCCAAGGCAGAACCAAUUUCAGCAGCCAAAAGUUGAAGCUCGAGUGGCUGAAGACAGUAGUGACCAAGAAGAGCAGGUCUUUGCUGUUUCUUGCAUAGCUACUGAGAAGAAAUCUUCAAAAGGAUGGUUAUUGGACAGUGGUUGCACCAACCACAUGUCACCUGAUACCUCUUUGUUUAAAACCUUGGAUAAAAGUUGCAAAACCAAGGUCAAGGUUGGAAAUGGUCAGUUUAUAAGAGUUGAAGGAAGAGGAGAGGUGCUGAUAUGUACUCCUACAGGCAACAAAGUUAUUUUAAAUGUCUUGCUGGUACCUGAAAUUGACAGAAACCUUCUCAGCAUAGCUCAAUUGCUUGAGAAAGGCUAUUCUGUUGUGUUUAAGGACAAACAGUGCCACAUUGCUGAUCCCAGUGGAUCAAGCCUUAUGACAGUCACAAUGACUGAUAAAUGCUUUGAGGUUCAUUGGCCAAAUGACUCAAAGUCAGCAUACACAGCCUCCACAGAUGAUUCCAAGCUCUGGCAUCAAAGGCUUGGGCAUGCCAACUUCAGGUCAAUGGCUCGAUUGGCCAAAGAAGGCUUGGCAGAGAACUUCACCAACUCAGUAGAGCAUGAUGAUGUGUGUGAAGUGUGCCAGAUAGGAAAACAGGCAAGACUACCAUUCCCAACAAACUCAGCAUGGAGAGCCACUGAAAGCUGGUGCACUCUGAUGUAUGUGGACCUAUGAGGAUAGAAUCACUCAGCAAUAACAGGUAUUUCAUCCUCUUCAUUGAUGAUUUUACAAGGUUUUGCUGGAUUUUCUUCUUGAAACAUAAGUCUGAGGUAGCUCAAGUGUUUGUGAAGUUUAAAACUGCUGUAGAAACAGAAACAUGUUGCAAGCUGAAAUCAAUAAGGAUAGACAAUGGCACUGAGUACACUUCAGCUCAGUUCCAAGCCAUUUGCAAUGAUGCUGGCAUCAAACAUCAGCUUACAAAUGUUUACACACCUCAGCAGAAUGGGGUAGCUAAAAGAAAGAACAGAAGUCUGAUGGAUAUGGCUAGAUGUCUCCUGUUCGAGAAGAAACUGCCCAAUACCAUGUGGGCUGAGGCAGUAAACACUGCUGUUUACCUUCAAAAUAGGCUUCCUACCAAAUCUCUUGCAUCCAAGACACCUUUCGAGGCUUGGUUUGGAUUCAAGCCUUCCUUGGCACACCUAAAAGUGUUUGGUUGCCUGUGUUAUGCACAAAUACCAGCAGCAAAGAGAGACAAGCUCUCUAAAAGGGCUCAACCAGGUGUCUUAGUAGGCUACAGCUCAGUUAAGAAGGGCUACAGGGUGCUGGAUCCCUUGACAAACAAAGUCCAAGUGAGCAGAGAUGUCAUCUUUGAUGAAAAAGCUUGCUGGAAUUGGGAAAAGAGUGAACCAGAAGCUGCUUCAGAAGACCUGGUGCCUGUAAGAGGCACAAGGUCUUUGGAUGAAGUUUAUGAAAAGGCACAGGUUGCUAUAGCUGAACCUAGCAGUUUUGAAGAGGCUGAGGCAGAUGAAGGUUGGAAACAGGCUAUGGCUGAUGAGAUCAACAUGAUUGAGAAGAACCAUACAUGGGAGUUGGUUGAAAAGCCUGCCAACAGAAAGACCAUUGGUGUAAAAUGGGUCUAUCGAGUGAAGCACAAUGCAGAUGGAAGUUUGAACAAGCUAAAGGCCAAGCUAGUUGUGAAGGGCUUCAGUCAAAGGUAUGGUCUGGACUACUUGGAAACAUUUGCUCCAGUAGCCAGACUCGAUACAAUCAGAUUGCUAGUUGCUGUAGCUGCUCAGAACCAGUGGACAAUCCAUCAAAUGGAUGUCAAGUCAGCAUUCCUCAAUAGAUUCUUGGAAGAGGAGAUAUACAUUGAACAACCUCCAGGUUUCAUAAUGUCUGGAAAGGAACAUUUGGUGUACAGGCUAAGAAAAGCCUUGUAUGGCCUAAAACAGGCUCCUCGAGCCUGGUAUACUCGAAUUGACUCAUAUCUGGUCAGUUUGGGAUUUGAAAGAAGUGCUAGUGAGCCAACACUUUAUGUUAAAAGAAAUCGAGGUGAAACACAGCUCAUUGUGUCACUCUAUGUUGAUGAUCUUCUAGUGACUGGAGGAGACAAAUUCAUGCUGGCUGAUUUCAAAACAAAAAUGAAAGAGAUGUUUGAAAUGUCAGACCUGGGAUUGAUGACAUACUUCCUAAGAUUGGAAGUUAAUCAAGCAGAAGGAGGAAUCUUCUUGAGACAAAAAUAAUUUGCCUUGAAAGUUCUAGCCAAGUUCUCAAUGGAGAAUUGUAAACCAACCAGCACUCCUAUGGCUGUUGGCAUGAAGCUAUCGAGCCAAGAAGAUUAUGAAUCUGUUUGUGAAACUGACUACAGAAGCCUGUUGGUUGUUUGCUGUAUUUGACAGCAACAAGACCGGAUAUUCUGUUUGCUGUGAGCAUGCUAUCAAGAUUCAUGCACUGCUGUAACCAGCAGCAUUAUAAAGCUGGAAAACGAGUGCUAAGAUACAUCAAAGGCACCUUAAGCCAUGGAAUACAUUUCAGUAGGGCUGAUGAAUUGAAAUUGAUUGGCUACACUGACAGCGAUUGGGCUAGUUCAAAAGAUGAUAUGAAGAGCACUUCUGGUUAUGCCUUUACACUAGGCUCAGCUAUGAUUUGUUGGAGUUCAAGAAAACAAACGAUGGUGGCUCAGUCUACAGCUGAAGCUGAGUAUGUAGCAGCUGCUAAUGCAGUUAAUCAAGCUAUAUGGUUAAGGAAAAUUUUGAAUGAUUUGAAUCUACAGCAGAAUGAAGCAACUAUGAUACAUUGUGACAAUAAGUCAGCAGUUGCUAUUGCUAAAAAUCCUAUCUUCCAUGGCAGGACAAAGCAUUUCAAUAUAAAACUGCAUGUGAUAAGAGAAAUGGAGCAAGCUCGAGAAAUCGAGCUGAUUCACUGUAGCUUUGAGAAUUAGAUUGCUGAUAUCUUUACAAAGUCACUUGGUGUGUCAAGAUUUCUAAAUUUAAGAAAGCUACUAGGAGUCUGCUGCAAAGAAGUUGAGGAGGAGUGUUGAAGUCAGCUCUCAUGCAGCAACAAAGGUGGCCAUGCAAGGAACGUGCUUCAAGCAGCAAACUGGUGCAGCAAGCUGAAGCCAUUUUUGGUUCAUUUAGUUUCUUUAAAUGAAUGUUUUGUAUUUAGUUAGGAUCAAAUUUAGUUGGUAGCUGCAUCUUGAUGUAAUUAGGUGAUGAAUGACAAGUUUAGGUAGCUGUUUAUGUAUUCAAACAAGUUUACCAAGUUACUAGGCAAGUUAGUGGUGUUAGGUGUGUUAUUAGGUGGUAACUUGUUUGUUUUGUUGUUGUUAUCUCAUAUAUGUAUUGGCAUUAUGCCUUCUAAAAUUUGCAAUGAAAAAUUAGCUCAUCAUUCAUUAAAAUCUCUCUCUUUCUUUACUGUUUUUCCAUUGCAAAUUUUUUUUAUUUCUUCUUCGGUUGUUUCUGCUCCAAGUCUCGAGGCUUGCUUACCAAGCAAAGCUUGAAAAUCAGCUUGCAGCUGCCUCUUGCACCAACAGGUUUGUUGCGUCCAAACUUAAUAAAUAGUCUGCAGCUUUUAUGCCGAUAUCAAUGUUCUUGUGCAUUCUACAUCCAUUUAUGCCUCCUAGAUUCUGUUAAUAGCAAAGGUACUGUAUAAGCUACUACUCAGUUUGUACAUUACUCUUGAAAUACACCCUUUAUAUCAGAUGAAUUGGAAAUUAGAAGUAAACUUACGACAUAUAUUACCCUUUUUUUGUUUUGUUGGAAUGUUUUGGCUGAUAAAUAAUAUACUUCAUGCAAUCUCCUUUAUCAGAAAAGAAAAGAGUGGUAUAAAUAAGCUGUUAUUCCAUGUUGGUAUAACUAUUGUAGUAUUUGGUAUAAGCUGCAAUUUCAAGAGGAUUUUACAAGAAAAAUUGUGAGAUUAUUAUGAUUGAUUUAAAAGUGAAACAAUUAGAUAAAUUACUACCUCCUUUUUUUUUGCUUAUAAAUUCUUGAUGAUUUGCCAUAUAUUAUGAAAGAUGAUAAACGGAGAACUUGUAUUUGUAGGAGCAACGAAGGAAAUUCAAUUUUAUUGUCUAUAUAAAAGGAAUCAUAUUUCGAUAAGGAAAUCAUCAUUCUCCAACUUGAAUGAAAACUACAAUGAAUAUAUAUAUAUAUACAAAGGCAAAAGAGCUCGUAGGUUGAAAGUGAAACAGAGCUUCAGUAACAAAAUUUGACUCAAAUUCUGAAAAAAAAAUCUAUAAAAUUUAUUGUUUUUGGUUUCUCUCCAACUUAUCAGAAUCAUUCAACUUUUUAUUUGCAAUGCGAAACAUUUGAGAUAUUAGAAGCAUGUCCACAAACACUUUACUCUUACAAUCCAACUUCACAUUUUCCUUGAAAAUUUGAAAACAUAUCACGUGAAGCCAUGGUGAUUUUCAAAUAGAAAGAAAUCAUAGAUACUAGACGCACAAGUAUCCCAUAGCUUUUCGUUGCUUUUCCUGCUGGUAGGAACUAAUCAUUUUCUUAACCUUUGUUCCUCUAAAAUUUUUCUCCUUUCCAGCAAGACACUAUUAGGAAUGUUAACACCAGAUGGUGGUGGAAUAUUUCGAGGCUGUAAUAUUUUUUGCUGUUGAAAACAUGGUAAAGAAUCUAUUUGUACCAUCAAACAAAAACAUGGGAAAAAGAGAAACCUAUAAAAUUAACAAAAUAGGAGAAAAUAUCUUGAAAAGGCUAGUCAAGUAUUAUUGCUUCUUUUCUGAUUAGCCCAUUAUAAAAUUGAAAGUUUUUUGCAUCCGUUUCUGCUGCGGCCGUUCUUCCUCUGUUUCCUCGUGGAUAUUGCGUUUUCAUUUUACAAGGGAAGUGCUACCUGCGGAUCCAUCGUUGUCAGGAAAGCGAUGAUGGAUAUGGUCAAAGUUUGGAGAAGAUUGAGUGGUAUGGCACUGCAGCUCUUUUAUUUUUUCCAAAUCUUUCUCAUACAUUAUUCUAACACCACACUUCUUCACCUUAAGGGAAGGAUAACCAAGUGUGCCUUCGAAAGACAUCUCGAAAGACAUCUCAUCGCAUUCAUGAUCAGAGCAAUCCAUUGUCCAUAAAUUAUUGGUUUCCCAUUCACCACAUUUAUUCUCGAAGGAUAAUGGAUAUAAUUUAUCACACGAGAAAUAACAAAGAAAUAGGUGGUGCUUUGUUAUGGGCUCCGAAUAUUCUCCACCAAAAGCAAAGAAAUUUGAUGAGAUCUGUUGCGCGGAAGCGUGUAAAAGAGUAAAAUUAUUGUACUAAAAAAUCACACUAAGUUUAAUUCCCAGGAAAGAGAGAUGGAUCACGAGGAUCGCUUAAGUACCAGGUCUUUCCUAGCCAGAAUAUCCCUCUAUCGUAAUUUAAUAGCACAAUAAAUCACUACAAUCACACUCACAAAAUAUGCAAAAUAAACAAUAAAGAACACUAGAAUUUUAACGAGGUUCAGCAAAUUUUGCCUACGUCCUCGGGCACUACCAAAUAUAUUUCACUCCAAAAUACAAGUGAAAGUUUACAAAUAAGGAGAGAGAACAAUUGCCUUAAGUAGAGAAUGGCAAAUGUGGGAUGGAGAAAAUGAGAAAUAGCUAGGCCUAUUUAUAGUUGAAGCUCAAGGAUUAACUUGCAAAGUCCCUAUACAAUUAGGGACCAAAAUUGCAAUUAUCCCAAGCCAAAUUUCAACCCAAAAAUCUGUGCCUUAAAUGCUUAGAUUUUCUGUGCCAAAUUUCUGACACCAUCCAUAUCUUUGAAAAAGUCAAAGAUGGUUGCUAAUAAUCUCCACCUUGAAGAUUUGAUUAGGAUAAUCUUAUCUUCACACAUUCUUUCUGCCUUUGACAACAAUACUUGAUAGUGCCUUCUUCAACUAUUAAACUUGCAGGAUAUUGAUCAAGUUCAAACAAUGUUCGAACUUGAUUGUUGGUACCACCUUGGUCAUCAUAUCUGCGGGAUUAUCUGCAGUCUUAAUCUUCUGUAGACGAAUUUUCCCCUCAUCAAUAAUUUCCCGCACAAAAUGGAAUCGUACGUCGAUAUGCUUUGUACGUGCAUGAUAGACUUGAUUCUUUGCUAAAUGAAUAGCACUUUGACUAUCACAAUACACAUUAAUAUGCUCCUGAACCAAUCCCAAGGUUUUAACCAUACCUUGUAACCAAAUAGCUUCCUUUACAGCCUCUGUUACAGCCAUGUAUUCGGCUUCUGUGGUUGACAACGCAGCUGUAGACUACAGUAUAGACUUCUAACUUAUUGGUCCUCCAGCAAGUGUAAACACAUAACCAGUGGUUGAUCUUCGUUUGUCCAAAUCACCGGCAUAGUCAGAAUCAACGUACCCAAUAAUACCUUUACCAAGUGUAGUGUCCUGCUUGAACAGUAAUCCAACAUCCACGGUCUUCAGAAUAUACAGUAGAAUCCAUUUCACAGCUUGCCAAUGUCCUUUUCCAGGACUAUGCAUAUACCUACUCACUAUACUAACUGCCUGUGAAAUGUCGGGUCUUUUACAUACCAUUGCAUACAUCAAGCUACCCACUGCAUUAGAAUAUGGAACUUGUAACAUGUAUUCUCGUUCCGUAUUUGUCGAAGGAGAUAGUUGUGCAGAAAGCUUGAAAUGAGAAGCCAACGGCGUACUUACAGGUUUGGUCUGCUCGUUCAUGCCAAACUGCUGUAGUACUUUCUUCAAAUACUGCUUCUGAGACAAACUAACUCUGCCUUAAGCUCUAUCUCUACAUAUUUCCAUACCAAGAAUCUUCUUAGCUUCACCUAGAUCUUUCAUCUAAAACUCAAGAUUGAGUUCAGUCUUCAAUCUCUCAAUCUCAACUUUGCUCUUAGAUGCUAUCAGCAUAUCAUCAACAUAUAAGAGAAAGUAUAUGAAAGUUCCUACUUGUAGCUUCUGAAAAUACACGCAAUGAUCAAAUUUACUUCUUGUGUACCUUUGCCCUUUCAUGAACUGAUCAAAUCGCUUGUACCACUGCCUCGGAGAUUGUUUCAAUCCAUAAAGUGACUUUGUCAGUUUGCAAACCCAAUUUUCUUUAUCAGCAACCUUGAAUCCAUCAGGCUGAGUCAUAUAGAUUUUCUCUUCCAAAUCACCGUGUAAAAAAGCUGUCUUCACAUCAAGCUGAACUAGUUCAAGGUCAUAUUGCGCAACCAAGGCUAGCAAAAUCCGAAUAGACGAAUGCUUCACAACUGGAGAAAACACUUCAUUGUAGUCUAUGCCUUCUUUCUGAGCGUAACCCUUUGCUACCAAUCUAGCCUUGUAUCGAAUUUCAUUUUUACCAGGAAAUCCUUCCUUUUUUGCAUAUACCCAUUUGCAUCCAAUUGCCUUCUUUCCCUUGGGCAGUGUCACCAACUCCCAAGUCCUAUUUUUAUGAAGAGACUGCAUUUCUUCAUUCAUAGCUUGCUUCCACUUUACACCAUCAGGGUUACUUAUUGCUUCUGUGUAUGUAGAAGGAACAUCAUCAUCUGCAAUUAGAAGUGCAUAGGCCACUAUAUCACCAAAGCGAGCAGGCCUACGAAUCUCUCUUCUUGGCCUCUUAUAUGCAAUUGAAUCUUGUUGCUGUACAAGUUCUUGGGUCGAAACUUCUUCAUCAUUUGUUUCUUCAAUGUUAGCUGGAUCAUCAUUAACCUUUUCAAGCUCCACCUGCUGCAAAGUACUACUGGUUUUGUCAUCCUUUUGUGAAUCCUUGUUCUUCAUUAUGGUUGAUUCAUCAAAAGUCACAUCUCUACUGAAAACAAUCUUCCUUGUAUCAGGACACCAGAGACGGUAUCCUUUUACUCCACUAGUUAUACCCAUGAAUAAUGCUUUCUUUGCUCUUUGGUCUAACUUAGAUUCUUUUACAUGAUAUUAUGCAGUGGAACUAAAAACAUGUAAAGAAUCAUAAUCAGUAGCAGGUUUACCAGCCCACAUCUCCAUAGGAGUUUUUCCAUUUAUUGCAGCUGAUGGCAACCGGUUAAUUAGAUGGCAAGCAUAUGUAACUGCCUCAGCCCAAAUUUCCUUGCCCAAUCCAGUAUUGGACAACAUACAUCGAACUUUCUCCAGUAUAGUCCGAUUCAUACGUUCUGCCACCCUAUUCUGCUGUGGUGUAUCUCGAACAGUGAAGUGUUGCACAAUGCCCUCAUCUUGACAUGUAAAAAUGAAUCAUUUUUGUACUCAGUACCAUUAUCUGAUCGAAGUCGUUUGACCUUUCGACUACUCUGAGUCUCCACCAUCUUCUUCCACUUUAGAAAUGCAUCCAAAACUCCACUUUUUCUUUUCAUUAGAUACACCCAUACUUUUCUUGAAUAAUCAUCAACAAAAGUAAUAAAAUAGUGCAUACCUCCCAAAAAAGCCACUUUGGUAGGUCCCCACACGUCACAGUGAACAUAGUCCAGAAUUCUUUUCGUAUUGUGAAUUGCUGAACCAAAUUUUACCCUCGUCUGCUUGCCCAGAACACAAUGUUCACAGAAUUCCAAUUUGCAAGAAUUUACAACUUUCAACAAGCCUUGCUUCGCCAAAGUCUGCAAAGCUUUUUCACCAGCAUGUCCUAAUAGCAUAUGCCAUAACCUGGUAGCCUCUGAAUCUGUAUCUUUCACAAAAGCUGUUGAUAUUGAUCUAAUAACUGUACUUCCAUUUAAAUAGUACAAGUUAUUUCUUCUAGUGCCUUUUAUCACCAUCAAUACCCCAGCUACUACCUUUAGUAAUCCAUCUCUCAAAGUGACUGUGAGCCCUUUAGAUUCUAGGGCCCCUAAUGAGAUGAGAUUUUUCUUCAAGCUAGGUACAUAAUGAACAUCUGUCAAGACUUGGAUUGAGCCGUCGUGAUUCUUCAAUUUGAUUGUACCUACUCCCAUUUUCUUACAAGCACUGUCAUUGCCCAUAAAAACAACUCCACCUUCUAGUUCUUCAAGACUAGAAAACCAGUCCUUAUUAGGACACAUACGGUAAGUACAUCCCGAAUCCAAGAUCCACUCAUCCGUAUGACAUGUCAUUGCCAUGCCAACCAAGCUAAAGUCUGACUCAUCAUCAUGCUCCGCUACACAUGCAUUAGAAAUAGCCUUGCCCUUUUGUAACUUAGGACAAUUCUUUUUCCAAUGCCCUUUCUCACGACAAAAAGCAUAUUCAUCUUUGGCGGGUCUCCCUUUGGACUUGCCUCUUCUACCAGGUUUGUUGCUGUGUGAACGACCUCUUACUGUUAAGACUUCUGCAGUUGUAUCUCUGUGAUCUCUUUUAUCUUUCUUUUGAGUCUCAGAUCUAUACAACGCACUGCAGACUACAUCAAAUGUGGUCGUAUCUUUCCCAAGAAGCACUGUGGUGGUAAGAUGAUCAUAUUCAUCAGGAAGAGAAUUCAACAACAAUAAUGUCUUGUCUUCAUCUUCAAAUUUCUCAUCCAAAUUUAGCAAGUCUGCUAAAAUUUUAUUGAAGGAGUUCACAUGGUCAUUCAUCGACAUACCGGGUGCAUACGUGAACCGAAAAAGUUUCUUUUUCAUGUAAAGCCUAUUUUCAAGACUUUUCGUUAGAAACUUUUCUUCCAGUGUAUCCCACAACUUCUUCGCUAAUGUCUCCCUCAGGACAGAGUACUUCUGCUCUUUGGCCAAACAUAGGCGGAUUGUACCACAUGUCUGUCUAUUGAUCUUGGCCCACUCCUUGUCAUCCCUCUUGUCAGGCUUUUCGUCAAGGGCUAUAUCCAACUCUUGCUAACAUAAGACAUCCAGGAUCUCACACUGCCACAUACCAAAAUUAUUAGCACCAUCAAAUUUCUCUACUUCAAAUUUUGCAUUGGUCACGGUAGUCUUUGUUGAUGACGAUGCCUCUGCCAUUCUUCUCCUCAACCCCAACUACUGUAUAUGUGAACAGUACCGUCUACGUGAAUAGUGCCAUGGAUGAACAACACCGUAUACGUAAAUAGUAUCGUAAACGGUCGUAUUCCCCAAGUACGAAUCUAGCUCGGAUACCAAUUAUUGCACGGAAGCAUGUAAAAGAGUAAAAUUAUUGUACUAAAAAAUCACACUAAGUUCAAUUCCCAGGAAAGAGAGGUGGAUCACGAGGAUCACUUAAGUACCAGGUCUUUCCUAGCCAGAAUAUCCCUCUAUCGUAAUUUAAUAGUACAAUAAAUCACUACAAUCACACUCGCAAAAUAUGCAAAAUAAAUAAUAAAGAACACUUGAAUUUUAACGAGGUUCAGCAAAUUUUGCCUACGUCCUCAGGCACUACCAAAUAUAUUUCACUCCAAAAUACAAGUGAAAGUUUACAAAUAAGGAGAGAGAACAAUUGCCUUAAGUAGAGAAUGGCAAAUGUGGGAUGGAAAAAAUGAGAAAUAGCUAGGCCUAUUUAUAGUUGAAGCUCAAGGAUUAACUUGCAAAGUCCCUAUACAAUUAGGGACCAAAAUUGUAAUUAUCCCAAGCCAAAUUUCAACCCAAAAAUCUGUGCCUUAAAUGCUUAGAUUUUCGGUGCCAAAUUUCUGACACCAUCCAUAUCUUUGAAAAAGUUAAAGAUGGUUGCUAAUAAGAUCCAUCGAUGAUUUCUACCUUGAAAAUCAGAUCCAUUAUAACUAGAUUGUCCAGAAUUUCUACAAUGGAUAUAAGCUCUACCACCGACAACCUUUUCCUCAGGACCACCAUCAUUGACGAAAAUGCAGUAGAAAGCAACUCCAAUCCAUUGACUGUCAUUCUGAAUAUUGAGAGGCAGAGGUAUGUCAAUUACAGAGCCGCCUCUCUGUUGGCUGAACCAUUCUGGGAUUUCAUUUCCAGGUAUAAUAACAUCAAACUCUUUUCUUGAAUUCGCAAAUGCCUGCAAAUUAAAACAUCAGCCUUUCUUGAAUUUGUAAAUGCCUGCAAAAUAAAAUAUCGGUGGUUUUGUAACUCAAACCAUGAAAAAAAGAAAGGAGAGAUUAAUCAACCUUAAUGGCAAUAAGGUGAGCACAAUCAACUAUCCACUCACUUGUCAUUCUUGCUAGAAGCACAUGAAACGAUUCAAGCUCACUGCAAUUUGACACUCCAAGCCUUUGAAGAUUGGAAAGAUGAGUAAGAGACGCAGCUGUUGGAACUUAGAAAAUAGAUUGAAGAAAUUUGACAGAAACUUGAGCUAAAAGGCUCAAAAACUUGUUGAGCAAUCAAGCAAAAAUCAGACAAAGAACUUGAGUAAAGAACCAGAGAACCAAGAAGAAUUUUGAGUGAUAUUUUCAUUACAUUUGAAAUGAGGCAUAUUGCCAUUACAUAAACCAAGCAUUGAGCUGGUCAAAAGAGACAAACUUCACCUAAUCAUCAACCUAACUCCACUAAGUAUCCUUGAAACUUAUAAAACAUGACUUGCACACAUAGGUAAGCUGAUUUAUCAAUCCAUCAGCACCUAAUUACAUCAAGUACAUUAACAACUUGGUUUAAAUCUAAAUAAGUUACAAAACAUCAAUUUGAAAGUAACAAAAGGAAACAGCAGCUUGAACUUCAGCUGCAACUGCAUGGCUCGGGCAGCUCCUCUGCUUCUUGGCUGCAUGCAGGCCAACUUCAACAGCAGCUAUGCUGGUGAAAUUAUUACACUAAGACCAAGAAAUCUCAAUGAGGAAAGACCAGAAAUAUCACUAGGAAUAUCUCCACGAAUAUUGAAUAAGUCGCAAUUUGACAAUGUAAGAUAUUCAAGCCUGGAGAGUCGUGUAAAAGACCCCGAUAUAGUGUUGAAAUUGUUAUCGCUAAGAUCAAGAUUUGUCAAAGAGGAUAGACAAGAUAUAGCACCAGGAAUAUCUCCUUCACCAAGAUUGCAGUCCCUUAGAGUCAACUUUCUUAAUGAACUCAAACCGGAUAAUGAAGGUAGCAUUAGAGCUAUGGAAUUCAUCCUUCCUCUUUGGCUUACCUUGAAAAGAGAAAGGAGAUUUCUUUUUAACUUAGACGGACCCUUGAAUCCACCGAAAGACAAAAUUUUAAGAUUUUUCAAUUGAGAAAUGCAGAAGGGUGGUUCUUUUAUGGCUGUUUCACUUAAGUCAAGCUCUUCCAAAAAUUCUUCUUGCUGCAAAUUCUCUUACAAAUUGUUCGUGUUUAGAACUCGAACUUUGAUGGUUGAUCGAGAGUUUUAAAGCAGAAAGAAGAGACGGAAAGUUUUAAGUAGAAAAAUAAUUGAAGACGUGAAUAUAUUAAUUGAUUUGCACCUCAACUAUUUAAAUACAAAAGUUCAAGCUAAAAAUAGGAAAAAAAAGGUUCUAAAAAAUCUGCUAAAAAUUUGUUAACAUAAUAGCAAACAAAUCAAAAAUCUAAUCUCCUAAAGUCAAGGAGAAUUAUUCAAACUUAAUAACAGAAAAAAAUUUAAAUGGCAGCAAUCUUAAACACAUUAUCUCAACACUCCUCCUUGUUUAGAUGCUGCAAACUCCAAUUAUAUUUCUGUCGAGAGGUCGAUCAACCAACUCCCAAGUUUUGUUUUUCUCGAUCGUCGCAAGCUCCUCCUUCAUUGCAGCCAUCCAAUGUUGACUAUUUUUUGCAUCAUGAUACCCUGCAGGCUCACAAAUAGCCAUGUUACAUCUUUGGUAAAUGUAGGAGAGCAGCCUUGUUCUUCUGACAGGUGCAUCAUCGGCCAAAACAUCUUGCCCUUCAUCUUCAAGCUCUUCUAACGUGCUGCCAAUGGUAAAACGAUUUGGUGCACUAGAAGUUUGGUUCGUCUUGGUUGAGUCUUCCCAAUUCCAUUGCUCAUUUUCAAAAAAAUAAACAUCUCUUCUCACAAUAACACGUCCAGUGUGUGGUUGAAAGACUCUGUAAGCUUUAGAUACGUGCUAUACCUAACAAAAAUGCUAGCUUCUACCUUUUUGUCAAGCUUAUCACACUUGACCUGUGGAAUGUAAGUGAAACAUAGGCAGCCAAACACUCUAAGAAACUUUAACGAAGGUUUGUAACCAUACCAAGCUUCAAAUGGCAUCUGAUCCUUCACAGCUUUUGUUGAAAUCUGAUUUGCAAGAACACAGCAGUGUUUGCAGCUUCUCCCCAAAAGCCUUUUGGAAGAUUCUUCUCAUGAAGCAUACAACGAGUCAUCUCCAUUAUGAAUCUGUUCCUCCUUUCACUGACUCCAUUUGUUGUGGAGUGUAUGGCGCCGUCAACUGAUGCUCAAUUCCAGCCUCUUCACAAAACCUAUUAAAGGUUUUUAAAGUGUACUCCUUGCCAUUAUCAGAUCUUAAAAUCUGAAUCAUGCAUCCACUUUCAUUCUCAACUCUAGCUUUGAAUUUUCAGAACAUAUCAGCAACUUCUGAUUUUUGCUUCAACAAAAAAAUCCAACACAUUCUUGUUAGAUCAUUAACAAAGGCUAUGUAAUAGAGGUUACCAUUUAACGAAGGAGUUCUCUGAGGACCACAAAGAUCAGUAUGAACAAGCUGUAACUUCUUCGAGGCUCUCCAGGCUUGUUUAGGAAAUGUUUGUCUAUGUUGUUUCCCAAAUUUACAAGCUCGACAAUGAGGUAGAUCAUCAUCAAUGUCUGUAAGUCCUUCCACUAGCUUCUUCAACUACAUUUGAAGUAAUCCUCAAUGGUGAAAGUGCCCAAGUCUCUUGUGUCAAGUCUCAGUAGCACUAACUCUGGAUUUAAAAGCCAUUUGCUCAUUUUCCAUUGGAUUAAGAGCAAAACUUUUUCCCUUCAUUUUGACAUUGAACAAGUCUCUGCCAUUAGCAUCUCUAAUCAAGCACUGCUUAUUCUCAAAUAGCACUUUAUAACCUUUAUCUAGCAACUGGCCAACACUUAAGAGAUUUUGAUCAAUUUUAGGUACAAAUAAAACAUCUGAAAUGAAUUUUGUACCUUCAUAGCUUGUAAUAGCUAUUGUGCCUUUUCCCUUGACUUCUAAGUACUCACCAUUUCCAAUCCUCACUCUUUUGACUUCAGUGUUUCUCAAUUCCUCGAAGAGCUCCUUGUCAUACGUCAUGUGAUUUGUGCACCCACUAUCAAUCAACCAGCUCUCACUUGAUUCUCUGCCUGAGAAACAAGUAACCAUGAACAAUUGAUCUUCUUCUUCUUGAUCAACUACCUGUGCAUCUACUUCUUGCACCUGGCCUUUAACCUUGCAAAUCACUGCUUCAUGUCCAAGUUGAUUGCAUUUGGAGCAUUUGGCGUCAGGUCUUUUCCAACAUUUGAAUGGUGGAUGACCUUUCUUCUCACAAUGGCGACAAGGUGGGUAGGAUUUCUUGACACCUCCUUUUUUGAUCUUCUGAUAAUUGCCUGAUGAAUUUUCUCCACUCGUCGAUUGGUUUUAAAAUUUUUCUUCUUUUUAUACCUGUUGUUAUCUUGAUGCUUGACAGGUAAGGCCCCUUCUAUCACUCCCUCUUGCCUCAUAUUCAACUUUACAACAACCAGAAAGAUGAAGAGUUUUUAGAUGUUCCAUUUUCCCAUCAAUCUCUGGAAACCUUGCAAGAUUUGAGCAACCCGAAAGAAUUAAAGUUUCAAGGAAUUCUAUUCCAAUUUUGGUUGAAAGACUCCUAAGACUUGUUCACUCUCUUAAAUUCAAGAGUUUAAGUCUCUUAAGCACUCCAAGUGAAGGAUGAACAUCUACUAAUCUGGUACAACCUUCCAUAAUCAAAACUUCGAGAUUUGGGGCUAUUGUGAAGUCUGGUGUCUUGAUUAGGUUUUUGGACCCUUUAAGGCUGAUUAUUUUCAACUUAUACAAGGGCUGUCCAAAACAAUAACAGAUUAGAGAAAAAACGAAAAACAUAAUAAAAACCCAUUUUUAUUGUUUUUAUUUUUAUCUUAUUCAAAUUUAACUGUUUAUAUUAAAACAAGCUAAAAUACAAGGAUUAGAUGAAUUUAAUUCUUACUCUAUUCCCUUUCCAUAGUUGUUCAAUGCGACUAUAUGGUAAGAUAAGUAUGACAAUAUAUUGAAGGAUAUCCUCUCCAAUCUAAAAGUCGUACCUCAUUAGAAAGAUAUUUGAAAUCCUCACAAUUUGAGAGACAAAACACUCUGAGCAAUCUCAAUUUUUUCAUCUUUGAAAAGACAGCAACACUCAAAUUGAGCAUCUUACUUGAUUCCCUAUAAACCAUGGGGAAAAUAAAAAUAAGCAUUAAAAUAUACAAAAACAUUCAAUACCUAAAAACUAUGUUUCUUCAAUACUAUUUUUAAGGACUUGCAUCUGAUAGCUAUAUCUAACACGCAUUCAAAUAUGGGCAUUGAUAUAUGAUCCUUCAAUAACUCUUUAAAUACAUGAAAAAGCUUUUCAUUUUUUUUAUAUCACACAUAAUAUAUCUAUCUAACACCCACAUUUGACUUCGAAUUACCUAAGCCUUAGAAACUAGAAUUAAAUUUUUGAUUUAUAUUGGUGCAAUAAUAAUGCAUAAUUCUAUUCAUCGUUACUGAACGAAACUAGGACACAUCAUUAAAAAUGAAAUCAAUUAGUUUUAUUUUUAAAAACGUUUGAUGACAUAUUAAAAUCUUGUCCACUAAGAUACACUAUGAGUGCAUCAAAUACAAGCAUUUACUAUUAGAAAGGAUAUAUCUCUAUGUGUUUCUUUUGAAAGAGUCAUGCGUAGCUAGAUAAAUUUUAUAAAUAUAACAUUAAAUAUAAAGCCUUAAAGGCUUUGUCCAUUGAUUCUUAUUGGAUACUUUUACAACUAAUAACAAUAUUAAUAAUACACAUCAUAAAUAUGUACACAUAUUUUUUUACCUUUUAUUGUGAUAAUCAUGCUUUCCAUUAUUUAUGUAACGUAAAAGAAACAAGAAUAGAGAAUAAGACAAAAUAAAUGGUGUAAACGGUAUGAUAAAACUUAUAAAAAAUUGCAUAUAUAUUUAACACUAGCAUAACCUUUUGGUCGCAAUAUAGUAUAUAAAGCAUUUUAAAUAAAGUGAAAUUAAAUAUUAUUUAUAUAAAUCCUUACUAAGAGUUCUAAUCAACAAAAGGAAUUUAUCUCAAAAGCUACUGAAUGUCAUUUUUUAAUGGACUCUCUAUAUAAAUAAAUCCGACUAAGUCUUUUUUUUUUUAUUAAAAAUUCUAUAAAAUGAUAGUAUGUAUAUUUUGUUGAAUGAUUUACCGUGUUUUUUGUUAGGAUAUGACGGACAUCUUUUUUUCUCCCACAAUCUGCAAUGUUUUCCAGGUUCAUCAACAGAUUUUUCCGUAACAAUUUUUCUUCCCAUUUCUUGUAUUAAGCAAUGCAUCCACAAAUGCUUAUGUUCAUCAACUUUUAUGAGAGAUUUCUUAACGAGAACAUCUAUUCCAAUAUUUAAGAAAAACUCACAACCAUCCAAUACUUUCAUUAUAGAAUAUUUCUCCUCUCCAUUGAAGAAGCAUGCUAUAUCUAGAAUCCUCCCUAUUGAAGAAGCAUGCUAUAUCUAGAAAUAUAUUCUUUUCGCUUUCUUCCAAUCCAUCAAAGCUUUCGAAGGCUAUCGAGAAUUUCUUUAUUAGAAUUUCGUUUAAGUCUUUCAAUUGCACUUCUCCAUUGAGCUACAUCUCUACCGCACAAAAAUGAACCCAAAAGUUCAAGAGCUAAGGGGAGACCACCAGCAUAAUGUACAAUACGUUUAGAAAGUUCAAUGAAAUCAUCUUUCAAUGUUGUACCACUACCAAAAGCUUUCCAAUUAAAAAGCCUAAGGGCAUCAUUAGGAUUCAAUGUUGUAGGCUUAUACACAUCAUCAACUCGGUAAGAUCGAAGCAAAUGUCGUUACAAUGAUUCUACUUACUAAACCAAACCAAUCACGAUUUCCAACCAAGCAUUUCAAGUGUUGUAUGUAAUCAACAUCAUCAAGGACUAUAAGAACCUUUUUGCUAGACAACCUGUGGCUAAUUAUGGCAUUCCCUUUGUGAACAUUGAAAAAAUUGAAGUAUUCAUCAAGCAAUAUAUGGGAAAGAAGUUGUUUCUGUAAAAAACCAAGUCCACAUUUAUCUGAAACUUCUCGAACGUCAGCAAGAAAGGUUUUACCUUCAAAAUGAGGUGACAUUUGAGUAUAAGCAAUUCUUGCAAGAGUUGUCUUACCAAUGCCACCCAUUUUGCAAAUUCCUAUAAUACGAACAUCAUCUUCCCCAAUGUCUAUUUUCAAAUACAACUCCUCCAAACGUAAACUAAUUCCAACCAGCUCAUCAUGAACAACAGUACAGGUCUGACAUAAUUUCACUGAUAUCUUCUUAGCAAUAUCUUCGAUAAAUUCUGAUUCAUGCCUACAAGGAAAUAUGAUUUAAUUCUUUUAAAAAAAUUGUUGAAUCAUAAUAUAGUUUGGAGCAAACAAAAAGCAAGAACAAGAAAGCAAGAUCUGUUACCACAUCAAAAUACACAACUUUCUCUUUAGUUGAAAUAUUGAACUUUACAAUUAAAUAUGUAGUAACUGAAAUUGAGUUCGAAUUUUAUAUUUUUUAAAUAUUAUUAUUUCUUAUUUCUGUAAUUUUAUUAUUAAUUAGAAUUAUAGCUAUUAUAUAUUAAUAAAAGGGAAAGGAAAGAGUUAAAAGAGAGAGAGAGAACUAAAACAAGACACACCCAGCGACAGGGUGAGCCAAUAGAAAGACAGAAAUAAAACAAAGAAAUUAACAAUAUUGUUAAUUUCAAUUCAAAAAAUAGUCUAGCGGACCAAAAUACUGUUUCGACAAAACAAAUAGGAAUAUUGGAAAUAAACAUAUAUAUAUAUAUAUAUCAAUUCAAAAAAUAACAAUAUUGUUAGACACUAAAACUAGAAAAUAGAGAAGAAAGAAUGACCUGUUAUUUAAAUGCCAUCCCUGACGUCAGCCACUUCCCUCAAAGCAUUUGGCCACCUUUGGAUCUUUUCUCUAUCGUCCUUAUAUCUCUCUUCAUGUUUUGCAAAGGCUUCUUCAACUUUUCCCUUCUGUUUUCUUAAAUCGGAUAGAUCCACUUAGUAGAAUAUUUUAUGUUCCUUAUCCUUUUUCUGUUUAACAAUCUCAGCAAGCUCCUCCAAGCACCAACUUGAAAAGGCAUAGGUUUUUGAAAUAACGAUGAUCGAGCACCAUGAUUGUUGAAUUGCUUUAAAGAGUUCAGGUGCGAUCUCUUCCCCGGCCUCCAACUUGGGAUCAUCUCUAAAAGUGACAAUCCUACGCCUCUUUAGAGCAUUGUAGAGAUGAUCUGUGAAGUUGUUGCGAGUAUCUUCACCUCUAAAACUCAAGAAAACAUCAUAUUUCCUUUUAGAAAUGGACGAUGGAGUUGAAGGUAACGACAACAUGAGGAUAUAUGAGAAGAAAAAGAUAUCUCAAUUUAGUGCUCAAAAUCAGAAAAUAGUUCGCUCAAUACCACAGAAAGAAACUGGGAACAAUGGGUUGAUGAGGAUAAGAAAGAGAAAAGCAGAUCUACAAAUAGAUGAGGGAUGAUGUUCUUUCCAAGAAGGUGAGAGUUGAUUUUUUAUCGGAUAUAUAUAAUAGUGCUAUUAAAUUAUUUGUAUGCAAUUAUUGAAUAAAGUUAUCAAACAUAAACUCAGUGAGUCACAUGGCCUGGACACACACCUGUGUGUCUCACCUGUGUGACUCUAAUAUGAAUUUAGUGAGUUACACGGCCUGGACACACGCCCGUGUGUCUCACCCGUGUGACCCCUACAUCUCAUUACCCACACACAGCCUCUCCCACGCCCGUGUGUCUACAAAUUCAAAGUCAAGGAGUUACACGGCCCGCCACACAGCCUCCCACAUAGCCGUGUGACUCACACGGCCAGCACACGCGCCCGUGUGCAGUUGACACUCCCGAUUCUGGCGAAGAAAAAAACACAGAAAAAGAGGGGUUUUGGCACCCACCUGUUACCCGAUGCUGAAGAAGCACCCAAUUAUAAAAUCCAAGCCUAAAACAAGUUCAAAACACUCAAUUCAAUAAAACUUCCGCAAAAUACGCAAGCACCAACAAUCAAACUUCGUCGAAACUUUUGACUCACUACACGAAACAAGUGAAAGAUUACUUACCACAGAUUCCUAGUACUCACUCAAUUCCUAAGUAAACGAUAGGCGUUAGGCAUCUUUUGAAUUCCUCCCUAAUGUAUCGAAACAACGCAUAACAAGUUAUCAGACCUCAAGACUUAUGAAAACCCCAAAUUCACAAUGACAGACUUUAUGAAAAUAUCGACUUAACUUACCUUGAAACACACCAGAACAAGCAAAAAUGCGAUCUAACGAAGCAAUUUAUACGAAAGAACAGACAAUAAAAGAAAAGAAUUAAGGAAAUAUGAACAGAAAAGAAAGAAAGAAAAAGAACAAUUUGGGAAAGAAAAAAAAUGAAGAAGAACGUCAAAUCCAAGAGGGAAGGACAUUUAAAUUUCAAAUCAAUUUUUACUGAAUAUCCAAAAAUAAAAUCAUUGUUGCAAACGCUAUAACUUGAACGCAGAAUUAGAGAGUAGACCGACAUUUAACCGGUGAACCAGCAAGUUUAUUUUUGACACAAGCUGCACAAAACUAAACUUAAACAAAGAAUCCUAAGUUAAGGGUUCAAGUAAGAAAUUUAACAAAAUUCUGAAAUUUAUGUAACUCAAACCUCAAACCUUUAGUGAGCAAACAAAGCACACAACCACAGAAGCAAACACAUUUUCAUUGACACAGCUUAGCUAUUAAAACUCAAAUUUUGGAGCGUUACAAUGUUGCAAAGCUAGUUUGUAACAAGACAUAUAUAAAUUGAAUUCAAACCAUGCAUAAAAGUACAAACCAUAUUUGUUUCUCGUCUACGACUCUCGCAUUUCCUUUUUCUCGAGACAAUCUAACAUCAUCUUUAGUUAUGUACAAUAAUAUAAGUAUAGAAACGAUAUUAGUUUUUCAUCCAAAUUAAAAACAAAUAAUCAAACAUAUUUUGCAUUUUAUUCAUUUUAGUCCUUAUAUCUGAAAUACUCAUAUUUUCCAAUAUUUAAUAACGGAUGAAAAUCUGACUUCAUGUCCUUUCAUUAGAGACAUUAUACUUUUAAUCUAUAGCAUAAUUUAUUAAAAAUUUUUAAUUUAUUAAAUUCAUCCCUAAGGUCACAAAAUUAUAUUUAAAGCUUAACUUGAUUUCUAACUUAAACCUUAACAUGAUUUAAGUUUACUAACUAACAAUCUCUUCAAUUUCAAGCUUAAUUUUAUCAAUUAUACAUCAAUGGUAACUUGCUAGACAUCUAACAAUUAAAGAAAUCGAUACAUGGGUAGCUAAACCAAACUCUAAUGUUUCAAAAUUCAUAAAAAUCUUAAGGAAAGAACUUAAUUACCUUGAUUAAUUUUGGAUUAAAAUGGAAAAGAAAAGAAAGAAGUUUUUCCUUCUUCUUAGCUUGGGACGACCAAACACAAUAAGAAAGAUAACUUCAUCUUUCUCUCCACUCACUUUUAAAAUCUUAAUUAGAUUAAUUAAUCAUCAUUAAUAAUAUAAUUUUAAUAAGUUAGUUUUAAUUAAUCAAGUCAAUUAAGAUAAGUGGAUGUAAUCUUACCAUUGCACUAUCAUAUUUUAAUAAUCAUCAAUUUAUUUUAAGGUCCUUAGAUUAAUUAUUAAUUAAGUCCUCAAUUAUUUUCUAAAUUAAAAUUUAAUAGCGAUUAAACUUUUAAAAUUUACGGCCUAAACUUUAAUUAUUGAUUUUCUGACUUAAUUACCGGUUUUUUAAUAUAUUUUUAUACUAACUUUGUCAAUACUUCUAUUCAUAUUUUCUAUCUCUAAGUAAAUAUAUAAUGAAAAAAUUUUAAUAAAAAAAUGAAACCAAUCAAAAUAUACACAUUUCAAUUAUAUAAAAAAAUGAAUUAAAUGAUAAAAAUUUUAAAUAGAAUAUGAGCUUAUGUUCAAAAUGAGUAUGAAUGAAGAUUUUAAUUUUUUUUUGGAAAGAUCAUAUCUCAAAUGCAAAUAAAUUUAGAAUGAUUACUUUAAAUGAAAUAAAAAUUAUAAACAAGGUAGAUGUUUAAGUAGCUUACCACAGUUAAUGCUUCUUCGAUUGACCCAUUAUAAAAUUGAAAAACUUUUCCGUUUUGGUUGCAGCCCUUCUUCCCCUGCUUCCUUGUAGAUAUUAUGUUUUCGUUUUAUGUGAGUAGUGAGCAGAGUGUUGGUAGAUGUGUUCAAAAUUUAGAAAAGAUUGAGUGGUAUGGCACUGCAACUCUUUUAUUUCUUUCAAAUCUUUCUCAUGCAUUAUUCUAACACCACACUUCUUCACCUUGGCACUGCGUCCAAAAGGAUCUAUGAAAGACACCUCAAGCUCAUCCCAUUUUUUAUCUAAGCAAUCUGUUGCCCAUAAAUUGCUGGUUUCACAGUCACCAUAUUUAUCGUCCAAGGAAGAUGAGUAUAAGUUAUCACGAGACCAAUAAUGAAGAAAAAGGUGAUCUUUCAUUAUGGGCUCGUUAAGUCGUUUACCCACCAACGAGCCUGUCCAAUCAAUCAGUCCAGGAUUUUUACAAUAGAUAAAUGUUCGACAAUUGAUAACCUCGUCAUCCCUUGAAGCAUCAUUAUUGACAAAAAUGCAGCAAGAAGCAACUCCAAUCCAUUGACUAUCUUUCCGAAGGGGUAUCUUAAUUAAAGAGUCACUUUUUUUUUGGCUAAACCAUUCUGGGAUUUCACUUCCGGGCAUAAUAAUGUCAAACCUUUUUAUUGAAUUUGCAAAUGCCUGCAAAAUAAAACACAAGUCGUUUGGUAACUAAAACCAUAAAUUCUAAAGUAUGAGAUUUUGUAAGGGAGAAUAAAGAGAUUAAUCGACCUUAAGAUGUUUUUUCAGCAGUGUUAAUGCAUUGAUAUUCUCAGCCAAUUUGAAGCAGUUAAAGGCUUUAACGGCAGCCGAAUCCACUAAAUUGCAUACUUUUGAUGGACUUGCAACUACUUGAAGUGAAGAACAACCAUCUAUCUCCAUAUUUCUUAUGGUUGUUAGAAGCCCAGGUAACGAUUUAAGCUUCGUGCAAUUUGAUAAUGCAAGCACUUGAAGCCUGGAAAGUUGAGUAAGAGCCAAAGGAAUGGUGAUGAAAUUGCUACCCCUAAGUUUAAGAUAACUCAAAGAGGAUAGACCACGAAUAUCCGCUUCACCAAGAGCGCACAUGUUGCAAUUUGACAAAUCAAGAAACCAAAGCUUCGAGAGUAGAGUAAGAGAUGCAGGUAUGCUGAUGAAAUUGUUACCAAUAAGAUCAAGAUCUAUCAAGGAAGAUAGGCAAGAUAUAUCACUAGGAAUAUCUCCUUCACGAAGAUUGCAGUCCCUUAGCUUCAACUCUCUUAAUGGACUUAAACUUGACAACGAAGGCAACAUCAGAGGCAUAGAAUUUGUCCUUCCUUCUUGGGUACACCAGUUAAUAUACGAUUUCCCAUCAUCUCCAUAUGGAUCCAACAUUCUUAUAUUCAUUCUCAACCUAUAUAUAUACAUUUUAUUUUGAUAUUAUUUAAAUAUAUAAUAAAAAUAAAAUUAAUAAAACAUAAAAUUUUAUCAUAUAUACCUGAGCAAGAAUGAUGUUUCCUUGGGAUGCAAGUAGUUUCUUUUUUUGACCAUAUCAACUAUCAAAGUUGUGAAGUUUUUCAUUUCAUUCUAAAAAUAAAGGAAAAUAAAAGACAUUAUUUAUAUAUAAAAUAAACAAAAAUAGAAUUGAUUUUUUUUAAAAAAUUUACUGAAAAUUAAAAGAAUUACCAUAAAGACAUCAUUUUUAGUAUGGAGGGAAACUCCAAGCAUGUUAUGCAUCCAUACAGGAAAGCCUCUAAUAAAAAAUAAUAAUAAAACUAUUAAUACUGAAAAAUAGUUAAAUAAUUUAUGAAAUAACAUAAUUAGUUAAAAUUUUAAAAUAAAUUAAUUUACCCAUAAUUCCACUCGGCACAAGUAUAAGAUCCAAUUCAAAGAAUUGCAUAUAAACCUUGGUCUUGAAUCGUUUUAAGAAAUCAAAUAAGAUCAAGAUUUUCACNNNNNNNNNNNNNNNNNNNNNNNNNNNNNNNNNNNNNNNNNNNNNNNNNNNNNNNNNNNNNNNNNNNNNNNNNNNNNNNNNNNNNNNNNNNNNNNNNNNNCCAUAAAUUAUGAUGGAUCCUGAAUCAUAGUGACAUUAGCGCAUCCAAUAAAUAGGAUGAAGAAAAAAUAGAUAGAAAAUAAAAUAGUGAAUAUAUCCUCUUCUUCUUCUUUUUUUUUUCCAUCUACUAAAGCUAAAAGGAAGUGUUGAUUGAAAAAUCAGUAGAGUAUGAUAACGUCUUUAUAAGCGUGGUGAUUGAAUUCAUAUCAAAUACUUGAUUUUUAGAAGAUAUUUACUUUGAUUUAUUUGCUGUUUUAAAUAGAUUUAUAUAAUCAGUGAUAUGAGAUUAAAUUAGCAAAUUGUGUUGAAAGUUGAGUUUUAGUUCUAUGUAGCAGCAUUAAUUAAAUAUUUUUGAUAAUUAAAUAAACUUUUUUAAUUAUAAUUAAUUAGAGUAUUGCUUUCAUACGACGGGAGUCAUUGGUUCAAAUCCAAUAAUAGGUAGAAUUUAUUAGAUACCAUCGAUCCCGGUGUCUAAUAAGUUUUUCUAUCCACCUUCUUUUAUUGAUUUUCUAUCUUUUUCAUCCUAUUUUAUCUCCGUUUUCAAUUUUUAAAUUUUUUGUUGGAUCAAGAUCCGAUUUCACUUUUGAUUAUAUUUGAUUCUAUUUAAUUGGCAGAAUCAACAUGAGAUGUAUAAACGAAAGUUUUGUUUUUACGAAAAUUCUCCAACUUGUUACGAAAUCGCGUUGAUAACCUCGACUUGUGUCCUAGCCUGUUUGACAGCUAGAUUUGCCUCAAUUGUUUGCCUCUUGCCUUCAGCUUUCCUCAUGUUUGCUUGCUGAGCUUCUUGUGGACUCAUCUAUAAAAUUCUCGUUUAUUAAAACUUGUAGAGUUCUAGUUAAAUUAAAUUAAGAUUUCUUUCAUCAACAAAUAAGGCUUGCUUUUUGAAGAAUAAAGAUUAUAUACCGAAAAGAAUAAGCGAGCAUUUAGUAAAGGGUAUAUCCAUAAUAACUUUUUACAUCGCUGGUAAAUGAUACGAUACAGUCACGAUUCAGCAAUAAUAUUAUCCAUAAUAACUUUUCACAUUGCUAGUACACGAAUCAUAGUAGUUGCCAUCCCAAAGGAUUGUUAGUAGAUCAAUCUUGCUAACACCUGUUAGAGAAAACAGGAUGAAGUACUUCCCUGUGUAACACCAACAAUGGCUCUAAUCCGAAAAAGAGAUUGCAUUUAAAGUUGUUAGCAAACUCAUUCAUUCCUAGCUACCCACAAUGACCAUAACAUAGCGCCAUAGCAACAAGCCAUUUCCUCUUAACAAUCCAAACAUGCAGCAACAUUCAUACACAACAUUUCAAGGAAUCGCACACAUAACACCCCACCAUUGAAACAACACUCCCCAAGCUUUCCAAGAAAGGAAGUAAGAAAGAAAAAUAUGAUCACAGUUCCCUUCAACUUCAUUGCAUCAACAACAAUUGAUGGAAUCAUUAAUUGUUAGAAUACCUCGAUCCCUUAAAAAAUAUUUUGAAGGCAUACCAUUCUGGAAUGAGAGCAAUAGGAAGCAUUGCACCUUUGAUGCACCAAUGAACCCUCAGAAUCAAGAGAAAUGUUGAAAUUGGCCAACCAUGCUGCUGUUUGAAGUGCAUGCAGCUUGAUGACAUGAUGCAGCACGUAUACUUGCUGUAACAGCAAGGUUUUCUCUUUAGUUUCUCUGUUAAGCUACUUAGUUGAAAAUGAACUAAGUUGGUAUUGUUUUGAUGUUUUUAGGUGCUGAUUGACAUAAUCAGCUUGUGUGCAAGUUAAGUUUUACUUGUUUCUAAGUAUAAUUAGUGGUAGUAGGUAGUAUUUGGUGAUGUAUUUGACUAUAUAUAUGUUGUUUUCUAGUUGAAUGAAUGAGUUGAAUGAGCUAUCAGCCAUAAGCUCCCUUGCUGCAGGUUUGUGAGCAAGUAAAAAUUUUCUUGCACCUUGCUUCAUGUUCUGUUCUCUCUGUUCUCUUAUUUUGCUGCUGCCAUUGUUCCAACAAGAAAACACAAAUUUCUUUACAGUAAAUUUCCCUUUGCUGUCCACCUCCCACAUUCGCCUUAUUGCAUUAAUCACUGAAUCCAUACAUAGCCAAUUUCCAUACCGAUGUUCCCUCAAGUAAGCUUUAAUCACACCGUGGUCUCAAAAUAGUUUGCUCAAGGACAGGUGUUCUAGAGAAGUCAUCCCUUGGAUUAUUGCAGAGUCGAAUGAUUUGUGAUAUGGUUUUGUCAAUAUGGGAUCUUCUGUUAGCAUGAAUUGAAGCCAUUUAAGUCGUAUUAACUAUUAAGGACCUAUAUAAACUACAAAAUGAAGCUAUUUAAAUACUAUUUAAGCAACACCAAAACAGAGUACAGGUUCCCAUGGCGCUUUAUUUAGCGAAAAUAGUCUGAUGACAAAGAUAAAAGAUGAUUAUGUUUCACCCUAUUACCUGCUUCUUCAUGCAGUGAAAUAUAGAUGUAAGUUUAUACAUAUAACAUAAAAUUUAAUAAAUAAAUAAAUAAUAAAUUUCAUUAAACAGUACAAGUUUCAAUGAUGUAAAAAUUAAUUAAUUAGAUGAAUAAAUUUUUAAAUUUAUAAAAACACUAUGUUGUCUUUCAACCAAAACAUGUCAUUCAAUACAAGUUGGUGUUCAACAUGUCUAUACUCAAAAUUUAGAGUUGAUUACAUAAUUUGAAGAAUCAUAUUUCAUACUCGUAUCAAAAUAUAUGUUGAGUAAAGAUGUUCAAAAUGAAUACUUUAAAUAAAAUAAAAGAUGUAAAUAAGGUCGAUAAAAAGGUCUAAAACCAGAAUUUAUAGGGCAAGGCUAGUGAAGUAGUUUACCACAGUUACAGCUUCUUCCUCGAUCGGCUCAUUAUAAAAUUGAAAAAAAUUUGCAUCCAUUUUGGUUUUUGUUUUACAAGGGAAGUGCUACCUAUUGAAUCUAUUGAUCCAGCAUUAUCAACAAAGUGUUGAUGGACAUCUUCAAGAUUUGGAGAACAUUGAGUGGUAUGGCUAUGCAGCUCUUUUAUGUCUUCCAAAUCUUUCUCAUUCACAAUUCUAACACCGCACUUCUUCACCUUAACACAGGGAACAUCCGGGUCUGUGAAAGACAAUUCAAGCUCAUCGCAUUCCUGAUCUAAGCAAUCUAUUGUCCAUAAAUUAUUAAUUUCACAUUCACCACAUUUAUCCUCUAAGGAAAAUGGAUAUAAUUUAUCACGCGACCAAUAUCGAAGAAAUAGGUGAUCCUUCGUUAUGGGCUGGUUAAAACGUUUCCCAAACAACCAACUACUUGCAUCGACACGUCGAAGAUCUGUAUCUCGAAAGACAGAUCCAUUUCGACCGGCUUGUCCAGAAUUUCUACAAUGGAUAACAGCUCUGCAGUUGAUAAACUUAUCCCGGGAAGCAUCAUCAUUGACAAAAAUGCAACAGGAAGCUACUCCAAUCCAUUGACUAUCAUUUUGAAUAUUGAGUGGUAGAGGUAUCCUAAUUGUAGAGCCACCUCUCUGUUGGCUAAACCAUUCUGGGAUUUCACUUCCAGGUAUAAUAACAUCAAACAUUUGUCUUGAAUUUGCAAAUGCCUGCAAAAUGAAACUUCAGUCACUUGGUAAAUAAAACCAUAAAUUCCCAAGUAUGAAAGGGAAAGAAAGAGAGAUUAAUUAACCUUGAGAUGUUUUUUCAACAAUGUUAACGCAUUGAUGUUCUCCGCCAAUCUGUAGCAGUUAAUGGCUUUAAUGGAAGCUAAAUCCAAUAAAUUGCAUACUUUUGAUGGACUUGCAACUCCUUCAAGUGAAGCACAACCAUCUAUGCACACUCUUGCUAUACUUGUUAGAAGCUCAGGCAACGAUUUAAGCUCUUUGCAACUUGAUAACAUUAGAAGUUUAAGCUUUGGAAGUCGAGUAAUAGACGCAAGUAUGCUGAGGAAAUUGUUACCACUAAGAUCAAGAUGUGUCAAGGAGGAUAGGCACAAAAUAUCACUAUGAAUAUCUCCUUCACGAAGAUUACAGUCCCUUAGCUUCAACUCUCUUAAUGAACUCAAACUUGACAAUGAAGGCAACAUCAGAGGCAUAUUUGGUCGUAACUUAGAUGAUGGUCCUUUGCACCCAUUGAAAGAUAGAAUUUUAAGAUUUUCCAAUUGAAAAAUCAAGGAUGGUGGUUCUGUUAUCGCUGUUUCACUCAAGUCAAGCUCUUCCAAAAACUCUACUUGCUGCAAAUUCACUGGCAAAUAUUUAAUUUUAUAACAACUAGAAAGAUCAAGAGUUUUUAGAUGUUCCAUUUUCCCAUCAAUCUCCGGAAACCUUACAAGACUUGAGCAACCUGAAAGAAUUAAUGUUUCAAGAGAUUCCAUUCCAAUUCUGGUUGGAAGACUCCUAAGACUUGUGCAAUCUCUUAAAUUUAAAAGUUUAAGCAUCUUAAGCACUCUGAUUGAUGGAUGGACAUCUACCAAUCUGGUACAACCUUCCAUAAUCAAAGCUUCAAGUUUUGGUGUUGUUGUGAAGUCUGGUGUCUUGAUCAGGUAUUGAGACCUGAUGAAGUUGGUUCAGCAUGCAGCAAACUCGACAGCAUGCAGGCCAUGAAGACCAAGACAUGCAGGAGCUGCUGAUGCAAGCUUAUUUUGUAAUUCCUAGUCAAUGAAAGGUAAUCUUAGUUCAUUUCUAACUAAGUUAGGUUGUUGACUGAUGUAAUUAGCUUUUGUAUGAGCUGUAAACACAACUUUGUAUAAGUUUACAAGCCAAAAUUUCAAGUUUCCAUGUAAUUAGUGGAGGUAGGUGAUGUUUAGGUGAUUACUUACUGUUUUUGACAAGCUUAGUGCUUGGUUUAUGUAUUGGCAUUGUGCCAUUAUUCAAUUUAUGAAUGAAGUUCAGGUUGUUCAUCAAUUUUCCUCUUCAUUUUUCUUAGUUUUUCUUCUUUUUUGCUCGAAUUCUCUUGUUUGCUCAGCAAGUCUCGAGACUUGCUCGACAAGUCUGUGCUGAGUCUGUUAGUUUCAGUUACAGCACCAACAAUUGGUAUCUAGAGCCUAUUUCUUAAGGGAUCUGUUAUACAAAUCCAUGGCUUCAUCAAGCUUUUCACCAGCUGCACCUCAAGUCUUCAAUGGAGAAGGCUAUCACAUAUGGGUGGUCAAAAUGAAGACCUACCUGCAGGCAUACGAUCUGUGGGAGGUGGUCAACUCAGAUGUUGAACCAGAACCACUUAGAGGCAAUCCAACAGUGGCUCAGAUCAGGCAGCAUGCUGAAGAAAGGACCAAGAGGCACAAGGCUAUGUCUUGCAUCCAGAACUCAGUGUCUGAUGUGAUUUUCACAAGGAUUAUGGCCUGUGAAUCACCAAAACAGGCCUGGGACAAGUUGUAGGAAGAGUUUCAAGGGACAGAGAGGACAAGGCAGCAACAGUUGUUGAACUUGAGGAGAGAUUUCGAGAAUUUGAAGAUGAAGGAAGAAGAAACUGUCAAGCAAUAUUCUGACAGGAUUAUGGCUGUGGUUAACAGCAUCAGGCUCUUAGGAGAGCUGUUCAAUGAGGCUAGGAUAGUGGAGAAGGUUAUAGCAACUCUGCCUGAGAGGUAUGAGGCAAAAAUCUCAUCUCUCGAGGACUCAAGGGACCUGUCCACCAUUUCCCUAACAGAGUUGAUCAAUGCUCUAUAUGCUCAAGAGCAGAAGAGAGCAAGCAGACUGGAGGAGCACCAAGAAGGUGCCUUUCAGGCAAGAACAAAUACUGCCUACAAAGGAAAGAAGGCCUGGAGAGACAAACCAAAGAAUAAUGCUGCAACGAGAGAAGGUCAGACUUGCAAGCACUGUAGAAGGGUUGGUCAUCCAGAAGAAAAGUGCUGGCUUAAUCCAGAUGCUGUAUGUCAGCAUUGUAAGAAGAAGGGUCAUGUUGAGAGAGUCUGCAAGAGCAAGGCCAAAUCGAAGCAGAAUCAGUCUCAACAGAUGAAAGCUGAGGCUCGAGUAGCUAAGGAGGACAGUGACCAAGAGGAGCAAGUCUUUGCUGUGUCAUGAUCAGCUGCUCAGGUAAGGUCCUCAUCUGGUUGGCUCAUAGACAGUGGUUGCACUAACCAUAUGACAUAUGAUGCUGCGAUUUUCAAGUCUUUAGACAGAAGCUGCAGAACUAAGGUCAAAAUAGGAAAUGGUCAUUUUAUUCAAGCUGAAGGCAAUGGUGAUGUGCUGAUAUGCACCCCCACAGGUGCCAAAGUAAUUUCAAAUGUGCUCUUGGUGCCUGAAAUUGACAGAAACCUGCUCAGCAUAGCUCAGUUGCUGGAGAAAGGUUAUUCUGUUGUGUUUAAAGACCACCAGUGCCAAAUCAGUGAUCCAAGUGGAUCCAAACUGAUGGCAGUUCCUAUGGCUGAUAAGAGCUUUGUAGUUGACUGGACUAAGGAGUCUGACAUUGCCUACACAGCCACAUCUGAUGAAUCCAAGUUGUGGCAUCAAAGGCUGGGACAUGCCAACUUCAGAUCGAUGGCCCGAAUGGUCAGAGAAGACCUGGAUGAAAACUUCAUCAACUCAGUGGACCAUGAUGAUGUAUGUGAAGUAUGUCAGCUAGGAAAGCAGGCCAGACUCCCAUUUCCCUCGACUCAAGCCUGGAGAGCCUCUGAAAAACUCCAACUGGUGCAUACUAAUGUGUGUGGCCCUAUGAAGACUGAGUCAUUAAGUGGAAACAGGUAUUUCAUACUGUUCAUUGAUGAUUUCUCGAGAUAUUGCUGGAUUUACUUCUUAAAACAGAAAUCAGAGGUGGCCUCAGUGUUUUGGAAGUUCAAGACUACUUUUGAGACUGAAACAGGCUGCAAGCUGAAGACCAUAAGGUCUGAUAAUGGGACUGAGUACACCUCAGUUCAGUUCCAAUCCUUCUGUGAUAAGGCAGGCAUCAAACAUCAACUUACCAACACAUAUACACCUCAGCAAAAUGGUGUAAGUGAAAGGAAGAAUAGGAGUUUGAUGGAUAUGGCCAGGUGCUUAUAAUUCAGAAGAAUUUGCCUAGAACACUAUGGGCAGAAGCAGUUAACACUGCAACAUACAUUCAAAAUAGACUACCAACAAAGGCUUUGGAUCAAAAGCCCCCAUUCGAGGCCUGGUUUGGCUUCAAGCCAUCACUGGCUCAUCUGAAAGUCUUUGGAUGCAUCUGUUAUGCACAUGUACCUGCUAUCAAAAGGGACAAAUUGUCUGAAAGGGCUCAACCUGGUGUUCUGGUGGGCUACAGCACUGUUAAGAAGGGCUAUAGGAUCUUGGAUCCUUCAACAAACUAGGUGACAGUUAGCAGGGAUGUGGUAUUUGAUGAAAGGUCAUGUUGGAACUGGGAAAGACAUGAACCUGAAGAAGUUUCUGAAGAACUUGCAACAGACCAAGCUGAGCCAGACCAAAAUAUUCCAGAAAUGGACAUUGAUGAUGAACCAGUCAGAGGAACAAGGCCAUUGACUGAGAUUUAUGAAAGGGCUCAUGUAGCCAUAGCUGAACCAAGCAACUUUGAAGAGGCUGAGGCUCAGCAAGGGUGGAAGCAGGCAAUGGCUGAGGAGAUCAGCAUGAUUGAGAAGAACCAGACCUGGGAAUUGGUUGAAAGGCCAGUCAAAAGGAAGGUGAUUGGGGUGAAAUGGGUGUACAAAGCCAAGCAGGAUGCUGAUGGUACCUUGAACAAGCUGAAAGCAAGGCUAGUUGUCAAGGGGUUCAGUCAGAGGUAUGGCUUAGACUACCUGGAGACCUUUGCACCAGUGGCCAGGCUUGACACCAUCAGACUACUGAUUGGUUUAGCAGCACAGCUCGAGUGGAAGAUCCAUCAGCUCGAUGUAAAAUCAGCCUUUCUGAAUGGUUUCCUAGAUGAAGACAUCUAUGUUGAACAACCACAAGGGUUUGAAAUAGCUGGCAGAGAGCAUAUGGUCUACAAACUGAAGAAGGCCCUAUAUGGAUUAAAACAGGCUCCAAGGGCCUGGUACAGCAGAAUCGAUGGCUACUUGACUGAUCUGGGAUUCGAUCGAAGCAAGAGUGAGCCAACACUGUAUGUCAAGAAACAAGGGACACAAACACAACUUAUUGUGUCCCUGUAUGUUGAUGACCUUCUGGUGACAGGAGGAGAUCGAGCAGUGCUGGCUAAUUUCAAGACCAAGAUGCAGGAAGUGUUUGAAAUGUCUGAUCUUGGGGAGAUGUCCUAUUUUCUUGGAAUGAAGGUAUCUCAAGCACAGAAUGAGAUACUUCUAAGCCAGAGAAGCUUUGCCACAAAGACUCUGACCAAGUUUUCCAUGCAAAACAGCAAGACAACUAAAACACCUGUUGCUGUUGGAGAAAAACUAUCGAGCCAAGGUGUUUUUGAGAAAGUAUGUGAAACAACCUACAGGAGUCUAGUUGGUUGUUUGCUAUACUUGACUGCCACUAGACCAGACAUCAUGUAUGCUGUAGGAUUACUCUCAAGAUUCCUGCAUUGCUGUAAUGAAAAGCAUUUUCAAGCUGCAAAGAGAGUGCUGAGAUAUGUCAAAGGCACUUUAAACUAUGGUUUGAAGUAUAGCAAAGAAGGCAAUCUAAAGCUGGUUGGCUACACUGAUAGUGACUGGGCAGGCUCGAUAGAUGACAUGAAAAGCACCUCAGGGUAUGCUUUUAACCUUGGAUCAGCCAUGUUUUGCUGGAGCUCGAAGAAGAAAAGUCUAGUGGCUCAAUCUACUGCUGAAGCAGAGUAUGUGGCAGCAGCAAGUGCUGUCAACCAAGCCAUAUGGCUAAGGAAAAUCUUGGCUGACUUGAAUGUGCAUCAAAAGGAAGCUACUGAGAUCUUCUGUGACAACCAAUCUGCAGUAGCAAUUGCUAAAAAUCCAGUGUUCCAUGGAAGAACAAAGCAUUUCAGCAUCAAGUUGCAUGUUGUUCGAGAAAUGGAGCAAGCUCAGGAAGUAAAGCUGAUCCACUGUAAUUCAGAGGAUCAACUUGCAGACAUUUUAACCAAAGCCCUUAGUGUCACAAGGUUCGAAUGUCUAAGAAAGAAGCUAGGUGUUUGCUCCAUGCAAACCAAGGAGGAGUGAUGAAGUUGGUUCAGCAUGCAGCAAACUCGACAGCAUGCAGGCCAUGAAGACCAAGACAUGCAGGAGCUGCUGAUGCAAGCUUAUUUUGUUUAUUUUGUAAUUCCUAGUCAAUGAAAUGUAAUCUUAGUUCAUUUCUAACUAAGUUAGGUUGUUGACUGAUGUAAUUAGCUUUUGUAUGAGCUGUAAACACAACUUUGUAUAAGUUUACAAGCCAAAAUUUCAAGUUUCCAUGUAAUUAGUGGAGGUAGGUGAUGUUUAGGUAAUUACUUACUGUUUUUGACAAGCUUAGUGCUUGGUUUAUGUAUUGGCAUUGUGCCAUUAUUCAAUUUAUGAAUGAAGUUCAAGUUGUUCAUCAAUUUUCCUCUUCAUUUUUCUUAGUUUUUCUUCUUUUUUGCUCGAAUUCUCUUGUUUGCUCAGCAAGUCUCGAGACUUGCUUGACAAGUCUGUGCUGAGUCUGUUAGUUUCAGUUACAGCACCAACAAGACCCUUUGAGGUUGAUCAUUUUCAACUUAUACAAGGGCUGUUGAAGACAAUAAUAAAUUAGGCCGAAGACAUAAUAAUGCUAAUUUUUGGUUUUUUUUACCUUAAUCAAAGUUUAAUCAUUUAUAUUAAAAUAAACUAAAACACAAGGAUAAGAUGAGUUAGUUCUUACUCUAUUCCCCUUCCAUAGUUGUUCAAUAUGACUAUAUGGUAAAAGAAGUGCAACAAGAUUAUCUGGGUGGAAGUUAGAAGGCAAAAAUCUUAAAGGAUAUCCUGUCCAAUCUAAAAGCCGUAGUUCAUUAGAAAGAUAUUUGAGAUGAUGAUCACAAUUUGAUACACAAAACACUUGGAGCAAUCUCAAAUUUUUCAUCUUCGAGAAGGUAUCGUUGCUCAAAUUGAACAUCUUACUUGAUUCCCUAAUAAUCAUGAGUAAAACAAAAAUGAGCUUCAAAAUAUACAAAAACGUUCAAUAUCUAAAAGCUAUGUUGUAUCGAUAUUUUUUUAUGUACCCACAUCCGGUACUUAUAUGUAAUGCGUAUAUGAAUAUGGUAUUCCGAUAUGAUUGAAUAUAUUAGACAAUACUUAAUCUAACACUUAUUUCACACUUUUAAUUACCUAAGCCUAAAAAACCUAGAACUAAAAUUUUGAUUUAUGUUUAGUGCAUUGAUGUGUAAUUCUAUACAUUACUAGCGAAAUGAUGGCAUUAUUUGGAUUUACUUUUGAAAACUUUUAAUGAUAUGUUAUGGUCUAGUUCAUUGAUAUAUACUGUCAUUACAUCAUAUAAAUAAACCAUUAAUUUUUACAAAGACAAUGACAGUAAUUUUUUUAUAAUUUCUGUUGAAAGAGUAAUGUGUUUCUUUAUAAAUUUCAUAAAUAUAAGAUUGAAUAAUUAAGCAUUAAGAAUGUGUUUGGUUAGGUGAAAAAGUAAAGGGAUAUGAGAAUGAAGGAUGCUUGGUAGAAAAAAGAAAGAGAUGAUCAUUUACGUGUAUGUUUUCCUACCAUUUAUUGUCGAUGAUCAUGCCUUCAACCACUUCGGUAGCCUAGAAGUAAUCAAGAAUAGACAAUAAGAAAAUAAAAUAAAUGCUCUAAAUUGUACGAUAAAACUUUUGAAAAUUUACACACAUGUUCAACAUUAUCACAAUAUUUUGGUUGGAAUAUAGUAAAUAAAAUAUUUUAUAAUGAAAGUAAUUCAAUAAAAUUAAAGAUACUCAAUGUCACUUGAGGAUCAAUAUAUAAAACAGUUAGACUAAGCUUUGGAUUUAGAUCAUAUAUUAAUAAAAGAAAUUUUUGUAUGUAACUCUUGUUGAAUGAUUUACCGUGUUUUUUUUUAGGACAUGAUGGACAUCCCUUUCCUUCCAUAAUCUACAACGUUUUCCGGGUUCAUCAAAACAUUUUUCUUCAACAAUUUUUCUUCCCAUUUCUUGCAACAAGGCAUGCAUCCACAAAUAUUUGUUAUCAUCAUCAACUUUUAUGAGAGAUUUCUUAAUAAGAACAUCGAUUCCAAUAUCUGGAAAAAACCCACAACCAUCCAAUACUUUCAUUACCAAAUCUUUUUUCUCCCCAUUGAAAAAGCAUGCUAUAUCUAGAAAUAUAUUCUUCUCCCUUUCUUCCAAGCUAAUUCGUAGUGUGUCAAGAAUUUCUUUGUUAGAAUCUUGUUUAAGUCUUUCGAUUGCACUUCUCCAUUGAAUUAUAUCUCUACUGCACAAAAAUGAACCCAAAACUUCAAGAGCUAAGGGGAGACCAUCAGCAUAAUGUGCAACUUGUUUAGAAAGCUCAAUGAAAUCAUAUUUUGGCGUUGUAUCACUAUCAAAAGCUUUCAAAUUGAAAAGCCUAAGUGCAUCGUUGGGAUUCAGUGUUGUAGGCUUAUACACAUCAUCGAUUCGAUAAGAUCUGAGCAAAUGUUCAUCUCUUGUUGUUACAAUGAUCCUACUCCCUAAAUUGAACCAAUCACGCCUUCCAACCAAGCAUUUCAAGUGUUGUAUGUUAUCAACAUCAUCAAGAACAACAAGAACCUUUUUACCAGACAACCUGUGGCUAAUUAUGGCAUUCCCUUCAUUAACAUUGAAAAAAUUGAAGCAUUCAUCUGGCAAAAUUUGAGUGAGGAGUUGUUUCUGUAAAGAAACAAGUCCAUGUUUGUUUGAAACUUCUCGAAUAUCAGCAAGAAAGCAUUUACCUUGAAAAUGAGCUAACAUUUGAGUGUAAGCAACCCUUGCAAGAGUUGUUUUACCGAUGCCACCCAUUCCGCAAAUUCCUAUAAUGCGGACAUCGUCUUCCCCAAUAUUUAUUUUCGAAUACAACUCCUCCAAAUGUAAACUAAUUCCAACCAACUCAUCAUGAACAACUGGAUAUGUCUGACAUAAUUUUGCUGAUAUCUUCUUAACAACGUCUCUAAUAAACUCUGAUUCGUGCCUACAAUGAAAUUAAAAUCCGAUAUGCACUUUUUCAUUUUUAGUUUAGUGAAUCAUGAAGUAUAAUAUGGUUGGAAGCAAACAAAAAGUAUGAAUAAGACAGUAAGAUACAUUAUAGCAUCAAAAUACACAACUUGCUCGUUAGUUAAAAUAUGGGAAUUCUCAAUUAAACACAAAAUUAUAAAAAUAACAUGCAAUCCAAUAAAAAAAAAACAAUUUUUUUAGUCAUUAAAAUUAGGAAAUAGAGAAGAUAAGAAAGAAAUACCUAUUAUUUAAAUGCCAUCCCUUGAUGUUAGCCACUUCAGUCAAAGCAUUUCGCCACUUUUGGAUCGUGUCUUUAUCUUCCUUGUAUCUUUCUUCGUGUUUGGCAAAGGCUUCUUCAACCUUUUCUUUUUGUUUUCUUAAAUCGGAUGGAUCAACAUGGUAGAAAAUUGGAAAUACUUUAUGACCCUUGUCAUUUUUUUGUUUAACAAUCUCCGCAAGCUCCUCCAAGCACCAACCUGAAAAGGCAUAGGUCUCGGAAAAAAUGAUUACCGAGCACCAUGAUUGCUGAAUUGCGUUGAAGAGUUCCGGUGCGAUCUCUUCACCAGUUUCCAACUUUGGAUCAUCUCUAAAAGUGACGAUCCCAGUUCUAUUUAGAGCAUCGUAGAGAUGAUCCGUAAAAUUCUUGCGAGUAUCUUCACCUCUAAAACUCAAGAACACAUCGUAUUUCUUUCUAGAAAUGGAUGAGGAAGUCGAAAGUAACGACGACAUGAGGAUGUAUGAGAAGAAAAAUAUGUGGAUGUAGUGUUCAAAAUCAGUCGCUCAAUACCUCCGAAACAAUAAGUAUAUGAGCAUGAGGGGAGAAAAACAGAUGAAAUUUCGAGGGAAGAACAAAGGGAGUAGGUGAAUCUAUCAGUACAAUAAUAUCUAUGAAAAGGGAGUAAGUGUGGAAAUUCGGGGUCAUAGAUGCUCUUUCCGGGAAGACUCCAAGAAGGUGAGAGUUCACAAAAUGAAGCCUACAAUUUUUCUGAAAAUUAAAUUCAUUAAUUUAUUGAGAACCAUAUAAUCCAGGCGAAACUCAUAGUAGAUGAUGAAUAGUAAACUCUAUCAAUACAAUAAAGGCUUUAGCCUUAACAAUAAUAAAACAUCAUGGCACGUUAACAAUUAGUUUUGUCACAACUCAAGUACGAUAUAUUUAGAGUAAUUACAAACACUUAAUUUGAUAAGGAAAUCAACCUCGGAUGGUCUAAAGCAACGAGCAAAAAUUGACAAAAGAAUCGAACGUACGCCAAAUUAGAGAGGAUGACAAUAAAAUCAUCUCUAAAAUCACUUGUAAAACUAAGAUUAUAUGCAUAAACACAAUUAUUAAAUAAUUGAAAAAAAUAUAUAAAACUUAACAACAUGAAAAUAGAUCCUACAAUUAUCAUCAAGUAACAUGUUGGACGGUUUGUGUUUUAUUAUUAUUAUUAUUAUUAUUUUAUAUUAUCAUAUCUACUUUAUAAUCAGUAGCUUAUGUUACAUAGGUGAUUUUACGCAUUUAAUAUUUGAUUAAUUUUUUUAAAUAUUAUACUUUUAAUUGAAGUAAUUAGUAUAGAAUAAUAUUUUUCAUUUAAAUUAUUAAAUAUAUGUAAAAUAUAUUAAUUUAUCAAUUCAAACAAAUAUUAUAAUAAAAAGUUUUUAAAUAAUAAUUAAAUAAUUUUUAACAUAUUCCACAUAUAUUAUAGUUUUCCUUUAUGUAGCUAAUGCAAUGUAAUAUUACUCAAAAUAAUAACUACUUAACAUAAUUGUCAGCAACCUCUUGGCCUAUUUACAAAAACUUGGUUUUGUAGGUACGAGAGCUUGGGUUCAAUCCUAAGCAAUCCUAUUUUCCUCCCUUAAAUAUAUAUAUAAAAAAACUGAGCACAAUAAACUCUAAUAAUAAUUAUAAUGAUAAUUUUAAAUUUAGUAAUAUAAAAAAUAAAUAUAUUUUUCAAACUCGUUGUUAUAUAUAUAUAUAUAUAUAUAUAUAUAUAUAUAUAUAUUACAAAUUAAGUAUUAAAAUUGUGUUUUACGUGUCAUAGCAUUUCACCACCAUUUGAUCUUAUCUUUUAUCUUCCUUUCUUCGUGUUUGGUGAAGGCUUCUUCAACUUUUUCUUUGUUUUCUCAAAUCGGAUGGAUCCACAUCGGGGGCCAUAGAUGAGCCUUAGAUGUUCUUUCCGAGAAGACUCCAAGAAGACGAGAGCUGUUGUUAACAUUUAUAGAGUUUUUCUUGGUUAAAAUGUGCCAGAAGUCCCUGCAUUUUUUAUAAAAUUAAAAUUUAAUUCCUAUACCAUUAAUCACUAAAUUAUGGAUCAAGUUUUGCAGGUAUCUUCACCUCUAAAACUCAAAAAAACAUAAUAUUUCUUUCUAGACAUGGAUGAGGAAUUCGAAAGUGACGAUGACAUGACGAUUUAUGUGAAGAAAAAUAUAUAUGGAUAUAGUGUUCAAAAUCAGAAAAUAGAUGGCUCAAUACCUCAGAAACAACGUAGAAACAAUAAGUAUAUGAACAUGAAGGAGAAAAACAGUUCAAAUUUCAAGGGAACAACGAAGAUUUUUGUCAGCAAUUUCUCUAUACAUUUCCAUUUUUUCUUCCAAAUGAAAGCGCGUAGGUGUGGAAAUUGGGGGAUGAUAGAUGAGUGAUAGAUGUUGUCUCCAGGAAGAAUCCAAGAAAGAGUCCACAAAAUUGAGCCUACAAUAAUUAUAAGUGUUGGACCGUUUGUGUUUUACAUUAUCAUAUUUACUUCAUAAUUAUAAAGUAUUAACUAAUUGUGUUUUACAUGCUUAACUAGUUUCUUAUGUAACAUUCAUCUAAUUAUUUUUAUUUUAUUAAUUAGUGUAUUUAAUUAUUAUUUAAAGAUAUAUGAUUAUUUAUUUAAAAAUGUAUAUUAUUUUAUAUAAUGUAAAAUAAUUAAAAUAUUUUAUUAGACUUAACACAUACUUUAGUACUUGAGUUUGACACUUUUUUUUUUAAUGUGAUACUUAUGUUAUUUUUUGGUCCAAUCAGGUAUUUGUAUUUGACAAAAGUUAUAUAUUUUGACACCCAAAACUAAUGAUGUUAAGUGUUUAAUUCGAGUUUUAGGGCUGGUUUGAUGAAAAUUAAUUGCUAAUUAUGUAUUUUCAUCAAACCAACUCUAAAACCCGAAUUAAAUUACAUCCAUUGGACUUUAUUUGACAAAUUAAAUGCAAUAUUAAACAAAUCCAUAAUUAACACUAAAUUUAUUCUAUUAACAAAAUCAUGAAAAAUUCAAAGUUAAUAAUAUUAGCAAUUAACUUUCAUCAAAUCAAUUCCCAGACUUAAACUAAAUGCUAAAAAGUUAACAUCGUUACUUUUGGAUACCAAAAUAUACAACUUUUGUCAAAUAAAUGUAACAAAUUGAACAAAAAAAAAAGACAAAGAGUACCACAUUAAAAAAAAAGUGUCAAACUCAAGUACCAAAUUAUGCAUUACAUUAUUUUGUUACAAGAUAUUGUUUAAUUAUAAACUUCAAUAUUUAAAUUAAAAACAAGAGUCUUGUUUGGUGGGAUGUUUUCUUGCUGCUAGUGUGGUCCACUUCCCAAAGAUGAAGAAUACAUUGGCAAAUUUGUGACAUCCUUUAAGGUGUGUGCAGAUCUCGAAUAUGGGAGAGAAUAGAUAUUUGUUUAGAUUUUUCAAUAAGGUGAACAUUGAUAGGGUGAUUAAUGGAGCACCAUGGACUUUCAACAAUCAUUUGUUAGUGUUCCAUCAUUUGGCUAUUAAUGAAUAUCCCAUGCAAGUACCAUUGAUUUUUCAUGGUUUUGGGUUUAAGUACAUGAUAUUCCCCUUGGAUUUUUCUUUGAAGUAGUGGCAAGAUAGUUUGGUAAUUUUAUUUGAGAAUUUUUCGGAUUAUGAUUUGAAGCAGAUUUCGAGAGGUGUUGGUCAAUAUUUGCAAAUAAGAGUUAAAUUAGAUGUGAGUUCCCCAUUGAAAAUUAGUAGGAAGAAAAUUUAGGUUUCCUCAUCAAGUUUCAUAUAUGCGAGAUUUCAGUAUGGAAAACUCACAUUAUUCUAUUUCAUAUGUGGCCGUAUAGAGCAUGGAGAAACUUUUUGUCUAGUUAGGUUUGUCACACCCCGAGUUUGGUGGAUCCGAAUUAUGGCAUAAAGUUGCAAAGAUGAUCUAUUUGAAGUAUUAUAGUUUGCCAUUUUUGGUCUUUCAACGAGUACGAUUGGGUGUAAUGUACCUGCCGCUUAGGAGAUUAAAUAUUUUUGUCUCAAAUCAUUAAGUAAUUCUAGUAAAGGAUACCACCAAAUGUUUAACAUCGUGGUUUGUCUGAGCAUUGUGUGUAACAGCCCAAUUUUCAGUGGUGUUGGAAACAGUGGUUUGAGACCACUAAAUCUGACAAGUUAGCUCAUAAAUUUUACUAUAUAGUGUUUAUGAGUCGAUUGUGAAUUUAGGGAGGCUUAUGAAUUAUUGAAUUAUGCUUUAGAAAUAUUUGUUAGAUUAAUUGGUUUUGAAAACGAGGUAUCGAGACAUCAAUUUUAUAAACCGAGCCUUAAAUAUUUUUAUAAAUAUUUAAAGAGUGUCAUUAAGGUAGUAUUAAAAUUUUGUUAGAAAAUUUUAUCGUUUCGAUAGUUAAUUAAUUAAAAAGAACUAAAUUGAAAAAGGCACAAAACUUGCAAAGGUGAUUAAAUAGCAUGAAUAGUAAAUUAGGGAGGACUAAAAGGGAAAUUAGACACCCAAGGAAUGGCUGAGGCGGCAUAAGCAGAAACAAUAAUCUUGGAAUUAGGUGAGUUAAGGGCAAAAUUGUAAAUUUUUCCAAAUUAACUUAAAUAAAUUGAAUUCUAUACUUUUACAGGCUAUUCUUCUUCAACUAAAUAGCCAAAAAUGCCAUAGGAGAAGGUUUUAAGCUGGUUUUAUUUAUUUUGCUUCAUGUAAGUUCAAUUCUUGCUCUUUUAUUGUAAUUUUUGUGUUUUUAAGACUUUUACAAUUAGGUCCAACUAUCUAAUUCAUUAUUUUUUUUAUUUUAUGGGUAAUUUUGAAAGUUACCAUUGAUGAGUGCUGGGUUUUUGGAUGAAUUAACAUAGAUUUGAAGUUUUAAUUUUGUUAUAUGAUGAUUUUAUUAAGUAAUUUAAAUAGAAAUUGAUUUUAGGACCAAAUUGUGAAAAAGAUUAAAUCUUAGGGUUUGGUAUUAAAGUCUAUUUAUUAAAGGCUGUGUAGUAGCUUAUAAUAUUUAUAUAAAGUGUUAAUUGAGAAAAAAUAGCUCAUUUGAUGAGUUAAUUACCAAGGGACUAAAUCAUAAAAACUGUAAAAAUUAGGGUAAUUGUGUAAUUUCAAAAUUUAAAGGGUAUAAAUUGUAAAGUGAAUUAUAAUUGAAUUAGAUGCUAAUGAAUAAACAAUUUUACAUUAUAGAUCAAGACCCCAAAGAAAAUCGUGAAAAAAGAGAAAUUAGCUAAAUAGUCAUUGGAUUGCAACAAAUUCGACAAAUUAGUCCAAGUAAGUUCAUAUGGUUGAACUUUCAUGAUUAAUUGUUGAUUUAUGAAUGAUAUAAUGUAUUAUUUCAGGUUUUUGUUUUUGAAAUAUGAUUAUUGUAAAUAUAUGAAAAUUGAAUUGAAAAGUUCAAAUUAAGUGGAACGUAUGAUUGAGUACGAUCGUUCCAUGACACAAGAUGAAUUGACAGAUAAGACCAUGGUAGGACCAUGGCAAUGUUUGAAUGUAAGACCAUAGUUGAGAUGUGACAUUUUAAUGAAAAGACUAUAACUGGGUUAUGCCACCUUGAACGUAAGACCAUGGUUGGACUAUGGCAGUAAAUGUAUAUGUGUAAGACCAUGGCAGGGCCAUGACAAUUGUGCAAGACCAUAGUUGGACUAUGGCAUUAAGAAAAUGAUGUACUCAAAUCUGUAAGACGUUCUCUAAUUUGGCAUGAAUUGGUAAGUAUUACAGGGAUUAAUGUGAAAGAAAUUAAAUAGUUAUUGAUAUUGAGCUCAAUUAUGUGAAUUCAUCAAAAGAAGUUGUGAUUGGCAGGAAAUGUUAUGAAAUGCUUAAUCUAAAUGAAUUAUUUAGUAUGUUCGGUAAGAUUUAUAUUUAAAUCCUAUGAACUUACUAAGCUUCAUUAAGCUUACUCGUGUUGUUUAUUAUUUCUUGUAGAUUAGCGUAAGGUUAGAGGAUCGGAUCAUCACAUCAAACUACACUUCGUUAUUUCUGGUAGUUUUUGUAAUGUAAAUUUUGGUUUAUAUGGCAUGUAUAGGGUUGGUUUGGUGAUGAAAUAGUUUGAAUUAUAGUUAUGAAUAUUAAAUAUUCGUAUGCAUAUAAAUAGUAGCAGUAUUUGAUAUAUAUAUUUUUUUUCCUGAGUACUCGGUUUAGUCCCAGACCACUUUUAAUGUCUAUUUUGGGCCUUGGAGGUUCAUUUUAGGGACUACAUGAAUGAGUUUGGUUGUUUUUUUUAUUGAGAUACGAAUAUGAAAUGUAUGAUUGUUUGAGCUAAAAGUUCGGUAAUACUUCAUAACCUUAUUCUGAUAACGGAUAAUGGUUAGGGGUGUUACAUUGUGCUAGUUAAGUUGAACAUGAUCUGGUUAAGAACCAACUGGAUUGGCUGGUCAAACAUUUAUUGAGAAAGGACUUUCAUUUAUGUUUCUCUUAGAACCUGUAGGCCAUUAAGAAGGACAAUUUUAAAUGUAUUGACAUUUGUUAAGUUCCCACAGGUUGAGUGGGUUAUAUAUAUGGGUGAGAAGGGUCUAUUGGUGCGGUCGUUGAAAGCACCAAAAAUAUCAUAUCGCUAAUAAAUAAUGAAAAAAAUAGUAAAAGGGAAGUAGGGUCAAAUCCUCAGAGACUGUAUUUGUACAAUAUCUUGUUCCGUGAAAUCUCAGGCAGAAUCUUGCCCAAGAAAACCUGCGUUCCUAAAAAAAAACAAAGAAAAUAAUAGAAUUAAAAGUUUGGAUCUGGAAACGAAAAAUAAAAUAAAAACAGAAUUAAGAAUAUUGAAUCGAAAAUUUGAGAAAUUAAAAAUACAGUUGAGAGAAAGGAAAUUCUUAUGGGAAAUUCCAGCCUCCAGUUGUCUCGUUCCGCCUUGGGUUCAAUCUUCGGCUUUUAGAUGAUCCUUCCCAAAUCGAAUAAGGCAGUUAUAGUGGAAGAGGACGCCUACGACCACCAGCUCCAAGGAUUUAGACUUAUGAUUUGGUGGAACCUCACUCUAGCCAACAAUCGCUUCUAUUGGAUCGUCUUAUGCUAGAUCAACGCUUCUCAAUGGCGAAUCCCACGCCAUUUUGUCUCUUGGGCUCGCCAACCUCUGACGCAGUAAGCUAACGAACCGACUGUGCAACCUUCCCAAAACAUGCAAAGUGGCCACCUUUGCAUACGUUGAAAAGCUUACUUCUUAAGGGACAUGGACAGAAGCGUCAGCCCCGUAGUACGGAGAAACGAUGAAUACUCAUUGAGAAGGCUAAGUACGGANNNNNNNNNNNNNNNNNNNNNNNNNNNNNNNNNNNNNNNNNNNNNNNNNNNNNNNNNNNNNNNNNNNNNNNNNNNNNNNNNNNNNNNNNNNNNNNNNNNNUGGAAAAGAAAAUAAAUAAAAUAAAAAUCAAGAUUUUAUUAAAAUGAAAUAUGAGAAGAACAAAAGCAUAGACUUUUGGGGAGAGAGUGUUUACAAAAAAGAUGGAUCCUCUUUUGAGUCACUUCACCCCCUAUUUAUAGUGCUAGGGGAGAUAGUCUAAUCCUACUUAAAUUCCCAAAAGAUAAAUACAUUUAAUUAAAGAUAUAUAAAUUAAAAUCCUAAAAUUAAAUAAUCCUUAAUAAUUAUCUUAAUAUUAAUUAUCCUAAUAUAAUUAAAAUAGAGUAUGAUAGAAUAAAAUCUCUUUUUUUUUGCAUUUCAACCCUUGUGUCCUCCAUGCUUGUACUUUUGGCACCAACUUUUCCUUGUGUCGCACAUUGGCCCAUUUUAUCUCUAAAUUCAUGCUUUUGGCUUUUAAUUUUGCUUUUGCCUCAAAUUUAGUCCCUAUGAGAUAAAAGAUCAUAAAUAGCUCAAAUUAGCAGGAUCAUACUCAGAAUAAAUACAUAAUUAAUACAUAAAAAUACGUUAUUCUAAAGUGUUAUCAAAUUCCCCUACUUAGCCCAUGCUUGCCCUCAAGUAUGGUUUCUAUCUACUGUGAAAGUUAGAUUCUGCCAUAAAAGAAAUACUACUUCAAAGUUUUAUAAAAAUCAGUCAAAAAUGCAUAUGAAAAAUAAAGAAAACCCUAAGCUUGCUUUAAGUAAAACAAAAAAAGUUUUUCCAAUUAAUACACACAAAAAUUAGAAUCGACUUUAAUUAUUUAAUGAAAAUUAGGUAAAUUACCAAACCUACCAAGACACCCUAUUUGUUUCCUCCUUUAGUCCCCAAUUUAUAUAUAUAUAUAUUGUGCUUUAAGAAUAUACUGAACCUUUUGACGCGAAGAGAGAUGACAGCCAAGCAUCCUACCCCGGUUACUCAGCCCAAUAGACUCCUAAUUUAUUAUAAUUUUUUUCUUAAGAACACAUCGAACCUUUUGACGCAAAGAGAGAUGACAGCCAAGCACCCCACCUCGGUUACUCAGCCCAACAUGUUCUUAAAAAUUAAUUCCGGUUAGCGGAGUUUUACCUAACACGUCACACAACCUUUUAACGCGAAAUAGGAUGACAACCCAAGCACCCUACCCUGGUUACUCGGUCGGUCACGUUUUUAAGCUGCACUCAUAACCACGGAAACAUUAAACGACAUUUUAAUAAUAAUUUUUUUAUGAGGAUUUUAGAGAAAAAAAUAAUCAAGUGUAAAAAAAAAUAAGUUUCAGUAAUUACCUUAAUAGUCAUCAACAUAUUUUAGCAUGCAAAUAUAUUAAGUGUCCACUUUGUAUUAAACUUGACCAAUUUUACGAAAAGCAAGAUAAAGUUAACUCUAUGAAUCAUAAUUAUUUUUAGCCUAAUAAGAAAAAAAUAGUGGAGAUGACAUCAAUUAUGGAAAAUCCGUAAUUUCCUCAGAAAAUAAAAAUCUUACUUAUAGGUCAAACAGUAGGCAAUUCUUGGUAAAAAUCUUGGGAAUGAAAAGAGGCAGGAAGUUCUAAAAAAAUAAAUAUGGACAAAAUGGAGCCUCAAGCAGCAACACAGCCAAAAAUAAUCACAGCAACAACAACAACAACCAAAAUCACAGCAGAGUACCCCCUACUGAAAGCACAUUGUCCUUAAUGUGGACGAAAAGAAAUAAAUAGGUAGAAAAGUUUAGAAAAACUCCCUGUGUUGUUUCUGUCGAUCCAAUAUGAUGGGAAUGAGCUCGGUCAGUUGCUGGCCAAAGGUUUCAAGUUGGGACUCAAUGCGCUCUAAGCAUUGCUGAACGGUUUUCUUCACAUUUUUUCUCUGUUUUAUCUAAGCAAAAGAAGAAAAAUUUAUUAAUAUCCAAAUAAGUAAUAAAUAAAGUAAAGAAAAAAUAAUAAUAAUAAAAAUUAGGGUGCCUUCCAACAAGCGCUUGUUUAACAUCGUUAGCUCGAUGCCGUUAUUUGUUCUAUGGUGGUUCCAAAUGGAUUUUCUCAACCGUGUGGGCUUGAAAAUUCUCAUAAAACGGCUUCAACCACUGGCCAUUGACUACGAACCAAUUUUCAGAUUCUUCACUCUUUAUUUCAAUCGCUCUAUGUAUGAACACUUAAGUAACAAUAAAAGGUCCUUGCCAUUGUGAUCGAAGCUUACAUGAGAAUAACUUUAACAUGGAGUUAUAAAGUAAAACUUUUUGUCCUACCGAAAAAUGCUUCUGAGUUAUUCUCUUAUUGUGAAACAACUUUGUCUUGUCUUUAUAAAUGUGAGCAUUCUCGUAGGGAUCAUUGCAAAUUUUUUCUAACUCUUGGAUGUCUAAUUUCCUUGCCUUUCCUGCGGGUUCUAACUCCAUGUUACAUUGUCGAACGACCCAAUAGGCUUUAUGUUCCAAUUCGACCAGAAGGUGGCAAGUUUUUCCAAAAACAAGUCGAUACGGGGUCAUACCAAUCGGUCCCUUAUAUGUAGUUCGAUAGGCCCAAAGUGCGUCAUUUAGCUUAAGGCUCCAAUCUUUUCGGCUAGGACGAACUAUUUUCUCCAAAAUAGUCUUGAUUUCCCUAUUCGAGACCUCAACUUGACCAUUCGUUUGGGGAUGGUAAGCCGUAGCUAUAUGGUGGUAGACUCCGUAUUUUGACAACAGUGCAUUCAUGACCUUAUUACAAAAGUGGGUGCCGCGAUCACUGAUUAUGGCUCGAGGCGUGCCAAACCUAGAAAAAAUAGUUCGUUUUAAAAAAUCCAUAACAGUUAUGGCAUUAUCAUGGUGAGUAGGCUUUGCUUCUAUCCACUCAGAAACAUAGUCUACUGCAAGAAUUAUAUAUACAUUGCCAAAUGAAGAAACAAAUGGGCCCAUGAAAUUGAUGCCCCAAACAUCAAAUAUUUCACAUACAUGAAUCGGGGAAAGGGGCAUUUGAUUUUGUUUAGUGAUGUUACCUGUAUGUUGGCACCCAUCGCAAGACUUACAGAAUUUAUAUGCGUCUUAAAAAAUUGUGGGCGAAUAUAGCCCACAAUCUAACACCUUAUGAGGGUCCACUUAGGGCCAAAGUGACCUCCGCAAGCUUCAGCAUCACAAAAUUAAGGAUAGAAGUUACGUCGAUUUCUGGAACACAUCUUCGUAUUAUCUAGUCUGAACAGUGUUUCCACAAGUAUGGGUUUUCCUAAAUGUAAUAUCGAGCGUCGCGUCUAAGUUUGUCCCUCAUGGAACGUGCUAACCCAGUGGGUAACGAUCCUGUUGCUAGAAAGUUUACUAUAUCUGCGUACCAUCGGAGACAUACCUCAGUCGAGAAUAGGCUCUCAUCAGGGAAUUAAUUCUUUCUUAAUGGGGAUGUCGUCAAAAGGUACUUUUGUUCUGCUUAAGUAGUCAGCCACUAAAUUUUCGCAUCCCCUUUUGUCUCGAAUCUCGAUGUCAAAUUCUUGGAGCAGCAAAAUCCACCUAAUGAGCCUCAGUUUUGCUUUAUUCUUAGCGAUCAAGUACCUAAGGGUUGCAUGAUCAGAAAGAAUAAUUACUUUAGAUCCUAAUAAAUAAGGCCAAAAUUUAUCUAAAGCAAAUACAACUAUUAAGAGUUCUUUUUCCGAAGUAGUGUAGUUGCUCUGCGCAGUAUCUAGGGUUUUCGAGGCAUAACAUAUGACAUGUGGUUCUUUUUCUAUCCUUUGCCCCAACAAGGCUCGUACACUGUGCUCGCUGGCAUCGCACAUAAUUUCAAAUGGGUAUUUCCAAUCUGGCAGUUGCACUAUAGGAGCGGAGACUAACUUUUGCUUGAGUGUAUUAAAUGCCUACUUACAUUUUGGGCCAAACUCAAAUUUCUUAUCCUUCUACAACAACUUACAUAAUGGUUCAGCUACCUUCGAGAAGUUUUUUAUAAAGCGCCUAUAGAACCUUGCAUGGCCAAGGAAAGAACGAAUUUCCCUCACAGUAGAUGGAUAAGGCAAAGAAUUUAUAAUAUCAAUUUUGGCCUUAUCGACCUCAACUUCUUUAGAUGAAACAACAUGACCCAAAAUUAAACCUUGGUCUACCAUAAAAUGACACUUUUCAUAAUUUAAGACAAGAUUAAAUUCUAUGCACCUACUCAAAAUUAUAGUUAGGUUUUUAAGUCAUUCAUCAAAACAACUCCCAUAUACAGUAAAAUCAUCCAUAAAAACUUCGAUAAUUUUUUCAUAUAUUCAGAAAAUAUACUCAUCAUGCAUCUUUGGAAGGUGGCCGGCGUAUUCCAAAUACCGAAUGGCAUCCUUCUGUACGCAAAUGUACUGAAUGGGCAUGUAAAAGUGGUCUUUUCCUGGUCCUCCGGUGCGACUGGAAUUUGAAAGAAACUUUAGUAUCCAUCAAGACAACAAAAGUGAGUUUUUCUGGCUAUUCUUUCAAGCAUUUGAUCUAUAAAAAGAAUAGGGAAAUGAUCUUUUCUAGUGUAUAAGUUCAACUUCCUGUAAUCAAUACAGACGCGCCACGUAUUUUGUACUCGGGUAGGUACCAAGUCACCUUUAGCAUUUUUCUUUACUAUCACGCCCGUUUUCUUAGGCACGACUUGAACCGGACUUACCCACUUACUAUCAAAAAUAGGGUAAAUUAUGUCAGCAUUCAGAAGUUUGAUUAUUUCCUUUUUUACUAUCUCCAUCAUAUUCGGAUUUAGCCGUCUUUUCUCCUCUCGCCUUGGUUUUGUGUCUUCCUCUAAGUAGAUCCUGUGUGUGCACGUCAAAGGGCUUAUCCCUUUUAAGUCUGCAAUGGUCCAUCCAAUCGCCUUCUUAUGACUUUUUAGUACAUGGACCAAACUUUCCUCUUCAUGUGUAGAGAGUCUAUUGGGGAUUAUGACUGGUAGGGUAUUACCCUUCCCCAAAAAUGUAUAUUUCAGAUGCACAGGAAGUGGUUUCAACUCCAACUCUAGUGCCUAUAUAACAGAAGGUAACAUUUUAGUAUUUAGAGAUAAUAACUCAUUAACAACUUCAAAUUCAUCAAGUUUAGAAUUAUCUCCAUAAAUUGACUCAAAAUUUUCUUCCACCAAAGAGUCAAUUAUGUCGAUAUGAUUUACACUCAAGAUUUCGCUUGGAUGGCUAAUGGCGUCGUAGACAUUAAACUUUACGAUCUCCUCAUCAAACUCCAUUGUGAGAGUUCCACUUCGAACGUCGAUUUUAGUACUAGUUGUACUAAGGAACGGUCGACCCAGUAGGAGAUCUAAAGAUCUAGGAGUGCUAUCCUCCUCCAUUUUGAUCACAUAAAAAUCUGUAGGGAAAAUAAGCCAAAACAUCCUCAAGGACUCUUUUUGGAAACACAACAACCUGUCUGCCAAAUGAAUGGUAACACCUGUUUUUGUUAAAAAACCCAUAUUAAGUGAUUCAUAAAUAGAAUAUGGCAUUACAUUUAUAGAAGUCUCUAGAUCACACAUAGCCUUCUUAAUUCCCAGAUAACCUAUUUUGCAUGGUAUUGCAAACAUGCCCCUAUCCUUGUAUUUUGCCAGCAUUUUUCGCUGUAAUACUGUAGAUACAUUCUCACCAACACUCAUCCUUUCAUUACCUGUUAAUUUUCGCUUGUUAGUGCAAAGAUCUUUAAGAAAUUUAGCAUACCGCGGUAUUUGCUUGAUGGCGUCCAACAGUAAAAUGUUGAUCUUGAUAUUCUAAAUGUUUCAAGGAUUUCUUUGUACUCUUUACCUCUUCGACACUAGUUGAAUCGUUCUGGAAAUGGAGGUUGAAUUUUAGGUAAUGGAGGAUUCAGUCAGACCUGUUCAUCUUUCUCGGGUUUUUUGGGUGAUUUUUUUGCCAAGACUCCUGUUAGGAAUCGGUUCCAGUACCUUUCCCCUUUGCAAUGUCAUUGCAUUUGCAUUUUGUCUAGGGUUUGGUUCUGUUUGUGACGGCAGCUUCCCUUAAGAGGUCAAUUUCUCGAUUGAUGUGGUUAGCUCUCUGAUGGACGCCUCAAUUUUCUGUUGAAAAUCCUUCGCCUCUUUUUGGAAAUUAAGAGUUUGCUAUUAGAUUUACUGUUGAAAAUCAAGAACAUUAGCUGCUAACUUAUUGACCAUGGUUUCUAGAGAAUUACCUGAACCUUGCGGCUGUUGCAGAAACUGAUUUUGGUAUGGCUGGUUAUUUCGUAGAUUGACCCCAUAACUUAAGUUAGGAUGGUCCUUCCACCCUGGGUUGCAGGUAUUAGCGUAGGGGUCGUAUCACCUUUGUGGUGGCCCAGGGAAAUUUCCCACAGCAUUUAGAUGGGUCGUGGUAUCAUCAUACAAACUGGGAUAUGCAUCAGUUGCAUGAUCAGUUGUAGCACAUAUUCCGUAUAAUCGGGCUGUCUUCGUUUUUUCUACAAUAAGAGAGUUCAUCAUAUUAGAAAGUUUAUCAACUUUAUCAUCUAAGGUUGAAUUACUUAGCUGGUGAACCCUUUUAGGAGGUUUAGUAUUGGCUCGAAACUGCUGAGAAUUUGCAGCCAUCGUGGAGAUCAAGUCUCUCGUUUGUUGGGGAGUCAUGUUGUCCAAUGCUCCACCACUAGCGACUUCUACCAUAUUCAUCUCAAUGGGCUUCAAACCUUCGUAAAAGUAUUGGAAGAGAGACUGCUCCAUUAUACCAUAUUGUGGGCAGCUUGCACACAACUUUUUAAAUCGCUCCCAAUAAUCGUAAAGGGACCCAACUUCUUUUUGCAUUAUUCCAACGAUCUCUCUUCUUAGCUCAGUUGCUUGAGAUGCUGGAAAAAACCUGUUUAGAAACAAACGAGAUAGAUUAGCCCAAGUUGUAAUAGAUCCAGAGGGUAAAUGAAAUAACCACUCCUUAGCAGAAUCUACUAAGGAGAAAGGAAAAGCACGUAAUUUAAUCCGAUCCUCAGUUACCCCCUGAGGUUUCAUGCUAAGACAAACCAUAUGAAACUCUUUCAGAUGCUUGUGGAGAUUUUCAUUUUGCAACCUACGAAAAGUUGGCAGUAACGGGAUUAAACCUGACUUCAACUCAAAAUCAGUAUCCAUAGUAAGAUACGCGAUGCACAAUGGCAGUUGUUCUGUCGGAGCUUCAGUAAGUUACCGAAUCGUUUGAGUCAUUGGUUGGUGUGCUAAAUUCGGGUUUUCGUUAACCCUAGCGUUAAACACUUCUUCUGGUGAGUCAACUUCUACCUUUUCGCUUUCAAAUGUUCUAAUAGGGUUUUCGUUAACCCUAGACUCAACUUGGUCAUUGACUUCGAUUUCUGGCGAUGGUUUACUUUGAGUUCCAACCACCACUGACUGCUUUUUUCGUAACUUUGUCUCCUUGCGAUUGGCUCUAGCAGUCUUCUCAAUUUCUAAAUUGAACGCAAGAGUACCUGGAGCAAAUCUGGUCAUAAGAAACAAAAAAAACAAGAUUAGUACGUUGCCAAUCCCUAGAACGAUUCCAAAAUUUGGUGCGGUCGUUGAAAGCACCAAAAAUAUCCUAUCCCUAAUAAAUAAUGAAAAGGAAUAGUAAAAGGGAAGUAGGGUCAAAUCCUCAGAGACUAUAUUUGCACAAUAUCUUGUUCCGUGAAAUCCUAGGCAGAAUCUUGCCCAAGAAAACCUGCGUUCCUGAAAAAAAAAUAAGAAAAUAACAGAAUUAAAGGUUUGGAUCUGGAAACGAAAAAUAAAAUAAAAAUAGAAUUAAGAAUAUUGAAUCAAAAAUUUGAGAAAUUAAAAAAGAGUUGAGAGAAAGAAAAUUCUUAUAGGAGAUUCUAGCCUCAAGUUGUCUCGUUCCGCCUUGGAUUCAAUUCUCAACUUUUAGAUGAUCUUUCCCAAACCGAAUAAGCCAGUUAUAGUGGAAGAGGACGCCUACGACCACCAGCUCCAAGGAUUUAGACUUACGAUUUGGUGGAACCUGACUCUAGCCAACAAUCGCUUCUGUGGGAUCGUCUUAUGUUAGAUCAAUGCUUCUCAAUGGAAAAUCCCACGCCAUUUUGUCUCUUGGGCACACCAACCUCUGACGUAGUAAGCUAACGAACCGACUGUGUAACCUUUCCAAAACAUACAAAGUGGCUGCCUUUGCAUACGUUGAAAAGCUUACUUCUUAAGGGACAUGGAUGGAAGCAUUAGCCCCGUAGUGCAGAGAAACGAUGAAUACUCAUUGAGAAUGCUAAGUACAGAUUCUAAGCCUCAUGAACCCUUUUGGGGUUUUUCGACAACCUUUGGCUAGAUGGGUUUAGUGGCUCAUGGUUGUGGUAGAAAAGAAAAUAAAUAAAAUAAAAAUAGAGAUUUUAUUGAAAGGAAAUAUGAGAAGAACAAAAGCCUAGACUUUUGGGGAGAGAGUGUUUACAGAAAAGAUGGAUCCUCUUUUGAGUCACUUCACCCCCUAUUUAUAGUACUAAGGGAGAUAGUCUAAUUCUACUUAAAUUCCCAAAAGAUAAAUACAUUUAAUUAAAGAUAAAUAAAGAUAAAUAAAAUUAAAUCCUAAAAUUAAAUAAUCUUUAAUAAUUAUCUUAAUAUUAAUUAUCCUAAUAUAAUUAAAAUAAAGUUUGAUAGAAUAAAAUCUCUUCUUUUUGCAUUUCAACCUUUGUGUCCUCCAUGCUUGCACUUUUGGCACCAACUUUUCCUUGUGUCGCACAUUGGCCCAUUUUAUCUCUAAAUUUAUGGUUUUGACCCUUAAUUUUCUUUUGCCUCAAAUUUAGUCCCUAUGAGAUAAAAGAUCAUAAAUAGCUCAAAUUAGUAGGAUCAUACUCAGAAUAAAUACAUAAUUAAUACAUAAAAAUACGUUAUUCUAGAGUGUUAUCAUCUAUUGAGAAUUUUUCUUCUAUUUGUUCCUUCAAUAUUGUUCUCUGUUUCUUCAAGUUAAGUGCUAUUUCAAUCUCUUCAAGUUAGAUGUUAAAAUGCAGGGAUCAGUUAGAGGUCACUCUAUCUCUUAGUAAGUAACAUGGUUUUGCAUGUUAAGUUUUGAAGGAUUUAUGAUGUUAAGAGUUUAAUGAGAAAUAGGACUAAAACAAGGUAUUGCAUAGGGUUUAUCUAUGAUUGAGAUGUUGAAAAUUUGUGUAUAUGGAUUUUAAUAGGGAAAUUGUGUUCUUUUAGUAGCUGUUGCUGCUAGGCCAAAAAAGAUGUUCGAGUUUGGAGCUUUGAACUAUAGUUGGUGAGUAUCAGGUGAGUGUUUAUCUUAACUCUUGCAUGUUCACUGUUUAGAUAUAAACAAGCAUAAGUGAUAAUGAUAUCUUUGAAGAUUGUUAAGAAUGUGAAAACUAAAUGAUGCUAUAUGUAGUUAUGAUGGAAUGUAUGAAACUCAGUGUGAAUAGAAUGUUGUUCGUAAAUAUAUAUGUAAGAAUCAAAUAAGUAUGAAUAAUCUGAGAAGUGGGGUUGGAGUAACAUUCUUUUGUGAUGUCUCUGGUAUGUCAGGUAUAUUGCUAACUAGACUGAUAUAUCACGAUAUGAGUGUAUGUGUAAGACCAUGUGAUGGAAACCCAUGACACUGUAUGAUAUGAAAACACCCACGGUGUAUCCUCUAGUGAAACAUAGUCUGGAUUGGCAGGUCACGAUACAUGAAGUGAAUAAGUCCAUGUGUUUAAGACCAUGGCAAGAUGUGUUUGUAUGAAUACUCAUGGUAAAGCCUCUGUUAUGAUAAAAACUGGACUGGCAGAUCACGACAUAAGGUUUAAGUAUAAGACCAUGACUAAGGAACCAUGACAUCUUCUGUGAAAGUUCGUCGGGACAAUAAACACGUAGUUCUAAAUGUGUCCUAUAUGGCAUGAUCAACUAAGCCUUUGUGGCAUAUUUUGUUUGGUCCUUGUGGCGUGUUCGACCAAGUCUUCAUGAGAAAUGAUGACUAUCUGUCUUCUUUAUGGUAAGUCCUGGAUGUAUUCUGGGUAUGUUGUGAUAUGAUCAAGGUUAAAAUGAGUCGAAUUAAGCCUAUGAAGUAAUCAAAUAAGUUCAUUAAAGAAUAUUUUUGGAAAAGAAUUGUGUAUCUGUUUGUCUGAAGAAUGGGGAAUCCGCCUCGGUAAUGUGUUAGUAUAGAAAGAGUGUAUUGUGGUUAUGGAAGCUAUGAGAAAUUGGCAGUUGGAGUUCUAAUGAGCUGUAUAUAUAGUGUUGAAAUCUGGGUACGUGAUAUCCACCAUAUUUGAUUAGUAUCUCAUUCGAUUCUAGAAUUUCAAAGUAAAUACUCCAUUUGUUAAUUCAGGUUAUUACGUAUUUGUUGCCAGAGGUACAAAGAACUCUUUGAUUGAUCUGGUUAGUUAGUUAUCAGUGUGCUAUUGUGUUGGGUAUUGAAUUAGAAUAUAGAAUGAAGGAAAAACUGAUAAUAUUCAACUCAACGUGGGAAUCUACCAAAACGUAAGUAUCCGUCAAUGAAUUGUAUGCCGUCUCACUCAAGAAUCUUAUGAAAUUGGAGCUAUUCGUCAUCUUGGGUUGUUGUUCGAUGAAUUAACCUGAAGGUCUCAAACGAUCCAUAAUUAAUAUAAGUAUGUGUUAAGCUUAAGUUAGCAAAUAAUUUAUCUUUCAAAAAGGGUAUGGAAAGAUCGUAAAUCAUUUAGGUAGUUAAGAGAGUAUGAUUAUGAUAAGAGUGGUGUGUCUGGCAUAUAGGAAGUGUAGUCCAGGUAUUACUGAUUGAUACAUGACAGAAUCACUCAAACAUCACAGGAGAUACUUGAAAGAGUAGGAUCUUACAUUGGUGAACUCGAUGCUCUUAGGACCAGGUCAUCUGCAAACAUAAUGGAGUCAGAGAGAUGGAAUCCUCCGGGUAGGGGUUGGUUUAAUUACGAUGUAGCUUUUCAAAAGCACUCGUUGAGAUCAUGCACAUGGAUUAUCAUCAGAAAUCAUGAAUGGGGCACUCUUGUAUCCUCAAUAAGACAGAACAAGCACAUACGUACUGAGUUUGCGGCGGAGGCUCUUGCAUGCCUUCAAGAAAUUAGAUUGGGGUUAGAUCUGGAGCUCCAAGACGUUAUUGUUGAAGCCUCGAAGGGAUGCUCUAACGGUGGAUAAAAACUUCUGUGCAAAAAUAGAGAUGGAUCAGUUAUCGAUGCGUUCAUUUAAGAGUCAAAUCCCCUAAGUCAAAGUUGCAAGAAAUGCAUGUUUAAGCAUACUUGAGCUAUGCUAAAUUUAUUGAUGUAAAUUAAAAUUAUUACUUGAGUACAAUUUUAAGUAUCUUAAUUAUCACUAAAUUAAUAUUAAAGUUACAUAUCAAUUAAAAUUUAAGUUUAAAUUUAUAAAUAACAUCUAAUAGUUAGAUAUAUUUAAUUAAAUAGCAUGUAAAAAAAUUAUCAAUAAAAAAUUAAAAAUUGUCAACAUUAAUAAGUUAGAAUUAUAUUUUUAUAAAGAGAAUAUUAUAUAUAAAUAUAUAUAAAGAAAAGCACCGGUUAAAAUUGGAGCGUGAUAUAAAGAGAAUAUUAUAUAUAUUGUGAAAAAUAUAGUGUUUCCGGUUUUAAUCUCAUCAUGAUGACAUUUUAUAAUUUUUUUAUUAUAAAAAGUAAAAAAGUAAAAAUACUAUUAUAUAAAUAUUUAUAAAAAUAAUAAAAUUUUUAAUCAUUUCCCAAAUUUUUAUUUCAUUAAUUAUAUAUUUAUUUAUUAAUUAGUCAAACCAACCUUAAAACUGAAAUUAAAUCACAUUCAUUGGAAAGUAUUUGACAAAUUAAAUGUAAAAUUAAAAAAAAAUUUAAAAUUAGCACUAAAUUUAUUCUAUUAAUAAAAUCAUGAAAAGUUCAAACAUAAUAAUAUUAGCAAUUAACUUUUAUCAAAUCAAUCCUAAAACCCGAAUUAAACACUAAAAAGUUAAUAUCGUUACUUUUGGGUACCAAGAUAUAUAACUAUUGUCAAAUACAGAUAACAAUUUGGACCAAAAUAUAACACGGGUAUCACAUUAGAAAAAGUGUCAAACUUGGAUACCAAAUUAUGUAUUAAACCAUUUUAUUACAAAAUAUAUUGUUUAGUUAUAAAUAUCAAUAUUUAAAUUAAAAAAAUGUAAUUCAAAGACGAAUAUAAAGUGCAAUUCAAUAUUUAUCGAAUUUUAUCUACUCAAAAUAUUUAUUUAGCCCUAUUUGAUAAACGAAAAUUCAACUAAAAACCUUAAUAUUUUUCAUAAUUUUAUUUUUUAAAAUAUAUUUGAUAACUGUUAAUAAAAAUUACUUUGUAGAAUUUUUUUCACAAAGAAUGUAAAAAAUAAUAAGUAAAUAGGAAUCUAUUUAAUUUUUAAUAAAGAAUAUGUUCAAUUCUUUUUAUUUUAUUUUAUUUCUUUUUAGACUAUAUUGUCCCAAUUUUUUCUUCACUUUGCUCUUUUAUUCAACAUAAUCUCUGCACAAUAUUUAUUUUUCAUAAUGUUUAUAAUAUUUUAUAAAUAAUAUUAUAAUUUACUAUAAAUAUUUCAUCUUUAUAGUAACCUUAUUUAAAAUAUGACUUUGAUUAAAAUAAUGUGUAAUGUUUAAAAAUUAAGGAUAAAAUUGUAAAAUAGUUUUUUUAAUAAUUUAAUAUUUAAAAUUAUCAAAUAAUCUAAUUAUAUUCAAUUAUUAAUUUUAAAUGAUAUAUCAAACAUAUAUUAUAACUUAAUUUUUCCGCACUUAAGUUUUUUAGUUUAUCAAAGGGGACUUUAAUUUAAAUAUAUUAAUAAAAAUAUUUUCUUACGUUAAGUAAUAACUAUUUAAAAUAAUAAAAUAUUUUUAUUUAUAGACUUGAAUAGUUUAUAUUAUAAUGAAAAUAUAAUUAAAGAAGAAUAUAUAAUGUAAAUCAAUAUUUAUAUUUAGUUACAAUGUAAUAUUAAAAAUAGUAGUUUAAAUCACAAUGAAGUAGAAUUAAAAAUGAAUAUAAAGCGUGAUUCAAAACUUCAUCAAAGUUUUAUCUAAUUUUAAUAGAAAUAAAUAAAAAUAUUCUUAUGUUAAAGUAAGAAAUAAUUAAAAUAAUAAGAUAUUGCUCAUCUAUAAGAAAUAGUAAAUAUUUUUCUAUCUCCCAAAUAGCAAGACAUCUUUCAGAAAAGGCGAUCAUAAUUGGCUAGCAGUUGUGGGAUUGGGAGAGAGGGGGAACAAAAGAUAAUCUCUUUUUUACCGGCAUUUAUAAGCACCGGUGAAAGACCGGUAUUGAUUUUCCUGGCAAUCAUGAACCACUGGUUGACCGUCGUAGGCGGAUGCCAGUAAAAAUUUUCUGACGAGCUGACCAUAGGUGUCGGUAAAGUGUGAACAUUUACCGACAAUAGUCAAAAUCAUAAAAAAUACCAUAUAUCUCUUACUAAGUCCCACUAUAUCGUAUACAAAAGAAUGUGAUGGAACUUACAAAGUCGAUUACAACAAAAUAAAGGCUCUUACAAAACAUAAAGUUUGAGUUUUAAGCAUUCUGAAAUACAUCCAAACUAUGCGAAAAAGCUUGAAUCUGUUAAGUUUAGUUCCCAUGCAAAGGUGGCCAUGCACGACAUGCAAAGGUGGCCAUGCACGACAUGCAAAGGUGGCCAUGCACGACAUGCAAAGGUGGCCAUGCACGACAUGCAAAGGUGGUCAUGCUCGAAGAAAUAGCAGCAAGCAGUGGUGCCAUUGUGUGCAGCAACUGAAGUUUGAAGCUGCCAAUCCACUUGCUGUUUUUAGUUCCAUUUUGAUUGUUUUGUAAUCUAGUUCAUGUUGAACUAAGUAGGUAAAUGUUUUGAUAUUGAUUGACUGAAAAGUCAGCAAUGCAAGUUGUACAAGCUAAUCUUGUAAGUUUCAAUGCAAAUUAGUGGAGUUAGGUAGUUGAUGUGAUUACUUGUUUGUUUUACUUGUUGACUGAAAUAUGUAAUGGCUUAAUGCCUUGUUGUGUGUUAAUGAAAAAUAUCAGCUCAUUUUUCAUUCAUUCUUCUUCUCUCUUUUCUGUUAAUUCACUUGCUAGUUUCAUUUUCUGUUUUUGCUUCUGAGUUUGUUUCUUCACCAAGGCUCGAGGCUUGCUAUUCAAGCAAGAUACAAAACAGCCUGUUAUUGUCUCUUUGUUCCAACAGAAUCCUUACUUAUUUGUUGAUGCAUUUCCAACCUGCAUAGAAAAAAGAAUCAACAUGAAGCAAACAAAUUACAAAUUAGAGAAUGAAAACUGAAUAAGCAAUCAACACCCAUACAUCACGCACCAAGGAUGAACAUGAAACACACUGACAAAUUUUAAUCCCCUUCUAGCUUGUUAAUAAGAAGCAGAAGCCAAAAUUGUAGAGUGAAAGAAGAUAUGAACAAGAACAUAUUCACUUUUAACCAAGCACAUAAAUUGUGGAAACCUCCUUUGCAUGGCCUUGAUGAAAGAGAUAGGAGGCUUAUAAUCAUUAAUCUCAAUGGCUUUUCUCAAAACUGAUAUCAGUAAAUACAACGAAACAUGAAGAUAAGAUUAUGUGAUGGAAGAGAAUAGAAUGUACAGAUCCUAAAAACACUUGUGCAAUAUUGUACUCCAUCAUAUCAUAUCUUUCCCCAGCUUAAAAGAAGUUGAACUUAGUUUUCUUCAAAUAUAAAUAGUGGAAUUUGAGGUGAUGAUAAUCGAAUUUCAGCAUGAUUUCUCAAGGAUUAUUACAAAAAAAAUAUGGAGCUUCUGAAUUCAUUAAAAAAGAACAAGGUAAGCAAUUAUAGAUAAUUGUUCCUUGGUUAAUUCUGUUGUUAAGGUGGAAAUGAUCACAGCAUUGUUAAGCUCUUGCAACUUCUAAACAGAGGCAAGGGCCCUGUCUGUACCAACAUCACUCUCAGAAAACACAAAAUUGCUGGAUAAAUCCCACAAUUCCACUACCCCUUCAUCAUGAAAACUCAUUGGUUUGACACCAGCGAGAAUGAGAUUCUUUGCUGCACAAUGAAGAAUAAAAUUGAUCAGUAAUGGCAAUUUGGUUCUUUUGCUAUAUGUAGUGUAGAGCAGUUAAUAAAAAUGAAUAAUAAACAUUGCCACCUACUGUGGGGGAAAUGAAAGAGUAAAUUAUUAAAGUCCAGCAUUUUUUGAAAAAUUUAAAAAUAAAGUGCCCUUAAAACUAAUAUAUUGUUGAGAGUUGGACUGCAAUGCAACAUGGUGCCAGCCACUAUCGAGAUCAACAGCAGCUAUCGAGCUCAACUGUUUUAGCUUGGCAUGCAAGGUUGAUUUUUGGACCGAAUGAAGCAAUCAGUUUUUAGCUAUUUUGUUGUAAUGUUAUUUAGCUUAGUCCAAUUGUAACUAACUCUCAAAGUUAGUAGGAUUAAGUUUGUGAUUUGAUUUUUGAUGUAAAAGCUGAUAUGUCAGCUUAUCUUUGUAGUUGUUUAAGUUUGUAUUAGUUUUAGUUAAGUGGGAGCAGUUAUGUCAUUAGGUAACUGUCAAAUUAAGCCAAAAUAACUCUUUUAUAUUUUCAAAUUAUGAAUGAAAAUAGGUAAUGUUCAGUUACAAUUUUCUUGCUGUACAUUCAAGUUUCAUUUGCUGCUUUGCCAAUUUUUCUUUUCUGCUUCGAUCAAUCUUGCUUCUGCUUGGUAAAUUUGUUUGCUCGAUGCUGCCAAUGUUCCAACAAAUGGUAUCGUGAGCCCGAAUCUUUGAGGGGCCUAUGCAUUCUGUUGUUUUUCAAACCAAAAGCAAAGCUAAAAUUUAGAAGUGAUAGAGGUCUUUGAACUCAGUCUAGCAAAAUGAGUUUCACUCCACCACCUCCACCAGUGUUCACUGGAGAAAACUAUCACAUUUGGAUAGUCAAAAUGAGGACUUACCUUCAGGCACACGAUCUCUGGAGUGUAAUCGAGAAUGAUGCUGAACCACCUCCAUUGAGGGCUAAUCCCACCAUUGCACAGAUGAGGCAGCAUGCUGAGGAGAGAGCCAAGAAGCAUAAGGCUAUGGCCUGCUUGCAAAAUGGAGUCUCUGAUGUGAUAUUCACUCGCAUCAUGGCCUGUGACUCACCAAAGCAGGCCUGGGAGAAGCUGAAGGAGGAGUUCAUGGGGACUGAUAAGACAAGGCAACAGCAGGUGAUCAAUCUCAGGAGAGACUUUGAGAAUUUGAGGAUGAAAGAGUCUGAGACCAUCAAGCAGUAUUCAGACAGGAUAAUGGCCAUUAUCAACAGCAUAAGGCUCCUGGGAGUGGAUUUCACAGAGAGCAGACUUGUUGAAAAGGUCAUCACAACUCUCCCUGAGAAAUUUGAGUCAAAAAUCUCUUCACUUGAGGACUCGAGGGACUUAUCAGCCAUUUCAUUGUCUGCGCUGAUAAACUCCCUGUAUGCACUUGAGCAAAGAAGGGCAAAUAGGCAGGAGGAGAAUCCUGAGGCUGCUUUCCAAGCUAAAGCCAGUGAAGGCUCGAGUGUGAGUGCAAAAGGCAAAAAGCGUUGGCACAAUAGAAGGUCCAAGUCAGGAAGAGAUGAAGCAAAAAGGGUGUUCCCACCAUGUGUUCACUGCAAGAAGACAACACACUCAAAAAAAUAUUGCUGGUUUAGGCCAGACAUACAAUGCAGAAAGUGCAAGCAAUUUGGUCAUAUGGAGAAGGUGUGCAAGGGCAAGCCAAAAGAAAUCACUCAGCAACAAGCUCGACCUGCUGAGGAUUUGCAAGCUCAGGAGAAGCAUGUAUUUACUGCAACCUGCUUUGUUGGCACAACAAAGGCCAGCAAUGAUUGGCUGCUAGACAGUGGUUGCUCACAUCAUAUGGCAGCAGAUGGGAAGCUGUUCAAGGGCCUAGACAGAAGCCUCCACUCAAGGAUCAGAAUUGGAGAUGGCAAGCUAAUUGAGGCUAAGGGUAAGGGCAAUGUGCUGGUUAGCACUGGUUCAGGUAACAAGCUGAUCUCAGAUGUGCUUUUUGUACCUGACUUAGACCAGAACUUGCUUAGUGUAGGCCAAUUAGUUGAAAAGGGCUAUACAUUGGUUUUUAAAGAUGGCUGCUGUAGUGUUCAAGAUAUGCAUGGUCAAGAAUUAGUCACAGUCUCUAUGACUGAUAGGUGCUUUAUGCUGGAUGUUAGCCAAGUGGAAAGAAAGGCAUACACCAGCCUUGCUGACAGCACUGACUUGUGGCAUAGAAGACUAGGCCAUGCCAAUUUUAGAUCUAUUAAUCUGUUGCAUAAACUGAAUUUGGUUGAUGACAUUUCAAAAAUUGAGGCUAGUGGGAAUGUUUGUCAGGUUUGUCAGCUUGGUAAGCAGGCUAGACUGCCUUUUCCUGCUGAUAGUGCUUGGAGAGCUCAAAAUAAGCUCGAAUUGGUGCACUCUGAUGUCUGUGGCCCUAUGAGAACACCUUCAAUCAAUGAGAACAUGUACUUUGUCCUGUUUAUAGAUGAUCUAACAAGGUUUGUGUUGGUCUACUUUUUGAAGCAAAAGUCAGAAGUGUUUGAGGCAUUCUGCAAAUUCAAGGCAUAUGCUGAAAAUCAGUCAGGCUGCAAAAUUAGAGCCUUGAGGACUGAUAAUGGUAAUGAAUAUAUGUCUGAGAGAUUUCAGAAGCUUUGUGACAGUGCUGGGAUUCACCAUCAGCUUACUACAGUCUAUACUCCUCAACAGAAUGGUGUUUGUGAGAGGAAAAAUAGGACUGUGUUGAACAUGGCCAGGUGCCUAUUGUUUUAAGGUAAGCUUCCAAGUCAGUUUUGGGCUGAGGCAGUUAACACCUCAGUAUACCUGCUCAACAGGCUGCCAACUCAAGCAGUCAAGGAUAAGACUCCUUUUGAAGCUUGGCAUGAAGUCAAACUAGUGGUAACACACCUGAAAGUGUUUGGUUGUGUGUGUUAUGCUCUUGUUCCAGUGGAAAAGAGAACCAAGCUCGAGAGCAGGGCAACUCCAGGAAUCUUUGUUGGCUAUAGCAGUAACAAGAAAGGUUAUAGAGUGUAUGAUCCAACAACAAAGAAGGUUUUGGUCAGCAAGGAUGUAAAAUUUGAUAAAGAAAAGGUGUGGAAUUGGAAUGGUGCUGAAGAUGACAUGUCUGAAAUGGACCAGUUAGACUUGGUUGCUGAACCUACAGAAGAAGGAUCGAGUGAUGAUGCUGUUGAUGAUACACCAGUGAGGGGCACCAGAACUUUGGUUGAUGUCUAUCAGAGGUGUAAUAUUGCUGUGAUUGAGCCUUCAGACUUUGAAGAAGCUGCCAAGGACAGGAACUGGAUGAAAGCUAUGGAGGCUGAGCUGGAAAUGAUCACCAAAAAUCAAACAUGGGAAUUGGUGAGUAGACCAGAACACAAGAAGGUCAUAGGAGUUAAAUGGGUGUACAGGGCCAAGUACAGUGCUGAUGGCUCAUUGAACAAGCACAAGGCUAGGCUUGUGGUGAAGGGCUACAGUCAGCAAUAUGUGGUGGACUUCCUGGAAACAUUUGCUCCAGUAGCAAGACUGGAGACAAUCAAGCUUCUGUUUGCUUUAGCAGCUCAGAAGCACUGGAGGGUUCACCAAUUGGAUGUAAAGUUAGCAUUCCUAAAUGGCUUUCUUAAGGAGGAGAUCUUCAUCGAGCAACUAGAAGGUUUUGAAGUUGCUGGACAUGAAGACAAAGUGUACAGGCUUAGAAAAGCCCUUUAUGGCCUGAAACAGGCACCAAGGGCCUGGUAUGACAGAAUUGAUGCUUACCUGAUCAAGCUUGGAUUUGUGAAGAGUUUUAGUGAGCCUACCCUGUAUGUUAAGAGGUCAUAAGUUGAAACCUUGUUGAUUGUCUCCUUGUAUGUGGAUGACUUGUUGGUGACAGGGAGCAAAGUUGAACUCAUUGAUGAAUUCAAGCUUCAAAUGCAACAAGUGUUUGAGAUAACUGAUUUGGGGGUCAUGAUAUACUUCCUUGGCAUGGAAGUUCACCAGUCUGAUCGAGGCAUCUUCAUCAGCCAACAAACAUUUGCUUUAAAGAUUCUAGGUAAAUUUUGCAUGCAUAACUGUAAAGCAGUCAACACACCAGUGGCUCAAGGAGAAAAGCUGACAAGCAGUGGUAAUCAGCAGAGAGUUGAUGAGAUGCACUAUCGAAGCCUAGUAGGUUGCCUGUUAUAUUUGACAGCAACCAGACCAGACAUCAUGUUUGGUGUUAGUCUGCUAUCUAGGUUUAUGCACUGUUGUAAUGAGGUACAUUUGAAGGCUGAAAGAGGGUCCUUAGAUAUAUCAAAGGCACUGCUAGCUUUGGUGUGAUGUUUGAAAGUGGGAAGGAACUGAAACUAAAAGGUUACUCAGACAGUGACUGGGCAAGAUCCCUCGAUGACAUGAAGAGUACCUUUGGAUACUUCUUCAAACUUGGAUUAGGCAUGUUUUGCUGGAAUUUAAAGAAGCAACAAACUGUUGCUCAGUCCACAGCUGAAGCAGAGUACAUUGCUACAGCAGCAGUAGUCAAUCAGGCCAUUUGGCUUAGGAACUUACUUCAAGAUCUUAAUGAAACACAAGCUGAUGCAACUGAACUUUGGGUGGACAACCAGUCAGCAAUUGCCAUAGCCAAAAACCCUGUGUUCCAUGGUAAAACUAAACACUUUAAAAUUAAGUUGCAUUUUGUUUGGGAAGCUGAGCAAACAAGGGAAGUCAGCCUUGUGCAUUGGAACUCAGGAGCAAAAUUGGUUGACAUACUGACAAGCCCUUAGGGGCUGCUCGAUUUGAAUCAUUGAGAAGUGAAAUUGGAAUGUGUUGCAUAUAGUCCAAGAAGGAGUGUUGAGAGUUGGACUGCAAUGCAACAUCGUGCCAGCCACUAUCGAGAUCAACAGCAGCUAUCGAGCUCAACUGUUUUUGCUUGGCAUGCAAGGUUGAUUUUUGGACCGAAUGAAGCAAUCAAUUUUUAGCUAUUUUGUUGUAAUGUUAUUUAGCUUAGUCCAAUUGUAACUAACUCUCAAAGUUAGUAGGAUUAAGUUUGUGAUUUGAUUUUUGAUGUAAAAGCUGUAAUGUCAGCUUAUCUUUGUAGUUGUUUAAGUUUGUAUUAGUUUUAGUUAAGUGGGAGCAGUUAUGUCAUUAGGUAACUGUCAAAUUAAGCCAAAAAUGUAACUCUUUUAUAUUUUCAAAUUAUGAAUGAAAAUAGGUAAUGUUCAGUUACAAUUUUCUUGCUGUACAUUCAAGUUUCAUUUGCUGCUUUGCCAAUUUUUCUUUUCUGCGUCGAUCAAUCUUGCUUCUGCUUGGUAAAUUUGUUUGCUCGAUGUUGCCAAUGUUCCAACAUAUAUGUUGUAGUGGGCAAAAAUCACGUCGAUUGCUGCAUGGAUAUGUCGCUGAACCAAUCGUCGCAACUCAUUGCCAAAGGUGCAUCAAACCAUACAGUGGCACUACUCUAUAUAUAGCUCAUCAGCGUCUCUUAUCAUUUGCAUAUUCGAGGAAGUUAAUUUUUCUGGUUACAUUAGCAAAAGGUAAGGCUUAUCAGUGAAGAUGAAAGAUUACGGGUGCGGUAUCAGUUCAAUAGCCAUGAUGCUAUUGGUGGUUGCUCUGCCGUUUUUGGGUCCGCUUAGAAUGCCACCGUUACAGCCUCCUCCCGCUUACAUUUUCCUCAUCUUCACUUUCGUCUUCCUCUUCCUUUUCAUCUACCUCUCUCAUGCCUCCAAAUGAUGAUCCAUGGCUAUUUCAUUUGCUUUCCAGUAUUAUUAUUCUCUUUUAUUCAGUCGUUAUCUUAAACAAAACUAUUAACCGUACAAAUAUAUAUAUUUGAAGGAUGAUAUUUCAUACUCAUAUUAUGAGCAAAGAUAUCUAAAAUAAUUAUUUUAUGUAAACAACGUAAAUGUGCAAAAGAAAAGGAAUUAAUAGGACAAAGGUGGUUAAAUAGUUAUACUAUAGUUAAUGCUUCUUCCACGACUGGCCCAUUAUAAAAUUGAAAACUUUUUGCAUUUGUUUUGGUUGCCGCUCUUCUUCCUCCGCCUCCUCGUAGACAAUAAGUUUUCGUUUUAUGUGAGAAGUGUUACCUACUGAUCCAUCGUGGUGAGCAGAGUGUUGGUGGAUGUGUUCAAAAUUUGGAGAAGAUUGAGCGCUAUGGCACUGCAACUCUUUUAUUUCUUCCAAAUCUUUCUUAUACACUAUUCUAACACCACACUUCUUCACCUUAGCACGGCGUCCAAAUCGAUCUACGAAAGACACCUCAAGCUCAUCGUAUAUUUUAUCUAAGCAAUCUGUUGUCCAUAACUUAUUGGUUUCACAGUCACCAAAUUUAUCCUCCAACGAAAAUGGAUAUAAUUUAUCACGCGACCAAUAACGAAGAAAAAUGUGAUCUUUUAUUAUGGGCUGGUUAAAUCGUUUACCCAACAACCAGCUUCUCCAAUCAAUCCGUCGAGGAUUUCUACCUCUAAAAAUAGAUCCAUUACAGCUGGCUUGUUUAGAAUUUCUACAAUAGAUAUAUGCUCCACAACCGAUAUAUUCCUCAUCCCUUGAAGCAUCAUUAUUGACAAAAAUGCAGCAGCAAGCAACUCCAAUCCAUUGACUAUCUUUCUGAAGGUUGAUAGGCAGCGAUAUUUUAAUUGAAGAGUCACUUGUUUGUUGGCUAAACCAUUCUGGGAUUUCACUUCCGGGCAUAAUAAUAUCAAAGAUUUUUCUUGAAUUUGCAAAUGCCUGCAAAACAAAACACAAGUCGUUUGGUAACUAAAACCAUAAAUUCUCAAGUAUGAGAUUUUGUAAGGAAGAAAAAAGAGAUUAAUCGACCUUAAUAAGUUUUUUCAGCAGUGUUAAUGCAUUGAUAUUCUCAGCCAAUUUGACGUAGUUAAUGGCACUAAUGAAAGCAGAAUCCACUAAAUUGCAUACUUUUGAUGGACUUGCAACUACUUCAAGUGAAGAACAACCAUCUAUCCACACAUCUUCUAUACUUGGUCGUAGCUCAGGCAACGAUUUGAGCAUCUUGCAAUCUGACAAUCUAAUAGAAUAAAGCUUGGAAAGUCGAAUAAUAGAUGCAGGUAUGCUGAUGAAAUUGUUACCCUUAAGAUUAAAACGUCUCAAAGAGGAUAGACCAGAAAUAUCACUAGGAAUAUCUCCUUCACAAAGACUGCGGUCCCUUAGAUUCAACUCUUUUAAUGAACUCUGAAAACAAAGGCAACAUUGGAGCCAUGAAAUGCGUCCUUCCUCUUUGGAUUACCUUGAAAAGAGAAGGCAGGUUUGGUAGUAACUUAGAUGAUGGUCCCUUUCUCCCAUUGAAAGACAAAACUUUAAGAUUUUUAAAUUGACAAAUGAAGGAUGGUGGUUUUGUUAUGGCUGUUUCACUCAAGUCGAGCUCUUCCAAAAACUUUGCUUGCUGCAAAUUCUCUAAUAAAUUUUCAACUCUAUAACAACUGGAAAGAUCUAGAGUUUUUAGACAUUCCAUUAUCCCAUCAAUAUCUGGAAACCUAACGAGACUUAAGCAACCCGAAAGAAUUAAUGUUUCAAGGGAUUCCAUUCCAAUUUUGAUCGGAAGACUCCUAAGACUUUUGCAAUCUCUUAAAUCCAAAAGUUUAAGGUGCUUAAUGACUCCUGUUGGAACUGAGAGUAACUAACAGCAAGUUUAACCAAGAAACUUGAGCAGCAAGUGUCGUGACUUGUAACAGAAACAAGCAGAAAACAAAACAUAAAUUUUGUUUUAAGAAAAGCAAGAAAGAUGGAGAGAGUUUGAAUGAAAACUUAAUUCAAUUCAUUCAUUCAUUACCAUUACAAGAAUAGCUUUAAGCCAAUACAUAAGUCAAGCUUCUAGCUUGUCAAAAAAACAGUAGGUUAACCAAAACAAUACCUACCACCACUAAGUUUCCUAGUAAAUUGGAAUAAUAACUUGUACAAAUGAAUAAAGCUGGUAAACAGCUCAAUCACUAUCAAAAUUACAUCAAAUAUCAUCUUAUCAUAGUUCAAAAUGAACUAGAUUACAUUACAUAAACAAAAAAUUCAAAAUGAAGCUAAACAUCCUUGCUUUCUCGUGCAAACUGCUGCUUCUGCAUGGUGGUCUUCAAUGCUGCAUGCUAACCACCUUUCAACACUCCUCCUUGGUUAGCAUGUUGCUGACUCCCAUCUUCAUUCUUAAGCUUUGAAACCUUGAAACAUUAAGAGGUUUUGUUAAAAUAUCAGUUAAUUGUUCAUCAGAACUGCAAUGAACCAGUUUUACUUCAUGAGCUUGUUGUUUUCUCGAACUGCAUGAAACUUAAUGUUAAAAUGUUUUGUCUUUCCAUGAAAAAUAGGGUUCUUUGCAAUUGCAACAGCCGAUUGGUUGUCACACAUUAUCUCUAUUGCUUCCUCUUGUUCAAGGUUGAGGUCGAUUAGAAUUUUUCUAAGCCACAUGGCUUGAUUAACAGCUGCAGCAGCUGCUACAUAUUCUGCUUCUGUAGUAGAUUGAGCAACCAGUGCUUGUUUUUUUGAACUCCAACAAAAUACUGCUGAGCCAAGAUUAAAAAGAUAGCCUGAAGUGCUUCUCAUAUCGUCUAUCGAGCCAGCCCAAUCACUGUCACUGUAACCAACCAAUUUCAAGUGUUUUGCUUUGGUAUACAGCAUUCCAUAGCUCAGGGUUCCUUUGAUGUAUCUGAGAACUCUCUUGGCAGCUUUAAAAUGACUUUCAUUGCAGCAAUGCAUGAACCUUGAGAGUAAGCUCACAGCAUACAUUAUGUCUGGUCUAGUGGUAGUUAGAUAUAAUAAACAACCAACUAGACUCUUAUAAGUUGUCUCACACACUGGUUCAAAAAAACUUUGACUCGAUAGCCUUUCUCCUAAAGCAAUUGGUGUGCUAGUGGCUUUGCAAUUCUCUAUUGAAAAUUUGCUGAGAAUUUUCAUGGCAAAGGUCUUUUGACUUAACCAAAUUCCUUUCUUUGAUUGUGUUACUUCCAUGCCUAAAAAAUAGGUCAUCAACCCCAAGUCUGACAUUUCAAAAUGCUGUUGCAUUUUGGUUUUGAAACUGAUCAGCAUCUCUUGAUCUCCUCCUGUCACCAAUAGGUCAUCGACAUAUAAUGACACAAUGAGCUGAGUUUCUGCCUUGGUCCUUUUGACAUACAAAGUUGGCUCGCUAAUACUCCUCUCGAAUCCCAAACUGAUUAAAUAACUAUCAAUCCUGCUGUACCAGGCUCUUGGAGCCUGUUUUAAGCCAUACAAGGCUUUCUUCAACUUGUAUACCAUUUUUUCUUUACCAGUCACUUCAAAGCCUUGAGGUUGUUCCAUAUAAAUUUCUUCUUCAAGAAAUCCAUUGAGAAAUGCUGACUUUACAUCGAGCUGAUGUAUCUUCCACUGCCUUUGUGCUGCUAGUGCAACUACCAAUCUGAUGGUGUCAAGCUUGGCCACUGGUGCAAAGGUCUCCAGGUAUUCUGAUCCAAACCUCUGACUAAAGCCUUUGACAACUAACCUUGCCUUUAAUUUGUUUAAACUACCAUCAGCAUUCUGUUUGACUCGAUAAACCCAUUUAACUCUAAUGAUUUUCCUGUUUGCUGGUCUUUCAACUAGAUUCCAGGUCUGAUUCUUUUCAAUCAUGCUGAUCUCUUCAAUCAUUGCCUGCUUCCAACCCUCCUGACUUUCUGGUUCUUCAAAACAACUUGGUUCAGCAAUGGCCACUUGUGCUCUUUCAUAAACAUCAACCAAUGAUCGAGUCCCUCUGAUUGGUUCAUCAUCCACAUCCAUUUCAAAUGUGUCUUGAUCAGUUCCAACUUGAUCUGAUGUAAAUUCUUUAGUUACAGCCUUUGGUUCAUUUUUAUCCCAGUUCCAGCAUGCCUUUUCAUUGAACACAACAUCUCUACUCAUAAGGAUCUUGUUUGUAGAGGGUUCUAGCAUUCUGUAGCCUUUUUUAACUGUACUAUAGCCUAUCAGAAUCCCUGUUUGAGCUCUUUUAUCCAGCUUUCCUCUUUUCACAGCUGGAACUUGUGCAUAACAUAUGCAACCAAAGGUUUUGAGAUGAGCCAGUGAUGGCUUGAACCCAAACCAAGCUUCAAAUGGAGUCUUCUGAGCUAGGGCCUUGGUUGGAAAUCUAUUUUGAAGAUAGACUGCAGUGUUUACUGCUUCAGCCCACAAGGUUUUAGGCAGAUUCUUCUCAAACAAGAGGCACGUUACCAUAUUCAUCAAACUUCUGUUUUUUCUUUCACUGACCCCAUUCUGUUGAGGUGUAUAUACAUUAGUCAGCUGGUGUUUAAUGCUUGCAUUCUCACAGUAGGCUUGAAACUAAGCUGAGGUAUACUCAGUUCCAUUAUCUGACCUUAGUGUCUUAAGUUUGCAGCCAGCUUCAGUUUCCACAGCAGCUUUAAACUUUAAAAACACAUGAGCCACUUCUGAUUUGUGUUUCAUAAAGUAAAUCCAGCAGUAUCUUGUAUGAUCAUCUAUGAAAAGAAUAAAGUACCUGCUCCCAUUGAGAGAUUCGGUCUUCAUUGGUCCACACACAUCAGUGUGCACAAGCUGCAACUUCUCUGAUGCUCUCCAUGCUGUGUUUGCAGGAAAUGGCAACCUUGCUUGCUUUCCUUGUUGACACACCUCACAAAUUUCAUCAUUUUUCACUGUUUUAAUGAAAUUUUCAGCCAACCCUUUAUUAAUCAUCUGAGCCAUUGAUUUGAAGUUAACAUGUCCAAGCCUCUUGUGCCAUAGUUUGGAGUCAUCAAUGGAGGUAAUACAGGCUGAAUGUGAGUCACUUGGCCAGUCCACUUCAAAGCACUUAUCAGUCAUGGUGACUGUCAUGAAGUUUGAUCCACUUGGAUAAAAAAUUUGGCAUUCUUUCUGCUUGAACACAACUGUGUAUCCUUUCUCUAGCAGUUGAGCUAUGCUAAGAAGGUUUCUGUCAAUCUCAGGCACUAAUAGCACAUUCGAGAUGACUUUGUUACCUGCAGGAGUGUGUAUCUGCACAUCCCCUUUUCCUUCAGCCUUUAUAAACUGACCAUUUCCAAUUUUUACUUUGGUUUUACAAGCUCUGUCCAAAGUUUUGAAAAUGGUUGCAUCUGGUGACAUGUGGUUUGUGCAUCCACUGUCUAGCAACCAGCCUUUCAAGCCGUUCUUUUGGUUUGCUGAGCAUGACACAGCAAAAACCUGUUCUUCAUGAUCACUACUAUCCUCAGCUACUCGAGCUUCAGCUUUUGGUUGCUGAAAUUGGUUCUGUCUCGGUUUACUUUUAUUUUUGCAAACCUUUUCUACAUGCCCUUUCCUUUUGCAAUGUUGGCAUACAGCAUCUGGUAUGAACCAGCAAUCUGCUUCAGGAUGACCAGUCCUUUUGCAGUAUCUGCAGGGUUGAUCCUUCCUUCUUGUGUUUUCAGACCUUGACUUGUCCCUCCAAGUCUUUUUACCUUUAUGAGCAAAGGUGCUCGAUGUUGGCUUGGCUUUGGCUUGGAAGGCUCCUUAUUGGUGCUCUUCUAGUCUGUUGGCCCUUCUUUGCUCUUGUGCAUACAAGGCAUUGAUUAACUCAGUUAGGGAGAUGGUUGUCAAGUCCCUUGAGUCUUCGAGAGAUGAGAUCUUUGCCUCAUACCUCUUAGGUAAUGUGGAUAUGACUUUCUCCACUAUUCUGGCUUUACUGAACUGCUCUCCUAGGAGCCUUAUGCUGUUUACAACAGCCAUAAUUCUGUCUGAAUACUGCUUGACUGUUUCUUCUUCUUUCAUCUUCAGAUUUUCAAAGUCUCUUCACAAGUUUAGCAGCUGUUGUUUCCUUGUUCUCUCAGUCCCUUGAAACUCUUCUUUCAGCUUGUCCCAAGCCUCCUUUGGUGUUUCACAGGCCAUGAUUCUUGUGAAAAUCACAUCUGAAACACAGUUUUGUAUGCAUGACAUGGCCUUGUGCCUUUUUGUUCUUUCAUCAGCAUGUUGCCUUAUUUGAGCAACUGUUGGAUUUGCUCUGAGAGGUGCUGGCUCAGCAUCUGAAUUGACUACCUCCCAUAGGUCGAAUACCUGCAGGUAAGUCUUCAUUUUGACUACCCAAAUAUGGAAUCCUUCUCCAUUGAAGACUGGUGGUGCAGCUGGUGAAAAACCUAAUGAAGCCAUGGUUUCUAGUACUGAACUACAACAGGUCCUCUAAGCAUAUGGCUCUAGAUACCAAUCAUUGGAACUGAGAGCAACUAACAACAAGUUUAACUAAGAAACUUGAGCAGCAAGUGUCGUGACUUGUAACAGAAACAAGCAGAAAACAAAACAUAAAUUUUGUUUUAAGAAAAGCAAGAAAGAUGGAGAGAGUUCGAAUGAAAACUUAAUUCAAUUCAUUCAUUCAUUACCAUUACAAGAAUAGCUUUAAAGCCAAUACAUAAGUCAAGCUUCUAGCUUGUCAAAAAAACAGUAGGUUAACCAAAACAAUACCUACCACCACUAAGUUUCUAGUAAAUUGGAAUAAUAACUUGUACAAAUGAAUAAAGCUGGUAAAUAGCUCAAUCACUAUCAAAAUUACAUCAAAUAUCAUCUUAUCAUAGUUCAAAAUGAACUAGAUUACAUUACAUAAACAAAAAAUUCAAAAUGAAGCUAAACAUCCUUGCUUUCUUGUGCAAACUGCUGCUUCUGCAUGGUGGUCUUCAAUGCUGCAUGCUAACCACCUUUCAACAACUCCGAUGGAUGGAUGAACAUCCACUAAUUUGGUACAACCUUCCAAAAUCAAAACAUCAAGAUUUGAUGCUAUUGUGAAGUCUAGUGUCUUGAUCAGGUUUUGGGACCCUUUGAGGUUCAUCAUUUUCAACGUAUACAAGGGCUGUUGAAAACAAUAACAAAUUAUAAUAAUGCUCUUUUUUUUUAUCUUAAUCAAAGUUUAAUUAUUUAUAUUAAAAUAAGCUAAAACGCAAGGAUCAGAUGAGUUAACUCUUACUCUACUUCCCUUCCAUAGUUGUUCAAUGCAGCUGUAUGGUAAGAGAAGUGCAACAAGGUUGUCCGAUUGGAAGCUUGAAGGCAAUGAUCUUAACGGGCAUCCUUUCCAAUCUAAAAGCCGUAGCUCAUUAGAAAGAUAUUUGAGAUCAUCACAAUUUGAGAGGCAAAGCACUUUGAUCAAUCUCAAUUUUUUCAUCUUUGAGAAGGCAUCGACACUCAAGUUGAGCAUCUUACUCGAUUCCCUAAUAACCAUGAGAAAAAAAAAAGAGUUUCAGAAGAUACAAAAAUAUUCAAUAUCUACAAGCUAUGUUGCAGCGAUAUUGGUUUUUAAAGCAUCCAUACCCAAUACUUAUAUCUAAUGCAUAUCCAAAUAUGGUAUUGAGAUAUGUUUGAGCAUACCCAUGAUAGACAAUACUCAGAAACACUUGCAUCCGACUUUUAAUUACCUAAGCCUAAAAAAACUAGAAUUAAUAUUAAUAGUACAUAUUGAUAAAUUUAUAUGUUUUCUUACCUUUUAUUGUCGAUAACCAUGCCUUCAAUCACUUCGGUAGCCUAUAAGUAAUCAAUAAUAGACAAUAAGAAGACUGAUAAAACUUUUGAAAAUUUACAUACACAAUCUUUUGGUGGAAAUAUAGCAAAUAAAAUAUUUUGAACAAAGUAAAACAUUUUCUAAUGAGAGUAAUUCAAUAAAAUUAAAUGCUUAUAUUACAAAUUAUUAUUAAUAUUUAUGAUCAACAAAUGAAAAUCAUCUUAAAGCUACUCAAUGUCACUUAAGGAUCAAUAUAUAAAUCAAUUAGACUAAGCUUUGGAUUUACAUCAUAUAUUGAUAAAAAAAAUUGCAUGUAAUUUUUGUUGAAUGAUUUACUGUGUUUUUUGUUAGGACAUGAUGGACAUCUCUUUCGUUCCACAAUCUACAACGUUUUCCAGGUUCAUCAACACAUUUUUCUUCAACAAUUUUUCUUCCCAUUUCUUGCAACAAGGCAUGCAUCCACAAAUAUUGGUUGUCAUCAUUGACUUUUAUGAUAGAUUUCUUAAUGAGAACAUCAAUUCCAAUAUCUGAGAAAAACUCACAACCAUCCAAUACUUUCAUUACCAAAUCUUUCUUCUCCCCAUUGAAAAAGCAUGCUAUAUCUAAAAAUAUAUUCUUCUCCCUUUCUUCCAAUCCAUCAAAGCUGAUUCUUAGUGUGUUAAGAAUUUCUUUGUUGGAAUCUCGUUUAAGUCUUUCGAUUGCACUUCUCCACUGAGCUAAAUUUCUACCACACAAAAAAGAACCCAAGACUUGAAGAGCUAAGGGGAGACCACCAGUGUAAUUUACAACAUGUUCAGAAAGCUCACUAAAAUCAUCUUUCAGCAUUGUGUAACUGUCAAAAGCUUUCAAAUUGAAAAGCCUAAGUGCAUCGUUGGGAUUCUAUGUUGUAGGUUUAUACACAUCAUCGAUUCGAUAAGAUCUGAGCAAAUGUUCAUCUCUGGUUGUUACGAUGAUCCUACUCCCUAAACUGAACCAAUCUUGCCUUCCAAUUAAGCAUUUCAAGUGUUGUAUAUUAUCAACAUCAUCAAGAACAACAAGAACCUUUUUGCUAAACAAUCUAUGGCUAAUUAUGGCAUUCCCUUCAUAAACAUUGAAAAAGUUGAAGCAUUCAUCUGGCAAGAUUAGAGAAAGAAGUUGUUUCUGUAAAGAGACAAGUCCACAUUUGUUUGAAACUUCUCGAAUAUCAGCAAGAAAGCUUUUACCUUCAAAAUUAGGUGACAUUUGAGUGUAAACAACCCUUGCAAGAGUUGUUUUACCGAUGCCACCCAUUCCGCAAAUUCCAAUAAUGCGGACAUCGUCUUCCCCAAUGUUUAUUAUCGAAUACAACUCCUCCAAAUGUAAGCUAAUUCCAACCAACUCGUCAUGGACAAUUGGAUAUGUCUGACAUAAUUUUGCUGAUAUCUUCUUAACAAUGUCUCCGAUAAACGCUGAUUCGUGCCUACAAUGAAAUAAAAGAUCGCUGCUAUCUUUCAAAUGCACUUUUUCAUUUUUAAUUCAGUGGAUCAUGAAAUAUAAUAUAAUUGGAAGCAAACCAAAAGCUAGAAUAAGACAGCAAGAUCUGUUAUAGCAUCAAAAUACACAACUUGCUCAUUAGUGGAAAUAUGGGAAUUCUCAAUUAAACACAAAGUUGCAAAAAAUAACAUGCAAUCCAAGAAAAAACAAUUUUUUAGUCUUAAAAUUAGGAAAUAGAGAAGAAAAGGAAGAAAUACCUAUUAUGUAAAUGCCAUCCUUUGAUGUUAGCUACUUGAGUCAAAGCAUUUCGCCACUUUUGGAUCUUGUCUUUAUCUUCCUUGUAUCUUUCUUCGUGUUUGGCGAAGGCUUCUUCAACUUUUUCUUUUUGUUUUCUUAAAUCGGAUGGAUCCACAUCGUAGAAAAUUGGAAAUACUUUAUGUCCGUUAACAAUUUUUUGUUGAACAAUCUCAGCAAGUUCCUCCAAGCACCAUCCUGAAAAGGCAUAUGAUUCCGAGAAAAUGAUUACCGAGCACCACGACUGCUGGAUCGCUUUGAAGAGUUCCGGUGCGAUCUCUUCGCCAGCCUCCAGCUUUGGAUCAUCCCUAAAAGUGAUGAUACCACUCCUCUUUAGAGCAUCGUAGAGAUGAUCCGCGAAGUUCUUGCGGGUAUCUUCACCUCUAAAACUCAAGAAAACAUCGUAUUUCUUUCUGGAAAUGGAUGAGGAAGUCGAAAGUAACGAUGACAUGACCAUGUAUGAGAAGAUAAAUAUAUGUGAAAGGAGAAAAACAGAUGAAAUUUACAGGGAGCAACAGACGACUUUUCUUAAAAAAUUCUGUAUACGUUUCCCACCUUUUACUUGUCCAAUAAAUUCGUGGGCCAUAGAUGAGUUAGAUUUUCUUAUAGAUUUUCAGAGUUUUUUGUUAAAAUUUGCCACAAGUCCCUGUCCUUUUUUAUAAAUUUAAAUUUUAGUCCCUAUACUAUGGGUAAGUUUUUGUUUUGGCCACUUUAUUAAAAAAGUUUUAAUUUGAUCAUUGAACUUUUCAAAAUUGUUUUUUUGUCACCCGACUAUUAAGUGACACUUUUUUAGUUAGUAUAAUAACAAAUUUAAUCCUCAAUUUUUAUAGUUUUUUGUCAAUUUGACCCUGAUUUUAUAUAAAAUAAUAAAAAUUGAAAUUCAUUUUAAAAAAAAUUAGAGAACUCUAAAAUUUUAAAUUAAAAUAAAAGUAAAUAAAAAUUUCAAAAAUAGAUAAAUGAGAAAGUGAGCGAAAACUGUUUAUAAACCUUCCAAAAUUUCUCUCAAAUUAUUGGUUCUAUAUAUAUAUUUUUACCUCUUUUGUUUCAUGGUUCUUUCGUUAUAAGAAAAGAAAAUUCAAAAUAUAGUUUUUUUUUUUUUUGCUAUUUGGACUUAUAAAAAAAUAAUUAAAUUUUUGAAUUGAGUCUGAAAAAAGGAAAUUUUAUGGUAUAAUUUGUAUUUCUUUUUUAAAAAUGGCAUUAGAGUCGAUUUCUUAAGCCUCUGUAAUAUCAAUUUUCAAUGUUCUUCAAGGACAUGAAACUUGACUUGAAAAUAUUACUAAUUUAGUUUCAAGAAACAUUGAGGAAACAAGUAAUAAUCUAACAUUUUUUUGGUUUUGUUCUAUUUUUAAUUUAUUCUAGGGUUGUAUUGAAUAAUAAUUUUCUAUAUUUCCCAUACAGUUCUUCACAAAUUUAGAGAGAUUCGUGGACAGAUGUUCAGUAGCAUGUAUUGGGGUUAUGAAGUGAAAUGAAUAUGUUGUGAUUUGGGCCCAUACCAUCUCCAUUUCAGUUUUCAUUUUCACCUUUCACAUUAUUUUAUUUUAUCUUAAUUUCUUUUCAUCAUUCUUUUCUUUUUGCUUUUGAUUGUUGGAAACUUGGAGUACUUGGGCAUUCCCAAGCCUCGCUUUGGGACUUCUUGAUAGCACACCGGCCUUAUAGCAAAUUAAAUGGGAUAUAAACAUUGUGACAUUAAUCUCAUAUUUUGAAAUAUUUAAUACAAGGUUUUCAGAAUUAGAUUGGUGACUAAAUUAAUCAAUUCAUUGAUUUUUUAUUGGUUUAUUCGAUUUAAUUAAAUAAAUUAUUAAAAAUUAUAAAUAUUAAAAUAUUAGAUAAUAACGGUUGAUUCAACAUGUUUCGAACAUUUUGUGAGUCAAAUGGUAAAUACACUUUCAGAAAAUCUCCACCAUAUCACAUCUUUCCCCAGCUUGAAAGAAUUUCAACUUAGUUUUUUUCGGAUAUAAAUAGUAGAAUUUGAGGUGAUGAUAAUCGAAUUUCAGCAUGAUUUCUCAAGAAUUGUUACAAAAGGUAUGGAACUUCUAAAUUCAUUAAAAAGGAACAAGGUAAGCAAUUAUAGACAGUCGUUCCUUGGUUAAUGCGGUUGUUAAGGUGGAAAUUGAUCACAAUAUUGUUAAACUCCUGCAACUUCUAAACAGAGGCAAGGGCCCUGUUUUUACCAACAUCACUCUCGGUAAACACAAAAUUGCUGGAUAAAUCCCACAAUUUCACCACCCCUUCAUCAUGCAAACUCAUUGAUUUGACACUAGCGAGAAUGAGAUUCUUUGCUGCACAAGCAAAAGAAAUAAACGUCUAAGUGAGAUACCACAACCUGUAUGGAUUCGACUGUGGGAUUCGUGGACACCUCUACAUUGACAUGAUGAAAGACAACAACAUGCAAUAAAAGAUGUAAGAGAAAAAACCAACGUUAUGUCAUGAAAAAGAACAACCCCCCCCCCCUCCCUCCCCCCCAAAUGGACCCUCCUGUUAAAAUUAAUCACUAAUGGCAAUUUUCAUCUUUUGCUAUGUGUAGUGUAGAGAAGAAUAAAAAUGAAGUUAAUAAAUAAACUGAGAGUUUUCAGCCAUUGGCAUGGACAUUUGCCACCUAAUGUGGGGGAAAUGAAAGAAUAAAUAUAGUACAAGGAAGAUUACCGGAUCUCUUUAACUAUCAAUUUAUAAAUUCAGGCAUAAGUAUAUUGCAGGUCUAAAAUAUGAAAGUAAACAUUCGAACAAGAGAUAAGUAAAAAACAUAUUCUUGGUGCAUGGAUAUCCAGUGAUUAAUCUUCCAUUUAAGUGUCUAAGAAAGUAAUAAUUCAAUCCAAUUAAUUCCUCAAUCAGCCCAAUUACAUAAGCAUGCAGCCUACUACUCUAGUAGUACUAUACGACACAGCAUCCAACGUAUCACAGAAGAAAAUCUUUAGCAGCAACAUGUUGAAUGUGCGAUAGAGGGGGCACUAUCAUCAGGUUAUCCAAUAACUUUUAUUUUAAGCUGAAUCCUCUUGUUUUUUAUUUUUUGCAAAGUCAGUGAAAUACACUGAAUCCCCUUGUUAGAACACUAUUCUUACCGGCCGACGAAUUAAUAAGUUUGAAAUUGGAAAAAUCUUAUAGAUCCCCUCUUAUAUGCCUCUGACCCAAACAUACAAGCAACAGAAUCAUCACCAGAUCAAAAAUUUUGACUAAGAACUAGCGUAAAGCUAGUGAGGUUACAUAUACACUCAUAACGCCUAAAAACCCAAGAAAUAAUAAAAAUAACCACCUGUAAAUAACUCCUAAAUGAACUCAUUAUAACGAAUUUCAAAACACUAAAAUUUAAUACAAAACUAAUAUAUAUAUGUUUUAGAGGGCAAAAAAUCACGUCGGUUGCUGCAUAGAUAUGUCGCUGAACCAAUCCUCGCAACUCUUUGCCAAAGUUGCAUCAAUCCAUAUAGUGCCACUACUCUCUCUAUAUAUAUAUAGAUCAUCAACGUCUCUUAUCAUUUGCAUAUUGAAGGAAAUAAAAUUUUCUGGUUACAUUAGCAGGAGGUAAGGCAUACCAGUGAAGAUGGAAGAUUACGGGUGCGGUAUCAAUUCGAUAGCCAUGAUGCUGUUGGUGGUUGCUCUGCUGCUUUUGGCUCCGCUCGGAAUGCCACCGUUGCAGCCUCCUCCCGCUUACAUUUUCCUCAUCUUCGCUUUCGUCUUGGUCUUCCUUUUCAUCUACCUCUCUCUUGCCUCCAAAUGAUGAUCCAUGGAGAUUUCAUUUGCUUUCCAGAAUUAUUAUUCUCUUUUAUUCAGUCGUAUCUGAUGAUAAUAUGCUUUGCUCGGGAUAUUAACCGCCAAUAAUACACGGUUAUUUGUUGUUUUCAGUCGUUUAUUAAUUAAUUAUAUGAAUUUGAUGGAAGAAUGUUUGGGUUUAUGUAGGACGUAAAUAAACCAUGCAAUGCAUGCAUACUUAUGUUGCGACACGACGCCUUUCACUAAUAUGAUUCUUUCACUCACUCCCAUUGACUUACGUACGUUGCAUGCGUUGUCCCUUCAGGCCUUCUAUUUACUACUGGAUUAAUAUUGUCGUUAAUUCAUCAAUCAUGUCUUAAAAAUCAAUUUGAGUAAAUUAAAUUUACAUAAGAAGACUAGCGAAAAAAGAAGAUUAGCGAAAGAAGAGCUUUAGUCCCUCCAUACUUAGGUUGUGGUCAUGAACUUAGAUUCAAAAUAUGGAUUUAAAUUUAGUCUAUGCUUCCUGCUGCAGUUGUGGUUAACUUUCAAGAAAGUACAUAUUCGGGAAAGCCAAACAAUUCAAGAUCACUUAAAUUGUACGGAUCAUACAUUGUCAUCAACUGUAGUAGAUAACAAGUAGGUGGAAAGUUGCAUAUAUGGGUAAUUAGAGAAGUAGCAGGUUGAGCAGGAAAAAUAGAUGAAUCGUACAUGAGAGAGCAAGCAUUUGGGUUAUCGUCGCUAAAAAUUUGAGGAUAAGCAAACUCGGAGUAUCUUCUUGCCAUCGUCUCCAUCCAUCUCCUUUGCCUUGAUCUUCUUCUUUCUUCUCUCCUGCAUCUUUCUUCUUUUCUUCCUUGUUUUCUUCGUCAUUCACUAUACAUUAAUUAUGGUAUUAUACAAAGAAAAAAAGCGCCAACUACGGAUUCAAUGGAAUUUGUAGUGGAGAUUCCUUUAAAAUCUUGAGACAUAAAAUUUUACUAAAUUUCAAAAAUAAAAUUUAAAAUAUUUGGUUGAAUUUUGAAAUUAACGAGUUACCAAUUUUGAGUAUGGUAAGGAUGCUAUAAUCUUUAAUUUAUAAAAAUUGAAAGGGAUUUAUAAAAUCUGAUUUUAUAGAUGGCCAAUUACACAUGGCCAACAAAGAUUUGUUUUAUUAUAUGUGAAUACUUAAAAUUGAAAUUUAAAAAUAUGUACGAAAUUAAUAAGAUAUCAAUUUUGAGUGUCGUAGGAGUACUAUAACUUUUCCUACCCAUAACUGAUUCUCCAACUUAAUUUUUUUCUAGAUUUAAACACGGAUCUUAAAAUUGUCCUUAAAAGACAUUUUAAAAUUUCUUUAUAAAAUUUAAUUCUAUGGGUGACUGGUCACAUCUAGUAAAAAAAGAUAGGUGAUGAGUUUUAAUUUGAAACAUUAAUGCAUUGUAAUUUAAUUACUAUUAGAUUCCUUGAUUCAUUUAUUCUAAAAGCAUUCACGCUUUACUCGACCAAAGUCAUCCAUUCAUGGGAUGCCUUCCUUUGCACUCAAGCAAUGCUCGACUUGGAAGGCACUUGGAAGGCAAUCGAAGUUGCUUGUGGUAGACGGCCGAUCGAAGCUAGAGCGCCGGUAGAUGAAACCUUUCUCGCUGACUGUAUAAUGGAUUGCUAGGAUAAAGGAGAUAUUCUGGCCGCUGUCGAUGGGAGGUUGGGAAAGAAGUUUGUGUCUUAUGGUCACCAUUCCUCCAUUAACAAGUACAGAGUCGCUUGUGUCUUAUUCAUCAUACAAAUUUUUUUUUUAAGGAUUUAUGAUCCAAAUUCAAAAUAUUUGGGAUAGAGCGUAUUGCAGCUUCAAAGGCCAAAGUUGUUGUAAAUUUACAACAAUUGUAUAGAGUGUUGCAUAAGCCCUCGAAGCCCCCAUGUUCUUGUUGGAGUUGGAAUCCUCAUUUGUAACAGGCGCUGUAUCAAAUAUUUCAACCAUUAAUCAAAAGCUUCUUUUUCAGGGACUUGAUUUUUUGCAUCUGAAUCGAAGGUUUGAAAAGUUAAAUUCUUUGGGGUGCCAUUCAAUGGACUAAGAAAGCUGAAAUGAUAUUUUUAUCUUAUCAUUUUUUAUUUAUUAAAUGUGUCGUAUUUAUAUCAAGGAUUUUAUUUUAAACUUUUAAUUUCAAAAUGCUUUUUGCCUUCUUUGAUUUAGUACUCUCUAUAUCAAUUUCAUGUUUGUGAAAUUCAUCCAUUCUAAAUGCAUUUUGCCUUUCGUUUUCAAUAGGGUGAUGAUGGAUAUGUUCAAAGUUUGGAGAAGAUUAAGUGGUAUGGCACUGCACCUCUUUUAUUUCUUCCAAAUCUUUCUCGUACAUUAUUCUAACACCACAGUUCUUCACCUUAACAGAAGAAGACCUUUUUGAGUCUUGGAAAGACAUCUCAAGCUCAUCGCAUUCAUGAUUAGAGCAAUCCAUUGUCCAUAAAUUCUUGGUUUCACCUUUAUCCUUUAAGGAUAAUGGAUAUACUAAUUCACGCGAGAAAUAACGAAGAAAAAGGUGGUCCUUCGUUAUGGGUCGUCGAUCAAAAUUAAGGAAAUUGAAAUUGACCUUUCGAGGAUUUUUAACUUGAAAAACAGAUCCAUUACUACUAGGUUGUCCAGAAUUUCUAGAAUGGAUAUAAGUUGGACCACCGAUAACCUUUCUCUUGGAAUCACCAUCAUCGCCGAAAAUGCAGCAGAAAGCAACUCCAAUCCAUUGAUUGUCAUUCUGAAUAUUUAGAGGCAAAGGUAUUUCAAUUACAGAGCCGCCUUUCUGUUGGCUGAACCAUUAUGGGAUUUCAUUUACAGGUAUAACAACAUCAAAUCUUUUUCUUGAAUUUGCAAAUGCCUGCAAAUUAAAACAUCAAUCGUUCUUGAAUUUGCUAAUUAAUAAAAUAUCUGUUGCGUUUAAAUCAUUAAACAAGAAUCAAAACAAAGAAUUUGUGUUUGAAAGAUGAAAAAUAGAAGCAAAAAUCGUAUGUUGGAUUGAGAGAAGAAGAUGACUUAUCUCAUUACUUGAAUAAGUAACAUAACAUAUACAUAAAUAGUUCUAUUAUAUUGGAAGAAAAUAAACAUUGCUUGUGCAAAUAACCAAGCUGUAAAAUCAGCUUAAUGAUAACAUAAAACCUACUAAAUCUGCUAAGUACAUGGCUGAACCUUAGCAAAACAAAAAGUUACAAUCAAAUCAAACAUAAGUCACAUGUUACAAAAGUAAAUCCACUAUGGACAUUGGCAUGUUGCAUGCAUGCUGCUGCAUUGUUGCCAACUUUCAACACUCCUCAAUUGGCUACAAAGUAGCAGACUCCAAUUUCCUUCCUCAGAUACUCAAAACUUGUGGCAGCCAAUGGCUUGGUCAAAAUGUCUGCGAGCUAAACCUCCGAGCAACAAUGAAUCAAGUUAACUUCCUUUGACAAUUCUGCCUCCCUUACAAAAUGGUGCUUGAUACUGAAGUGCUUGGUCUUGCCAUGAAAUACAGGAUUCUUGGCAAUGGCAACAACUGACUGAUUAUCUACUUUGAUCUCUGUUGCUUCCACUUGAUCAGCAUUCAAGUCAUUCAAAAGCUUCCUAAGCCAAAUUGCUUGAUUAACAGCAGUAGCAGUUGCAAUAUACUCUGCCUCUGCAGUGGAUUGAGCUACUGUCUGUUGUUUCUUAGAACUCCAACUAAAAACUUCUAAGCUUAGAGUGAAAAAGCAGCCCGAUGUACUCUUCAUGUCAUCAACUAAACCAGCCUAGUCACUGUUUGAAUACCCAACCAGUUUCAGUUCUUCAACUUUCACAAACUUCACUCCAUAGCUUAAGGUUCCUUUGACAUACCUUAGGACCCUUUUAGCAGCCUUGAAAUGAGUAACAUUACAAUUCUAUAGCUCUUCUUAUCAACUCGAGCAUGGUCACUGUUGCUGGAGAGUUUUUCUCCUUGUGCCACAGGAGUGCUAGCAAGUUUACUAUUUGUCAUGCAAAACUUGUUUAAAAUUUUUGAAGCAAAAGCCUGUUGGCUUAUGAAGAUGCCAUGUUCAUUCUGAUUCACUUCCAUACCAAGGAAGUAGGUCAUCAAUCCUAGAUCAGUCAUCUCGAAAACAUCUUGCAUCUGCUCCUUGAAUUCUUUAAUCAACUCACUUAUACAACCAGUAACCAACAAGUCAUCCACAUACAGAGACACAAUCAACAAGGUUUCUUUCUCAACCUUCUUUACAUAGAGUGGAUGCUCAUUAGUGCUCUUCUCGAACCCCAGCCUUGACAAAUAAGCAUCAAUCCUAUCAUACCAAGCCCUUGGAGCCUGUUUUAGGCCAUACAAGGCCUUCUUGAGCUUGUAAACCUUAUGCUUUUUACCAAGAACCUUGAACCCAUCAGGUUGCUCAACAAAGAUCUCUUCCUUGAGAAAUCUAUUCAGAAAAGCUGAUUUAACAUCCAACCGGUGCACUUCCACUGCUUCUGAGUAGCUAAAGCAAACAAUAGCCUUAUGGUGUCUAGCCUUGCAACUGGUGUAAAUAUUUCAGAGAAAUCGGUGCCAUACUGUUGACUAUACCCUUUCAAAACCAAUUUUGCCUUAUACUUGUUCAAUGACCCAUCUACAUUGUUCUUGGUCCUGAACACCCAUUUUACACCAAUAACUUUUCUGUUUGCUGGCAUGUCAACCACCUCUCAUGUGUCAUUUUUGUGAAUCAUCUUCAUUUCUGCCUCCAUUACUUCUUUUCAAUAACCCUCCUUUGCAACUUCAUCAAAGUUGAAAGGCUCAAUAAUGGUCAUAUCAUACCUCUCGUAGAUGUCAUAAUAGUCCUUGUACCUCUGACAGGUACAUCAUCAUAAUCAUCCUCAGUUUCAGCUUCAGUCUUAGCAUGCUGUAAACCAAGAACAUGCCGGUCUUGCUCAAACAAGCUUGCAUCCGUUCCAUCCCAUUCCUGACAACUGCCCUCAUUGAAUUUCACAUCUCUACUUUCAACAAUCUUCUUAGUGGAUGGAUCAAAGACCCUAUACCUUUUUUUAUUCUACUAUAGCUAACACAGACUCCAUGUAUGGACCUUUUUUCUAGCUUGAUUCUCUUCUCAGCUGGCACCAGUGUGUAGCAUAUGCAACCAAACACCUUCAAGUGUGAGACAGUUGGCUUAUGUCCAAACCAAGCUUCAAAUGGAGUUUUACCCUUGACUGUAUUAGUUGGCAGCCUAUUUAGCAAAUACACAGAUGUAUUUACUACCUCAGCCUAAAAAUUGUUAGGCAUUUUGCCUUCAAAUAAUAGACACCUGGCCAUAUCGAGAAUAGUCAUGUUCUUUCACUCAUAAACACCAUUCUGCUGUGGUGUGUAGAUGGUGGUUAAUUGGUGCUGAAUUCUAGCUUCAUCACAAAUCUUCUGGAACCUUUGAGACACAUAUUCAGUCCCAUUAUCAGACCUCAAUAUCUUCAACUUGCAACUGGCUUGAUUUUCAGCCAAUUCCUUGAACUUGCAAAAGAAGUCAACCACAUCUGACUUUUGUUGCAAAAAGCUUACCCAACAAAAUCUGAUGCAAUCAUCAAUGAACAAUGCAAAAUACCUACUGCCAUUCAAAGAGGAGGUUUCCAUAAGUCUACAAAUAUCUGUAUGGACCAGUUGGAGCCUCUCUUGAGCUUUUCAAGCUUUGUUAACAGGAAAAGGUAGUCUGGUCUGCUUGCCAAACUGACAGACUUCACACACAUCAUUCCUAGGCUCUGUCUAGGACAUGUCUUCAACUAAGCUCAUCUUGUGUAGUAAACUUAGUGACUUAUAGUUCACAUGCCCCAGCCUCUUGUACCACAAACAUGAUUCAUCAGUCAAAGCUGUAUAUGCGUUUGCUUCUAACUGAUUCACAUCCAAGGUAAAUGAUUUGUCAUGUAUAGCUACUGUCACUAUUACUUAAUCAAAAGCAUCAUUAAUCACAUAUGUCUUUUCUUCAAAAAUAAGGGAGUAACCCUUUUCUAACAACUGACCAAAACUAAGUAGAUUCUGGUCAAUAUCAGGUAAAAAAAGAACUUCUGAAAUGGUUUUGUUACCUGACUGAGUGCAGAUCACAACCUUGCAUUUGCCUUUCGUCUCGAUGAACUCACCAUUCCUAAUUUUGAAUUUGGACACAAAACUAGUGUCUAGCUCCCUGAACACGCCUUUAUCUGAAGCCAUGUGAUGAGUGUAGCCACUACCAAUCAGCCAAUUCUUCCCGACUUUGCUCAAACUUGCAAAACAAGAGGCAGUGAAAACAUGCUCCUCUUGAGCUUGAACAUCCUCAGCAACUUGAGCUUGAUUCUGCUGCUGUGGUUGUUUUUUUACUUUAUUCUUGCAAACUUUUUCAAUAUGGCCAAGUUUCUUACAGUUUCUACAUUGAAUGUCAGGCCUGUACUAGUAGUACUUUUCUAAGUGAGUGGACUUUUUGCAGUGAGUGCAUGGUGGAAACUUCCUUUUAGCAGCAUCCUUCUUUUCUUUUUCUUUCUUUUCUGACCAAUGCCUCUUGCCCUUGUUGCUUGAGCUCGAGUUUGAGCUUUCUCUGCUUCUAGCUUGAAAGGCUCCUUCAGAAUACUCCUAUAUUCUGUUUCCCCUUCUUUGCUCUUAUGCAUAGAGAACAUUUAUCAGCUCUGUCAAAGGUAUAGCUGAUAGGUCUCUAAACUCCUCCAAAGAAGAGAUUUUUGACUCAUACUUCUCUGAAAGAGUUGUAAUGACUUUUUCAGCUAUCCUUUUGUCACUGAACUCAUCCCCAAGAAGCCUUAUGUUGUUGACUACAGCCAUAAUCCUGUCAACAUACUACUUGAUGGUUUCAAACUCUUUCAUCUUCAGAUUCUCGAAGUCCCUCAUUAGGUUUAUCAACUGCUGCUACCUGGUCUUGUCUGACCCUUGAAACUCUUUCUUGAGUCUGUCCCAGAUCUAUUUUAGAGUGUCACAAGCCAUUAUCCUUGUGAAUAUCACAUCUGAAACUCCAUUUUAAAGGUAUGACAUAGCCUUACACUUUUUGGCACAGUCUUCAUUAUGCUGCCUAAUUUGAGCUAUGGUUGGAUUAGCUCUCAAAGAUGGUGGCUCUGUGUCAGCUAGAACAACACUCCAUAGAUCAUGAGCCUGCAUAUAUGUCUUCAUUUUCACAGCCCAAAUGUUGUAGUUUCCACCAGGAAAGACAGGUGGUGGUGGUGGUGGUGGUGGUGAGAAACUCAUUUUUCUACAGCAACUAAAACAAGCCAACAAAAACAACUUCCGUUUCUUUUCUUUCAAGCACGAGUCACUCAAGGAAUAGCUUACAACAAAAGGCCCUAAAAGAUGAUAGGCUCUUGAUACCAUUUGUUGAGUUUAAAUCAUUAAACAAGAAUCAAAACAAAGAAUUUAUGUUUGAAAGAUGAAAAAUAGAAGCAAAAACCGUAUGUGGAUUGAGACAAGAAGAUGACUUAUCUCAUUACUUGAAUAAGUAGCAUAACAUAUACAUAAAUAGUUCUAUUACAUUGGAAGAAAAUAAACUUUGCUUGUGCAAGUAACCAAGCUGUAAAAUCAGCUUAAUGAUAACCUAAAACCUACUAAAUCUGCUAAGUACAUGGCUGAACCUCAGCAAAAAAAAAAGUUACAAUUAAAUCAAACAUAAGUCACAUGUUACAAAAGUUCAAUGACUGAAAUACACCAUAGACAUUUGCAUGCUGCAUGUAUGCUACUGCAUCGUUGCCAACUUGCAACAAUAUUGGUGGUUCUGUAACUAAAACCAUGAAAAAAGAGAGAGAGAUCAAUCAACCUUAAUAUUGUUUUCAGCAAUGUUAUUGCACCAAUGUUCUCUGCCAAUCUGUGGCUGCUACCGGCCAUAAAAUAAGCCUAAUUAUGUUUCCACUCUGUUGUCAUCCUUGUUAGAAGCACAUGCAAUGAUUCAAGCUCACUGCAAUUUGACACUCCAAGAUAUUGAAGAUUGAAAAGACGAGUAAGAGACGUAGGUAUGCUGGUGAAAUUGUUACCACUAAGAGCAAGAUAUCUCAAUAAGGAUAGACCAGAAAUAUCACUAGGAAUAUCUCAUAUACCCAUAUUGCACAGGCUGUAAUUUGACAACUUAUCUUCAAGCUUGGAGAGUUGAGUAAGAGAUGUAGGUAUGUUGUUGAAAUUGUUACCGCUAAGAUCAAGAUCUGUCAAAAGGGGAUAGAUAAGAAAUAGUACUAGGAAUAUCUCCUUCACCAAGAUUGCAGUCCCUUAGUUUCAAGUUUGUUAAUGAACUCAAACUGAAUAAUGAAGGUCAUAUUGGAGCUAUGGAAUUCUUCCUUCCUCGUUGGCUUACCUUGAAAAGAGAAAGGUGAUUUCUUUUUAACUUAGACGGACCCUUGCAUCCAUCGAAAGAAAAAACUUUAAGAUUUUUCAAUUGAGAAAUGAAGGAUGGUGGUUCUUUUAUGGUUGUUUCACUCAAGUCAAGCUCUUCCAAAGAUUUUGUCUACUGCAAAUUCUCUGGCAAAUAUUCAACUUUAUAACAACCAAAAAGAUGAAGAGUUUUUAGAUGUUCCAUUUUCCCAUCAAUCUCUGGAACCCUGUCAAGAUUUGAGCAACCUGAAAGAGUUAAAGUUUCAAGGGAUUCCACUCCAAUUUUGGUUGGAAGACUCCUAAGACUUUUGCAGUCUCUUAAAUCCAAAAGUUUAAGUUUCUUAAGCAGUCCAAGUGACGGAUGAACAUCUACUAAUUUGGUACAACCUUCCAUAAUCAGAACUUCGAGAUAUGGGGCCAUUAUUAAUGGUAGUAACAUUUUAAUUAUUUUAAUAUACUUUUACUUUUAGAAAUUUUGUCCCAUUCUUUUGUUUCAUGUCAUGUUCGAAAAAGAGUAUGAAUAAUAGGUUUGGAGUAGUAAAAAAUGGCUCAUUUAAUAUCAUAAUAAUAUUUGUUACAUGUCAAAUCGAUUUCAUGUUGUCUUAAUAUCUGGAAUUUGUUUUCUAAUUUUUAUUAUUAUUAUUUUUCGAAACAUUAUUAUACAUUUAUAUCAUAUUCGUUCUUUUUGAUACAAUGCCUAGAACUAUCCAUAGUCCCUCCCUCACCCUUAAAUAGGAGGAUAACGUGCUUCAGCGUACUCAAACUCACGUCCUCCUGCACUAGCAACAAUACUGAUGCCAAUCGAGUUAGGACUCAAACCCACGUGUUCUUAAACAACUAGGUUUGACGACCCUAAGAAGUUAUCAUAGGCUAGACGAGGUCGGGAGGUAAGCGAGUAUAAACCAAUCGAUUAAUUAGUUAGAGGUCGGGAGGUAAUAAUUGACUAAUUAGUAGCUAAUCUACCGUAAAACCCUAAUCCGAAGUUUAUUACGAAUCUUGAAGCGAGUUAAUCUUUCUAAUUGAUUUUUUUUAAUUUUAGUGGAUUGUUAUUUUUCUUAUUUAAAUUCUCUCAUUAAUCUAUUUUAUGGUUUAUCGUAAUAUAGAGAUUAAUUACUACUACUUAGACUUAUUAUUGUAGAAAGGUUUCCGUAGAUUUAUUCCAUCCUCUCUUGGGUACAAUCCUUAGAAUACUUUCAAAUAUUUUGUUAUACUAACUAUAUUACACUUUGACCCGUGCACUUGCAAACACCGCUAUUCUAAAUUCUUAUAUAUUUUUGGUGUAUUAUUUUAAUAUAAACAAUAACCCCUUUAGCACUACCUUGGCCAACUUUAGCUACAGACCCCUGCUUCAAACGAAUUGGGUCAGUGGUCCGACCUUCUCCACUACCUCCAGCCUCAACCAAGACACCCUUUCCUUUUUUAUUAGCUUCCAUAAUUAUCUCCCUUAUUUCCUCCCCCGAAUUAGCGUUGCCUGGCUUCCAAGGAUCCCUGAAAUUACGCCUUAACUUUCUCUCCACAAGCAUCCAUGGUCUGUAGACUGGUGACUCCUCUGGUUUAUCAUCUUCCACCAUCACCGCCAUAUCCGCCAUAGAGUGUUUCGCAUAAGCCCUCGAAGCCCCCUUGUUCUUGUUAGAGUUGGAAUCCUCAAUUGUAAAAGUCACUGUAUCAAAUAUUUCAACCAUUAAUCAAACAAUAACAGAGAAACUUAACUAAAUAGGAGAAAAAAUCAAUUUGUACGAAAGGGCUAGUGAAGUAGUGUACACAAUUAUUGCUUCUUCCCUGAUCGGCCCGUUAUAAAUUUGAAAAUGUUUUGCAUCCUUUUAGGGUGCGGCCCUUCUUCCUCGGUUUCCUCGUCGAUAUCACGUUUUCGUUUUACAAGGGAAGUGCUGCCUGCGGAUCCAUCUUUUUCAGUAGAUUGAUGAUGGAUAUGUUCCAAGUUUGGAGAAGAUUGAAUGGUAUGGCUCUGCAGCUCUUUUAUUUCUUCCAAAUCUUUCUCAUACAUUAUUCUAACACCACACUUCUUCACCUUAACAGAAGGAUACCCUUCUGAAUAAGAUUGGAAAGACAGCUCAAGCGAUAAAUUCUUGGUUUCACAUUUAUCCUUUAAGGAUAAUGGCGAGAAAUAACGAAGAAAAAGGUGGUCCUUCGUUAUGCGUUGUCCAUUAAAAUUAAGGAAAUUGAAAUCGACUAUUCGACUAUUUUUAACUUGAAAAACAGAUCCAUUACUACUAGAUUGUCCAGAAUAUGUAGAAUGGAUAUAAGUUGGACCACCGAUAACCUUUUUCUCGGAACCAUCAUCAUCGCCGAAAAUGCAGCAGAAAGCAACUCCAAUCCAUUGACUGUCAUUCUGAAUAUUGAGAGGCAAAGGUAUUUCGAUUACAGAGCCGCCUCUCUGUUGGCUGAACCAUUCUGGGAUUUCAUUUCCAGGUAUAAUAGCAUCAAAUCUUUUUCUUGAAUUCGCAAAUGCCUGCAAAUUAAAACAUCAGUCGUUCUUGAAUUUGCAAAAUAAAAUAUCGGUGGUUCUGUAACUAAAACCAUGAAAAAGAAGAGAGAGAUCAAUCAACCUUAAUAUGUGUUUUCAGCAAUGUUAUUGCACUCAUGUUCUCAGCCAAUCUGUAGCUGUUAGUGGCUAUAAAGUAAGACCAAUUAUGUUUCCACUCACUUGUCUUCCUUGUUAGAAGCACAGGCAACGAUUCAAGCUCUCUGCAAUUACACAGUCCAAGAUAUUGAAGAUUGGAAAGACGAGCAAGAGACGCAGCUAUGCUGGUGAAAUUGUUACUAUUAAGAUCAAGAACUUUCAAUGAGGAUAGACCAGAAAUAUCACUAGGAAUAUCUCCUUCACCCAUAUUGCACAGGCCGCAACUUGACAACUUAAGAUCUUCAAGCUUGGAGAGUCGAGUAAGAGAUGCCGGUAUUCUGUUGAAAUUGUUAAAGCUAAGAUCAAGAAAUGCCAAAGAGGAUAGACAAGAAAUAGCACUAGGAAUAUCUCCUUCACCAAGAUUGCAGCCCCUUAGUUUCAACCUUGUUAAUGAACUCAAACCGGAUAAUGAAGGUAGCAUUGGAGCUAUGGAAUUCAUCCUUCCUCUUUGGCUUACCUUGAAAAGAGAAAGGAGAUUUCUUUUUAACUUACACGGACCCUUGCAUCCAUCGAAGUAUAGAACUUUAAGAUUUUUCAAUUGAGGAAUGAAGGAUGGUGGUUCUUUUAUGGCUGUUUUACUCAAGUCAAGCUCUUCCAAAGAUUCUGCUUGAUGCAAACUCUCUGGCAAAUAUUCAACUUUAUAACAAUCACAAAGAUUAAGAGUUUUUAGAUGUUCCAUUUUCCCAUCAAUCUCUGGAAACCUCGCAAGAUUUGAGCAACCCGAAAGAAUUAAAGCUUCAAGGGAUUCCAUUCCAAUUUUGGUUGGAAGACUCCUAAGACUUUUGCAAUCUCUUAAAUUCAAAAGUUUAAGUCUCUUAAGCAUUCCAAGUGAUGGAUGAACAUCUGCUAAUCUACUACAACCUUCCAUAAUUAAAACUUCGAGAUAUGGGGCUGUUGUGAAGUUUGGUGUCUUGAUGAGAUUUUGAGACCCUUUAAGGCUGAUUAUUUUCAACUUAUACAAGGGCUGUUGAAAACAAUAAUAGAUUAGAAAGAAAAGAGAAAACAACAUAAUAAACCUCAUUAUUAUUAUUAUUAUUAUUAUUAUUAUUAUUAUUAUCUUGUUCAAAUUUUAACCGUUUAUAAUAUUAAACAAAUUAAUUGUUUAUAUUAAAAUAGGCUAAAACAUAAGGAUUAGAUGAAUUUAAUUCUUACUCUAUUUCCCUUCCACAGUUGUUCAAUGCGACUAUAUGGUAAGAGAAGUACGACAAGGUUGUCCGGUUGAAAGCUUGAAGGCAAUGAUUUUAAAGGAUAUUCCGUCCAAUCUAAAAGUCGUAGCUGAUCAGAAAGAUAUUUGAGAUCAUCACAAUUUGAGAAACAAAGCACUCUGAGCAAUCUUAAUCUUUUCAUCUUCGAGAAGACAUCGUUACUCAAUUUGAAUAUCUUGCUUGAUUCCCUAAAAACCACAGGCAAACAAAAAAUGAACAUUAAAAUAUACAAAAACAUUCCAUACCUAAAAGUUAUGUUUCUCCAAUACUAUUUUUUAAGGGCUUUUAUCCGAUACUUAUAUCUAACAUGUGUCCAAAUAUAAGCAUUGAUAUAUGAUCCUUCAAGAACUCUUUAAAUACAUGAAAAGGCCUUUUAAAAAAAUCAUACAUACCCAACUUAGACAUAUAUAUAUAUAUAUAUAUAUAUAUAUAUAUAUAUAUAUAUAUAUAUAUCUAUCAAACACUCACUUUUGACUUCGAAUUACUUAAAGCUUUAGAAACUAGAAAUAAAUCUUGAAUUAUAUUAGUGCAAUAAUAAUGCGUAAUUCUAUUUAUUGUUAUUGAACGAAACAGUAACACGUCAUUAAAAAUGAAAUCAAUUGGUUUUAUUUUUAAAAACUUUGAUGACAUAUUAAAAUUUUAUUCUCUGUGAUAUACCAUCCGUGCAUCAAAUAUAAGCACUUAAUAUUAGCAAUGAUAUAUUGCUAUUGUGUUUCUUUUGAAAGAUUAAUGCGUUGCUAGAUAAAUUUCAUAAAUAUAAUAUUAAAUAUUAAACAUUCAAGAUAUUUUCAUUGAUUUUUAUUGGAUACUUUUACUAAAAAAAACCAAUAACAAUAUUAAUAAUACAAUAUGUAUAUUUUUUUACCUUUGAUUGUCGAUGAUCAUGCCUUCAAUUAUUUCUGUAACCUAAAAAAAGUAAGAAUAGAGAAUAAAUUAUUUUAAUUAAAGUAAAACAUUUCCAAUGAGAGAAUCGAAUUAAUUACUUAUUUUUUCAAAUCCUUAUUAACAGUUACCAUCAACAAAAGGAAUUUAUCUCAAUGCUAUUGAACGCUACUUUUUUAUGGACUGCUAUAUUAAUCAACUGUACUAAACCUUACUCAAUUUUAUUUCAGAAAUAAAGUAAAACAUUUUGUAAUGAGAGUAAAUCAAUCAAAUUAAACACUUAUUUUAUAAAUCCUUAUUAAUAUUUAUAUUCAACAAAUGGCAAUUAUCUUAAAGCUACUCAAUGUCACUUAAGGAUUGAUAUGUAAACCAAUUAAACUAAGCUUUAGAUUUACAUCAUAUAUUGAUAAAAAGAAAACUUUGUAUGUAAUUUCUGUUGAAUGAUUUACCGUGUUUUUUGUUAGGACAUGAUGGACAUCCCUUUCCUUCCACAAUCUACAACGUUUUCCAGGUUCAUCAACACAUUUUUCUUCAACAAUUUUUCUUCCCAGUUCUUGCAACAAGGCAUGCAUCCGCAAAUAUUGGUUGUCAUCACUGACUUUUAUGAGAGAUUUCUUAAUGAGAACAUCAACUCCAAUAUCUGGAAAAAACUCACAACCAUCCAAUACUUUCAUUACCAAAUCUUUCUCCUCCCCAUUGAAAAAGCAUGCUAUAUCUAGAAAUAUAUUCUUCUCCCUCUCUUCCAAUCCAUCAAAGCUAAUUCGUAGUAUGUCAAGAAUUUCUUUGUUAGAAUCUUGUUUAAAUCUUUCGAUUGCACUUCUCCAUUGAAUUAUAUCUCUUCCGCACAAAAAUGAACCCAAAACUUCAACAGCUAAGGGGAGACCAUCAGCAUAAUGUACAACUUGUUUAGAAAGCUCAAUGAAAUCAUAUUUCUGCGUUGUAUCACUAUCAAAAGCUUUCAAAUUGAAAAGCCUAAGUGCAUCGUUGGGAUUCAGUGUUGUAGGCUUAUACACAUCAUCGAUUCGAUAAGAUCUGAGCAAAUGUUCAUCUCUUGUUGUUACAAUGAUCCUACUCCCUAAACUGAACCAAUCACGCCUUCCAACCAAGCAUUUCAAGUGUUGUACGUUAUCAACAUCAUCAAGAACAACAAGAACCUUUUUUCUAGACAACCUAUGGCUAAUUAUGGCAUUCCCUUCAUGAACAUUGAAAAAAUUGAAGCAUUCAUCUGGCAAGAUUUGAGUAAGGAGUUGUUUCUGUAAAGAAACAAGUCCAUGUUUGUUUGAAACUUCUCGAACAUCAGCAAGAAAGCAUUUACCUUCAAAAUGAGGUAACAUUUGAGUGUAAGCAACUUUUGCAAGAGUUGUUUUACCGAUGCCACCCAUUCCGCAAAUUCCUAUAAUGCGGACAUCGUCUUCCCCAAUGUUUAUUUUCGAAUGCAACUCCUCCAAAGGUAAAAUAAUUCCAACCAACUCAUCAUGAACAAUCAGAUAUGUCUGACAUAGUUUUGCUGAUAUCUUCUUAACAAUGUCUCCGAUAAACUUUGAUUCAUGCCUACAAAGAAAUUAAGUUCUGAUGUUAUCUUUCAAAUGCACUUUUUCUUUUUUAGGUUAGUGAAUCAUGAAAUAUAAUAUAGUUGGAACCAAACAAAAACAAGAAUAAGACAGCGGGAUCUGUUAUAGCAUCAAAAUACACAACAUGCUCGUUAGUUGAUGUAACGCCCACUUCAGAUUUGUUAAAUUUUGUCAUUAAUCAGCAUUUGUAGUAGUGGUUUAGUGUCUUAGUUUUGUUUGAGGUCUUGGGUUUAAGUCAUGUUUUUAUUUUGGGGAAUUAAAUUAUUUUUGUUAGACCAUGGUCAAUUGUUUAGGUUGGAGGUGUUGGAUUGGGUUUUGUUUUGAACUCUUAAAAAACGAUGGUAAGAUAGCAGGUUGUUGGAUUAGAUUUGAGAGGGAUUUUGUUCUUAUUUUUAUUCUUUUUAUUUUAGUUUUUUAUCUUUCCCAAAAUUUCCCACGUUUGCCUCAACUUUGCUUCACGUUUUUGUUUUCUUCUCUCUCAUUUCUUCGGUUCUUUUGUUACUUCUUUAUGGUACAGCUUCUAUUUGGUUGGCCCCAAUCCUUAGCGGUAAGGUUUUAUCAUCUUUUACUGUGUUCUUUUGUGAAAUUGUUCGUUGGGAAUUUGGGGAUUUCGGAAUUUUGUGUUAUCUAAUUAAUCCACUAUGUUUUAGGAGAAGUUCAAGACGUGAUUGGUGUUCCUCCAGCGACUUAGGAUUCGCAUAGAAGCUGUUCGUUUAAUGGUAAGUGUGUGGAUGUAUUUUUGGAGGGUUGUAUAAGCUCGGUUGUGGUCAAUUCUUAGUUAGAUUUCGCAAAUCAUUACUAAAAUUGAUUGUGUUAAUUGUCGAUUUAGGUGGGGGAUUACUCGUUUUUGGAAUCGUAUUCGGAUGUGUAACGAAAAACCCGAAAAAUAGCAAACGAUAAAAGUCGAAAAACUGCAUUGUCGACGCCACACGGCCGUGUGCGAAAUUGUUUAGCCACACGGUCUGAGCCAUUUGGGCCCGUGUUGCCCACAUGGUUGUGUGUGAGACCAUGUGGUUCCAAAAUUUUGAAUUUUUCCCUAGGGUCGUAAACAUCGUUUGGAUUGAACGUAGAGUUUCCGUAGGGCCAGUAUGUUAUAAAUUAAGCUAUAAAACACGUAUUCUGACCAUUUGUUAGCAUAAAAUUAGAUGUAUGUACGCAUGUUUGAAAUGAUAUGAGAGAAGUAAAAUAUUUAAUAUGCUAUGUAUGAUCUGAUAUACGGUAAGCAUGACUUGAGUUUGAUAUUAAGCAUGUAUGACAUAUACAUUUCUGACAUCUAUUAUUACUAUAUGUUUGUGCAUUUGGGGAUGGGAUUGUGUAUAUGGAGGAAGUGUGAGUAGAUAUAUUUCUACCGUAUUUGGUGGCACAACCAUACAUAUUUCUGUAUACGGUGAUAAAUCACCUAAUAAACUGACAACUGAACUACAAAUAAUUUGGAAAGUGUCAUACCGACACUAAACGGUGUGUAGGGGUGGAUGAGUAUAUAGUACCAUGUAUGGUGCCUUGGGAUGGUCGGAGAUAAUGUGUAGCAGAUGGGGGUAGGACUAUAAAUUUGCAUCUGUUAUGUUCUAAUAAGCUCCGUUUCUAAUUUAUAUAUGUUUGAAUGAUUUUUGUAUGUGAUGUUAUACAUUGGGUUUCGAAAACUCCCUCUUUGUUUGAUUGUCACUUUUAGGUAACCCUCAGACUUAGGCGGACCGGUGCGACUGAAGCUCGGUUAUAAUAUUUUGGUUUCUUCUGACUUACUUAAAAUUUAGAAUUUACGUGUUUUGUAAAAUUUGGUCUUUCUUUGGUCAUUUUGGGACUGUUUAAAUUUUUGGACUUCACUUUAUGAUUUUAAUUGUUUUAUUGUUUUUUGUGGGUUUAUAAUAUGUUCUGUGAAAUGUUGAUUUUAAAAUAUUAAACUGUGUUUUCAAAACUGGACUUAAAUAAGAUUUUUCCCUUGUAAACUCAGAUGUUUUAAAAAUAUACUUAUAUAUAAAUUACGGUUUUAAUAAUCGGAUAAGAAAGAUAGGCUUACAAACAAAUCGAAUUUUUAUGUAACGGAAGUUAACGACGUUUUGUAAAACUAAUGUACUCAGGGUUUUUAAAUAAUUUACGGUAAUAUCUCCGGAUCUGACCACAACAUCUACACCAAGUUUAAGGUUACAACUAAAAUAUGAGAAUUGUCAAUUAAAAACAAAGUUAUAAAAAAUAACAUGCAAUCCAAAAUAAUAAUAAUAAAUUUUUUUAGUCACUAAAACUAGGAAAUAGAGAAGAAAAGAAAGAAAUACCUAUUAUGUAAAUGCCAUCCCUUGAUGUUAGCCACUUCAGUCAAAGCAUUUCGCCACUUUUGGAUCUUGUCUUUAUUUUCUUUGUAUCUUUGUUCGUGUUUGGCGAAGGCUUCUUCAACUUUUCCUUUUUGUUUUCUUAAAUCAGAGGGAUCCACAUCGUAGAAAAUUGGAAAUACUUUAUGACCCUUGUCAUUUUUUUGUUUAACAAUCUCCGAAAGCUCCUCCAAGCACCAACCUGAAAAGGCAUAGGUCUCCGAAAAAACGAUUACCGAGCACCAUGAUUGCUGAAUUGCGUUGAAGAGUUCCGGUGCGAUCUCUUCACCAGCUUCCAACUUUGGAUCAUCUCUAAAAGUGACGAUCCCAUUUCUAUUUAGAGCAUCGUAGAGAUGAUCCGUAAAGUUCCUGCGAGUAUCUUCACCUCUAAAACUCAAGAAAACAUCGUAUUUCUUUCUAGAAAUGGAUGAGGAAGUCGAAAGUAAUGACGACAUGAGGUUGUAUGAGAAGAAAAAUAUAUGUAGAUGUAACGUUCAAAAUCAGAAAACAGAUGGCUCAAUACCUCAGAAACGAAGUAGAAACAAUAAGUAUAUGAGGGAAAAACAUGAUAAUAACUAUGAAGGGGAGUAGGUGUGGAAAUUCGGGUGUAUAGGUGUGGAGCCUACAAUUAUUAUUAAGUGAAGUGUUCGAAAAUCUAUUAAAAUAAUAACUAAUUAAUUAAUAUUAAUUAAGUGAUAAUUAAUGUGCUUAAAAUUCUAUUAAAAAAAUAACUCUAUUUUACAUCAAUAAAAUUAGCAUAACUUUUAUUUAUGUUAAAAAAAUUUUAUUUAAUAAUAAAUUAUAAUUAUAAUUAUCACAAAAAAUUUUCCCUAAAUUUUAUUCUUAGGGUUCUAUUGAAGUUAUAACUCAAUUUUAAAAUUAGCAUAAUUUUUUUAAUUAAUAAUUGUAAUUGUAAUUAUUUUUAGAUGGGUAAUUAUCAUAACUUCUAUUAAAUUAUAAUUAUUUUAUUUUGAUAAAAUACCUAAAAUUACUCAUAACAUUUCCUCAACCCUUAAAUAAGAAGAUAAAUGUACUUCAGCAUACUUGAACAUACAUCCUCUUGCAUUGGCAACUAUAUCGAUGCCUACCGAGAUAAACUCAGUCAACAAUUAUAAUUGUUUUUAAAUGUAUAAUUAUCUUAAGUUUUAUUUUGUUUAAACUUUCUUUAACCAAUAAUUCUAAAUUAAAUAUUAUAAUUAUUUUUAAAUAUGAAUUUAAAAAUAGAGGUUAUUUUCAAAAUUAUUUUCAAAAUCGAUUUUUAUAUAUAUACAAAUUACACACUCAUCUUCCUUUCUAAUAAAUUAACAAGUGCCAAAUUAUUCGACUCCGCUUGAUUAGUGCUGUUCAAAUCUGCUUUAACUUUACCUCCAUAAUACGCGGAGACCACGAAAAGCACUCAUUCCUUAAUACCAUAGUUCCCACGACGCCACUAUUGAAAACAAAGGCAUUUCUGUUAGUCAAAAGUUUCCAGCAGGCCACAGCAAAAAGAUUACCCCAUUCACAGUAAAAGCUGCUUGAGUUUCGGAGAAAUUCACUGUUCUCCCAUUUCCUAGUGCCCAAUAGACACCAUCUACUACAUCUUCCCAAAUAUUGGACAAAGCCCUCCAGAAAAAGUUUCUAUCUUUUCUUGCUUGGCUCGGCAUUCAUUAAAAUAGUUUCCAAGGCUCUUUACCCAUUGCGUUAACAAAUUUGCAUUGGCUGAAAUUUUUCAACUUUGGUGACAACAACUUCAAUAGAGAAAUUCCAUCAUGGUUUGGUCACUUUGCUGAGCUUCGAGUCUUACAGUUGCACAUUAACAAUUUCAGUGACAUUAAAAAAUUUAUAAACCAACAAUUUAGUUUUAGCUCUUUCAUAUAUCUCACAAAGAAAUUAAGGAUGAGGAGAUACCUAACUCUAUUAUUAGCCAACUAUGGUAUUGUGGAGGUGACUAUGAGUUUUUGACACCAAUUAAGAGUUGCAUUGAAAAUCUUACUUUUUUUAGGAAUAUUAUUAAAGCAGGUUAUUCCAAUUAGCUUAUCUUAGAAGUUGGCUUAAUUGACAUAAAUAAAAAAAUAUAUAUUUACUCUAACUUUGCAAGAACUAAACUUAAUGGUUAUUGUUUUAAAGUCAUGCUUCAAAAAUUUCAGCCGAUACAAAUUUGUUAACGCAAUAGGUAAAGAACCAUGGGAACUGUUUUCAUGAACUUAGAGCCUGCGAUAUCCAUGCUUGAGAAAUUCAGAGCGGUGACUCUGUGGUGUUUGGAUCCGCAGGUGACAACAAUUCGGUUACAAAUAGAGGUAGAAGUAGACCAAUUUGAUUAUUAAGAGGUUGUAAGGAUCAUGGCGAUGUUGGGUGAAUUCACAGACAAAAUAGCCUCAAAGGUUGCUAUUUGACAGAGAUUGAGAUGCACUGUAAAAGAAAAUUCCACCAAUUACCCUCUUGGAUUUCAACACCUGACAAGGCUUUCACCCAAAAAAGUGCUCUAAGCCUGGUAAGAAAGAGAAUCUCUUCAACCCGAACAAUUUUCGCAUUAAAAGUAAAAUCGUUACGCGCCAGCUAUAUGGACCAUAACCCCGCUGCAUAACAGAGGAGCCACCACUGCUUAAUAUCACCUUUAAUUUUAUUUUUCAUAGAAGUUUGGCUUUAAAGUUAAUGCCAAAUGGAUUUAUGGAUGGUUUUUAGACAAGGCUUGAGGGAUGGUUUUUAUUUAUAAAUUUAGAAAGCUUUAAAUGUAAUUUAUUUGGUAAUUAUUAUAAUGCAACGAUUAAAGAAAGAAAGAACAAGUUAGUGCAGAAUUUUCAAAAUUGGAUGGCGCUGGAAUUAUAAGUUGCAUUAAUGAAUAAAAGAAAGAAAAAGUUGUGCAGAACUUUCAAUUAUAAGUCACACCAUAUUCACUAAAUUAUACUGCUUGCCCCACCUUUUCUUUUCAAAUAUUUAUUUAUUUAUGGUGGCGGGGUUCAUGCUUUUAAUUUGUUUAUUACUAUGAUUAUGAAUAAAACUUUAUUUUAAUAUUUGUGGUGUUUUAUAAGUUGUUACAGGGAGAUGUUUUAUUGGGAUAAAUUACAUUAAAUAUCACUAAAUUAUUAAUAAGUUUAUAUUUUGGUCAUUGAAUUUUAAAAAGUUAUCAAAUGAUCACUAAAUUAUUUUAAAAUUUUUAUUUAAGUCACUAAAUUAUCUGAAAAUUUUUAUUUAAAUUAGUGAUUUGUUACAUUUUUUAUUUUUCUUUUAAUUAUACAUAUAUUUAUUAGGAAAGGGUCAAAGUUUUUUAUUUGUUUAUUAUUAGGGAUAAAUAUCAAAUUUAUAUAUGAACUUUGGUUCAAUGUGCAAUUUGAUACAUGAAUUUUGAUUUGGUGCAAUUAUUCAUAUAAAAUUUAAAUUGUGGUUCAUAUAUAUACAUGAAACUCUAAUUUUGAUUCAAUUGUACACAUUUAGAAAAAUGAAUACAUAUAAUUAUUUUCACAUUGGAUAAAAGUUCAUGUCUUCUGUUAUUAUCAUGGGUGAUACAUGGAUUUAAAGGAGCUCAUGUGUUCAUAGUGAGGAACUAUUAUUGAGUGUUGAUUUUCACUUACCGUAGUUAAAGUGAGUUGGGAGAGAGUUUACUUAAUUGUACAAUGGUGAGGUUGCACCAAGUUAGGCUUGAAUAAUUUUGUUGUAUUGUGAAGUUUAUAGUGGAUUCUAUCUCUUUGGGUAAGGCUUGGCAGAUGUAGGACGAGUUUCAAACUAUGUAAUCAUCUUGGUUGUGCUAUUUAUUUUGCUUGUUGCAUAGUAUGUGCCAACUCAAAAAUUUAUUUUUGUUUUUCAAAAUAUUUAAACUUAUAAUUAUAUCAAUAGUCUCCAUUAAAAUUUAUCUAUUGAAUUAAAUAAACAACUCAAAAAUUAACUUGUCUACACCUAAUUAUAUAUAUUAAACUUUUUUAACUUUUUGAAUUUUUGAGGAUUUUUGUCUCCAUUAUUGUAAAAAUUUAAAUUAAUUCCCAAAAUAUGUAAUGCUUGUAAUUAUUUUUGGUUGGGGAUCAACCCGAUUAAGCAACGAACAAGUAAAAAUAGCGAAAGAAAUUAGGAACUUGAACACACAAAUUUAAUGUGAAAAAACUCUCCGAAGAGGAUAAAAAACCACAAGCAAAUAUAGUUUUACAAUAAUGACAAAAGAACGAAGAGUACAAAAGAUAGAGAUAAAAAUUAAACCCCAAAAACAAAGAACUCUCAAAACAUAAACACAAAAUUCUCCAAAAGUGUUAUGAGUUCUAAUCUCUAAUGGGUGUAUUUUCUAAUGUUGUAAAAAAGUCUAUUUAUAAGCUAAAUUUGUAUGUCAAAUAAUAAUAAAAUAAUCUAGACUAAUCAGAGUUUGAUUGAAACAAAUAAACAAAGUUUAAUUGGAAGAUUAUUUCUCAAAUUUGACUGAAAUAUGAGUCGUACUCAACAAAUCUCCACAUGGACUCGUAUUUCCACAGCGCCACCUUUGCCAAAGCCUACCACGAGCCUAUCUUGAACUAUGCAGGGAAUUAAUUGAGUUGAAUUUGCGUUUAGAAGCUGUAAUACUUCUAGCCUUUGACUUGUGCACUGCCAAAUCAAAACUAACCCGGGUCUGAUUUUCACAAACACAAUGCUCUAAUUUUUCAAAACCUACAUCUAAAAGAGAACCUUCGCUCCAAACGAGUUAACUUUGACUCCGUAAUAGAUGAGGGACUUUUGAUUUCCCAAAUCGCUGUAGAACCUUUAAGAAUAUAAAGACUGCCGAUCCUUUUACCUUUUAACAAAACGAGACCCCCACAAGGCACCUUAAUGUCGCUCGACUCGAUAUUGAUUCUGCAACUUUUCGAGUCUAAAUUACCUAAGGAGAUGAGAUUCUUUCGUAAAUCAGGUACAUAUUUGAUAUCUGAGAGUGUCCUAAUCAUCCCAUAGUGUAUCCUAAUUUUAAUAGUACAAAUACCAAUUACCUUACUAGAUGAAUCGUUUCCCAUGCGCUCAACUCCACCUUCAACCAAACUGUAUGUGGAGAACCAUUCUCUGUUGGAACACAUGUGGAAAGAACAUCCCAAAUCUAGGAUCCACUCGGACAUAAGCUCAGAACUAUCGCUUGUAGACACUAAUAAAAAAUCAUCACCACUUUUGUCGGCCAAAUUAGCACGAGCUACAUCUUCCUCAUUGCUCUUAAUAACUCUUUUAUUUCGUAGUUUAUAACAAUUUGCUUUGAUGUGACCUAACUUCUUACAAUAGCGACAUCUUUUGUCUCGCUUCUUUGAUGUUACCAAAACAUAAGCUUGCCUAUUUUCCUUGCUAUUCAAACCAAACUCAUUGUCGAAUUUAACUUUGCUCAACAAAUGACCCUUCACAUCCUCAAAUGAGAGAUUAUCUCUCCUAUAAUUCGUAGUUUCCCUGAAAGACUUGUAUAAAGGAAGUAAAGAGCACAACAAUAGCAUAGUCUGAUCCUCAUCGUUGAUCUGAACCUCAAUGUUAUUUAAAUUAUUUAAAAGAGUAAUGAAUUGACUGAUGUGAACUCUAAGAAGCUCACAUUUGUUCAUGCGAAACGUAAAUAUACGUUGUUUUAAUACAAGACAGAUGAGGUCUUCUCCAUCAAUACCUCCUACAAUACCCUAUUCGUGAGGCACAACUAGAUUGCAGAUAAGGCCUUUUCAUCAAGCUCUUCCCAUUCUGACUGAUCUAUAUUUUUGAGCUUUUUCCCGGUAACAACCUUUUUCAGGCCGGUCUAAACUAGAAUUGUCAUCAUCCGAACUUGCCACAGAUUGAAAUUUUUGACACCAUCGAAUUUCUCAAUGUCAAACCUUGUUGCUGUCAUCUCUGAAUGAGCUAAUCUGCAAAAAUCGAACUAGCUUUUAUACCAUUUGUUGUGAAUCAACUUGAUUAAGCAACGAACAAGUAAAAAUAGCAAAAUAAAUUCAGAAAUUGAACACACAAAUUUAACGUGAAAAAAACCCUUCCGAAGAGGAUAAAAAACUACGGGCAAAGAUAAAUUUACUAUAAUAGAAAAAGAACGAAGAGUACAAAAGAUGGAGGUGAAAACCAAAACCCUGAAAAUCUAAAAACAAAAAAACCCUCCAAACGUGAAUACAAAAUUCUCUAAAAGUGUUAUGAGUUCUAAUAUCUAAUGGGUGUAUUUUCUAAGGUUUUAAAAGAGCCUAUUUAUAGGUUAAAUUUGUAGGUCAAAUAAUAAUAAAAUAAUCUAAAUUAACUAGAGUUUGAUUGAAACAAAUAAACAGAGUUUAACUGAAAAAUUAUUUUUCAAAUUUGACUGAAAUAUGAGUCAUACUCAACAUUUUUUAAAUAUGUGAUUUUUUAGGUUGGAAGAUGAGAUUAGUGUAAAAAUUUAAAUACAAUAAUUUUUGAGUCCUUAGAUUAGGGAGGGAAAAGAAAAGAAAAGAAAAGAAAUUGACAAAUAUGACUUCCAACCACAAGACUAAUGGUGUCGAAGUCUAUUUUGUUAUUUUUAUUUUUUUGGAUAAAUCUUAAAAUUAUUUAUGAACAUUGGUGCAAUGUGUAAUUUAAUAUAUGACUUUCGAUUUGAUGCAACUAUAUAAAUAAAACUUUGAUUGCGGUUCAAAACAAAAUGUUAAUACAUACAUUACCCGUAGAGUCAAUAUAGUCUUUUAAAGAUGUCGCCCACCCACCCACUAAGUAAUAAUUAAAUAAAAAAGUUACUAAUUUUAUAUUAAAAACUUAGUUAAGGGACGGUCUUUCUUUAUAAAUUUUCUGCAGUUUUCAAUGUAAUUUUCUGGAUGAUAAUGAUUAGCAGCACAUGAUGCUAUGAAUAAAGAAGAACAAGUUGGGCAGAAUUUUCAAUUGAAUUUACUAUAUUAUAUAUAUUUUUUAGGGUAAAAGUGGGAUUGGCCAAGAAUCGAAUUUAAUUUUAGUGCUAAUUGAAAAUUCAAUCACAAGUGUUUAUUUCUCCAUAUAAAGUUUAAAUUACUCUUUUACUACUAUACUCUUAUUAUUAUUUAUUAAUAAUGUUGAUGUAGGUUAGCGUCUUCAUAUUUGUUACUAAUGGUAGUAGCAUUUUAAUUAUUUUAAUAUACUUUUAUUUUUAGAAAUCUUGUCUCAUUCUUUUGUUUCAUGUCAAGUUCGAAAAAGAGUUUGAAUAAUACGGUUGGAGUAGUAAAAAAUGGUUCGUUUAAUAUUACAAUAAUAUUUGUUACAUGUCAAAUCGGUUUCAUGUCGUGUUAAUAUCUAGAAUUUGAUUUCUAAUCUUUUAUUUUUAUUAUUAUUAUUAUUUGAAAUCUUAUUAUACGUUGUUAUCAUAUUCGUUCUUGUUUACAUAAUGCUAAGAACUAUCCAUAGUCCCUCCCCCACCCUUAAAUAGGAGGAUAAUACGCUUUAGUAUACUUGAACCCACGUCCUUAUGCACUAGCAAUAAUGCCGAUGCCAAUCGAGUUAGGACUUAAAUCCAUGUAUUCUUAAACAACUAGGUUUGACGACCCUAGGAAGUUAUCAUAGGCUAGACGAGGUCGGGAGAUAAACGAGUAUCAAUCAAUCGAUUAAUUAAUUAGAGACCAGGAGGUAAUAAUUGACUAACCAGUAGCUAAUUCAACCUAAAACCCUAAUUUGAAGUUUGUUACAAAUCUUGAAGUGAGUUAAUCUUCCUGAUUGAUUUAUUAAUUUUAGUCGAUUAUUAUUUUCUUAUUUCAAUUCUCUCAUUAAUCUAUUUUAUAGUUUAUAGUAAUAUAGAGAUUAAUUAUUACUACUUAGACUUACUAUUGUAAAAAGGUUUUCGCAGAUUUAUUCCAUCCUCUAUUGGGUACGCUUCUUGUAAUACUUCCAAGUAUUUUAUUGUACUAACUAUAUUACAAUUUUACUUGUGCACUUGCGAACACAGUCAUCCUAAAUUCUUAUAUAUUUUUGGUGUAUUAUUUUACUAUAUAAACAAUAACUUGUUUAUAUACGGUCACCCGCUUCCCCUUAACCACUCCCUUGGCCCACUUUAGUUACAGACCCCUGCUUCAAACGAAUUGGGUCAAUGGUCCGACCUUCCCCAGUACCUUUGGGAUUGGGAUGCCCAUUCAAUGGACUAAGAAAGCAGAAAAGUUUUAUCAUAUCAUUUUUUUUAUUUAUUAAAUGUGUGGUAUUUAUAUCAGGGAUGAUUCAAGUAUUCUACUUUUAAUUUCAAAAUGCAUUUUGCCUUCUUUGAUUUACUACUCUCAAUAUCAAUUUCGUGUUGGUGUUAUGAACACCAAUAUAUUUCUAGUUCCAUCACAUCAAUCAAUGUUCCCAAUAUAAUGAAUCUAUUUGUACCAUCAAACAAUCACAACGAAACUUAACUAAAUAGGAGAAAAAACCUAUUUGUACGAAAGCUCUAGUGAAGUAGUUUACACAAUUAUUGCUUCUUCCCUGAUCGGCCGGUUAUAAAAUUGAAAAUGUUUUGCAUCCGUUUAGGCUUCGGCCCUUCUUCCUCUGUUUCCUCGCCGAUAUCACGUUUUCGUUUUACAAAGGAAGUGCUGCCUGCGGAUCCAUCGUUUUCAGUAGAGUGAUGAUGGAUAUGUUCAAAGUUUGGAGAAGAUUGAGUUGUAUGGCACUGCACCUCUUUUAUAUCUUCCAAAUUUUUCUCAUACAUUAUUCUAACACCACACUUCUUCACAUUAACAGAAGGAUACCUUUUUGCAGAUUGGAAGGACAUCUCGAGCGAUAAAUUCUUGGUUUCCCAAUUAUCCUUUAAGGAUAAUGGAUAAAAUACUUCACGCGAGAAAUAACGAAGUAAAAGGUGGUCCUUCGUUAUGGGUCGUCAAUCAAAAUCAAUGAAAUUGAAAUCGACCCUUCGACUAUUUUUAACUUGAAAAACAGAUCCAUUACUACUAGAUUGUCCAGAAUAUGUAGAAUGGAUAUAAGCUGGACCACCGAUAACCUUUAUCUCGGAACCAUCAUCAUCACCAAAAAUGCAGCAGAAAGCAACUCCAAUCCAUUGACUGUCAUUCUGAAUAUUGAAAGGCAAAGGUAUUUCAAUUACAGAGCCGCCUCCCUGUUGGCUGAACCAUUCUGGGAUUUCAUUUCCAGGUAUAACAAAUCAAGUCUUUUUCUUGAAUUCUCAAAUGCCUGCAAAUUAAAACAUCAGUCGUUCUUGAAUUUGCAAAAUAAAAUAUCGGUGGUUCUGUAACUAAAACCAUGAAAAAGAAAAAAGCGGGAUCAAUCAACCUUAAUAUGUGUUUUCAGCAAUGUUAUUUCACUCAUGUUCUCAGCCAAUCUGUAGCUGUUAAUGGCUAUAAAGUAAGACCGAUUAUGUUUCCAAUCACUUGUCUUCCUUGCUAGAAGCACAGGCAACGAUUCAAGCUCACUGCAAUUACACACUCCAAGCCUUUGAAGAUUGGAAAGACGAGCAAGAGACGCACCUAUGCUGGUGAAAUUGUUACCAUUAAGAUCAAGAACUUGUUGAAGAAAACUCUUGAGAAAGAAUGGAUUCAAAGAUGAAGAAGGAAAGAGUCGAGAGAGAAAGAAACUCAGAAGCAGAGAAGCUGAAUUCCAGUGUCAAUUUUCAUGCUCAACCACUUUUCUGUUACAAUUAAAAUAGUAGAGCCAUAACCAAAAUAUACUAAACGCACCCGUUUGGUUCAAUACAAAACUCACCGUAUUACUAAUUGUCUUAACUAAAAUGCAGCACUUAACUAAUUAUUAUAAACCACGUAAAAAUAAUAGAACCUGCAUGAAAACCAUAACAAUUUUCCCCCUUAAAAGAAAUCCUUGUCCUCAAGGAUUAAAGGUAGGAAACCUGCGUUGCAACUCAGAUAGCUUUUCCCAGGAAGCAUCCUCCGAAAAAGUGUCUGCCCAUUCCACAAGUACUUCCACUGCAGCCUGAUUGCCUUGUCGGACCAGUCUCCUAUCCAAAACUUGCACUGGAGUCUUAAGAAGAGCCCCAUCCGAAGCAACCGGUGGUAGCAUUGGGGUACUCACUGCUGAACCAAUAUGCUUCUUUAACUGGGAAACAUGGAAAGUGUGAUGAAUUCGGGCUGAGACGGGCAAUGUUAACUUGUAAGCCACCUGACCUACUCGAGCUUCCACGGGGAAAGGUCCACAAUACUGAGGUGACAAUUUUUGGUUCCUGAACUUGCGGAAUGAGUGUUGGCGAUAAGGCUAAAGCUUCAGAUAGACUAAGUCACCCACCUGAAACUCCCUUUCUGUUCUUUUUCUGUUAGCCAUUUGUUUCAUUCUGUCUUGAGCUAGAGACAAGUGGAACUUAAGCACCUUGCGCAUAAUCUCCCUAUGCUGUAGGGUGCGAUCUACUGAAGCUACUGGAGAUGCACCAACCACAUAGGGAAGAUGGAUAGGCGGAUGCUGUCCAUAAAGAGCCUCAUAGGGCGUUGUUUGAAUUGCUGAAUGGUGUGUUAUGUUAUACCACCAUUCCGCCAAUGGCAACCACGAUAACCAUGCUGAAGGUUUCUCCCCAACCAUGCAGCGCAAGUAUCCCUCCAGACACCUAUUUAACACCUCGGUCUGUCCAUCUGUUUGGGGGUGAUAAGCUGUAGAUUUCUUCAGCUUGGUGCCCAUAUGUUUGAACAACUCUUGCCAAAAUUGACUCAGAAAAAUCUUAUCCCUAUCGGAAACAAUGCUCUCCGGAAUCCUAUAAAGCUUGUAAAUAUGUGUGAAAUACUCCUGUGCCACUGUAAGAGCCAAGAAAAGAUGAGCAAGUGCUAGAAAAUGACCGUACUUGGUCAAUCGGUCAACUAUGACCAAGAUGGUUGAUUUUCCCUGAGAAAUGGGCAAUCCCUCAAUGAAAUCCAUGCUGAUAUCAGACCAAACUCGUUCAGGGAUAGGCAACGGUUGCAAAAACCCAGGCGAGGCCGCAUUGUCUGACUUACAUCUUUGACAUGUCACACACUCGCGAACCCAAGCGUGGACAUCUUUGGAAAGGCCCUUCCAGUACAAGAUAGCCGAAAUUCUCUGGUGAGUUGCUUGAACUCCAGAGUGGCCUCCCAAGGGUGUGUUAUGGAAAAUGUCAAAAAUCAGCUUUCGCAGUGUUGCAUCCUUGCCAACCACGACUUUGUUUUUCCUACGCAAAAAGGUGUCAUGCCAUGAAUAUUUGGGAUGCAACUGUGGCUGCGCACGUACCUGUUCACAAAGUCGCGCAAGCUUCUGAUCGCUUUCAUACAACCCUACAACCCUAUCCCAAAUCGUAGCCCAAUCUGACUCCAAUUUACCCUCACAUUGCAACAACUGAUGCUCCAGUUCUGAAGAUUUCCUGGAUAACGCAUCUGCCACUAUAUUUUGCGCUCCUUUUUGAUACAUAAUGGAAUAAUCAUAACCAAGCAUUUUAGCCACCCACUUUUGUUGAUAGGGCGUAAUGGCUUGUUGCUCUGACAGGAACUUCAAACUCUGAUGAUUCGUUUUAAUUACAAAGUGUCUACCCACGAGAUAAGAGUGCCAUUUUUUACUGCUAGUAACACUGCCAUCAUCUCCUUAUCAUAGAUGGACAGCGCUUGGUAUUUCACUCCCAAAUCCUUACUAAAGAAGGCUAUUGGCUUCCCCUGUUGUUGAAGAACAGCGCCCACUCCUUGGCCACUAGCAUCUGUUUCAACACAAAAUUGUUCCUGAAAGUUCGGUAAAGUUAGAAUUGGAGCUUGACAAAUAGCUAACUUGAGUUGAUCGAACGCUCGUUGUGUCUGUCCGGUCCACUCCCAUAACACACCCUUCUGCAAGAGAGCAGUAAGCGGAUUAGCCAGCAACCCAUAACCUCGUAUAAAUCUUCUGUAAUAACCCGACAAGCCAAGGAAUCCUCGUAGUUCUUUAACUGAUUUAGGAGGAGGCUAGUCCAAGACACUCAUCACCUUUGAUCGAUCCAUGCUCACCGUACCCUGAGCAAUGAUGUGGCCUAAAUAUUCCACACGUGUAGCUCUAAAACUACACUUAGACCUCUUGGCAAACAACUGAUUUUCUCGAAGCACCCGCAGAACUUCUCGAAAAUGAUCCAAAUGAUCAGACCAGCCUCUCGAAUAAACGAGGAUAUCAUCAAAAAAUACCAACACUGAUCGCCUUAACAUAGACUGGGAAACUGAAUUCAUCAAAGCCUGAAAACUUGACGGUGCGUUGGUUAAGCCAAAUGGCAUGACCAAGAACUCGUAGUGACCCUCAUGGGUUCGGAACGCCGUCUUGAACACGUCUUGUUCAUUCAUUUUGAUUUGGUGAUAGCCAGAACGUAGGUCCAACUUAGAGAAAGAAUGUGCUUGUCCUAAUUCAUCUAACAACUCCUCAAUGAUGGGAAUAGGGAAUCUGUCUUUAACCGUAAGCUGAUUCAACUGUCUGUAGUCGACACAAAGACGCCAGCUUCCAUCCUUCUUCUUGACCAUAACCACUGGAGAAGCAAAAGGGUUGUUGCUGUCUCGAAUAAUUCCAGACUGUAACAUUUCUCGGACUAGUUUCUCAAUUUCAAUUUUCUGUACUGUGGGAUACCGAUAGGGUCGCAUUUUCACCACCUUCGAUUCAUCCACUAACGGAAUCUUGUGGUCAUGAAGUCUAGGAGGCGGUAAGUGAGUGGGAACUUGAAAAACAUCUUCAAAAUCUUCAAGCAAUUUUUUUAACUCAGGGAGUGAAGACUCUGAAUUCAACUCAAUCACAGUCUGGUCACAAGAAGUUAACAGCAUCGGACGAGGUCCAAAACUUGACAAACUCAAACAUUUAGAAAAUCGGCCACUCGAAACAAUCUGCAUUAGCCCGGGAACAGUACCCUGUAAUCUGCAUUUUUGGUUUUUAAGCUGGAAUUGCAUAGUUAAUUCUGCAAAGUCCCAAACAAUCGACCCUAAUGACAACAACCAUUGAACUCCCAAAACUAAGUCAAACCCUUUGACCGCGAGCACUAAAAAAUCAGUGGUGAAUUGAUUCCCCUGAGCUUCCCAUCGCACUGCCCUACAUACUCCUUGAGUGGUCAAUUUGACACCAUUUGCUACCAUCACCUUUAAGGUAGGUUCCAAUUCAAUGACCCACUGUAACCGUCUAGCGACCCGAAAAUCAAUAAAAUUAUGUGUGCUGCCUGAAUCUACCAAAACUACCACUUCAACUUGGUCGAUCGUUGCUGGAAACCUCAUGGUAUUGUGACCUUGUAAGCCGUACAAUGCAUGCAAAGAUAACGUCGGCAUAGAAUUACCCGAACCCAAAUCCAUCGAUUCCAACUGGUCGGAACAGUCCUGAAAAUCAUCCAAAGAAGAACUCCUUGAUUCAAAGUGACCGUCUUCCCAUGGCUCCACCACUAACUGAUACACCUGGGAUUUAGAACACUUGUGUCUAGGAGAAUACUUGAGACCGCACCAGAAACAAAGACCUCUCUUUCUCCGCUCUUCCAACUCUGCCUGUGAUAGAGAUUUGGAAGGCAUUUUCAUAUUGCCUCUUCCAGUUACUGACUCAUUUGUGGAGUUAGAACUGUUAGGUCCUCUAAAAUUUUUUGUUACAGGUAAUAACGGUCUACCUACAUUCGCUCCUGUUGGUGGUGCAUUGUCACGCUUAGCUGGACCAAACACAAUAUUUUCCACUUGUUGAGCUAAGUUGAAUCAUUCAACUAAUGACUGAGGCUUAAACAACCGGAGAUAUUGACCAAUCUCAGGCUUAAGAUUACUGAGAAAUAUACUCAGGGCAUACAUUUCAGGUAAAUUAAGCUGAUUCAACAGACUCAAGAAUCCAUCAUGAUACUGGUUGACAGAACCGGUUUGCUUAAGGGUCACUAACUCCCCCAUUGGGUCAAGAAAAGAAUCUGACCCAAAUCAUUCUCUCAACCCCCUAGCAUACAUUUCCCAUGACAGUUGAUACAACCCUCCAUGUUUUCUAGCAAAGAAAUGAUGCCACUUAAGGGCUUUACCUUCCAACAUCACAAGUCGAACCUUAGCAUCGUUCCCAAUCUCUUCUGCCUCACAAUAUUGCUCAAGUUUUGACCACCAUCCACGGAAAUUGACACCAUUGAACGUCGGACAUGGCAUUCGGAAAGACCCACGAUCCGUUGCUGCAGGCAUUCCCUGAGACAAGGAAGGAGAAUGACCCAAAUCCGCCAUUGGAGACACAAGCACAUGCUCCUGUGGUGAAAAUCCUGGCGGAGACCCUAGAAUACCCUUCCCUUUGCUACUACCCGCACCUCCCAUGGCCACCGAGGGUCCCUGACCAAAAUAUUGCUCAAACAGAGUGUGCAAUUCAGUCCUAAGCUCGGUAUGUACCUCUGAUUUAAUAUCUUCCUGUAGUCCCUUCAAACAAGCAUCAAACUGAGAAAUCUCUGAUUGAAUGUGAGAAAGUUCGCCCUAGAUCUGACCCAACUCCUUUUGCAUCCUCGUGGUUACGCUGUCGCCGGUCAUGAAGAUCGAAAAGCUCUGCUACCUUUGUUGAAGAAACUCUUGAGAAAGAACGGAUUCAAAGAUGAAGAAGGAAAGAGUCGAGAGAGAAAGAAACUCAGAAGCAGAGAAGCUGAAUUCCAGUGUCAAUUUUCAUGCUCAACCACUUUUCUGUUACACGUAAAAUAGUAGAGCCAUAACCGAAAUAUACUAAACGCACCCGUUUGGUUCAAUACAAAACUCACCGUAUUACUAAUUGCCUUAACUAAAACGCAGCACUUAACUAAUUAUUAUAAACCACGUAAAAAUAAUAGAACCUGCAUGAAAACCAUAACAUAACUCUCAAUGAGGAUAGACCAGAAAUAUCACUAGGAAUAUCUCCUUCACCCAUAUUGCGCAGGCCGCACCUUGACAAACUAAGUUCUUCAAGCUUGGAGAGUCCAGUAAGUGAUGUUGCUAUUCUGUUGAAAUUGUUAACGCUAAGAUCAAGAAAUGCCAAAGAGGAUACAUAAGAAAUAGCACUAGGAAUAUCUCCUUCACCAAGAUUGCAGCCCCUUAGUUUCAACUUUGUUAAUGACCUCAAACCGGAUAAUGAAGGUAGCAUUGGAGCUAUGAAAUUCAUCCUUCCUCUUUGGCUUACCUUGAAAAGCGAAAGGAGAUUUCUUUUCAACUUAGACGGACCCUUGCAUCCAUCGAAAGACAAAACUUUAAGAUUUUUCAAUUGAGAAAUGAAGGAUGGUGGCUCUUUUAUGGCUGUUUCACUCAAGUGAAGCUUUUCCAAAGAUUCUACUUGAUGCAAAUUCUCUGGAAAAUAUUCAACUUUAUAACAACCAGAAAGAUCAAGAGUUUUUAGAUGUUCCAUUUUCCCAUCAAUCUCUGGAAACCUUGCAAGAUUUGAGCAACCCGAAAGAAUUAAAGUUUCAAGGGAUUCCAUUUCAAUUUUGGUUGGAAGUCUCCUAAGACUUUUGCAAUUUCUUAAAUUCAAAAGUUUCAGUCUCUUAAGCACUCCAAGUGAUGGAUGAACAUCUACUAAUCUGGUACAAUCUUCCAUAAUCAACACUUCGAGAUAUGGGGCUGUUGUGAAGUCUGGUGUCUUGAUGAGGUUUUGGGACCCUUUAAGGCUGAUUAUUUUCAACUUAUACAAGGGCUGUCCCAAAACAAUAACAGAUUAGAGAAAACAUAAUAAGCCUCAUUAUUAUUAUUAUCUUAUUCAAAUUUUAACAGUUUAUAUAAAAAAUUUAAUAGUUUAUAUUAAAAUAAGUUAAAACAUAAGGAUUAAAUGAAUUUAAUUCUUACUCUGUUUCCCUUCCAUAGUUGUUCAAUGCGACUAUAUGGUAAGAGAAGUAUGACAAGGUUGUCCGGUUGAAAGCUCGAAGGUAAUGAUUUUAAAGGAUAUCAUGUCCAAUCUAAAAACCGUAACUCAUUGGAAAGAUAUUUGAGAUCAUUACAAUUUGAGAGGCAAAGCACUCUCAGCAAUCUCAGCAAUCUCAGUUUUUUCAUCUUCAAAAAGACAUUGACACUCAAAUUGAGCAUCUUGCUUGAUUCCCUACAAAACCAAAGGCGAACAAGAAAUAAGCAUUAAAUAAUACAAAAACAUUCAAUACCUAAAAGCUAUGUUUCUCCAAUACUAUUUUUAAAGGAUUUUCAUCCCUUACUUAUACCUAACAUGUGUCCAAAUAUGAGCAUUGAUAUAUGAUCCUUCAAGAACUCUUUAAAUAUAUGAAAAAACUUCUUAAAAAAGUCACACAUACCCAUUUUAGACAUAAAUACCAUUUGACUUCGAAUUACCUAAGUUUCAAAAACUAGAAUUAAAAUCUUGAUUUAUAUUGGUGCAAUGAUAAUGCAUAAUUUUAUUUAUUAUUACUGAACGAAACAAUAACACAUCAUUAAAAAUAAAAUUAAUUGGUUUUAUUUUGAAAAUUUUUUUAUGACAUAUUAAAAUCUUAUUUAUAAAGAUACACUAACACUGCAUCAAAUAUAAGCAUUUAAUAGUAACAAGGAUAUAUCUCGAUUGUGUUUCUUUUGAAAGUGUUAUGCGUUGCUAGAUAAAUUUCAUAAAUAUAACAUUAAAUAUUAAGCAUUAAUGGUUUUUUUCCAUCGAUUUUCAUUGGAUACUUUUACCAAAAAAAAAACCAAUAAUAAUAUUAAUAAUACACAUCAUAAAUAUGUAUGUAUGUUUUCUUACAUUUGAUUGUCAAUGAUCAUGCUUUCAAUCAUUUCUGUAACCUAAAAAAGCAAGAAUAGAGAAUAAAUAACCUUUUGGUCGAAAUAGAGUAAAUAGAGCAUUUUAAAUAAAGUAAAACAUUUCGGAUGAGAGAGAUUCAAUUAAAUUAAAUACUUAUUUAUACAAAUCCUUACUAACAGUAAUCAUCAACAAAAGGCAUUUAUGUGAAUGCUACUCAACGUCAAUUUUUUUAUGGACUGCUAUAUUAAUCAAUUGGACUAAGCCUUACUCAAUUUUAUUUCAGAAAUAAAGUAAAAUAUUUUCGAAUGAGAGUAAUUCAAUAAAAUUAAAAACUUAUAUUACAAAUCAUUAUUAAUAUUUAUAAUUAACAAAAAUGGAAAUUAUUUUAAAGCCACUCAAUGUCAGUUAAGGAUCGAUAUGUAAACUAAUUAGGCUAAACUUUAGAUUUACAUCAUAUAUUGAUAAAAAGAAAAUUUUGUAUAUAAUUUUUGUUGAAUGAUUUACCGUGUUUUUUUUUAGGACAUGAUGGACAUCACUUUCUUUCCAUAAUCUACAACGUUUUCCAGGUUCAUCAACACAUUUUUCUUCAACAAUUUUUCUUCCCAUUUCUUGCAACAAGGCGUGCAUCCGCAAACGUUGGUUGUUAUCACUAACUUUUAUGAGAGAUUUCUUAAUGAGAAUAUCGAUUCCAAUAUCUGGAAAAAACUCACAACCAUCCAAUACUUUCGUUACAAAAUCUCUCUUCUCACCAUUGAAAAACAUGCUAUAUCUAGAAAUAUAUUCUUCUCCUUUUCUUCCAAUCCAUCAAAGCUAAUUCUUAGCGUGUUAAGAACUUCUUUGUUAGAAUCUUAAGUCUUUCGAUUACACUUCUCCAUUGAACUAUAUCUCUAUCGCACAAAAAUGAACCCAAAACUUCAAGAGCUAAGGGGAGACCACCAGCAUAACAUACAACCUCUUCAGAAACCUCAAUGAAAUCAUCUUUUGGCACUGUAUCACUAUGAAAAGCUUUCAAAUUGAAAAGUCUAAGUGCAUCGUCUGGAUUCAAUGUUUUAGGCUUAUACACACCAUCGACUCCGUAAGAUCGGAGUAAAUGUUCAUCUCUUGUUGUUACAAUGAUUCGACUCCCUAAACCAAACCAAUCACGCCUUCCAACCAAGCAUUUCAAGUGUUGUACAUUAUCAACAUCAUCAAGAACAACAAGAACCUUUUCACUACACAACCUGCGGCUAAUUAUGGCAUUCCCUUCAUGAACAUUGAAAAAAUUGAAGCAUCCAUUUGGCAAGAUUUGAGAAAGAAGUUGUUUCUGUAAAGAAACAAGUCCACGUUUGUUUGAAACUUCUCGAAUAUCUGCAAGGAAGCUUUUGCCUUCAAAAUGAGGUGACAUUUGAGUGUAAACAACCCUCACAAGAGUUGUUUUACUGUUGGUGCAACAACAGAAUCAAGUAGACUCAGCAAGUAUCUUGUCGAGCAAGCCUCGAAACUUGCUGAGCAAACAAACAAUUUCGAGUUAAAGAAAGAAGAGAAUAAGCUGGGGAAAUUUUGAGAGAAUAUUGAUGAACAAAACUGAUUUGAUUCAUACAUAAAACAAUGGCUUGAAGCCAGUACAUAACUCAAGCAUAAGGCUUGUCAAAAUCAACAAGUAAUUACCUACCUCCACUAAUUACAUAGAAACUUGAAAUCUUAGCUUGUAAACUUAUACAAAACUGUGUUUACAGCUCAUACAUAAGCUAAUUACAUCAAUCAGAAAGCUAACUUAGUUAGAAAUGAACUAACACUCAUUUCAUCAACUAAAUAUAACAAAAUGAACAAAAUGAGCUUGCAUCAGCAGCCCUUGCAUCUGUUCCAGCUUUGCUUGGUCUUCAUGGCCUGUAUGGAAUCGAGUGUUGGCUUCAUGCUGACCAACUUCAACACUCCUCCUUGGUUAGCAUGGUGCAAACACCUAAUUUUCUUCUUAAAUGCUCAAACCUUGUGACAUUAAGGGCUUUAGUCAAAAUGUCUGCAAGCUGGUCCUCUGAAUUGCAGUGAAUUAGCUUCACUUCCUGAGCUUGCUCCAUUUCUCGAACAACAUAUAGCUUAAUGCUAAAAUGCUUUGUUCUUCCAUGGAACACAGGAUUUUUGGCAAUUGCAACAGUAGAUUGAUUGUCACAGAAGAUCUCUGUUGCUUCCCUUUGAUCCAUAUUCAAAUCAGCCAGGAUUUUCCUAAGCCAAAUGGCUUGGUUGACAGCACUUGCUGCUGCCACAUACUCUGCUUCAGCAGUAGAUUGUGCCACCAGACUUUGCUUCUUCGAGCUCCAGCAGAACAUGGCUGAACCAAGGUUGAAAGCAUACCCUGAGGUGCUUUUCAUGUCAUCUAUCGAUCCAGCCCAGUCACUAUCAGUGUACCCAACUAGAUUUAGAUUUCCUUUCCUGCUGUACCUUAAGCCAUAGUCCAAAGUGCCUUUGACAUAUCUGAGCACUCUCUUGGCAGCCUGGAAAUGCUUCUCAUUGCAACAAUGCAAGAACCUUGAGAGCAAUCCUACAGCAUACAUUAUGUCUGGUCUAGUGGCAGUUAAGUAUAGCAAACAACCAACUAGACUCCUGUAGGUAGUUUCACAUACCUUCUCAAAAUCACCUUGGCUCGAUAAUUUUUCUCCAACAGCAACAGGUGUUUUAGUUGCCUUGCUGUUUUGCAUGGAGAACUUGGUCAGAAUCUUUAUGGCAAAGCUCCUCUGACUUAGAAAUAUUCCAUUUUGUGCUUGAGUCACCUCAAUUCCAAGAAAAGAGGACAUCUCCCCAAGAUCAGACAUUUCAAACACUUCUUGCAUCUUGGUCUUGAAAUCAACCAGCACUGCUCGAUCUCCUCCUGUCACCAGCAGGUCAUCAACAUAUAGGGACACAAUGAGUUGUGUUUGUGUCCCUUGCUUCUUAACAUACAGUGUUGGCUCACUCUUGCUUCGAUUGAAUCCCAGAUCAGUCAAGUAUCCAUCGAUUCUGCUGUACCAGGCCCUUGGAGCCUGUUUUAAGCCAUAUAGGGCCUUCUUCAAUUUGUAGACCAUAUGCUCUCUCUCAGCUGUUUCAAACCCUUGUGGUUGUUCAACAUAGAUGUCUUCAUCUAAAAAACCAUUCAGAAAGGCUGAUUUCACAUCGAGUUGAUGAAUUUUCCAUUCGAGCUGGGCUGCUAAGGCAAUCAGCAGUCUGAUGGUGUCGAGCCUGGCCACUGGUGCAAAGUUCUCCAGGUAGUCCAGGCCAUACCUCUAACUGAACCCCUUGACAACCAACCUUGCCUUCAGUUUGUUCAAGGUUCCAUCAGCAUUCUGCUUGGCUUUGUACACCAAUUUCACCCCAAUUACCUUCCUUUUGACUGGCCUUUCAACCAAUUCUCAGGUCUGGUUCUUCUCAAUCAUGCUGAUCUCCUCAGCCAUUGCCUGCUUCCAUCCUUGCUGAGCUUCAGCCUCUUCAAAGUUGCUAGGUUCAGCUAUGGCUACAUGAGCCCUUUCAUAAAUCUCAGUUAAUGAUCUUGUUCCUCUGACUGGUUCAUCAUCAAUGUCCAUUUCAGGAGCAUUUUGUUCUAGCUCAGCUUGGUCUGCUGCAAGUUCAUCAGAAACUUCCUCAGGUUCAUGCCUUUCCCAGUUCCAACAUGACCUUUCAUUGAAUACCACAUCCCUGCUUACUGACACUUUGUUUGUUGAAGGAUCCAAAAUCCUAUAGCCCUUCUUAACAGUGCUGUAGCCCACCAGAACACCAGGUUGAGCCCUUUCAGACAAUUUGUCCCUUUUAACAGCAGGUACAUGUGCAUAACAGAUGCAUCCAAAGACCUUCAGAUGAGCCAGUGAUGGCUUGAAGCUAAACCAGGCCUCGAAUGGAGUCUUCUGAUCCAAAGCCUUGGUUGGAAGUCUAUUUUGAAUGUAUGUUUCAGUGUUAACUACUUCUGUCCAUAGUACUUUAUGCAGAUUCUUCUGAAUCAUCAAGCACCUGGCCAUAUCCAUCAAGCUCCUAUUCUUCCUUUCACUUACACCAUUCUGUUGAGGUGUAUAAGUGUUGGUAAGCUGAUGUUUGAUGCCUGCCUUAUCACAGAAGGCUUGGAACUGAGCUGAGGUGUACUCAGUCCCAUUAUCAGACCUUAUGGUCUUCAGCUUGCAGCCUGUUUCAUAGGGCCACACACAUCAAUGUGCACCAGUUAGAGUUUUUCAGAAGCUCUCCAGGCUUGAUUCGAGGGAAAUGGCAGUCUGGCCUGCUUUCCUAGUUGACACACCUCACACACAUCAUCAUGGUCCACUGAGUUGAUGAAGGUUUCAGUCAGGUCAUCUCUGACCAUUCGGGCCAUCGAUCUGAAGUUGGCAUGUCCCAGCCUUUGAUGCCACAACUUGGAUUCAUCUGAUGUGGCUAUGUAGGCAAUGUCAAACUUCUUUUUCCAGUCAACCACAAAGCUCUUAUCAACCAUAGGUACUGCCAUCAGUUUGGAUCCACUUGGAUCACUGAUUUGGCACUGCUUGUCCUUGAACACCACAGAGUAACCUUUCUCUAGCAAUUGAGCUAUGCUGAGUAGGUUUCUGUCAAUUUCAGGUACCAGGAGCACAUUUGAGAUCAUUUUGGCACCUGUGGGAGUGCAUAUCAGCACAUCACCUUUACCUUCAGCUUGAAUAAAGUGCCCAUUACCAAUUUUGACUUUGGUUUUACAGUUUCUGUCUAAAAACUUGAAGAUUGCAGCAUCAGGUGUCAUGUGAUUGGUGCAUCCACUGUCUAGGAGCCAACCAGAUGAGAGCCUUUCCUGAGCAGCUGAGCAUGACACAGCAAAGACUUGCUCCUCUUGGUCACUGUCCUCCUUAGCUACUCGAGCCUCAGCUUUCAUCUGUUGAGACUGGUUCUGUCUUGAUUUGGUCUUGCUCUUGCAAACUCUCUCAACAUGACCCUUCUUCUUACAAUGCUGACACACAGCAUCUGGAUUGAACCAGCAUUUUUCUUCUGGAUGACCAGCCCUUCUGCAGUGCUUGCAAGUUUGACCUUCUCUUCUCGCAGCAUCAUUCUUUGGCUUGUCUCUCCAGGCCUUCUUGCCUUUAUAGGCAGUAUUUGUCCUUGCCUGAAAGGCACCUUCUUGAUGCUCUUCCAGUCUACUUGCUCUCCUCUGCUCUUGAGCAUAUAGAGCAUUGAUCAACUCAGUCAGGGGAAUGGUGGACAGAUCCCUUGAGUCCUCGAGAGAUGAGAUUUUUGCCUCAUACCUCUCAGGCAGAGUUGCUAUUACUUUCUCCACUAUCCUAGCUUCAUUAAACUGCUCUCCAAGGAGCCUGAUGCUAUUAACCACAGCCAUAAUCCUGUCAGAAUAUUGCUUGACAGUUUCUUCUUCCUUCAUCUUUAAAUUCUCGAAAUCUCUCCUCAAAUUCAGUAACUGUUGCUGCCUUGUCCUCUCUGUCCCUUGAAACUCUUCUUGCAACUUGUCCCAGGCCUGUUUUGGUGAUUCACAGGUCAUAAUCCUUGUGAAAAUCACAUCUGACAUUGAGUUCUGGAUGCAAGACAUGGCCUUGUGCCUCUUGGUCCUCUCAUCAGCAUGCUGCCUGAUCUGAGCCACUGUUGGAUUGCCUCUAAGUGGUUCUGGUUCAACAUCUGAGUUGACCACCUCCCACAGAUCAUAAGCCUGCAGGUAAGUCUUCAUUUUGACCACCCAUAUGUGAUAGCCUUCUCCAUUGAAUACUUGAGGUGCAGCUGGUGAAAAGCUUGAUGAAGCCAUGGAUUUGUAUAACAGAUCCCUUAAGAAAUAGGCUCUGAUACCAAUUGUUGGUGCAACAAUAGAGCCAAGUAGACUCAGCAAGUAUCUUGUCGAGCAAGCCUCGAAACUUGCUGAGCAAACAAACAAUUUCGAGUUAAAGAAAGAAGAGAAUAAGCUGGGGAAAUUUUGAGAGAAUAUUGAUGAACAAAACUGAUUUGAUUCAUACAUAAAACAAUGGCUUGAAGCCAGUACAUAACUCAAGCAUAAGGCUUGUCAAAAUCAACAAGUAAUUACCUACCUCCACUAAUUACAUAGAAACUUGAAAUCUUAGCUUGUAAACUUAUACAAAACUGUGUUUACAGCUCAUACAUAAGCUAAUUACAUCAAUCAGAAAGCUAACUUAGUUAGAAAUGAACUAACACUCAUUUCAUCAACUAAAUAUAACAAAAUGAACAAAAUGAGCUUGCAUCAGCAGCCCUUGCAUCUGUUCCAGCUUUGCUUGGUCUUCAUGGCCUGUAUGGAAUCGAGUGUUGGCUUCAUGCUGACCAACUUCAACAUUUACCGAUGCCACCCAUUCCGCAAAUUCCUAUAAUGCGGACAUCAUCUUCCCCAAUGUUUAUUUCCGAAUACAACUCCUUCAAAGGUAAGCUAAUUCCAACCAAUUCAUCAUGAACAAUUGGAUAUGUCUCACAUAAUUUGGCUGAUAUCUUCCUAACAAUGUCUCCGAUAAACUCUGGUUCAUUCCUAAAAUGAAAUAAAAAAUUGUUUCUAUCUCUCAGAGGCUCUUUUUCAUUUUUAGUUCAAUGAAUCAUGAAAUAUAAUAUGGUUGGAAGCAAACAAAAAGCAAGAAUACGACAGUAAGAUAUAUUAUGGUAUCAAAAUACACAACUUUCUCGUUAGAAUUCUUAAUUAAACACAAAAUUAUAAAAAAAUUACAUGCAAUCUAGAAAAAAACAAUUUUUUAGUCAUUAAAAUUAGGAAAUAGAGAAGAAAUGAAAGAAUUACCCAUUAUGUAAAUGCCAUCCUUUGAUCUUAGCUACUUCAGUCAAAGCAUUUCGCCACUUUUGGAUCUUGUCUUUAUCUUCCUUGUACCUCUCUUCAUGUUUGGCAAAGGCUUCUUCUACUUUUUCUUUUUGGUUUCUUAAAUCGGAUGGAUCCACAUGGUAGAAAAUUGGAAAUACUUUAUGUCCGUUAGCAUUUUUUUGUUGAACAAUCUCAGCAAGCUCCUCCAAGCACCAUCCUGAAAAGGCAUAGGUUUUUGAAAAAAUAAUUACCGAGCACCAUGAUUGCUGAAUUGCAUUGGAGAGUUCGGGUGCGAUCUCUUCGCCAGCGUCCAGCUUUGGAUCAUCCCUGAAGGUGACGAUCCCACUACUCUUUAGAGCAUCAUAAAGAUGACCGGUGAAGUUCUUGCGAGUAUCUUCACCUCUAAAACUCAAGAAAACAUCAUAUUUGUUUCUAGAAAUGGGCGAAGAAGUCGAAGGUAACGGCAACAUGAGGAUGUAUGAAAGGAGAAGGAUAUCUCUAUCUGGUGUUCAAAAUCAGAAAAUAGAUCGCCCGAUCCUCGCAAAGAAACUAGAAAAAAGUAAGUAUAUGGGCAUAGGGGCGGAAAUUAGGGGUCAAAGAUGAGUGAUGGAUCUUCUUUCCAAUCCAAGAAGGUGAGACUUGGUACAGUGGAGGCUAUUAAAAAUGUUGGACGGUUUGUAUUUUACGUAAUUAAUAAUUAUAGAGUAGAUAAGAUUUUGACAAUAAUCAUUAGAAUAUGUCUUUAAUAAUUAUCCUUCGUUAUGGGCUGCUUAAAAGGUUUACCAAACAACCUACUACUUGCAUUUACACGUGGAAAACUUCUAUCUCGAAAGAAAAAUCUAUUUGGGCUGGUUAAGAUUAUUUUUGGUGGAGAAUCGAACCGGUUAAGCAACGAACAAGUAAAAAUAGUGAAAAAAUUAAAAAAUUGAAUACACAAAUUUAAUGUGAAAAAACUCUCCGAAGAGGAUAAAAAACCAUAGGUAAAGAUAAUUUUACUAUAAUGGCAAAAGAACGAAGAGUACAAAAGAUAGAUAAAAAUUAAAUCUCAAAAAUAAAGAACCCUCAAAAUAUAAACCAAAAUUUUUCAAAAGUGUUAUGAAUUCUAAUCUGGUGUAUUUUUUAAUGUAAAAAAGUCUAUUUAUUGACUAAAUUAGUAUGUUAAAUAAUAAUAAAAUAAUCUGAACUAAUUAGAUUUGAUUGAAACAAACAAAUAGAGUUUAAUUGAAAUAUUAUUUCAAUCACCAAAAAAGUGCUCUAAGCUUGGUAAGAAAGAGAAUCUCUUCAACCGGAGCAAUUUUCGCAUUAAAAGUAAAAUAGUUACGAGCCAGCUAUAUGGACCAUAACCCCGCUGCACAGCAGAGGAGCCACCACUGCUUAAUAUCAUCUUUAAUUUUAUUUUUCAUAGAAGUUUCGCUUUAAAGUUAAUGUCAAAUGGAUUUAUGGAUGGUUUUUAGACAAGGCUUGAGGGAUGGGUUUUAUUUAUAAAUUUAGAAAGCUUUAAAUGUAAUUUAUAUGGUUAUUAUUAUAAUGCAACGAUUAAAGAAAGAAAGAAAAGUUUGUGCAGAAUUUUCAAAAUUGGAUGGCGCAAUGAAUAAAAGAAAGAAAAAGUUGUGCAGAUCUUUCACCAUAUUCACUAAAUUAUACAGCUUGCCCCACCUUUUCUUUUCAAAUAUUUAUUUAUUUUUGGUGACGGGGUUCAUGCUUUUAAUUUGUUUAUUACUAUGAUUAUGAAUCAAAUUUUAUUUUAAUAUUUGUGGUGUUUUUUAAGUUGUUACAUGGAGAUGUUUUAUUGGGAUAAAUUACAUUAAAUAUCACUAAAUUAUUAAUAAGUUUAUAUUUUGGUCAUUGAAUUUUAAAAAGUUAUUAAAUGAUCACUAAAUUAUUUAAAAUUUUUUAUUUAAGUCACUGAAUUAUCUAAAAAAAUUUAUUAAAAUUGGUGAUUCGUUACAUUUUUUUAUUUUUCUUUUAAAUAUACAUAUAUUUAUUAGGAAAGGGUCAAAGGUUUUGAUUUGUUUAUUAUUAGGGAUAAAUGUCAAAUUUAUAUAUGAACUUUGGUUCAAUGUGCAAUUUGAUACAAGCAUGAAUUUUGACUUGGUGCAAUUAUCCACAUGAAAUUUAAAUUGUGGUUCAUAUAUAUACAUGAAAUUUAAUUUUGAUUUAAUUGUACGCAUUUAAAGAAAUGAAUACAUAUAAUUAUUUUCAUAUUGAAUAAAAGUUCAUGUCUUCUGUUAUUAUCAUGGGUGAUACAUGGAUUUAAAGAAGCUCAUAUGUUCAUAGUGAUGAACUAUUAUUGAGUGUUGAUUUUCACUUACCGUAGUUAAAGUGAGUUGGGAGAGAGUUUACUUAAUUGUACGAUGGUGAGGUUGCACCAAGUUAGGCUUGAAUAAUUUUAUUGUAUUGUGAAGUUUAUAGUGGAUUCAUCUCUUUGGGUAAGGCCUGACAGAUGUAGGACGAGUUUCAAACUACGUAAUCAUCUUGGUUGUGCUCUUUAUUUUGCUUGUUACAUGUGCCAACUCAAAAAUUAAUUUUUGUUUUUCAAAAAAUUUAAACUAAGAAUUAUAUCAAUAGUCUGCAUUAAAAUUUAUCUAUCAAAUUAAAUAAACAACUCAAAAAUUAACUUGUCUACACAUAAUUAUAUAUAUUAAACUUUUUUAACUUUUUGAAUUUUUUAAGGAUUUUUGUCUCCAUUAUUGUAAAAAUUUAAAUUAAUUCCCAAAAUAUGUAAUGCUUGUGAUUAUUUUUGGUCGGGGAUCGACUUGAUUAAGCAACGAACAAGUAAAAAUAACGGAAGAAAUUGAGAAAUUGGACACAAAUUUAACGUGGAAAAACUCUCUGAAGAAGAUAAAAAACCACAGGCAAAUAUAAUUUUAUUAUAAUGACCAAAGAAUGAAGAGUAUAAAAAAUGGAAAUAAAAAAACAGAUAAUUUUACUAUAUUUGGAGUUUAAAUAUACAAGGUUGAAAUAAAGCAAUGGUGGAGUAGGAAGGCAGUGUUAUUAAAUACUAAAUAAUUGUUUUGUGAAAAUGGGAUAUUUUUACUUUUUUAUCCAUUCAGACAUAUCACUGUUCCUGUCUUCCUUUUCAUGUUUUUGUAAAAAACAGAUUCCCACCAGUCCUUUCUCUUUGGUAAAUGUUGAUUGCUGAGAGGACAAUCUUUUUGCACAUUCCCGAACUCUAUGGACAUGAUUUUUUGCAUCUCAAUCAAAGGUUUGAAAAGUUGAAAUUAUAUUUAGGAUUUUAUUUUACUUCCAAAUGAUAUCCAAGUUUUGAACUUUCAUGUUCGUAUUAUGGACACGAAUAUAUAUUAAUAGUUGCGGAUAUAAAGAAUACUUAAUUAAUUAUGGUAAAUAAGAAUCUAUUUGUGCAAUUAAACAAAAACAGCGAAAAAGAGAAACUUAAUUAAAUAGGAGUACUGCUUCUUCUCUGAACGACCCAUUAUAAAAUUGAAACUUUUUUCAUCUGUUUAGGUCCUCUGUUUCCUCGUGGAUAUUACGUUUUCGUUUUACAGGGUAAGUGCUACCUGCGGAUCCAUCCUUGUCAGUAGAGUGAUGAUGGAUAUGUUUAAAGCUUAGGGAAGAUUGAGUGGUAUGGCACUGCAAAUCUUUCUCAUACAUUAUUCUAACACCACACUUCUUCACCUUAAAAGAAGGAAAACCAUCUGCGCCUUUGAAAGACAUCUCAAGCUUAUCGUAUUCAUGAUCAGAGCAAUCCAUUGUCCAUGCAUAUUGUAAUUCACGCGAGAAAUAACGAAGAAAAAGGUGGUUGUUCGUUAUGGGCUGCUCCUAUUCCCCACCUAAACCAAUGAAACUGGGAUCGACCGUUCGAGGAUUUAUAACUUGAAAAACAGAUCCAUUAUGACUAGAUUUUCGGGAAUUUCUAUAAUGGAUAUAAGUUGUACUACCGAUAACCCUUUCAUCGGAACCACCAUCAUUGACGAAAAUGCAGCAGAAAGCAACUCCAAUCCAAUUUGUUUGGUAUAUGUGAAACGUUUUGUGAGUUUGUUUUUUAAAAUAAAGGUAAAUUUCAACAAUUAUUUUUUAAUCAUUAUUAUUAAUAUAAUUGAAAUCACAUGUGACAAUAGAAAAUAGAAAAUAGUGAUUAUGAAAAAUUGGAAUGUGCAAUACUCUUGAUGUGUUUAGAAAAGGUUAUAGUUAUAGAAAAAAUUAUAUAACCAUCAUGGCAUUGGUUGAAUUUGUUAACUUAAAAGUUUUAGAAAUCCAAUGUUUUAGAUUUUAAUCUCAAUUUUUUAUAAAAAGAUAAAAAAAAUUUACUAUAAUAAUAUUUGUUACUUUUAAAAGUAGUAAAUUUUUUAGUCAUUUUUUUAAAAUAAGUUAAUAUCUAAUUGACUUAUGACUGAUAAGUAAAGUAUAAUAUAAAGUAUGUUUGGUUAAAAAUAAAAUUAUAUGAAAAUGAUAUAUAUUUAAAUAUAGAAUAUAUUAAAUUUAAUAUAAUGUAAGUUAUUAAUAUAGUAAAAUUGGAAAUAAUUUAAAGAUAAUUAUUAUAUUAGAAAAUAUAGGAAUUAAAGUUGAGGCAUUUUAAGAAAUUUACCAAAUUUUAUAUAAUGUAAAUCAUAAAAACUGUUCCUUAAUACCACCGCGCACGAUUAGCGCUGUUGGAACCGUUAGUCCCCUGCUUUAACUUUACCUCCAUAACAUGCUGAGACCAUGAAAGGCACUCAUUCCUUAAUACCAUAUAUAGUUCCUGCAACGCCACUACUGAAAACAAAGGCAUUUCUAUUUUACCAAAGUUUCUAUCAGCCAUAGCAAAAAGAGUACCCCAAUCAGUUCCUUCCACAGAAAAAGUUCUUUGAGCUCCAGAGAAAGUCAAUGCUCUCCCAUUUCCUAGCGCCCAAUAGACACCAUUUACUACAUCUUCCCAAAUAUUGGACAAAACCCUCCAGAGAAGCGAGCGAUUAGAAGGAUGUAUUGAAGCCGACCAUCUACUUAUUACCCCAUACUUGUUUCCAAGGACUUCAACCCAUAGCACAUUCACGUUAGAAAUGACAUUAAAAGCUACCUUAAUCAUGCAAGCUUUGUUGUGGUCUCGUACUUUCCUCAACCUAACUCCACCAUUCUUCAAAGGCAUACAAAAUUUAUACCAGCUCACUAAAGUUGGUUUCCGAUUGCCAAAUGUUGACCCCAAAUGAAUCCUCGAACCAGCUUCUCAUUUUUGUUGCAAUUGUUUAAGUGAUCACCUAAAACAAGACCGUACAAAGAUUGAUCGGUCUAAAAUGAGAUAGUAAUUCCUGUCUUGCCACCUUGGGAACCAACACAAUAAGAGUUUGAUUCAAAAUAGAGGCAAACAUUUGAUAAUUUCAUUCUAUUGGUUUUUAAUUUGAAUAGUUCAUUCAUUUAAAACAAUCAUAAUUGUGCAUCAAUUAUGAAAGAAGUCAGAAGAAAAUUGUGCAGUAAUCAAAUGCAAUUUUCUUCACUUUUAUCACGUCUUUGAGUUGGAGGAAAAGAUGGUCCAAUUGAGAUACACUUGAAAAGUUUAAUGAUGAAUGAAAUGAAUUCGCUAUUAUGUUAUGUCAACACUGUUAAAUUAAUAGUUCAAUCAGCAUUUUGCGUUAAAAAAUUCAUAAUUUGACUCAAUAAAAUGUUAAAAGCCAAAUUACUAAAAAGAAAUGAAUACGGGUCAACUUGUCAAAUUUUAUAAACACUAAGAACCUUUUUUAUCAUGCCUAAUUUUAAUGGUUUUAUUUACAAUACAAUUAAAUUACUAUUUGAAUUUACAUUUGAAAAACAACUUUCAUUUCAAUAUGUAUAAUUUACGUUACAUUACAUGAUAAAAACAACUAAUUAUAUUUUGCUAAUUCCCUAAAUUCGUCCGAGCCUAUAAUUGCUUAAGUGUCCGCUUCCAUUCCAACUUGAUGACUUUUGUUGGUCCCUCACUUGCAAGAUCCUUUGAGCAGACUUUCAUGCUUCUAUUGGUCUAGGGGACAAACAUAAAACACCAUUUUUGUUGCAUUGAGAUCAUCUAUAUUAACUUACCUCAAAUUGAGGAAUUUUUGUUGAUAUCACAUAAAUACAAUCAUUGGAAAUCUUACUCAUAUAGACCAAAAAUCAUAUUUUUAUUUCUCUAAACAAUAACAUUAGACAAUAACAAAAAUGAAAUUAUAGAAUUUUGAAAAAAAAAUAUUGGAUAUGAAAAUGUCUCUCACAUGGAAAAGAUUUUCCAAAUAAUUAAGAGAGCGUACUUUAUUUUUAUAUUUGGGCAAGUGUUACAAAUAAAUGUCUAAACUUAAAUACUUUGUAAAAAAUAUAAAUUGAAGAGUUGGAAUAAUAUUGUUUAUACUUCAAGCCAUGAAAUUUAAAUGGUACUUUUGUUAGAAGGAAUUAAACCUACUAUUAAGGACUUAUAUUUAAUCUUCCAAAUAUAUAAAAGAAACAAUUUUGACUAAUUAAAUUGAACACAUAACUUGAUCUCAAAUAAAAAUAAAAUAGUUUUUAACUCCGAAAUUAUGAUCUAAUCCUCAUUAAAGGAUUUUCACCUUAUUAUUACAACCUAAAAAUAAAAUAUAGAUGUAAGUGAAUAUUAUAAUGAGAAUAAAGUUUUAAUAAAAAAAAACCAAUCAAAAUGUACACAUUUCAAUUAUGUGAAAAGGAAUGAAUUAAGUGAAUAAAAUUUUAAAUGGCAUUUUUUUUAAAAAAAUAGUAUAUAAUUAAAAUAAUCAUAUCUCAUAUGCAAAUAAGUCUAGAAUGAUUACUUUAAAUGAAAUAAAAGAUGUAAACAAGGUAGAUGAGUAAAAAAAAAAAAUUAGUAGGACAAGGUUGGUUAAGUAAUUUACCAUAGUUAAUGCGUCUUCCCGGAUUGGCCAAUUAUAAAAAAUUGAAAAAAAAGUUGCAUCCGUUUUGGUUGGGGCCCUUCUUCCUCCGCUUCAUCGUAGAUAUUAGGUUUCUAUUUUAUGUGAGAAGUGCUACCUACUGAUCCAUGGUUGUGAGCAGAGUGUUGGUGGAUGUGUUCAAAUUUUGGAGAAGAUUGAGUGGUACGGCACUGCAACUCUUUUAUCUCUUCCAAAUCUUUCUCAUACACUAUUCUAAAGCCACACUUCUUCACUUUACCACUGCAUCCCAUGAAAGACACCUCAAGCUCAUCGCAUUUUUUAUCUAAGCAAUGUGUUGUCCAUAAAUUAGUGGUUUCACAGUCGUCAUAUUUAUCCUCCAAGGAAGGAUAUAUUGUAUCACGCGACCAAUAACGAAGUAAAAGGUGAUCUUUCAUUAUUGGUUCACACAGCCCCCAGCCUCUCCAAUCAAUCCGUCGAUAAUUUCUACCUCGAAAGAUAGAUCCAUUACAGCUGGCUUGCUCAGAAUUUCUACAAUAGAUAUAUGCUCCACAACCGAUAUAUUCGUCAUCCCUUGAAGCAUCAUUACUGACAAAAAUGCAGCAGCAAGCAACUCCAAUCCAUUGACUAUCUUUCUGAAGGUUGAUAGACAGGGGUAUGUUAAUUGAAAAGGCACUUGUUUGUUGGCUAAACCAUUCUGGGAUUUCACUUCCGGGCAUUAUAAUAUCAAACUUUUUUCUUGAAUUUGCGAAUGCCUGCAAAAUAAAACACAAGUCGUUUGGUAACUAAAACCAUAAAUUCUCAAGUAUGAGAUUUUGUAAGGGAGAAAAUGGAGAGUAAUCGACCUUCAGCUGUUUUUUCAGCACUUUUAAUGCAUUCAUAUUCUCGGCCAAUUUGAAGCAGUUAAUGGCUCUAAAGGCACCCGAACCUAUUAAAUUGCAUACUUCACGUAGUGUUAAUGCAUUGAUAUUCUCAGCCAAUUUGAAGCAGUUAAUGGCUCUAAAGGCAGCCGAAUCCACUAAAUUGCAUACUUCAAGUGAAGAACAACCAUCUAGACACACGUGUCCUAACCUUGUCGGUAUCUCAGGCAACGAUUUAAGCAUCUUGCAGUAUGACAGUCCAAGAAACUGAAGCUCGGAUAGUCGAGUAAGAGAUGAAGGUAUGCUGAUGAAAUUGUUACCACUAAGACCAAGAUGUACCAAAGAGGAUAGACCAGAAAUAUAACUAUGAAUAUCUGAUUCACCAAGAGUGCACAUGUUGCAAUUUGACAAGUCAAGAAACCCAAGCUUCGAGAGUCCAGUAAGAGACGCAGGUAUGCUGAUGAAAUUGUUACCACGAAGAUCAAGAUGUUUCAAAGAGGACAGACCAGAAAUAUCACGUGGAAUAUCUCCUUCACAAAGAUUGCAGUCCCUUAGACUUAGCCGUCUUAAUGAACUCAAACCUGACAACAAAGGCAACAUUGGAGCCAUGGGAGUUGUCCUUCUUUCUUGGAUUACCUUGAAAAGAGAAGACAAAUUUGGUCGCAACUUUGCUUGCUGCAAAUUCUCCGAGAAAUUUUCAACUCUAUAACAACCAGAAAGCUCUAGAGUUUUUAUACGUUCCAUUUUCCCAUCAAUCUGCGGAAACCUUACAAGACUUGAGCAACCCGAAAAAAUUAAAGUUUCAAGAGAUUCCAUUCUAAUUUUUCCCGGAAGACUCCUAAGACUUUUGCAAUCUCUUAAAUUCAAAUGUUUAAGGCUCUUAAGCACUCCUAUUGAUGGAUGAACAUCCACUAAUUUGGUACAGCCUUCCAAAAUUAAAACUUCAAGAUUUGAUGCUGUUGUUAAGUUUGGUGUCUUGAUCAGGUCUUGGGAACCUUUGAGGUUCAUUAUUUUCAACUUAUACAAGGGCUGUUGAAGACAAUAAUAAAUUAGAGAGAAAAGAGAAAGCAUAAUAAUUCUCAUUUUUUUUUUUGUAUUUUUACCUUAAUCAGAGUUUAAUAAUUUAUAUUAAAAUAAGCUAAAACACAAGGAUAAGAUGAGUUAAUUCUUACUCUAUUUCCCUUCCAUAGUUGUUUAAUGUGACUAUAUGGUAAAAGAAGUGCAACAAGGUUGUCUGGUUGGAAGCUUGAAGGCAAGCAUCUUAAAGGAUACCCUGUCCAUUCUAAAAGCCGUAGUUUAUUAGAAAGAUAUUUGAGAUCAUCACAAUUUGAUAGGCAAAGCACUUUGAACAUUCUCAAGUUUUUCAUCUUUGAGAAGGUAUCGGCACUCAAAUUGAGCAUCUUGCUCGAUUCCCUAAUAACCAUGAGUAAAACAAAAAUGAGAUUCAAAAUAUACAAAGACAUUCAAUAUCUAAAAGUUACGUUGCACCAAUAGAUGAUCAAUUUCCUUUAUAAAAAAAAAAUCAUUCCAAAUUGGAAUGAGAAGGAAGACAAUGAGAGAGAUAUUUUAUUUUCAAAUGUUUUAUUUUCUUUCCUUCUCACUUUUCGCUAUACCAAGCAAUAGUGAGGAGGAAAAUAUAUUUUCCAUUCAAUUUUCCAUCUUUCCAUCUUUCCAGUCAAGUUUUCCAUCCCCUCAGUUUUCCACCCUUCUGAUUUUAUUUCUACUCUGCCAAGCAAAGCCAAAAGGUUUUUUUGUUGUUGUUUUUUUAUUAGAAUUUUUACAAAAAAUAAUAACAAUAUUAAUAGUACAUAUUGAUAAAUUUAUAUGUAUAUUUUCUUACCUUUUAUUGUCGAUGAUCAUACCUAUG